rnacentral:lncRNA from 1 species
GGGCUAGGAAGGUCUGACUACGGUCCUACAAACACCGAUCCGAACGUGGUGGAAUACGUCGACCGUUAGGGCUGUCACUACCCUAAGGCUACCACAACAAUCUGCAGGAUUGGGUGCAAUUCCAGGUAAUCGCAAGACUAAACACCACGUCUAAUCUAUUAAUUACUACUCUAGCGUUAUAAAGACUAGAGCACUUGAUGCAAGCGGGAAUCAAAUAAAUAAAUUGAAUGUAAAUAAAAGUAAUUAGAGAACUCAGGAAUUAUGAAUUGAAGAACCUGGAGAACGAUGAAAAACGAACCAGAUGCUGCAAAAGUAUAAUGUUGAGGAAGAUCCGACAGAUUCGGCUCCUCCUCCGCUCUCCUCUUCUCUCUCCCUAUUUUCUAGAUUACAACUAGAACUAACUAGAACUAGAACUAGAGGAACUAGAACUAGAACUAGAUGAACUAGAACUAGAUCUAGAUGAACUAGAGGUAGAACUAGAAGAACUAGAGGGAUCCUCUCUACUUGGAUGAAGAAUUGAAACCCUAACUUUGAUUCUGUAGAAGAGGUAUGAUCUGCAGGGGCCAGGGGGGUCUGGUUUUAUAGUCCCUUCAAAUGAAUCUGGGCCGUCGGAUCAAACCGACAUUGAUCGUGUGGUUUUCCUUGAAGUAUUAGGUCGGUGGAGCAUGAUCCCCGAACUUCACCCUGAUUGGUGGAAAGAGGUGGGCGGGCGCCCUCAGGAUUAGGGCGGGCGCCCUGUCCCUGAGGCCUCUCGGCUUCCGCUUCGGUCCCGUGGCUUCUGGAGUCUUCUAGAUGAUAGAAAAUUGCGCGGCACGUUAAUAUCUCUAUGUAAACCCGACGUGUGGGCCUUUCUUCCGUAUUUUCUGAUAACCCCCUGCAGAAAUAGACAAACACCAAAACUUGUGGAAUUCUGUCAGAUAAAACCCUAAGUCUAGGUGUUGGUUGCAUUUGGAUCCUUUUCUAUGAUUAUUUGAUGGUUAAAUGUGAGCAUUAAGGACCGUCAACAAGCUCCCCCAAGCUUAACCUUUGCUCGUCCCUGAGCAAAGAUGAACUGAAGAGUUUAUGCAGUGGUUUCAUAACUUAAAGAUACACAUGCGUUUAAACAAGAUCUCAUCUCUGGUUAGAGUAAACUGUUAAGACUUAAAACUUACUCAUUUACCUUUCACUAUGGGACUUGUAACCGUCACUUCUGUCUUGAGUAGUUAAAAGAUAGAACGGUCUAGUCAAGCACCAUGUCUCUUAUUCUUGAUCAGCUAUAGCUCUGGAGUUUUUGCAGAUUUUCAAAUAAAACUCAGAGAUUCCUUGUAUGACUCUCUCUAGUCUCUCUUUUGUGGUAUUUCUGGAUCCUUACCAAGGCAUUAAUGGUGUAUGCCUUCUCUCAAAGUAUGUGGUAUUUGUGGUAUAAGGCAUAGUGGCAUUGCCUUCUCUCUCACCCUACUCUAAUAAGGCUUUUGAUAUAUGGAGCUCAUAGGUGGGAGACAGCUAAUACAUACUUACAAGACAUUUAUUGCAUAGUCAAACCAUGGAUCCAGAAGAACAAGUCAAUAAGUCAAAUCAAGAUGCGCAUGUGUGGCGAAUGAAUGGUGUAUGGCGAUGAUGGUGAUAACAAUGGUGAAAGUCUAAUUCUACUUAUGCUCUUUUGAGGGGAUACAUACGUUUCUUGCUGUUUUGAAACUUUUUGAGGAGAAUGAGAUGCUCUAUAUUUUCUUUUUUUUUUCUUUUCUCUUAGGUGGGUAUCUUGUACCCCUAAUUCUACUGUCGGACACUUGUCCAUUUUUACCUCUCGUCUCACUUUUUUCUUUUUUUUUCGAGGUUCCGGGCACUUGCCCCUUUUUAUUUCCUCGUAUCUCUUUUUUUUCUCUUUUUUUUCUCUUUUUUUUAUUAGAGCACUCAUCUCAUGAGAUAAUAUAGCAAGUGGUAGUAACAAGAUAACUUGAGCAUUUAUUUCAUAGGGGAAAAAUAGAAAUAUUUUUGGCUAUUCUCUCCCGGAUUAGGAGUAGAAUAUUUUUGGGUGGUUCUGGAGAUGGAAAUGGAUGGAUAUAUGUGGAUGCGUACUUCUGGAGUAGAAGCAGCAUGUAUGAGUGAACGUGCAAGUGAAUCUUGAUUUUAACCACAUGACAAGCUCCUAAGGGUCUACACAGCUUGACCACACUCAAUGCUCAUAAGUAGUAAAGUAAAUGUGUGGUUCAUAGUCUAGCAAGCAUGUAUAUAUGGCUGUGGUAGGAAUUUAAACUCUCAUCAUACAGGAACUCAUCAUGCAACAUUUUAAAGAUUUUCAAAGAUAAAAUUCUCCAGAAUUCUAGUAUCUCUAGGAACAGAUAAACAGCAGCUCAACCUUCCCAUAUCGUAUCCGUUAACGACUUAGACUUUAGAUCAAGUACUCUCCCCACAAGUUCAGGUUUAGAGCAAAUCUUAAUUAAUAACAGUCAUGUCUAAACUUGAGAGAGAGAUUUCAAUUUUGAGAACUAGUCAUGGUAGAGCAACUAUUCAUCAUUUCCAUAUGAGAGCUUAUCACAAGGGUUCAUAGCAAAUUUUAUUUAUUUAUUUAUUUAGCAAACUAAGCAAAGAUAUAUAUAAGCACAAAAUCUUUAUUUGGGUUUAUAUGAUUAUGCAUAUUUUUAUUAUUUGAGUAAGGUAUAAACAUGAGUAGAAUACUUAGCUGGAUAAAUGGGGGUGCUCUCCCCCAAGCUGGAUUUUGACGUAAUUCCUUUUGAUGUAGCUAGCAAGUGAUGGAGGUGUAUUUGAAUGUCGGCAGCACCCUGAUGGCGAUUAGGAUGUCCUUCGUAUGCUAGUCUUCUUUGAUCCUUGAAUUCUGUGGAGCUCAAAUAGACAACAAAGCUUUGUGGAACUAGUUAAGUGUUAGCAUAAAUAUCUAGCCUUUAUCAUGUUGAGCCUCCUCUAAUAAAUAUUACUCUCUUUAGUAGGAUCAUAAUUUUAUUUUUAUAAUUUUGUUUUUAUAGGACAGGAAUAUAUUUAUUUCAUUUUUACGCCACAACGGUGAAUGUACUUAUGGGUUUUAUGCCAUGAGCAUACUCACGUGGGGCUUACUAUUUUUAACAUUUUUAUUUUCUUUUCAAGAUAGUAUGAACCUGAUUAACUAAGCAAACUACUUUAAAUAAUUGAAAGGAAAAGGAUAACUACCAAGUUUACCUCUUGGCAAGGCGUUCGGUGUUUUUAAGUCCUCCGAACGGGACCCUCCGUUUUCUCAGACGUCCUGGGAUUCGCUGGAUGGCGUAGUCGGUGGUUCCGGUGGCGCCUCCUCUUCAUGUAUAACUAUCUUCUCUCUCCACACCUGACUCGGUGCUAUGGUCUCCUCAGGACAGUUCUGAUCAAGUUGUAUGUCUUCAGACCUUACUACUUCUCCUUCAUAGUCUGCUCAUCCGUCCUUGAUGAUUUUGCCUUCUCUGGUUACGGUUGCGUCGUCUUCUUCUUGUUCUGACCGGCUUAGAGUCUUCAACUAUAUAAUUAAGGUUAAAAUAGCGGCGUACCUUGUUAGAGGGGAAAUGCAUGUGGACUUCUCUGGUUCCAAUCUAGAUGAUUGCUUUAACAGUGCUAAGGAACGGUCUUCCAAGGAUGAUGGGUGGAUUGUACUCGUCUUCUCCCAUGUCAAUAACCUAAAAACCUUUCGGAAUAUCUGAUCUGCCAUCUGAAGCUGAAUGUAUGUUGGUUGUAGGGACAUGGUUCCAUGCAGGAGCUGAUAAGUGACUGCGGCCAUUAUGUUGACGUCAGAUCCGGUGUCGUAGAGUGUCUUUUGAAAAAUAUUCGUUGAUUGUGCACUGGAUGCUUGGAACACCAGGGUCAUCCUUCUUGAUCAAGAAAGGCGACUUGAGUUGACGAUCUUGACCUCCUUGAGCUGCAGUGACCAUCUUAGCUGACUUGGUCCACAUUUGCUUGUUCUUGUUCCUCCUGUUGGUCCUUUCCUUGGUUCAUGUCAGGAUUGCUCUAAGAUUUGUGUAGUCUUGUUCUUGAAGGAAAACGUCUCCGUCCUUUCUUUUGAUGUAGAAACUGAUCUUGGCAGCACUAGCGUAGAUGACGGCUCCCGAGGUGUUCAGGAAUGGCCUCCCUAGGAUGAUGGGUGCCCUCUCAUCAGUAUCAGUCUCUAUCACCACGAAGUCUGCUGGAGCGUAUAAGGUACCAACUCGGACGUAGAGGUUCUUCAAUAUUCCCUUUGGGAAACUUAGUGUCUGAUCUGCAAGCUGCAAACACAUGGUUGUUUCUAGGAAAGGAUGUGUAAAGAAUUUUUCAUAGAGUACCCUGAGCAUAAUGUUGACGCUGGAGCCAAAGUUGCAGAGUGCUUCUAGGAAGUCCACCAUGCCGAUGGAGAUCGGGAUGACGGGGCGUCCUGGAUUGUCUCUCUUGACCGGCAGAAGGUCAGUAAUUACUUCCACUAUGGGGUUACUCUAGUAGUUACGUCCUCAAGCAUCUCAGGGCAGUGAUUGCCUGAGUGUCUAGUAUCUCCAGGGUGUUUGUGCUCUAAGAUCUAGGUUCUUCACUUGGUGGAGUCUGGGAGUUGUAAAACUCCUUCAUAUUUUGUUCGAAGUGUACCUGCUCAUAGAGACAAGGCAGAGAUCAAGUGCAUGGGCCCUGUUGGUGGAAAACACCAAUAGAACCAAAAGUGUAUUUGUUCUUCUCUAACCUUAAGCAUAGUGAGCAAGACAAAGUUAAUGGAUAAUAAGAUCAUGAGUGUAGCAUUUAAAACAUUUGUCAGAUCAGAUCGCUCAACCUAAUGGAAAGAUAAUCUAUCUGUACUUAUGUUUUUAUAUAUAUCUUCCAAAGAUUGAGUGUGCAAUAUUUUAGCUCAUAUGAUUAGGAUUUUGGGAUCACAAAGGUGGAAGGACUAAACAUGUUGAAUUGAUUGGGUUGGUUAAUCUAGAGUUGUAAAUCAUACAUGUUUGUCUUUUUUAUUCUUGUGAACGCCAGAAAUAAGGAGAAGCUUAUAAAAGUGAUAGUCAAGUACCUUAAGAAAUACACCUUAAUUGAAGAGUGAUGGUACAGUAUCACCUUGUGAAAGCUUUCCUUUCUUAGUGGUUGUGCAUCGUGUUUGUGGCACCUCCAUGGAUCAUUUCUUGUGAGCUAUGCCUUCCUUGUGUAAAUUGUUAAACUUCAUGUGUGUCUCUCUUUGUCUCCAAUGUGAGUUUAUCUCAGGACUUCCCAGGUCGAUAUUGAAAGUUUCCCUGCAGGGGUUAGUCCAACAAAAUAUACCCAUGUCUACACAAGCAGUUUUUAGUUCAAUAACCAAACUAGACUCUAUGUCUAAUUAGAUUAAGGAAGGCUGCUUAACCUAAGCACCAUGCUUAAUUUAAAAACCAAUAGAAGUAUGUACAGUACUUCCAAACUAACACUUACUAGGAUAAGCAAAGGUAGCGUGAUGGCUUUUAUAGAGAUCUACUCAAGUGGAGAUGAAGUAGUGUGAUUACUAUUUAACAAAUUGAGCAUGUCUCAAAGGUAGGGACAACCAACAUAGCAACAUGGCAAAUGAUGUUUUUAUAUAAAGCACUCCCCCAAGCUUGAAUUUUCCAAAAUUCAAGUUUGGAUGAAUUUAAUUCAAUGUUGUAUGAUGAUUGGUUGGACAUACCUUGUACUUGUCAUUCAUCCGAUCUUCUUGCUCCGAUCCUGGAAAGGUUAGCGACAAGAAUACCCGAAGGACUAUUUUUACAAUUAUCCUUAUAUGCUCAAUACACAAGGCAGUGUUGCAAAUAAUUAAAAGCACAUGUUACGAUCUGAUCAGUGCUUGUUUUAGGACACUAAGCUUGUCCUUGGGAAACCAUCAAUUUAUGUCAGCGAAGUGGUUUCCCCUCCAACGCUGACCUAUAUCAAGAUCAACUCAACGAGAUCUGCAAAAUUUAUUAUAGACAUAUGCAUCGACAACCGCCCUUUUAAAGUUUUUAUAAAUAGAAAGGAAGUGGGGGUUGGAGAUCUCGAAUGUGGUGAUGUUGGAGAGACCAAUGGAUUGUGAAGAUGUUGCAUAUGAGCAUGGAGUAAAUGAAGUGGCUAUGAAAUAAAUUCCAUGCUCAUUAAUGCUUAGAGUGAAAUCCAUGUGGUGUGGUGAAAAUGGUAAGGUGAGUGUGAUAAAAUAGGAAAAGAAAAAGGAUACACGGACGACUUUGUUCGAAACUAGCACAGCUACCGUUCCCCGGCAACGGCGCCAGAAAGCUUGUUGGGUAUUUUAAACGCAAACAGAAAAAUCCGCAAGCGCACGGAUACCGAUGUAGCCUUCACCCGGGAGUAUUCCAGAGUAUCGAUUUUCCACAGAGAACGUGAGUGUACUAAUUAAGAUCCAAGAUCGCCCAAGGAUAACUAUAUGAAUAUUUUUGGUGGGAAGAGAGGAAGUUUCCUGAGAGUUCUCUAGUUGAUCUAAGAAUCAAGAAUUACUUCAAGAUUAUCUAUAUCGGGACAUCAGAGCACUAACCACAGAAAGAGAUGAGAAGGGGGCUAGGAAGGUCUGACUACGGUCCUACAAACACCGAUCCGAACGUGGUGGAAUACGUAGACCGUUAGGGCUGUCACUACCCUAAAGCUACCACAACAAUCCGCAGGAUUGGGUGCAAUUCCAGGUAAUCGCAAGACUAAACACCACGUCUAAUCUAUUAAUUACUACUCUAGCAUUAUAAAGACUAGAGCACUUGAUGCAAACGGGAAUCCAAUAAAUAACUUGAAUGUAAAUAAAAGUAAUUAGAGAACUCAGGAAUUAUGAAUUGAAGAACCUGGAGAACGAUGAAGAACGAACCAGAUGCUGCAAAAGUAUAAUGUUGAGGAAGAUCCGACAGAUCCGGCUCCUCCUCCGCUCUCCUCUUCUCUCUCCCUAUUUUCUAGAUUACAACUAGAACUAACUAGAACUAGAACUAGAGGAACUAGAACUAGAACUAGAUGAACUAGAACUAGAUCUAGAUGAACUGGAGGCAGAACUUGAAGAACUAGAGGGAUCCUCUCUACUUGGAUGAAGAAUUGAAACCCUAACUUUGAUUCUGUAGAAGAGGUAUGAUCUGCAGGGGCCAGGGGGGUCUGGUUUUAUAGUCCCUUCAAAUGAAUCUGGGCCGUCGGAUCAAACCGACAUUGAUCGUGUGGUUUUCCUUGAAGUAUUAGGUCGGUGGAGCAUGAUCCCCGAACUUCACCCUGAUUGGUGGAAAGAGGUGGGCGGGCGCCCUCAGGAUUAGGGCGGGCGCCCUGUCCCUGAGGCCUCUCGGCUUCCGCUUCGGUCCCGUGGCUUCUGGAGUCUUCUAGAUGAUAGAAAAUUGCGCGGCACGUUAAUAUCUCUAUGUAAACCCGACGUGUGGGCCUUUCUUCCGUAUUUUCUGAUAACCCCCUGCAGAAAUAGACAAACACCAAAACUUGUGGAAUUCUGUCAGAUAAAACCCUAAGUCUAGGUGUUGGUUGCAUUUGGAUCCUUUUCUAUGAUUAUUUGAUGGUUAAAUGUGAGCAUUAAGGACCGACAACAGUAUCGGAGAGUCGCCACUCUCCACUAGUCCUCGUUGGAGCACCCGCGCAAGGGUCUUGCUCCCCCUUGGUCCGAGCAAGGACCAAGUGCUCUCUACGGGCUGAUUCUUCGACACUCCGUCGCGGUGAAUCGCCCAAAACCGCUCACAAGCUUGACACGAGCCACCCACAAGAACUCUGGUGGUCUUCGUGACUCCAAUCACCACCGAACCAUCUAGGUUAUGGCGAUCACCAAGAGUAACAAGCAAAGAACUCUCACUUGACCCAAACAAGGCUCUAGAGAGUGAUGGAUGCACACUUGACUCUUGGAACUCACUAGGGGAGGAUUCUUUCACAAAAUCACUCAAAUCUCAAUCCUCUCUAGGCUCUUGCAACUCUCUUGCUCCACAACAAGGUUCUCUGAUGUUCAAAUGGGCAAGAGAGCUCUCAUGGACGAGAUGGAGGAGUAUAAAUACUAUCCACAAAGUCCAAAGGCCGGCCAACCGUUUUCCACUAAAAAAGGGGUCACCGGACGCACAUUAUGUUGCACCGGACGCACUGCACCGAGCGUCCGGUGUAACAUAACGGCUAACUGUACUUCUCUCUGACAGGUCACCGGACGCUAACUCCCAGCGUCCGGUGCACCGUCUGGUGCUCGGGGAAACUUUACAUACUCCCUGCGCAUGGGACCGGACGCUACCCGGUGCGUCCGGUGCUAGCGUCCGGUGCUCAGGGGAACUUUGCAAGCUCCCUGGGUUAGGGACCGGACGCUACCCGGUGCGUCCGGUGCUAGCGUCCGGUGCCUAACCCUAAGCACCAGCCUGUUCUAACGGCUAAGGACCUCACCGGACGCACUCACAGAGCAUCCGGUGCAGCGUCCGGUGCCCCUUUGGGCACCCAAACUUCGUCGAAACGCGAUCGCUCCAAAACGAAGUAGGUUCCUCUCGAUCUAAGGACUGUCUCUGAGCUGCCUAGUGCUAGGUUCACCAAGUGUGCACCACACCUAAACCUAAAGCCUUGCCUAAGUCAAGCUACUAGAUCAAAGCCCCUAUUAAUAUUACGGUCAAAGGAAAACAAAGUCCUAAACUACUCUAAGUGCCCUUCUUCACCAUAUGGCACUUAGACCUAGUCUAGUCUCGACAAUGUCCUUCCAUCCUUUGAAAACCGAAACGAUUUCCACUAUUAAGUUGCCAUGUACGUCCCUGUCCAUCGAGUACCUAUUUACCAUGACCUUACCUAUGACUUUGCCUCUGCAAAACACACGUUAGUCAAAGUAAUCAACAAUGUCAUUAAUCACCGAAAUCACUAAGGGCCUAGAUGCUCUUUCAUCGGCGUGUUCUCAAGUUCCGUGUGAAUACCUCUUGGCCGUGGCAUCCGGGCGCGUUGCUGUUGUUAGGACCAAAGUAUUUGAGUUACCACCUUUGCCGAUAGUAAGGUCAAAUCGGCUGGCACGCCUUAACGUUUAAAUCGGGUAUUAGCCCUUUGUGUUUGCAGAUCAGCUUUUGCACCAACACAUCUUUUGGCACGCCCAGUGGUACCGAUUCAAGAUCAAGAUCAAUAUGUCGACUUCUGAGUUAGAUCAGGAGAACGUUAUCCCCGUGACGGAAGCCAAUCACAAGGAUGAGCAGAAGCAAGCUAUUGCUAAGGCCAUGGAGGAUUACAAGCAGCAAUGCUUGAGGUCCUUCAGCAUGAACAGGAGCGGUGAGGUAAUCCAGAAGGAUGCAUUGCCGGCACCGCGACAGGUCACUUUUGAAGCUAAUCCUGGCAAGCUCCAAGAGAUGGUUGACAGCGCUAUCAACCGUGCUUUGAUCAACCAAGCUGGCGUACUGUCUAAUACGGUUUUCAAUGCCAUGGCAAAAACUUUCAAGGAAGGACAAUUGCCACUAGAUUAUGUGGGCCCUACUUAUCAUCAGCCAGGAUCACCGGUGGUCACAGCUCCAUCGGCUGCUGCGGCCGCUGCGGGUUCACAAACUAUCAUUCCUCCAAGUACGUUGGGAGUCACGAAUGCACAAUCUACACCGAUGACGACCAAUCCACUGGCUUCAGAUGGGCAGAUUAAACUCACUACAGAUCUGUUGGCAUCGGCAAUGACAGGACUAACUCCUCCUCCCAACUUGUGGGGUUAUGGCAUGCCUCUAGAGUUAACGCCGGGUACAUCGCAGACGACUGAUAUGAGAGGCAAGACUCUUAUGGCAUCGGCACCUCCCAAUAUGCCGAUGAACCAGAGUUCCCAGUAUACUACAACUACUACUGCAAGACCUUACACUGGGAAUUCUCAAACGCCAGCAUUCCAGAUGCCCAACGCAUCGGCAGACUCAAUGCUAAUGCAACAAAGGUCUAUGGCUCAAUCAAGGUAUGUCAAUUCAAUGAUGAUACCCAAUUACGAGACAUCGGCAGGGCCUAUGCCGAUGAACGCUAAUAAUGGAUGGCUUGGUCAGCAAGUCUUUCCGCAAAUGCCCCAACAGAGUCACCAGGCUACAGGGUUCCAGCAAGGACAGAUCUAUCCCGGGUUCCAGAAUCAGGGAAUCCCUAACCAGCCAAUGAAUCUCGGGCAGCAGGCCGACGGACAGCAGAUUGGCGGGCAACAGCUUGGUGGUCCACAGGUUGGAGGCCAGAUGAUCAACCCAAUGUUCUGUGCAGAUCGUGCACCGAACAGACACGUGGAGGCUUACCAGCAGGUGCCGGAUCCACAACCUCCUCAUCGGCCAGAUGCCGAUGCUUAUUGGGUUGAUAAGAUUGCUGAAGUAAUGAGGGACCAAUUUGGGAUAAAACCCAAAGUCAAUACUUACUCUUAUCGGACACCGUAUCCUCCCGCAUAUGAUUUGAUCCCGCUUCCGCAUCGGUACAAGGUAUCGGAUUUUACUAAGUUUUUUGGACAGGAUGACACGUCGACUAUGGAGCACGUCAACAGGUUCAUCAUUCAGUGUGGAGAAGCUGGUAAUAGGGACGAGUUGAGGGUUCAUCUAUUUUCAUCAUCGUUGUCUGGAUCGGCUUUUACUUGGUUCAUAUCACUACCCCCCAACUCAGUGAUUACAUGGGCCAAUCUGGAAAAACAAUUCCACAAAUACUUCUUUUCUGGGGUCCAUGAGAAGAAGAUCACCGAUUUGGUCAAAUUAAGGCAGCGUAAUGAUGAAUCGGUGGAGAGUUUUGUACAGAGGAUACGGGAAGUCAAGAACAAGUGCUAUAGUCUGGUUCUGGACGAUCGGCAGCUAGCUGAUUUGGCUUUCCAGGGUUUUUUGCCACACAUCAGGGACAAAUAUGCAUCUCUGGAGUUUGAAAGCUUAAGUCAUCUGGUGCAGAGGAUUUCUGAUCAAGAUAUCAAGCCUUUUGAGCCCAAGAGAGCAUGGAACAAAAAGGUAUCGUUUGUUAAUGAAGCAACAAGCUCAGAUUCUGAUGAGGAACCAGUCAUCGGCUUGGCAGAGUGGUUGAAAAAUAAGAAGCCGCUGUCUUGUCCUUUUGGGCAGAAGGAACCAGAGAAGUUCGCGUUUGACACCGCUAAGGCCGAUAGGAUUUUUGACUUUCUACUUCAGGAAGGUCAGAUUAAGCUGUCCCCUAAUCAUGUGAUCCCAUCGGCUGAGGAGUUGAAGAGGAUGAAAUACUGCAAGUGGCACAACACAACUUCGCAUGACACUAAUGAAUGCAAGGUUUUCAGACAGCAGCUGCAAUCGGCUAUAGAGUCUGGAAGAAUCAAAUUUGACAGUUCCAAGACCCAGAAGCCAAUGAAGAUUGAUCAACAUCCUUUCCCAACGAACAUGUUGGAUGCUAAGGGAAAGGCCAAGGUCCGGACAUCGGAAGCAGCUGAAAGAAGUGCAUCGGUGGAUCCUCAGCAUCAGGUCACUACUGCCGAUGCCAAAGGAAGAGGCUUAGUCCAGGAAGGAACUAGCUCGGGAAGGCAACCCGAUCUGGUAUUGUGAUAACUCACAGAAGGCCUCGAGAAACUUGGCAACAACGUGAAGACCGAUAUAGGUGCCAGCAGGAGGAUUAUCGUCGGGAAGAGGAAAGACGCCGAGAGGAGUGGAAUCGGCAUAGGGAUCACUGGAAUUGCCCGUUCUUCAUCCAUUGUUGGGAGGAGAAUAUCAAGCUUCCCACUAUCAGAGAUUGCCCUGAGUGCAACGGUUAUGAUCGGUACGACAGAUCCGAUCGGUACUAUCGUGAUAAUAAUCGGCGUUUCAACGGGCCAAUUAGUGGGAGAGCGUCGGUUCACGAUCGGCUGGGGGCAGGCUCAGUGUGCACGACAGGCUUGGCGAUCGUGUGGGAUAUUUUCCCAGGAACCAGGAAGAACUCGAAGAGAUGGCUAAUGCUCGGGUUUCCAAUGAGUUCAUAUUUUGUAGGGAUGCCAAUACUUAUCGGGUAGAGCCAAGGGAGAAUCAUCGCCCAUCGGUAAGGCAGCAGCAACUUCCUGCCUGGUGUCCGGAGGGAUUGACCAGGACUCAGAAGAGAAGAUUGCAGCGUGAAAGGCGAGAGGAAUUGAGCAAAGGGGAGAACUCUGGACAGUCUGGGGAUCAGCAGCAGUCAGGUCCAAAAGGGGAAGGUCCAUCGGCAUACGUUAACAUGGUCUUUAUGUUGCCGAUGGAGUUUCUUGCGCCGUCUAGUGAUGAUGAGCUGGAAUUCUCCGACCAAAUAGCUCAAUUGGCUCUGGAUCCUAUGACAGCUAUCUUCGAGCAGCCUACUGAUGAUGAAAGACAACAUCUCAAGGCACUGUUUGUCAAAGGAAGGGUUGACGGGCAGCCGAUGACUAAGAUCCUAAUUAAUGGAGGAGCUGCUAUCAACAUCAUGCCAUAUGUAGUGUAUCAAAAGCUUGGAAAAGGGGAUCAAGAUUUAACCAAGACCGAUAUGAUGCUUAAAGACUUUGAAGGGAAUGUGUCUCCGGUCAAGGGGGCAAUAUGUGUGGAGUUGACCAUCGGCAGCAAGACCUUGCCGACAACCUUCUUCGUGAUCAGUGGAAAGGGUGCUUACAACUUGUUGUUGGGAAGAGACUGGAUUCAUGCUAAUUGUUGUAUCCCAUCUACAAUGCACCAAUGCUUGGUUCAAUGGGUAGGUGACAAAAUUGAGAUUGUCCCGGGAGAUUCUUCUUAUGUUAUUGCAUCGGCAGAGGCGGACACCUAUGAGAGGACUAGGUGUAUUUUAGGAGAAGUUUGGGAGAAAGAUUUUCUCAAGGUUGCCGAUUACGAGAUUCGACCAAUCCAAGCAGUCGGUUCUAACGAAGGUUUUUAAUGGAUAGGUUCGCCGAUGAUGGGAAAUUAGGCCAGGGAUUCACAUCGGCCGAUGAUCUAGUAGAAGUAGAUAUAGGUAGUGGUGAUAAGCCUAGACCCACUUUUAUUAGUGCUAAGUUAGAUUCUGAGUGUAAGCAACAGUUAACUGAUUUGUUAAAGGAAUAUAAAGAUUGUUUUGCUUGGGAUUAUACUGAGAUGCCUGGUUUGGACCGAUCAAUUGUCAAACAUCGGUUACCUAUCAAGUCUGGAUUUCGGCCACAUCAGCAGCCAGCUCGCCAAUGUAAUCCUAAUAUCCUAUCUGAUAUUAAGGCCGAAAUCACCAAACUUAUUGAAGCUAAGUUUAUUCGGCAGUGUCGGUAUGCCGAAUGGAUUUCCAAUGUUGUUCCAGUUUACAAGAAGAACGGGAAGCUUCGGGUAUGCAUUGAUUUCAGAAAUCUCAAUAAAGCUACGCCGAUGGAUGGAUACCCAAUGCCUGUUGCCGAUUUGCUGGUUGACGCCGCGGCUGGGCAUCGGAUCAUUAGCUUUAUGGAUGGCAAUGCAGGAGACAAUCAAAUAUUCAUGGCAGAAGAGGAUAUUCCAAAGACUGCAUUUAGAUGUCCUGGUCAUGUCGGGUUGUUUGAAUGGAUAGUCAUGACCUUUGGCCUGAAGAAUGCUGGUGCUACAUAUCAAAGAGCCAUGAAUUUUAUUUUUCAUGAGUUCAUCGGCAAGCUGGUGGAGAUUUAUAUUGAUGAUGUGGUGGUUAAGUCUGGAGACUUCACAAAGCAUCUUGCUGAUUUACGAAAGGUAUUGGAAUCCACGAGGAAGCACGGUUUGAAAAUGAAUCCCAAUAAGUGUGCAUUUGGUGUAUCGGCAGGGCAAUUUCUCGGUUUCAUGGUGCACCAGAGGGGGAUUGAAAUCAGUCGAAGAUCUAUUGAUGCUAUCAAUAAGAUAGUGGCCCCUACCAACAAGACUAAGCUCCAGUCCUUGAUCAGCAAAGUAAAUUUUAUCAGAAGGUUUAUAUCUAAUUUGUCUGGUAAAAUUCGUGCUUUCAGUCCUCUUAUUAAGUUAAAGGCCGAUCAAGAGUUUGUUUGGGGGAAGGAACAGCAGUUGGCUUUGGAUGAAAUCAAGAAUUAUUUAGUGAAUCCUCCAGUUCUGAUUCCACCUCAGCAAGGGAAGCCCUUCAGGUUGUAUUUGUCUACCGAUGGGAUGGUCAUCGGCUCAGCUUUAAUUCAAGAAUUUGAAGGGAAGGAGCGUGUAAUUUAUUACUUAAGUAGGAGGUUGAUCGAUGCUGAGACCAGGUAUUCGGCUAUUGAGAAACUAUGCCUAUGCUUAUAUUUCUCUUGUAUCAAGUUAAGGCAUUAUUUGUUAUCGGCCGAAUGCAUCGUUAUUUGCAAAGAUGAUGUGGUCCGGUACAUGCUGUCCAUGCCGAUUAUGAGCGGCAGGAUCGGUAAAUGGAUUUUGGCGCUAUCGGAGUUCGAUCUGCGUUAUGAAUCGGCUAAGGCAGUUAAGGGACAGAUUAUGGCCGAUUUUGUAACUCAGCAUUGCGGUACAGUGGAGACUUUGGAAAUUGUGCCUUGGACGCUUUUCUUUGAUGGAUCUACAUGUGACCGGGGGGCAGGAAUCAGCAUAGUACUAGUUUCCCCUCGGGGAAGGAAAUAUGAGUUUUUCUUGCUGAUUGUUGCCACGUCAACAAAUAAUCAGGCUGAGUAUCAAGCUUUAAUAAAGGGAUUAGAGUUGUUGAGAGAAGUUCAUGCUGAUGCUGUUGAGGUCUUCGGAGAUUCUAUGCUAGUUAUAAAUCAACUGGCUGGGAGCUAUGACUGCCGAAAGUGAAGUUCUCAUAACUUAUUACGAGAGAAGUAUGCAACUGUGUUGACGGUCCUUAAUGCUCACAUUUAACCAUCAACUAAUCAUAGAAAAAGAUCCAAAUACAACCAACAACUAGACUUAGGGUUUUAUCUGACAGAAUUCCGCAAGUAUAGGUGUUUGUCUAUUUCUGCAGGGGGUUAUCUGGAAAUACGGAAGAAAGGCCCACACGUCGGGUUUACAUAGAGAUAUUAACGUGCCGCGCAAUUUUCUAUCAUCUAGAAGACUCCAGAAGCCACGGGAACAAAGCGGAAGACAAGAGGCCUCAGGGACAGGGCGCCCGCCCUAGUCCUGAGGGCGCCCGCCCACCUGUUCUGCCCAAUCAGGGUACAACUCGGGGAUCAUGCUCCACCGACCUAAUACUUCAAGGAAAACCACACGAUCAAUGUCGAUUUGAUCUGACGGCCCAGAUUCACUUGAAGGGACUAUAAAACCAGACCCCCCUGGCCCCUGGAGAUCAUACCUCCUCUACAGAAUCAAAGCUAGGGUUUCAAUUCUUCAUCCAAGUAGAGAGGAUCCCUCUAGUUCUUCUAGUUCUACCUCUAGUUCAUCUAGAUCUAGUUCUAGUUCAUCUAGUUCUAGUUCUAGUUCCUCUAGUUCUAGUUCUAGUUAGUUCUAGUUGCAAUCUAGAAAAUAGGGAGAGAGAAGAGGAGAGCGGAGAAGGAGGAGCCGGAUCUGUCGGAUCUUCCUCAACAUUGUACUUUUGCAGCAACUGGUUCGUUCUUCAUCGUUCUCCAGGUUCUUCAAUUCAUAACUCCUGAGUUCUCUAAUUACUUUUAUUUACAUUCAAGUUAUUUAUUGGAUUCCUGCUUGCAUCAAGUGCUCUAAUCUUUCAAACAUUAGAGUAGUAAUUAAUAGAUUAGACGUGGUGUUUAGUCUUGCAAUUACCUGGAAUUGCACCCAAUCCUGCGGAUUGUUGUGGUAGCCCUAGGGUAGUGACAGCCCUAUCGGUCGAUGUAUUCCACCUCGUUCGGAUCGGUGUUUGUAGGACCGUAGUCGGAGCUUCCUAGCCCCCUUCUCAUCUCUUUCUGUGGUUAGUGUUCUGAUGUCCCGAUAUAGAUAAUCUUGAAGUAAUUCUUGAUUCUUAGAUCAACUAGAGAACUCUCAGGAAACUUCCUCUCUUCCCACCAAAAAUACUUAUCUAGUUAUCCUUGGGCGAUCUUGGAUCUUAAUUAGUACACUCAUGUUCCCUGUGGAAAAUCGAUACUCUGGAAUACUCCCGGGUGAAGGCUACAUCGGUAUCCGUGCGCUUGCGGAUUUUUCUGUUUGAGUUUAAAAUACCCAACAAGCUUUCUGGCGCCGUUGCCGGGGAACGGUAGCUGUGCUAGUUUCGAACCAAGUCGUCCGCGUAUCCUUUUUCUUUUCCUUUUUUACCACACUCACCUUACCAUUUUCACCACACCACAUGGAUUUCACUCUAAGCAUUAAUGAGCAUGGAAUUUAUUUCAUAGCCACUUCAUUUGCUCCAUGCUCAUAUGCAACAUCUUACCAAUCCAUUGGUCUCUCCAACAACACCACAUUCGAGAUCUCCAACCCCCUCAUCCUUUCUAUUUAUAAAAACUUUAAAAGGGUGGUUGUCGAUGCAUAUGUCUAUAUUAAAUAUUGCAGAUCUCGUUGAGUUGAUCUUGAUAUAGGUCAGCGUUGGAGGGGAAAGCACUUCACUGACAUAAAUUAAUGGUUUCCCAAGGACAAGCUUAAUGUCCUAAAACAAGCACUGAUCACAUUGUAACAUGAGCUUUUAAUUAUUUGCAAUAUUACCUUGUGAAUUGAGCAUAUAAAGAUAAUUGUAAAAAAAUUCCUUCGGGUAUUCUUGUCACUAACCUUUCUAAGAUUGGAGCAAGAAGAUUGGAUGAAUGACAAGCACAAGGUAUGUCCAACCAAUCAUCAUACAACAUUGAAUUAAAUUCAUCCAAACUUGAAUUUUGCAAAAUUCAAGCUUGGGGGAGUACUUUACAUAAAAUCAUAAUUUGCCAUGUUGCUAUGUUGGUUGGCCCUACCUUUGAGACAUGCUCAAUUUGUUAAAUACUAAUCACACUACUUCAUCUCCACUUGAGUAAAUCUCAAUAAAUGCUUUCAUGCUACCUUUAUUUGCUUUAGUAUAUGUCUAGGUUUGGAGUAGUUUCAUUUAUCUCUUAUUUAAGCAUGGUGCUUAGUUUAGGAAUGAUGAUCUUACUUCCAAAGGAUUUUAAAUUAAGCAUGAUGCUUAGGUUAAAAUUCCCUCCUAAAUCAAAUUAGACAUGGUGUCUAGGUUGAUCUUUGAGCCGAUAGUAUGCUAUAGUAGAUAUUGGAUAUUUUGUUGGACUAACCCCUGCAGGAAAACUUUCAAUAUCGACCUGGGAAGUCCUGAGACAAACUCACAUUGGAGACAAAGAGAGAGGCACAUGAAGUUUAACAAUUUACACAGGAAGGCAUAGCUCACAAGAGAUGAUCCAUGGAGGGUGCCACAAACAUGAUGCACAACCACUAAGAAAGGAAAGCUUCCACAAGGUGAUACUGUACCAUCACUCUUCAAGUAAGGUAACAUCUUAAGGUACUGGACUAUCACUUCUAUAAGCUUCUCCUUAUUUCUAGCAUUCACAUGAGUAAAAGAGACAAACAUGUAAGAUUUACAACUCUAGAUUAACCAACCCAAUCGAUUCAACAUGUUUAGUCCUUCCACCUUUGUGAUCUCACACUCCUAAUCAUAUGAACUAAAGUGUUGCACAUUCAAUCUUUGGAAGAUAUAAACAAAACAUAAAUAUAGAUAGAUUAUCUUUCCAUUAGGUUGAGUCAUCUGAUCUGACAAAUGUUUUAAAUGCUACACUCAUGGUCUUAUUAUCUAUCAACUUUGUCUUGCUCACUAUGCUUGAGGUUAGAGAAGAACAAAUACACUUUAGGUUCUGUUGGUGUUUUCCACCAACAGGGCCCAUGCACUUGAUCUCUGCCUUGUCUAUGAGCAGGUACACUUCGAGUAAAAUAUGAAGGAUUUUUACAAGUCCCAGACUCCACCAAGUGAAGAACCUAGAUCUACGAGCACAAACACACUGGAGAUACUGGACACUCAGGCAAUCACUGCCCUGAGAUGCUUGAGGACGUAACUACUGGAGUAACCCUGUUGUGGAAGUAAUUACGGACCUUCUGCCGGUCAAGAGAGACAAUCUAGGACGCCCCGUCAUCCCGAUCUCCAUCGACAUGGUGGACUUCCUAGAAGCACUCUAUGACUUUGGCUCCAGUGUCAACAUUAUGCUCAGGCUUGCAGAUCGUACGCUAAGUUUCCCAAAGGGAAUAAUGAAGAACCUCUGCGUCUGUGUUGGUACCUUGUACGCCCUAGCAGACUUCGUGGUGAUAGAAACUGGUACUGAUGAGAGGGCACCCAUCAUCUAGGGAGGCCAUUCCUGAACACCUCGGGAGCUGACAUCUACGCUAGUGCUGCCAAGAUCAGUUUCUACAUCAAGGGGAAGAAGGAGACGUUUUCCUUCAAGAACAAGACUACACAAAUCCCAGAGCAAUCCCGACAUGAACCAAGGAAGAGGACCAACAGGAGGAACAGGAACAAGCAAAUGUGUACCGAGUCAGCUAAGAUGGUCACUGCAGCUCAAGGAGGUCAAGAUCGUCAACUCAAGUCACCUUUCUUGAUCAAGAAGGACGACCCUGGUGUUCCAAGCAUCGAGUGCACAAUCAACAGAUAUUCUUUUCAGAAGACACUCUACGACACCGGAUCUAACGUCAACAUAAUGGCCGCAGUCACUUAUCAGCUCUUGCAUGGAACCAUGUCCCUACAACCAACAUACAUUCAGCUUCAGAUAGCAGAUCAGACAUUCCGAAAGGUUGAAGAUUUUUAGGUUAUUGACAUGGGAGAAGACGAGUACGAUCCACCCAUCAUCCUUGGAAGACCGUUCCUCAGCACCGUUAAAGCAAUCAUCUACAUUGGAAUCGGAGAAGUCCACAUGCACUUCCCCUCUGAGAAGGUACGCUGCUAUUUUACUGACCUUAACUAUAUAGUUAAAGACUCUAAGCAGGUCAGGACAAGAAGAAGACGAUGCAACCGCAACCAGAUAAGGCAAGUCAUCAAGGACGGAUGGGCGGACUACGAAGGAGAAGUGGUAAUGUCUGAAGACAUACAGCUUGAACAGAACUGUCCUGAGGAGACCGUAGCACCGAGUUAGGUGUGGAGAAAGAAGAUAGUUAUACAUGAAGAGGAGGCACCGCCGGAACCACCGACUACGUCAUCCAGUGAAUCCCAGGACGACUGAGAAAACGGAGAGUCCCGUUCGGAGGACUUAAAAGCACCGAACGCCUUGCCAAGAGGUAAACUUGGUAGUUAUCUUUUUCCUUUCAAUUAUUUUAAAAUAGUUUGCUUAGUUAAUCAGGUUCACAUCUUCUUAAAAAGAAAAUAAAAAUGUUUAAAAUAGUAAGCCCCAUGUGAGUAUGCUCAUGGCAUAAAACCCAUAAGUACAUUCACUGUGGUGGCAUAUAAAAAAAUGAAAUAAAUAUAUUCCUAUCCUAUAAAAAUAAAAUUAUAAAAAUAAAUUUAUGAUCCUACUAAAGAGAGUAACAUUUAUUGAGGAGGCUCAACAUGAUAAAGGCUAGAUACUUAUGCUAACACUUAACCAGUUCCACAAAGCUUUGUUGUCUAUUUGAGCUCCACAGAAUUCAAGGAUCAAAGAAGACUAGCUGACGGAGGACAUCCUAAUCACUGUCAGGGUGCUGCUGACAUUCAAAUACACCUCCGCCACUUGCUAGCUACAUCAGAAGAGAUUACGUCGAAAUCCAGCUUGGGGGAGAGCACCUCCAUUUAUCCAGCUAAGUAUUCUACUCACGUUUAUACUUUACUUAAAUAAUAAAAAAAUGCAUAAUCAUAAAAACCCAAAUAAAUAUUUUGUGCUUACAUAUAUCUUUGCUUAGUUUGCUAAAUAAAUAAAGUUUGCUAUGAACCCUCAUAAUAAGCUCUCACAUGGAAAUGAUGAAUAGUUGCUCUGCCAUGACUAGUUCUCAAAAUUGAAAUCUCUCUCAAGUUUAGGCCUAACUGUUAUUAAUUAAGAUUUGCUCUAAACCUGAACUUGUGGGAAGAGUACUUGAUCUGAAGUCUAAGUCGUUAACGGAGAUGAUAUGGGAUGGUUGAGCUGCUGUUUAUCUGUUCCUAGAGAUGCUAGAAUUCUAGAGAAUUUUAUCUUUUAAAAUCUUUAAAAUAUUGCAUGAUGAGUUCCUGUAUGAUGAGAGUUUAAAAUCCUACCACAGCCAUAUAUACAUGCUUCCUAGACUAUGAACCACACAUGUACUUUACUACUUAUGAGCAUUGAGUGUGGUCAAGCUGUGUAGACCCUUAGGAGCUUGUCAUGUGGUUAAAUCAAGAUUCACUUGCACGUUCACUCACACAUGCUACUUCUACUCCAGAAGUACCAUCCACAUAUAUCCAUUUUCAUCUCCAGAACCACGCAAAAAUAUUCUACUCCUAAUCCGGGAGAGAAUAGCCAAAAAUAUUUCUGUUUUUUCCCUGUGAAAUAAAUGCUCAAGUUAUCUUGUUACUACCACUUGCUAUAUUAUUUCACGAGAUGAGUGUUCUAAAAAAAGAAAAAAAAAAGAGAAAAAAAAAUAAAUACGAGGAAAUAAAAAGGGGCAAGUGCCCGGAACCUCGAAAGAAAAGAAAAAAAAAGAAGUGAGACGAGAGGUAAAAAUAGACAAGUGUCCGACAGUAGAAUUAGGGGUACAAGAUACCCACCUGAGAGAAAAGAAAAAUAAAAUAUAGAGCAUCUCAUUCUCUCCAAAAGUUUCAAAAGAGCAAGAAAGGUUUGUAUCCUCUCAAAAGAGCAAAAGUAGAAUUAGACUUUCACCAUUGUUAUCACCAUCAUCACCAUACACCAUUCAUUCGCCACACAUGCACAUCUUGAUUUGACUUAUUGACUUGUUACUCUGGAUCCAUGGUUUGACUAUGCAAUAAAUGUCUUGUAAGUAUGUAUUAGCUGUCUCCCACCUAUGAGCUCCAGAUAUCAAAAGCCUUAUUAGAGUAGGGUGAGAGAGAAGGCAAUGUCACUAUGCCUCAUACCAAAAAUGCCACAUACUUUGAGAGAAGGCAUACACCUUUACUGCCUUGGUAAGGAUCCAGAAAUACCACAAAAGAGAGAUCUGAGAGAGUCAUACAAGGAAUCUCUGAGUUUUAUUUGAAAAUCUGCAAAAACUCUAGAGCUAUAGUUAAUCGAAGAACAAGAGACAUGGUGCUUGACUAGACUGUUCUAUCUUUUAACUACUCAAGACAGAAGUGACGGUUACAAGUCCCAUGGUGAAAGGUAAAUGAGUAAGUUUUAAGUCUUAACAGUUUACUCUAACCAGAGAUGAGAUCUUGUUUAAACGCAUGUGUAUCUUUAAGUUAUGAAACCACUGCAGAAACUCUUGAGUUCAUCUUUGCUCAGGGACGAGCAAAGGUUAAGCUUGGGGCAGCUUGUUGACGGUCCUUAAUGCUCACAUUUAACCAUCAACUAAUUAUAGAAAAAGAUCCAAAUGCAACCAACACCUAGACUUAGGGUUUUAUCUGACAGAAUUCCACAAGUUUUGGUGUUUGUAUAUUUCUGGAGGGGGUUAUCAGGAAAUACGGAAGAAAGGCCCACACGUCGGGUUUACAUAGAGAUAUUAACGUGCCGCGCAAUUUUCUAUCAUCUAGAAGACUCCAGAAGCCACGGGAACAAAGCGGAAGACAAGAGGCCUCAGGGACAGGGCGCCCGCCCUAGUCCUGAGGGCGCCCGCCCACCUGGUCUGCCCAAUCAGGGUACAACUCGAGGAUCAUGCUCCACCGACCUAAUACUUCAAGGAAAACCACACGAUCAAUGUCGGUUUGAUCCGACGGCCCAGAUUCACUUGAAGGGACUAUAAAACCAGACCCCCCUGGCCCCUGGAGAUCAUACCUCUUCUACAGAAUCAAAGCUAGGGUUUCAAUUCUUCAUCCAAGUAGAGAGGAUCCCUCUAGUUCUUCUAGUUCUACCUCUAGUUCAUCUAGAUCUAGUUAUAGUUCAUAUAGUUCUAGUUCUAGUUCCUCUAGUUCUAGUUCUAGUUAGUUCUAGUUGUAAUCUAGAAAAUAGGGAGAGAGAAGAGGAGAGCGGAGGAGGAGGAGCCGGAUCUGUCGGAUCUUCCUCAACAUUGUACUUUUGCAGCAACUGGUUCGUUCUUCAUCGUUCUCCAGGUUCUUCAAUUCAUAACUCCUGAGUUCUCUAAUUACUUUUAUUUACAUUCAAGUUAUUUAUUGGAUUCCUGCUUGCAUCAAGUGCUCUAAUCUUUCAAACAUUAGAGUAGUAAUUAAUAGAUUAGACGUGGUGUUUAGUCUUGCAAUUACCUGGAAUUGCACCCAAUCCUGCGGAUUGUUGUGGUAGCCCUAGGGUAGUGACAGCCCUAUCGGUCGAUGUAUUCCACCUCGUUCGGAUCGGUGUUUGUAGGACCGUAGUCGGAGCUUCCUAGCCCCCUUCUCAUCUCUUUCUGUGGUUAGUGUUCUGAUGUCCUGAUAUAGAUAAUCUUGAAGUAAUUCUUGAUUCUUAGAUCAACUAGAGAACUCUCAGGAAACUUCCUCUCUUCCCACCAAAUAUACUUAUCUAGUUAUCCUUGGGCGAUCUUGGAUCUUAAUUAGUACACUCACAUUCCCUGUGGAAAAACGAUACUCUGGAAUACUCCCGAGUGAAGGCUACAUCGGUAUCCGUGCGCUUGCGGAUUUUUCUGUUUGCGUUUAAAAUACCCAACAAACUGUUAAUGGAAUUCAAAGACUUCCGAUUAGAGUAUGUUCCCCGAUUGCAUAAUGAAGAAACAAACUGGUUGGCUCAGCAUGCUUCGGGAUAUCAGCCUAUGAUCAAUACGAUGUCGACAAUUGGUGCCGAUGAUUGGAGAAAAGAAAUCGUUGAUUAUAUGAAAGAUCCAUCUAAGAAAGUUAAAAGACGAGUUCGGUUUCAAGCAACCAAGUAUGUGCUCCUCGAGGAUGAAUUGUAUUAUCGAACUAUUGAUGGAAUUCUUCUCCGAUGCUUAGGUGAUGAUGAGCCUAAGAGUUUGAUGGAAGAAAUCCAUGAAGGGGUAUGUGGAGCGCAUCAGUCGGCUUUCAAGAUGAAGUGGAUGAUUAGGAGGAAUGGAUAUUAUUGGCCGACUAUACUUGAAGAUUGCUUUAAAUAUUUCAAAGGGUGUCAAGGAUGUCAAAAGUUUGGUAAUAUUCAAAGGGCACCUGCAUCGGCUAUGAAUCCUAUUAUAAAGCCAUGGCUGUUCCGAGGAUGGGCUAUUGAUUUGAUCGGCCAGAUUUAUCCACCAUCUAACAAAGGGCAUAAGUUUAUUCUAGUUGCCACUGAUUAUUUCACUAAAUGGGUUGAAGCUAUUCCUUUUAAGAAAGUCACAUCGGCCAGUAUGAUUGAUUUUGUGAAGGAGCAUAUCAUUUACCGAUUUGGAAUUCCUCAAACAAUUACUACCGAUCAGGGUACUAUGUUUACAUCACGGGAGUUCGAUGAAUUCGCAAUCGGUAUGGGGAUUAAAGUAUUAAAUUCUUCUCCUUACUAUGCUCAAGCCAAUGGGCAGGCCGAGGCGUCUAACAAAGGAAUUAUUAAGCUUAUUAAACGGUAGAUUGAAGAAAAUCCUAGAAGGUGGCAUACAUUGUUAAAUGAGGCUUUAUGGUCAUACCGGAUGGCUUGUCAUGGAUCAACCAAGGUUUUCGCCUUAUCAGUUAGUGUAUGAACAUGAUGCAGUGUUGCCUUGGGAGAUUAAGGCUGGAUCUACGCGACUAUGUUUUCAAGACCAAUUGGCUGCCGAUGAUUAUGCUACUUUGAUGACAGACGAGUUGGAUGACUUAGCAGAGCAUCGGCUGAGGGCUUUGAUGAGUAUAGAAGAGAAUAAAAAGAGAGUUGCUAGAUGGUACGAUAAGAAGGUAAAGGCUAAGGAAUUUGCCGAUGGAGACUUAGUAUGGAAAUUAAUCUUACCGAUCGGGACUAAAAGUUCAAAAUUUGGAAAGUGGUCUCCCAAUUGGGAGGGUCCCUAUCGAAUAAGUCGAUCGGCUCCUGGUAAUGCCUAUAUUUUGGAAACUCUCGAAGGAGUCGAAUUUCCCAGAACAUUAAACGACAAAUAUCUAAAGAAGUACUACCCCAGUAUAUGGGUCGAUGCAUAGAGGUUUAAAUGUCGAUAACACUCCUAUCGGCUGGAUUAGAAUGUUUGGGGCAGGACUUAAUGUUUCGAAAGAUGCCGAUAACAGUCCUAUCGGCUAGACUAAACAUCAAGAAGGCUGGAGAGUAAGAGGAAGCAGGCGUGUUGCCGAUGAAAAGCUCACAUGUUUAGCAGUGCUUGGAUGGCCGAUAUGGCACGUAGGCGGAUCUGGUUGGCUUCUUCUAUCUCCUUGACAUCUUCAUCGGCAGAACCUUCUAUCGGCUUUAAUUUCUUCUUCAGCUACAGUGCUUUGCGACCGUGGGCAUUUCGCUCUUGUUCAAGGAGUUUGAUGGUCUCUGGCAGUUGAAUCUCUUCCUGUUGGGCUUGAGAUAGGGCAUCCUCCACUUGCUUGAGUUCUGCCAACAGGGCUUCUCGUUUUGCCGAUAGGUUGGAAAUCUUCUAUUUCAGUGCACUUCCUGAAGACUUCAAAGUACCGAUGGUCUUGUGCUUCUCAUCGGUCAGGAGCUUCUCUUUCAUCAUCUCCUCAGAAAGCCAGGUCUGAGCAGCUCUAUCGGCAAGGCGCCGGGUGGCCCUCUGGUACUGCAGCUGACGACUCUCCAGAUGUGUGGCCUGGAAGAGGAUUUCUUCGGCAUCGACUGGAAUCUGGCCUCUGAGGGCCUUGAACAGAACUUUGGUCGGGUCAGAGUCGUCGACCAGUUGAGCUGUGUCUUGAUGGAGGAGAGCUGAUAGUUCUUCUAACUUGGCCCUGAUCUCUGCCGAUGCGAUUCCGACUGCCGGGAAGAACUUGCUUCCUCACCUUCGUCUUCGGAAAUGUCAAUUGCAAAGGAGAAUAGGCUGUCGGGAGAAUCCUGCUCCUGAAAAGAGAGACAGAGUGAGUCAUUCUAUGAUCAAGAGCAUCGGCGAAAAAUAUUGAUGGAGAUUGGAUAGCUUACUUGCUUCAAGGCAAUCUCUCGCCUUUGACUGGAAGACGUCGAUGGGGCUACGGAUUGAUCGGCCAGAGUUGCCGAUGGAGCUACGUUAGCCAAAAAUUAAUAGAAGGGGUUAUAAGACCGAAAAGGAAUAGGUUCAUCGGUAGUAAUAAAAUGUGUUACCUUGAGGAAGGGCAGUUCUUGUCUGAAUGGAGGAGACCACUGAUGCUAUGAUGGAACCUGCUGGAUCGGCAGUUGGUUCAUGUACAUUAGCCGAUGUGUCUUCUGGCUGAGGUACCUCUUGUUGAGGUUCUUCCACCUAUGGUGCUUCUUGCAUUGGUGGGGGGAGAUGGUACUUGUUGCGUCUAGACUUCUGGAGAAGAAGGAGGAGGGGGAGUUGCUACUCUCUGGCGCUUUGCCUAUGCUCUGGUACCUUUGGCACCCUUUCUCUUUUGCUGGCUGGACUGGGGGGCAUCGGCACCUUUGCUUUUGGUCCUUGCCGAUGCGCUGGUUUGCAGAUGCAGAAAAGAAAACUGGUGAGUAUUAGUGUAGCGGGUGCAAAAGGAAGAUCGGUAUAAAUGAAAAGGGUUGGCAAUUACCUUGAAAGCCUGUGCCAGAGUGGAAGCAGCUACCGAUGGUGGUGUCUGAGUUCUCUUGGUGGUAACCUUCUUGAGGCGUAUACCUCGAUGAACGAUGGCAGCCAAGGUGGGAGCAUUGUGGCCGAUUGAAGAGAUUGGACCUGAUGCAAACAGAUCGAUCGGCUUGCCACUUCUACUGACCGAUGGAGGGGUGUCAUCGACCUGAAAAAUCACACAAAGAGUCAGUCACUGAUGGAAAUAGAAUUGAGAGGAUUGGAACAUCGGUCUAAAGAUACUUACAGUGUCAGUGGGAACUUCGUACUCAGGAUCGAUCAUGCCGCGAUACGAAAGAGCCGAUUUGCAGAAUAGGUGCUCCUUCCAUUCUGCCCACCAUUGCUUGUACGCCUGAGUGAUGAAGGCGGCUGGUACCCACUCUGACAGGUUUACAUCUGUAUCAGCACUUGAUGGCAGUUGGGCCACUCGGAUCCAUUCAAGAAGGUUAUUAAUGGUUUCUCUGGGCUUUAUCACAUUGGCAUAACAGAGUGCAAUCGGCAGCUGGCCAAAAGCUAAUUGACGAGCUAGUGCCGAUGGAUUAUAGAACUCAUAAGUCUGGGGAGAUGUUUUUCCACUACCAAAGAAGUUCACCGGUAUAGCUCUGGGAGUCACCAGUGCCAUCAGUACUUCGUUGUCCUUGUCAAGAGCUUCAUCAAAUGGGUUGAAAACCAGAGGAAACAUAGUAUCUGGGUCAUCAUAGGCCAACCACGCUCGCUCAUCUCUGGCCAAACCUUCGUACAAGGUCUGAAAGAAUCGGCUAAACUGGUCUGGAUUACUCCCUGUACUAGGCAAAACUAUGACAGCUUCACCAAAGUUCAAGGGAGGGCGUGUUGCCGAUUCUUCUUCACCCAACACAUGGUUCUCGGCUAUGUCCCUUGGAAAACGCUGAGCGAAAAGAUUGAACUCCAGACGCUUGUGCAUGUGGAGAUUGAGCCACAUGUUAAUGAACCACCAAGGGCCUCCCAAGUUACCGAUGGACUGGCCGAGUAAGAGUUUCCUGGUUACUUGGUGGAGGAGGUGAUAAGCUGCUCCAAGCAGGUAUCGGCUGAGGGGGAAUCGGCCACCAUUGGCCAGAUUUUCUGCUGCUGCUGGGUAGACGGAGGUUGGUCCUGCCGAUCGGCCGCAAAAUACGAAUUUGUCUAGCCACAUGUUCAGGAAGCAGGUUUCCUCUUUUGUGUUAACAGGGCCUGUCUUGCUGUAUUUUUGGAUAUACCCCGACCAGCCGCCGAUGGUGCGGGUUUCUACCUUAGCACUGGGUAUGGUAUCAAAGAAAUGGGUGCUAUCGGUAGAAGACACAUCCAGGCCAGUGAGAAUAGCUACAUCGGCAAGUGUAGGGGCAGCAGGACCAUGGCCGAAGACAAAGGCAUUGAGGGUGUCUAACCAGAAAUAAGAUGCAACUAUCAACAGUGAUUCGUUCCUAUGCAUAUCGGCAAUGGACAACCUAAUGCAUUGGUCUAGCUUUCUCUCGCCCCACUGGGCUUCAUUGGAGUUGCUAACCCUCAAGAACCAAUCCUUCCACCCCACGGUAGGGCUGAGCCAGGAACGGAAAGUAUCCUUCCACAGAUCCAAAGAAAAGUUCUCUGCUCUAAAAGGGAUCCUGUUGGUUUCUGCGUUUAUGAGGUCGGUUGGAUCUGGAUCCCCUAGCGGCCGAGGCAUUGGAGGUGUGGUUGAUCGGUGGGGAUGACAAUUUUAUUAGCCAAUUCCUAAUGGUUUUGGUGGAAGAAAACAAAAACACGAAGAAAAAGAAAGAAAAUGUUCAGUGAGAUGGAUCGCGGAUGAACAGAGGUGCGAGAAAAGUACAAGAGAUGGCGCGAAGGACUGACCUCAGGAACGAUGAAGUUAACGGCCAUUUUACCACGGAGAAGAUGUUUGAGAGCUUUGGAAUUGGUGAAGAAGGGGCUUCGACGAAGAUCUUGGAGCUUUUGGAUAGCGCCGCUGCCGGGAAAGUGAAGUUGGAGUUGUGGAAUGAUGUGAUGGAGGAGUACCCGAGAAGGAACUAUUUGUAGGACAAAACGGGCAAGGGCAAAUCUGACUUAUCUCUUUGCCGCAUCCGUGAAAUCCGAGGGUGCUCAGGUAGAUAUGGUAACUGUUCGCACGGUAAUCAAGGGAUUGUACAGGUGAUUUGACAAGAAGUGGUCAUUGUCCAGAGAUAUUUUACUGUGCAGGAUCUCCUGGUCGGUCCAUCGGCAGAGUCUUUGUAACGGUCAUAUUGCCGAUGAGCGAAUAAAGUGAAGAUAGCCGUUUGAUUAAGGUUGUCGGUUACCAGAUUAGGAGCAUUAAUUGCGGAAAAGGGCAUCAUUACUGCAGAGAAUUUCGGAGCAUUAAUGAUUUCAUACUCCAAAAUUGGGGGGCAUGUGUUGACGCUGUUUUUAGGCACGUGUCCAUGUUUUGUGAAGUAUAGGCCGGCAAGAUAAGACGGCGGUGUUUAAUCUGCAGGAUGAGUUGCCGAUGAGGAUGGUUGCCGAUGGAGGAGGGGUUGAACGUGACUGAGUCCAUAAGUGGUGAUGUGUCUUUGCCGAUGGCUACGACAGGGAAGUCUGCCGAUGACUAUGACAAGGAAGUCUGCCGAUGACUAUGACAAGGGAGUCUGCCGAUGAUAUGGAGGGAGAGUCUGGAAGCUGCCGGUCGGCUUGUGGAGGUUUUCCUGUUUGUCACGGGGGGAUAGUUUUAUGUUUUCCUUAGUUAUUUAAAUCGUUUUGUAUACGGAUUCUGUGUAAUUUGGAAUUCGAGUUCUAGUCGUGUCAGGUUGUAGCUCUUUGAGCAGGGUAUAAAUAUAAACUCUAGGGCCUUGUAAUGAGACAUCUAUCAAUCAAUCAAACACACAUUUUUACUCAUAUUUCAAGCAUCUAAUUUUUCGACGACUUCGUCAUACCUUUUUCUUUUCAUUACGAGUUCUUAGGAAUUCGUCGACUUAAGCUCGGCGUGUUCUCAAGUUCCACAUGAAUACCUCUUGGCCGUGGCAUCCGGGCGCAUCGCUGUUGUCAGGACCAAAGUAUUCGAGUUACCACCUUUGCCGAUAGUAAGGUCAAAUCGGCUGGCACGCCUUAACGUUUAAAUCGGGUAUUAGCCCUUUGUGUUUGCAGAUCAGCUUUUGCACCAACAAAUGUUAAGAAUACCCAACAGGAAGAGGUAUGGCUCAUCCCAUAUAUGUGAAUGACUUUCUUGCAUAAGCUUCUUCUUGUUCGCUCCUAGUGGUACAUACCCUGAAACCAUAAAAUUAAAAAUAUCUGCAUACCAGGGGUCAUACCUGUUAAUCCCGUAGAGCAUGUCGUCCCGGAGUGAAUCAUUGAUGGGGGUUUCCUGUGGAUUCUUAAAAUACAUUCUAGACAAGUGAUCAGCAACAAAAUUUUGUACUCCCUUUUUAUCUUUUAUUUCCAAGUCAAAUUCUUGAAGUAAUAAGAUCCAUCUAAUUAGGCAAGGUUUAAUAUCUUUUUUAGUGAGCAGAUAUUUUACUGUAGCAUGAUCAGUGCAAACAAUUAAUUUAGCUCCAACUAAAUAAGAUCUAAAUUUAUCAGUGGUUGCAUAAUUAAGUUGAGCUCCUGUCAAAGUUUUUCAGUGGUUGCAUAAUUAAGUUGAGCUCCUGUCAAAGUUUUACUGGCAUAAGCAAUUGCAUGAUGCUUCUUAUUUUUAGUUUGUCAUAAAACUGCCCGCACAGCAUAAUCACUAGCAUCACACAUAAUGUCAAAAGGCAACGAACAAUCAGGGGGUGAAUGAUUGGUGCAGAGAUGAGUGCAUUCUUUAAUAAAUUGAAAGAUGUAGCAUGCAUCAUCAAAUUCGAAAGGAGUAUCCUUGGCUAGCAAAAGAGCAAGUGGUCUAGCAAUAAAUGAAAAAUCUUUUAUGAAUCUGCGAUAAAAACCAGCAUGGCCAAGAAAGCUUCGAAUUCCUUUUAUAUUCACAGGUCGAGGUAGUUGUUCAAUUACUUCAAUUUUAGCUUUGUCUACCUCAAUUCCUCUUUCAGACACUAGGUGUCCCAGCACUAUUCCUUCCCUAACAAUAAAAUGACAUUUUUCCCAAUUAAGGACUAAGUGCUUUUCUUCACAUCUUUGCAAAACCUUGUCUAAGUUUUCAAGACAACUAUCAAAAGUUUUCCAUAAACAGAGAAAUCAUCAAUGAAAACUUCCAUAAUCUCUUCAAUCAUAUCAGAAAAUAUAGACAUCAUGCAUCUUUGAAAAGAAGCUGGUGCAUUACAUAACCCAAAAGACAUUCUAUGAUAAGCAUAAGUUCCAUAUGGGCAUGUAAAAGUGGUUUUGCUUUGAUCAUCAGGAUGGAUCGGGAUCUGGUGAUACCCUGAAUAUCCAUCUAAGAAACAGAAGAACGAAUGGUUUGCUAAUCGCUCUAGCAUCUCAUCUAUGAAAGCUAAAGGAAAAUGGUCCUUUUCAUGGCUUUGUUUAGUUUUCUAUAGUCUAUGCAAAUCCGCCACCCUGUGAUGGUGUGUUGCAGAAUUAGCUCGUUCUUUUCAUUCGUAACAACAGUCACGCCUCCCUUUUUAGGCAUAACUUGAACUGGGCUCACCCACUCACCGUGUAGCACAGGAUAUAUAAUCCCUCCAUGCAGCAACUUUAUAUCUUCCUUUUGAAAUACCUCUCUCAUCGCGUUGUUAAGUCUACGUUGGGGUUCUCGAGAAGGUGAAACAGAAGGAUCUGUCGGAAUACGAUGGGUACAAGUCAUAGGACUGAUUCCUCUAAGAUCUUGGAGUGAGUAGCCGAAAACUGAGUGAUGUUUCUCAAGAAUGGUCAUCAAUCGCAGAGUUUGUUCCUGAGUAAGUUUAUCACUAAUGAUCACAAGAAACUCUGGAUUAUUGUUUAGGAAAGCAUAGGUAAGACCGGGUGGUAAAGUUUUAAGCUCUAUGGGAGGUCUAGGUGUUUCUGCAAACUCAUCUAAGGGUUCAGGUUCAGAAGUUUCAGCUUCUUCCUCUAUGAAAAAAGGAGCUUCUUCUUCUAAGUCUGGUUCAUCAAAAAGAUCUAGAGAUGCGGGCUUUACCUCCUCCAUAGGAUCAGGGAAAAGAUAUGACUCGGUCUUAUUAUUUAGGGAGUGAGAAAUCGUUAUUGGAAAUUUAAAAGUUUUUCCAAAAGAAAUGUGUAGCUUUCCAGUAUGACCUUCAUAAACGAGUCUUCUAAAAGGUUGUCCUAUCAACAGGUCGAAGUCCCAUGUAUCAAAGAUAUAAAGGUUCAAAUGAACCACGGAGCCUUCUACCAUAAGAGGUAGGACAUUAACGAUUCCAAGACUGGGACUAAUCGUCGCGAAGAUUCCUUUAUGACCUGUAUUGUGGGGGUGAAGACCAAAUUUUUAAAUAAUUUAAGUGCAAAAGCUUCAUAUAUCAUGUUGAUCCCCACAACAGGAUUAUAGAGAGCAUCAAAUUGAUCAGAAUCAUAAGCAUAGCGUAUAGUUAUAGGAGGUGUGUCCAAACAGAUCACAUGAGAGGAAAGCUCCGAUUCCACCAACCAUUCGCUACUCAUGACUGCGAUAAGCUCUCUCAAUUGAUGUUCAGUUGGCAAACAAAUGCUAAAAUGGCCGUUUUGGGGUCUGUCUAUAGAAUGAUAGUUUGAAAUGUUUCCAAAAUCGGCAAAAAGAUCAGAUUCUAUAUCCAGCAUGAAAUCCGGUGGUGAAAUUUCUUCCUUUUGUGGUUCAGAACUUGGGAUAGCUAAAGUAGAUGGAGAAUUUGGCAGAGUGUCUACUUCGGCUUCGUGGGUUUCAUCAUGAUGGGUAUUAUCCAUCUCAGCUUCUAGGAUUCUAUCUAGGAUCACUCUAGCGUCAUCAGUAGGGAUGCGAAAGAAAGAACCACUAGACAUUGUAUGUAGCAUUUGUUUAUGAUCUUUCUGAAGACCUCGAAAAAAGUGAAAUAAAAGAACAAGGUCUUCAAGAUUAAGAUUUGGACCAGAUUCUAAAAGAUCAGAAAAACGUUUCCAGGAUUUUCCCAAAGCUUCAUUAUCUUUUUGUUUAAAAGAUAGGACUUUGAGUCUAAGGUCGCCAAUACGGUCGAGGGAAUAAAAAUCUAGGCAAAAGUUGGCUUGUAAAACUCCCCAUUGUCGAUGAAAGCUGGUCGGCAGUCUACCUUGGGGUGUACCCACGGUAGUAGUUUAUCGGUAGACGGUGCGCAAACUACGAACUCGAUGGUGACGCAAGACACGGACAAGCUUUUUAUCCAGGUUCGGCCGUCGAGUUGGCGUAAUACCUACGUCCUGCGUCUGGUUGUAUUGAUUUGUGUUGAGAGAAUAUGAUGCGAUGUGUGCUAGGGGGGUCCCUUGCCCCUCCUUAUAUAGUCUGGAGGGCAGGGUUACAGAUCUGGAAACUAAUCCUAGUCGGUUACAAUUGCCAUGGAUAAUUUGAUAUCAAUUCCUAUUCUAACCGACUAGAAUCCUGCUUGAUCUCCACAUCUUGUUUCCUUGCACAAAACUCCAGGUUGUCGGAUCAAGCCUUGAACUCGUCUCGUAAUGGACCAAGCCUCCUGGCCGAAGUCUAGCCGUAAGGGUAUAGGGGUUUAUACCCCCACAGCUAGUCCCCGAGCACCAUGUAUUGUGAUGUAACACGCCGUCUUGAGCUUCUUCGAUCAGUGUGGCUUGACGUCUUCAAUAAGCAGGAAAGUCGCCCGAACAGUUGCAACGGUAUUUUGACCAACUCAAAAGACAGUUGAUCAACAUUGACAUCGAAGAAGCAGGUUGUUCGAAGAAUGUAUGGUGCUCUAAAAAAAUUUCUUUCCUGGUGAAGUGUGCCCACUUUACCUUUUUAAAAGGUAUAAACAUCAAAAAAGCAAGCAAAUUCGCCGCUAGGUGAAGUGUGCCCACUUAGUCCCCGAGCCUGGUAGUAGGUGACGUAGGCACGUGGUGCCAGGGUCAAAAGAAAAUUCCCCAAAGUAGUUUUGAGACUGAGAUGCAUCGCUAGAUGCAUCGUACCGAUGUAGUCCCCGAGCUUGCUGGAAGGCGAAGUAUGAGCCUUGUAGCAAGGUCAAAAGUGAAUUUACCAGUCCCCGAGCAUGUCAUGCUCGUCUGCAAUUGAAGAGACCAAUCGACCAGUCCCCAAGCACUAAGUGUGCUCCUUGGAAUUAUAUGUUGCUAUACCAUACGACCAGUCCCCGAGCGUCGAGUGCUCGGUGGUCGGUGCAUGCUUUAAAGCUUUGAGCUGAUAGACUGGGCGACCAGUCCCCGAGCGUCGAGUGCUCGGUGGUCGGUGCAGUCCUUGAAGUUCCGAGCUGAUAGACUGGGCGACCAGUCCCCGAGCGUCGAGUGCUCGGUGGUCGGUGCAGUCCCCGGAUUGUUGACUCAAUGGCGUAUGUGUCUUCUUAUUUUUGAAAAACUCUUUCCAGUUAAAGUUGACGUGACGAGGCCUCCUGACGGGGUGUCAGACGGAUGCAUGAAAAGUUGCGCCUGACAACUGUACAGCCGCCCUUUGCAUGGUUUGAGAAAAGGAAACCAUCAAUUGGUACGAAAACUCCGCCGCAUUAAUUGUCUAUAAUCAUUGUAAACCGAAACGCCGCGUCCGCCGCAUGGCCUGCCCACUUCCCGAGAAUACAGGAAGUGGGAGAGGUGGAGUUGCGGGCUAUAAGAGCCUAAUAGUUCCGCCUGUACCGCUUACCCUGCCAUUGCCUUCAAACCUUCCGCUCUCAUCUCCUCCAAUCUCCUGCAUCUUCCUAACUCAAGCCCACAUUCGCACCUCUAAUGGCGAAGAGCGACUCUAGGAAGAGGGCCGAACUGAUGGCCAAGGAGUGGAAGAAGUCUCGCAGCACCACAAAAUCUCUUGGUGACCUCGUCGAUAUGGGGCUUCUGCACGGCCCGGAGCUCGGCGGCUGGAGGGCACCAGAGGGGGAGAGCUACCCCGACCCUCGCGCCGGUGAGAUCGUCGUAUUUGAAGAUUUCAUUAAGAGGGGUUUUGGUGUUCCUGUUCAUCCUUUUCUUCAAGGUCUUCUUUUGUAUUAUGAGAUCGGGAUUUGCAAUCUGCACCCGAACUCAAUUCUCCUCAUUUCUACCUUUAUCCACCUGUGCGAGGCCUAUGUUGGCAUAGAGCCGCACUUCGAUCUUUUUCGGUAUCUUUUCUGCUUGAGGAAGAAGGGAGCAGUUGGAGGCUCCAAGGUUGCAGGUGGAGUAUACCUCAACCUUCGUGAUGGAAUGAAGAAUCGCUACCUGCACUGCCCAUGGAACACUUCCUUGACCGAAUGGUACAGGAAGUGGUUCUACAUCAGGGAGGAACCGGGCAGCUCCACGUUCUGCGACGUGGGAUACAUUCCUGAGAGGAGGACGAGCUGGACCGACCGCCCGGAGUUCGACGGUCCAGUGGCGGAUCUCAUGAAGCUGAUCGACUGGUCGCGCCUGGACGGGCUUGGCGUGGUCGGCAACUUCAUUUUCCGCCGGGUGAUGCCCUGCCAGAAGAGGGUGCACUCGGCGUACGAGUAUGCCGGAAGCGCGGACCCGACCAGGAUGCGGCCGGAGAUCUUGGAGAAAGCGGAGGUACAACAGCUGUUGAACGAGCUGUUUAACUUCGCGGAUGGGGGCUUCAUCCGUGGCAGUGAUCGGGUGCAAGCCUUCAAGUUAGGACGACCAGCACCAAAGGUAUGUAGCAGAUUCUGUUUUAGCAUUCGUAUAUCGUCUGCAGUUGACUCAUCUCUGUUGCUUUUGCAGAUCGGCAAUGUCGACCGGUGCACAGUGUAUGUAUCACUGGCACCGGGGAUGGAAAAUCCUGCGGGAGAGGUCCCGCCAGAGGAGGACGCUGCUCGGUGUACUCAUUACACCAGCAGUGAGGAAGACCAAGCCCGCCCCGUCCCGACCUCCGAGGAGAGGGUAGCGGGGAAAAGGCCAUUGCUGGCAGAUCCCUUGCCGACACCGGAGCUGCCAGCAGAUCUACCGGCGGAGAGCAGCCAAGCACCGAAGCGUCGUCGGCUCGUGCGGAUCGUCGACGACGACGACGACGAGGAGGCUGCGCCGUCGUUGGUCCGACGGCCUCGGAGCCGCCCAGACAAUGCGCCGGUCGCCACUGAUCGAGUGGCCAGCGGCGCCGCUGCCCCGCAAGCUGUCGAGAUGGGGGCACAGGUGCCGACCGGCCGGGCGAGGAGGAGGUUCACCGCGACCCACCGUCGGUCAGACCUGUAAGUGUUCGACUUACGUAUUUUGGACUCCUCUUUGACUUUUUUUUUGAAAUUUAACUUUUGUUCCUGUAGUGCGGCAUCGGAUGUCGACCCCGGCCAAACUGCCAGCCAGGGAACGGGCGAGCCUGCCCGCGGUUCUGGGGAUGCGGCCCCCCAGACCACAGAGCAGCCAACAGCUGCAGUCGCGGCUGGGAGCACCGAGGGGCUCUCGAGCGCGGCACCGACUACGACAAGCAGCCCGACCAGGGCUGGAGAGGUUCCCCCAACUGACUCCUCAGAGAAGGGAAGAUCUCCGACCGCUCCUCCUGCCGGGGGGAGUGAAGUCCCCACGCCGCCCCGAGCAGGAGCCUCUUCGGCUGCGGGCUCCCCAGGUCUGGUCCAAGGGCCAGUAAUACCUGGGACCACCACCGGGGGUGACGCAGCACAGGAGGAGGAAACCCGGGCGGCCUCCAAUGAUGAGGUGGAAGAGAUUGAGGGUCGUCCCCGUGAUGGCCGCCAACACGUGUAUGUGUGGCGCCAACGCGGGGAUCACUUUAUCGGGCAUGAGGAGCUCGCCGAGACCGAAGAGGCCGCCAGGGUGGAGCGCGCGGCCAAGCGCCUCGUCGACGAAGUCAAGGUAAGCGGCUUUUUGUACUGCUGUACAUUCUAUGCCUUGUCUUGCAUGGUCGUUAUAUGCUUGCUUUGUAGGGCGCAAUGAAAACGGCGAAGUACCGGAAACGGUGCUUUGACCAGAUAGAAGGCGUCAUGGCCGAGAACAAGGCCCUUGCCGCGGAGGUAGACCGGUUGCGGUCGGAGGUCGGGAAGAAGGUGGGCGAGAUGAGUGCCGAAAAGGAGCGUCGUCUCGACCUCACUCGUCGUUUGGCCGACCAGUACCAGCUGCAAGAAGGUUAGUCACACGCUCCGAGCAGCUUUGCGUACUUGUAUAGUUUGCUUUGCUGACCAGUUUAUGAUUCACGCAGACUUGGAGGAGGAGGUGGCGCGCCUCCGACAAGAGAAGGAGCAGCUCAGCCAACAGCUCGCCGGUGCGCUGGAGUCCGGGCGGCGAGCAGGGGAGGAAUUGGGUCGAAAAGACCGGGAGCUAUCUGGUAAUGGGUGCCGCCUUGUUGGUUGCUGCCUGCCCCUUUGUUUGUUUGGUAUGCCGAAAAUAACGCUUCGUUUCGUUUGCAGUGCUCAAGGUGAACGCCAAAAAGCACCUGGAUGAUCUGAUCAAGGACCGGGACUCCUGGAAGGUCAACUGUUGCAGGAUCUGGAAAGGAGUGUCCCCGGUACUAGACCUGAUCAGUCCCGAGCUCCCGGAGAGCCAGCCCCGCGCGCCGCAGUUGACCCCGGUCGAGAAGGCGCAACGGGCGUGGGACUGGCUCCAGUAGUUUGUGAAGGACGCCGGGGAGUUUGCCGGCGCGCACGUCCUCAGCAUGGUGCGCGCCCACUACCCCCUGGUCGACUUGAGCAGGCUGGAGAAGGGGUACCCGAAGGAAGUCGGCCCACAGGAAGCGGACGAGCUUCGGGGUAGUCUGCUGGACUUGUCGUCGACAGUGAUCGGCGACAUCAAUCUGUGCGGAACGGCCACUCCUCCAGACCAGCCGAGUUCAGAUAGGUCGGCCAGGGAGUUGUCGGGCGCGUCCGUUGCGGGAGAUGGGCGGUCGACGCCUGCGGUCUCGACCAGCCAGGCGCCGGUGGCCCCGACCCCUUCGUCCGGGCAGCAGGGCCAGGCGGGUGAUCAGCCCGAGCAGCUAGCCCAAUAAAGUAGUCUGUAGGAAUAGACUAGUGUCUGCCUAUCAGGGUAUUUAUUGUAAACUUUGUAUGUAAAGUUUGUAAUAAAGUUUGCUUUUUUGUCAUGACUGUUGUUUUGAGCGCUGUAAGAAUAUCUGAGUGACGUGUCACCGUAUUUGUCUUGGUUGUCGCUAAGAGCAUCCAUUGCAGGAGUUUUGCCGAGUGCUGUGUGUGACAAGGUAUAGGCAAAAAAUAGAGAAUUUCAUUAUCAAAAAUUAUAAGAUACUUACAAAAGAAAGUCAUUAAAACUUUAUGGAUAGAAACGUCGCAGUUUGUCGAUGUGCCAAGAGUUAGGCACUCGUGUUCUGUCUGGGUAUGCCAAUCUGUAGGACGUAGGUCGUGUGACCUCGGUCACCACGAAGGGUCCUUCGCAGGGAGUGGAUAGCUUGUGCAUUCCCUCCUGGCUUGUUUUCCAUCGAAGCACCAGAUCGCCGACCACGAAGGAACGGUCCUUGACGUUCCUGUUGUAGUAUCGCUUGACUGCCGCGAGAUAUUUUGCUGUUCGGAGACAUGAAACUAAACGCUUUUCCUCCAUGCAAUUGAUUUCGAGUUCUCUGGCGUUGUCGGCGGUCGCCUGGUCGAAGUGCUCGAUUCUAGAAGAUCCGAAGUGUAUGUCAGACGGCAGGACCGCCUCUGCACCGUACACCAUGAAGUAGGGAGACACCCCUGUGUUUCGACUGGUCUGAGUUCGGAGGCCCCAGACCACUGCCGGCAAUUCUUUCAUCCAUCGACCGGGUGCUCUGUCGUUUUCGGUGUACAACCUUUUCUUUAGGGCGUCAACGAUCAUUCCGUUAGCACGUUCGACUUGACCGUUGCCACGUGGAUGUGCCACUGACACAUAUUUUAUGACUAUGCCUCUGUCAUCGCAGAAAUCCCAAAAAGUGGUGCCAGUAAACUGAGUGCCCAGGUCGGUGAUUAUGCUGUUCGGGAUGCCGAAUCUGUGUAUGAUUUGAUUGAGGAACUCCACAGCCUUUUCGGAGGUUGCCUUGACCAGGGGCAUGUAUUCAAUCCACUUGGAGAACUUGUCGAUUAACACGAAGACAAACUUGAAAUUGCCCGGGGCUGGUUUAAAUGGUCCGAUCAUGUCAAGCCCCCAGCAAGCAAAGGGCCAAGACGACGGGAUGGUUUGAAUUUCAUGGGCAGGUACGUGGGUCCUCUUAGCGAAAAACUGACAUCCUUCGCAAUGCCGAACCAGUUUUUCUGCGUCGCCGACCGCGGUUGGCCAAUAAAAACCUGCUCGGAAAGCCUUUCUGACCAGCGUUCUAGAUGCGGCGUGAUUGCCGCAGGAUCCAGCAUGUAUGUCCUCCAAGAGCUUGAUACCAUCAUCUUGGGGUAUGCACUUGAGCAGUACUUCGGAGCUUGCGUUUUUCCGCAUGAGUUUUCCGUCGACCAGGAUGUAGUUCUUUGAUCGUCGGAUGAGGCGCUCGUUCUCUGUUUUGUCCUGAAAGCCUGUCCCGUCUGAUAUGUAUUUGAUGAACGGGGUACGCCAGUCACGCCCACCGGUUGUCGGAGUGGCGUCAUCUAUGAGCAUUGCCUCGGUGGGUUGCUUGUCGACCAGGGGGGAGCUUACGCUCGGCUCAUGGAUGUCCUGGACGAAAAUACCCCGCGGGAUUUGGGCCCGAGAUGAGCCUAACUUUGACAACGCAUCUGCUGCUUGGUUCUUAUCCCGGACCACGUGGAUGUACUCUAUGCCAUAGAAGUUAGUUUCCCAUUUGCGAAUUUCUUUGCAGUAGAGAUCCAUCUUCUCGUGGGUUGCGUCCCACUCCUUGUUGAGCUGGUUGAUGACCAAAGCGGAGUCGCCAUAGACAUAGAGGCGCUUGACCCCCAGUUCAACGGCUAGUCGUAUGCCAUGCAAGCAUGCUUCGCAUUCGGCGACGUUGUUUGACGCCGGAAAAAGGAUCCGAAGGACGUAACGGAGUUUGUCCUUGUUGGGUGAUACGAACAAUAUCCCAGCGCCUGCACCGUUGAUGUUCAAGGACCCGUCAAAGAACAUUGACCAGUGGUCUGAGACAUCGGGAACGGAAGGCUCGUUGAGAUCCGUCCAUUCGGCAAUGAAAUCGACCAGGGCUUGAGACUUGACAGUGGUGCGACUCUGGAACUCCAGGGAAAAUGGACAUAAUUCCAUUGCCCAUUUCACGAUUCUGCCAUUGGCGUCUUUAUUGCGCAGGAUGUCCCCGAGAGGGAAGCUGGUUGUCACCAGGACUCGAUGGCCGUCGAAGUAGUGCUUCAGCUUUCUUGACGUUAUCAGGAUGGCGUAUAUAAGCUUCUGUAUUUGUGGGUACCUGGCCUUGGACUCGUUUAAGACUUCGCUUAUGAAGUAAACGGGUCUUUGGACCUUGAAGACGUGACCUGGUUCAUCUCGCUCGACCACUAUUGCCGUGGAAACAACCCUGUUGGUUGCAGCAAUGUAAAGGAGUAGGUCUUCAUUGGGCUGAGGCGCUGUGAGGACAGGUGGUGAAGUGAGGAAGGUCUUAAGCUGAGUGAACGCAGCGUCGGCUUCCUCUGUCCAAGAAAAUUUUUCUGACGCUUUCAAUAGUUUGAAGAAAGGGAGGCCUUUUUCUCCCAGCCUUGAGAUGAAACGACUGAGGGCGGCCAUGCAUCCGGUUAGCUUCUGAAUAUCCUUGACGUUCUUCGGUGAUCGCAUGUCGAGUACGGCUUUGACUUUUGAAGGGUUUGGUCGUAUGCCGUCGUGACUGACGACGUUGCCGAGCAGUAGACCGGAAGGAACGCCGAAAAUGCAUUUCUUGGGGUUGAGCUUCCACUUGUACCUAUUGAGUGCCUUGAAGGUUCGGUCUAAGUUGUCGAUUAGGGUGCUCGCGUCCCUUGUUUUUACGACCACGUCAUCCACAUAGGCCUCGACGAGGUCAUCGCGAAUUUCGUCGUGGAGGCAUUGCUGGAUGGCCCUUUGAUAAGUGGCCCCGGCGUUUUUAAGUCCGAAAGACAUGGUAGUGUAGCAGUAUGCGCCGAAGGGUGUGAUGAAGGAUGUUUUGAUCUGAUCUUCUUCCUUUAGCGAGAUCUGGUGAUAACCAGAGUAGCAAUCUAGAAAGGAGAGGAGUUCGCAUCCGGCCGUUGAGUCGACCACCUCGUCGAUGCGAGGAAGACCAAAAGGAUCUUUAGGACAGUGUUUGUUGAGAUCGGUGUAAUCAACGCACAUUCUCCAUUCAUUAUUCUUUUUGCGUACAAGAACCGGAUUGGCGAGCCAAUCGGGGUGAUACACUUCUUUUAUGAAUCCGGCUGCUAGAAGCCGUGUUAUUUCUGUCCUAAUAGCCUCCUUUUUGUCACGAGCGAACCGUCGCAGUUUUUGCUUGAUUGGUCUUGCGGUCUUCGAGACAUUUAAGGAGUGCUCGAUCAGGUUUCGUGGGACACCGGGCAUGUCUGCGGGUUUCCAUGCGAAAACGCUCACGUUGUCCCUUAGAAACCUGAUGAGCGCGUCUUCCUAUUUUGGAUCCAGGUUAGCCCCGAUGAGGGCUGUCUUCUCGGGGUUGCCUUCGACCAGCUGCACUUCUUUGUACUCCUUGGAUUUCGAGUUCUUUCUGGCUGUCUCCUGCUCAGGUAAUCGGAGCUGGUCGGGAGGCAGCUGUGCGGCUUGGUUUGCUGUUUCCGCCAUGCGGAUUGAGAGGUCGAUUGCCUCGGUGAUCUUGAAGCUUUCUUCUUCGCAGGUGUACGCAGUGUAGACGUUGCCUCUGACGGUUAGGACACCCUUCUCCGUGGGCAUCUUAAGGACUAGGUAUGAGUAGUGCGGGACUGCCAUGAACUUUGUCAGCGAUGGGCGGCCCAGUAUGGCGUGAUAGGUCCCGUCGAAAUCCGCGACUACGAAGUUGAUGAACUCCGUCCGGAAGUGAUCGGGUGUGCCGAAUUGGACAGGCAAUGUUAUCUGUCCGAGGGGCACCGAACUUUGACCUGGCAAAACCCCCCAGAAUUGGGCGUCGUAAGGUUUUAGUUGUGCCGGUGAUAUCUUGAGGGCGGGCAGGCUGUUGCGGAAGAGGAUGUCGAUGGAGCUUCCCCCGUCCACGAGCACGCGCUCGAAUCUGAUGCUGUUGAUGCAGGGGUCAAGAAUCAGUGGGAAACGACCCGGCUCUAGGAUAGCAGCCCACUGGUCCUUCCUGCGGAACGAAAUCUCCCUGUGGGACCACGUGGGAAAUUUCGGAUCUGCGAUCAUCCCGUCCGUGCUGUCUAUGUUGAGGCAGGCUCUCUUUAACAGCUUUCUUUCUCGCUUGGACUCAGUGGAGACCUUGCCUCCGAAAAUGGAGUGGACCACGUCAGUGGGGCUGACGUAUUGGUGUCGGGGGUCCCUAUCUUGGUCCUCAUCCUCAUCUUCGUGGUCGUGCCCGUCGCGCUUGUUAUUUUUCUUGGCGGAGUCGUCUUGGGCGGCCCGCCGUGUAUAGAUACUUUUGAGGACGCGGCACUCUUCCAUGGUAUGAUUGGACUUUGGGUGUAGUUGGCAUGGUCCCUUCAACGUUUUGUUGUAGUCUUCUUGGUAGUCCCCUCGUCCAUUGGGACGUUUGACCGUAUUUACUUCGUGGUCGUAGUCGCGGGGGCGUUUUCCUCUGAAGUCGUCGCGCCGCCGAUCCCAACCCUCUCGGUGAUCGCGGUUGUCGGAGCGGCGGUGAUUUCUGCUGUCGUAGCGACCACGACCGUCAUCUCGCCGGGGAGGCUGGUCGGUUCCUCUCGCAUCGUCUCGGAUUAGUUUUUCUGCGUCGUCGGCAUCGGCGUAAUUUUUAGCCGUGGCGAGGAGCUCUUCUACCGUUGUUGGACGUUUACGCAACAGCUUGUUCCUCAGCGCUUCGUGGAAUCGCAGGCCCUUGAUGAAGGCUGAGAUGGCCUCGUCAUGAGAAAUCUUCGGGAUUUUGAGGCGCAUAUCCGAGAAUCGUCGGAUGUAAUCGCGCAGAGGUUCGUUCCUCCUGUCCCUUAUCCUUUCAAGGUCAUACUUGUUUCCAGGCUACUCGCAUGUGGCGAUGAAGUUGUCGAUGAAAGCCUGGCGCAGCUCUUCCCAAGAGUCAAAGGAGUCCUCGGGCAAGCCGAGAAGCCACUGAUGACCAGCCUGGUCGAGGACUACGGGGAAGUAGUUGGCCAUGACGUGCUCAUCCCCUGCCGCUGAUCGGACGGCGAUUUCAUAGAGGCUGAUCCAGUUCUCUGGAUUUUCCUUGCCGUCGUAUUUUUUAAGUUUUUCGAGCUUGAAAUUGCGGGGCCACACGACCUGGCGGAGGUGUGAGGAGAACUGUCUUAGGCCCGGAGGGCCGUGCGUUGCAUCGUACUCGAUGCGGCACAGGUUUUCGUGGACUGCUCUCUCUGCGGCGCGCCUGUUGAUGCGGUCCCGGGCAUCUUUGGGAGGGAUGUUGUGGCGGAGAUCCCUGUGUUGAUCUUGUUCUUGGCCACGUGCGCGGUUCUGCUGGCGGCGGCCAUCGGCGUCCCGACCACCAUCGUCGCGCCGUGAGUCCCCUCGACGGUUGUCGGGGGAGCGGCUGCGGUGACGCCUGCUGGGUGAGGCCCGGCUACGAUUAGUCUGGUCGGAGGCGGCUCCCGUAUAAGAGACGUCCUGGACUCUCUUGAGCAGAGUGGCUGUCUGUCCCAUUGCGGCGAUCAGGUGUGCUCGGAUGCUGGUCCGGACUCCCUGGCAUUCGGGGGUAUCAGGAAGCCGAUCUAGGUUAGCCAUGGCAACAGCCACGUUGGCGCUUGGCGUUUUGUAGACUGGCUGGUCCCCGACCAUGUCAAAGGCAUCGUUGAGAUUAUUUGGUGGCAUUUGUUGUUGCUCGUCCGCACGUCGUCGGGCGCGCUCGGCGUUACGCUGUUCGCGGAGUUGCCUCUGGUCAUCUGUUUCUCCAUCAACGUCCGGUUCGUCGGCGCUGACAUUAAACACAAUAUCCCCUCGCCGGAGGGUGUGAAGGAAAAUCCAGGUCGUAGUCCUCGUCUUCGGUGUUUAUAACCUCGGUGGGAACGGAGCCGGUGCUUGAGUUGGUGCUGGAGACCUGGCCGUCCCGUAUUUCUCGGAUUGUCACCAUGUUGACGUGGUGACGAUUGUUCCUUGUCGGCGACCAACCCGCCUUGCUGAAAACGGAUUGGGUGUGCCGUGAGUAAACAGAGGCCGAGUUGUUCAGGCCGCAAGGAUAGUCUUCCUUCCUGAGCUCGACGGAGCGUCCUGAGGGGGUUGAGGUUAUCGUCAAAGACGUUCCCAGCCGUUCGUGUGUGGCGACACGAGUUGGCCGGCGGGAUUUGAAAAAAUCCGCUGGAGCAGCUUGGUCGGGCCGACGUAGAACCCCAUCUAUGAGUUGGGAAACUUCGAGUAGCUUGGAGUCAACGUGAUCGAGUGCUCGGAGAAGGUCCGAGCAGUCGAUCGCCUUUCCCUUGUAGGGUGGGAUCGGUAGUCGGGCGCUUGGUGCCGUCGUGCGCGUGGUCGGAGACAGCGUGAUCUCAGAUUGGAUCUGGGUCUCUUUCGAAACCGUGGUCGCGAAGCCGCCGCUGCACGUCGUCCACGUGAUCUGGCCGACGGUGAACGUGAGGCCUUCGGGCACGGUCGCGGAAGCUGGGAUCGUGACCAUCUUGUUCGCCGGAAAAGUUGCACGCACACCCCCUACCUGGCGCGCCACUGUCGACGAAAGCUGGUCGGCAGUCUACCAUGGGGUAUACCCACGGUAGUAGUUUAUCGGUAGACGGUGCGCAAACUACGAACUCGAUGGUGACGCAAGACACGGACAAGCUUUUUAUCCAGGUUCGGCCGCCGAGUUGGCGUAAUACCUACGUCCUGCGUCUGGUUGUAUUGAUUUGUGUUGAGAGAAUAUGAUGCGAUGUGUGCUAGGGGGGUCCCUUGCCCCUCCUUAUAUAGUCUGGAGGGCAGGGUUACAGAUCUGGAAACUAAUCCUAGUCGGUUACAAUUGCCAUGGAUAAUUUGAUAUCAAUUCCUAUUCUAACCGACUAGAAUCCUGCUUGAUCUCCACAUCUUGUUUCCUUGCACAAAACUCCAGGUUGUCGGAUCAAGCCUUGAACUCGUCUCGUAAUGGACCAAGCCUCCUGGCCGAAGUCUAGCCGUAAGGGUAUAGGGGUUUAUACCCCCACACCCAUUCACCUCGUUGUUGACUUACCUUCUGAAUAUACCAUUGUCUAGCUUCUCCCCCUUAAAGAAAAAGGAAAAAGCUUCCAACAUAAAGUCUUAUCAGAAAUGCCGUCAAUGCGAAGACAAUCACAUGUUUGCUCAAAAUCUCUAAUAUGAAGGUAAGGAUUUUCGUCUUCCUUUCUCAAAAAAGAUAGGUUUUGAAUCAUGGCAAUUAACCUGGAACUUAACCUAUGCUAGGAUGUCUGGAUAGGCUGUGAUGAAUCCCAUGGUAAAAGGUCAGUUUCUGAAGGUAUUGCAAAUUGAUAGAUUGAUUUAGAAUCUUGGUUUUCCAUAAGGUAAGAGUAAAUAAAAUAAAGAAUAUAAAAUGAUAAGAAAAGAUAAAAGUAUAAAUACAAGCUAGUAGUAAGACUCUAGGUUAUCUCAGCAAACCAUCUUUCUCCCUGACAACGGCGCCAGAAAUGCUUGUUGAUAUUUGGUAACGCAAUCAGAAUAAUCCACAAGCGCACGGAUAUCGGUGAGCACUUCACCCGAGAUGUUAUCCAGAGUAUCGUAUUUAUAUUUUUACCACUAGGAGAAAGCGUGCAUCUGACUAACCCGGUCUAUUACUACUAACCUUUAGGCUACAAACUAUGUGACUCGAUGUGAGUGAUGUAUAGAGAAGACUACAACUGCACUCUCGUUCUAACCUUGGUAAGGAUGAUCUACUGUUCUCUUGGAGAGGCUCACGGAAUCUAGACACCACAAAGGAUGUUCGACCCGCACCUAUAAACCCUAUCGAUCCUACUAACGAGAUAUGGGCUACAAAGGUAACUAGGAAAUGUCAUGUUCCUCGCUACUACCACGGUCCAGCUAGUCAGGGGAUAUCUAUGAGUAUCCUAGCCCAAACACCACGUUUACGCUAGAGAUGAUUACUCUAAACUCUACACGAAGAGAACAAAGUAAACUCAUAAACCAAAGAACAAUAAAACAAAGAACUUACUAGAAUUUAGAAGUCGAAAUACUAAAUAAUCCUAGGAGCAAGCCUUGGGUUAGGAGACUUGAUCCCGUAGGUACAACCUCGAAGUAGACACCGACAGGCUGGGCUUCCUCCAAUCUACACCUCCACUCUAUCUCUCUCAAUCCAGUAGAACUAGUCUACUCUCACAUUGGAUGCUACGCCCUAUGAGGUGGGAACCUUAAGGAACCUCUCUCUCUGAAUCCUCUCUGGAAAAUAUGCUAAUGAAUAAUUGGAUUCUCCCCUCCAGGGGUAGGGGGCCUUGCUUAUAUAUUCUUUUCAAAUGAAUCUGGGCCGUUGGAUCAAACUGACAUUGAUUGAACGGCUCUCCUUGAUCCUUUAGGUUGGUGGAGCAUAAUCCGCGAGGUUGAACAUGAUUGGCCACCAGAGGUGGGCGGGUGCCCAAGGGGGGAGGGCGGGCGCCCUGCCCCCGGGCCCGAUCGGCCUCCCGUUCGUUCCCGUGGCUUCUGGAGUCUUCUAGAUGAUAGAAAAUUGUGCGGCACAUUAAUAUCUCUAUGUAAACCCAACGUGUGGGCCUUUCUUCCUUAUUUUCUGAUAACCCCCUGCAGAAAUAGAUAAACAACAAAACUCGUGGAAUUCUGUCAGAUCAAACCGUAAUUCUAGGUGUUAUUUGUAUAUUGGUCCUUUUUCUAGUUUAUUUGAUAAUUAAAAUUGAUACUUAAGAACCGUCAACACCUACGGAGCCUCUACUCCUAUACGUCGCAGCAACAACCUAGGUCGUCAGUGCGGCUGUGGUGGUCAAAAGGUCAGAGGAGGGACACGCGUUACCAGUCUAGCGACCGGUCUACUUCAUCAGCAAGGUGGUCUCGGAAACCAAGGUACGGUACCCCCAGGUUCAGAAGUUGAUAUACGCCAUGAUUCUCGCCCGACGCAAGCUGCGACAUUACCUUCUCGGCCACCCGAUAACGGUAGUCUCGUCCUUCCCCUUGGGAGAGAUCAUCCAGAAUCGAGAGGCCACUGGGAGGAUCGCCAAAUGGUCGGUCGAGCUCAUGGGUGAGACCCUCACUUAUACACCUCGCAAAUCCAUCAAAUCCCAAGCACUGGUGGAUUUCAUCGUAGAAUGGACGGACACCUAGCCCCCCCUAGUUCAGGUUCAAGCUGAGCUGUGGACGAUGUUCUUCGAUGAAGCCCUCGUCAACUAGUUAAAAAUCGCUAUCGAGCUAGUGGUUCGACGCCUCCACGUUCGAGGUGACUCUCAGCUAGUCAUCGAUCAAGUGAUGAAGGCCUCGAGAUGCCACGACCUAAAGAUGUAGGCGUACUGCAAGGAAGUACGCGGGCUCGAGGACAAGUUCCACGGCCAUGAACUCAUUCAUGUCGCACGACGAUACAAUGAAGAAGCCGACGAGCUCGCUAAGAUUGCAUCCACUCGAGGCACCGUCCCACCUGAUGUGUUCACAAGAGACUUGUAUGAGCCGUCCGUGAAACUAGGCAUGGAGGCUAACACUGAAGCUUCUACCCCCAAGCUCACCGACACUAUCGAGGCCUUGUUAACGACGGCAGAAGUAAUGGAGGCCGAGCAACGACUCGGCCGGCCGUUCGACUCACGUAUGCCGUUUCUUGAUUGCCUAAUCUAUGGUGAAAUGCCGGAGGAUCGGUCCGAGGCCUGUCGUACCGCUCGACGGGCCAAAUCGUAUGUAAUUUAUGGCAAAAACAAAGAACUAUACCGACGAAGCCCAACAGGGAUCCUGCAGCGCUGCAUCACCAUAGAGGAAGGUCGAAAGCUCCUCGAGGACCUGCACUCGGGGGCUAGCGGCCACCGUGCUGCUCCGAGAACCCUUGUGGGAAACGCCUUUCGACAAGGUUUCUACUGGCCAACGGCCGUCGCUGACGCCAUAGAACUCGUUCGCUCGUGCCACAGGUAUCAAUUCUAUGCCAAGCAAACCCAUCUCCCAGCUCAUGCUCUCCAGAUGAACCCCAUCACCUGGCCAUUCACAGUAUGGGGCCUCGACCUCAUGGGCCCUCUCCAGAAAGUGGCUGGAGGGUACACCCAUUUGCUGGUAGCCAUCGACGAGUUCUCCAAAUGGAUCGAGGCUCGACCAUCACAAACAUCCGCUCCGAGCAGGCAGUCCUCUUCUUCACAGACAUAAUCCACCAGUUUGGGAUACCCAACGUCAUCAUCACCGACAAUGGCACCUAGUUCACUGGCAAAAAGUUCUUGGACUUCUGUGACCGGCAUCACAUCCAUGUGAACUGGUCCGCAGUAGCUCACCCUCGAACUAACGGCCAGGUCGAGCGUCCCAAUGGUAUGACUUUGCAAGGACUCAAACCUAGAAUCUACAACCGGUUGAAGAAAUUCGGCAAGAAAUGGGUUGAAGAGCUCUCCUCGGUCUUGUGCAGCUUGAGAACAACGCCAAGCAGAGCCAUGAAAUAUACCCCGUUCUUCAUGGUGUAUGGCUCUGAGGCUAUGCUCCCAACUGACCUCGAGUAUGGGUGAUGAGACCAUACCAGGGCAAUCAACAUUCAAGCAUCCACUCAAGGUGAAAGCUAAACAUAAUUCCAAAUUAUUAGGUUUCCACAUUCAAGGCUACUACUUGGUUUAUAUGAUUAUAGAUUCAAACACCUUGCUAUCAUGGGACAAGAAGAUUGCAAUGUUAUCACAACAUUACAAACCGAUGUCCUAGCACAACUCUUUGGAUCUGAAGAGUUAGAGUCGAGGACGACUCCUUUUCAAGAAAGAGUGGCACCAGCCAUAGAACUCUAUUUGAGAGUGAUCCACAAAAAUUCAGAGAAAAAAGAGAUGAAUCAUGUGAGGAAUUAUUUACUUCUAACAUCAUAAUACCUUCUAUUCCUAUUCGUUUUGCGAUGCAGGUUCAUGAAGAAAAUGAUGUUGUGAAUUAUGAUCAGCCCCCAAUGUUUGAUGAGGAAGAACAAGUGAUUGUCGAUGACAAUGAUACACAUGCAUAUGUGGCUUCACAAGACGUUGAAGUAAUUGUGCAUCAAAACCUAUGUGAGAAUGAGAGCUACAUUGCGAAAAUGAGAGAGAGUGAAGACAAAGGAGAGUUGAGUGAUUCCACCCACUGUUGACGGUCCUUAAGUAUCAAAUUUAAUUAUCAAAUAAAUAAAGAAAAGGAUCCAAAUGAAAUCAAGAUCUAGACUUAGGGUUUUAUCUGAUAGAAUUCCACGAGUUUUGGUGUUUGUCUAUUUCUGUAGGGGGUUAUCAGAAAAUACGGAAGAAAGGCCCACAUGUCAGGAUUACGUAAAGAUAUUAACGUGCUGCGCAAUUAUCUUACAUCUAGAAGACUCGAGAAGCCACGAGACCGAAGCGGAGGCGAAACGGGGCCAGAGGCAGGGCGCCCGCCCUGUCCUACUGGGCGCCCGCCCCCUGUUGGAGUCCAAACAGGACUCUGCUUUGCGGGAAGUCUCCACCGACCUAAAGGAUGAAUCUAAACCAUACAAUCUAUGUCGGUUUGAUCCAAGGGCCCAUAUUCACUUGAAGGGACUAUAAAACCAGACCCCCUGGCCCCUGGAGGAGAGAGCCUCUCAACCCUAAUUCAUUGUUCCAUCAAGGGAGAAGAAGCCUCUGAUCAAGAUUAGAGCCACCACAUCAAUUAGACAUCUAGAUUAGCAUAGCUACAUAGGAUUAGAACUAGAAGGAGUCAAUCUUCGAUUGGUUUCCGGAUCUGUCAGGAGGAUUCUUGGUAAUUCUCUAAUUGUGCUUCUAAUUGCUUUCUAAUUAUCUUUGUUCUUCAAUAUUAUGAAUAUGACUUUGUUCUACUUCAGUAUAUUGCUUAUGACUUUGCUCUACUUGCUUAUAUUCAAGAUUAUAUUUUUCUUAGUUUAUCAUAGUUAUGUACUUAGCUUAGUUAGAUACGAUCUACAUACAUGCUUAGGAUCGUAUAGCGUUUAUCCAUCGGAUCCAUGGGUAAAUGAUAGAUAUUGUGUAGGCGUGGUGCUUAUACCGUAUUUAUCUGCGAUUGUACCCAAUAUGCCAUAUCGUGGGGUGGUUCGUGAUAGUGACAGCUUCAUUGAUUCUUAUAUAGUCCCCCUCUCGUGUAUUGGGCUGGCAGAGCAACAUUAUUACAGGGGAGUGAUUGCUAUGUUUCUCAUAUUCCUUGCUAAUAUCACUAUGCAUGGGCGUAGUCUUGUCUCGCAAUGAUUGCUAAGUAUGCUUGCACUAACUAUGAUAAUGCUAGACUAUAUAGUUAAGAAUAACUUAGGGAAUAUUCUUGUAGUUCGUUCUAAUACCAUGCUAAUGACUUUCUAGAGUAUCUAAUUGAGGUGCUUAUCAUAUUUAUUAUGUGGCUAGAUCAGAUUAGUUAUCCUUGUCACUAUUAUUAUUUCAUAUAUCUUUUAUGUGACACUUAUCCCUGUAUGAAGAGUUAGAUAUAAUGUUCUCAAUUAUACAUGCAAUGAUAGAUGCUCAAUCUCAUAUUCUAUUCUGUAGUCAAUAGUGAUGAUUGCUAAUCCCUUCCCAGUGGUAAAAAUAUAAAUAACGAUACCUGGAAUACUUCCCGGUUAAAAUGCUGCAUCGGUAUUAAUCUGUGCGCUUGCAGAUCCCAUUCAUUAUUUAUUUGGAAGAGCAAUUGCAUAUUUCAAUACCGCGUCUCUCAUGUCAUGCUGGGGAUGACAACUUGGCUUAAGUGGUGUGAGGGUUAGGUUUGGCAUUUUUGGCACCGUUGCUAGAUUUAGAACUUAGUCUACUUUUAGUAAUGAUGUUAAGAAUACCCAACACCCACUAUAGGGUUGAGAGUGUCAACAAUGAGAGUGUGAGGGAUACACCACAGAAAAAUAGAUAUUUAGAAUGCAGGCCAAGUGAGGAUAUCUUUGAAACUAACACUCUCAUCUCUACUUCUAGUUUUGUCUUUCCAAAUGUGCAGGUUGGUGAUGAGAAUAGGGAAGAGAUGGAUGCUCAAGACAACACCAUAAUUGUUGAGAGAAAUCAGAAGGUAGCCAUUCAACUUAACCCAUUGUGUGUUGCCCAAAACCUGAACCAUGACAUGGAUAACGGUAAGAUUUCAGAGGUGCAAUCGUUGGUGCUUGCACCACCAAAAAGUCUAAAAGUGAUUGAAAAUAAAUCAGAUUGGAGUUUGCAAAAUAAAAUGGCAUGUAAUUAUGAUAAUACACAUAGUUUAAAUGGGAUUAACCAUAACGACAUAUUUGCAAUGAUUUGAUUAUUUCACAUGUUCACCCGUGUGCUGAAAUUUUGCAAGUUGAUAACCAAAGUUCAAUCAUACAUGAUCUUUGCUAUGGUUUGAUAUGGUUCAUGUACAUGAUGAUUUGCAUUCACAUGUGUGAUACGAUGCAUUAUGUUUCAAUACUUAUACAUCUUAGAGAUGGCUGCACAUUUCUCAACCCUUUAGUUAAUUCAUCAAAACCAUCUAAGAUUAACGAUGAAGGUAAAUAUUCAGAGAUUCAAACCUUGGUACAUGUAGAAUCAUUGGAUUUAAAAUACAUGAAAAAUAAAUCAAAUCUCAUUGUUCAACACACAUUGAGUACCUGUGAUAUUACUGUUUCAGCAAUAAAACAUAACCAAAACAUUUGUGCUGAUUUGACUGGAACUCAUGUUGAUACAAGUAUUGAACUUCUUUUUGAUGAGAGUCUUUGUGCUUUGAGUGAUCCUUGCAACACUUCAUAUAACAACAAACAAUACCUCAUCCAGUCGGUUACUUGUGCUGAUUUGAUUACAAGGAUAUCUCCUCUUCAAUGUUUGUGUUAUACUAUGCUUAACAUGCCUAUCAAUAUUGAACAAAUGCUUGAGAAAAUUUCUAACAUAACAUCUUUGAGUUCAAUGAAUACUACUCAUAGCUUCCAGUUUACAUUUGUCUUGAUUGGAGAGCAUGUUGUAGAUGCCUUCCAGGUUCAUGCAAUUUGUGUAACAUAUAACAAGCUUGCUGAUUUGGACUCAACAAUGUUGAGAGAUAAACAAAGUGAGAAAUCUUUUAAGAUGCAACAAAUGCUUGGUGCUUAUGGUUUCGAUCAAUUCAUGUUGUCAGCAUGUUCGUACCAUCCACUUAAAGAUAGAAAUCUUGUGCAAAGCAAAGCCUAUACACCGAAAAGUUUUUCAUUCACACCUUGGAGCAUUGAGUUUAAAAAUUAUACUUCUAAACCCUUCAAUAAAUUUUUGCUGCCACAAUAAUUUUUGGAAUAACAUUAGUUCUCAACAUCCAUUUGAUGAAAAGUUUGAUCUUCUAAAGAUAAAACAUGACAACAUGAAUCAAAUGAUUGGAUUGGAAGAAUUUUUUGUGAUACCAUCCUCUAAACUGUUUGCAGGUUCACCAAAGUUGAGAGAAUGUUUCUUACAUGGAAAAGGAAAUAAUGCAAAAAUCAUUCAAAAUGAAACAAAUGAACAGAACAAAAGGAAUGAUUAUUGGAAUUAUCAAGUACGUCCACCCUCUAUUUUGGCUAAGCUGAUUUCAGGUAAACAAAAGUCGUGGACGACUUUUCUUGAAGAGAGGGAGGAUGAUGAGACCAUACCAGGGCAAUCAACAUUCAAGCAUCCACUCAAGGUGAAAGCUAAACAUAAUUCCAAAUCAUUUAGGUUUCCACAUUCAAGGCUACUACUUGGUUUAUAUGAUUAUAGAUUCAAACACCUUGCUAUCAUAGGACAAGAAGAUUGCGAUGUUAUCACAACAUUACAAACCGAUGUCCUAGCACAACUCUUUGGAUCAGAAGAGUUAGAGUCGAGGAUGACUCCUUUUCAGGAAGGGGAUGAUGUGAAAGAGCAUCAAGGCCCCUAGUGAUUUCGGUGAUUAAAAGCAAUGUUGAUUACUAUGACUAAUGUGUGUUUUGUAGAGGCAAAGUCAUUAGUGAGGUCAUGGUAAUAGGUACUCGAUGGAUAGGGACGUACAUGCCUACUUAAUAGUGGAAAUCGUUUCGGUUUUCAAAGGAUGGAUGGACAUCGUCAAGACUAGACUAGGUCUAAGUGCCAUAUGGUGAAGAAGGGCACUUAGAAUAGUUUAGGACUUUGUUUUCCUUUGACCGAACUAUUAAGAGGGGCUUUGAUCUAGUAACUUGACUUAGGCAAGGCUUUAGGUUUAGGUGUGGUGCACACUUGGUAAACCUAGCACUAGGCAGCUCAGGGAUAGUCCUUAGAUCGAGAGGAACCAACUUUGUUUUAGAGCAAUCGCAUUUUGACGAAGUUAGGUGCCUAAAGAGGCACCGGACGCUGCACCGGACUCUCUGUGAGUGCGUCUGGUGAGGUCCUUAGCCAUUGGAAUUGUUUGGUGCUUAGGGUUAGGCACCGGACGCUGGCACCGGACUAACUGGGCAGCGUCCGGUCCCACACCCAAGGAGGUUGCAAACUUCCCUUGAGCACCGGACGCUAGCACCGGACGCACUAGGUAGCGUCCGGUCCCAUACUCAGAGAGUUUGUAAAACUCCCCAAAGCACCGGACGGUGCCACCGGACGCUAAGAGGUAGCGUCCGGUGACCUGUCAGAUGCAGAUACAGUUAGCCGUUGUGUGUCACUGGACGCUCGGUGUAGAGCGUCCGGUGCAACAUUAACAGCGUUCGGUGACCCCAUUUUCAGUGUAAAAUGGUUGGCUGACCUUUGGACUUCGUGGGAUGUAUUUAUACUUCUCCACCUCAUCCAUGAGAGCACUCUUUCCCAUUUGAACAUUAGAGAAACUUGUUGUGGAGCAAGAGGCUAGCAAGAGCCUACAGAGGAUUGAGAUUUGAGUGAUUUCUUGAGAGAAUUCUUCUCUAGUGAAUUCCAAGAGUCAAGUGUGCAUCCACCACUCUCUAGAGCCUUGUUUGGGUCAAGUGAGAGUUCUCUGCUUGUUACUCUUGGUGAUCGCUAUCACCUAGAUGGUUCGGUGGUGAUUGGAGGCACGAAGAGCGCCCGGAGUUCUUGUGGGUGGCUCGUGUCAAGCUUGUGAGCGGUUAUGGGCGAUUCACCGCGAUGGAGUGUCGAAGAAUCAGCCCGUAGGGAGCACUUGGUCCUUGCGCGGACCAAGGGGGAGCAAGACCCUUGCGCGGGUGCUCCAACGAGGACUAGUGGAGAGUGGCGACUCUUCGAUACCUCGGCAAAACAUCGCCGAGCACUUUCUUCCACUACUCCUUUACAUUCUAACAUUUACUUUGUGUUUCUACAUUAUUAGAUCUAUCAUGCUAGAAUAGGAUUGGAACUAGGUUGCAAAACUUUUAUCCGGUAGCUCUCUAGUCACACUAGGCACAAGGGGUUGAAUUGGAGCUUAUAGGUUGCUUAAAUUUUUAGAGAAGCCCAAUUCACCCCCCUGUUGAUAUUUGGGAACGCAAUAUGGAAUUGAUCCGCAAGCGCACGGAUAUCGGUGAGCACUUCACCCGGGAAAUUAUCCAGAGUAUCGUAUUUAUUUUUUUACCACUAGGAGAAAGAGUGCAUCUGACUAACCGGUCUUUUACUACUAACCUUUAGGCACAAAGAAUGUCUUUCGAUGUGAGUGAUAAAUAGAGAAGACUGCAACCGUAGUCUCCUUCUAACCUUGGUAAGGAUGAUCUACUGUUCUAAUGGGGAGGCUAACGGAAUCUAGACACCACAAAGGAUGUUCAACCCGCACCUAUAAACCCUAUCCUUCCUGCUAACGAGAUGUGAUCUACAAAGGUAGCUCGGAAUUGUCACGUUCCUCACUACUACCACGGUCCAGCUAGUCAGGGAAUAUCUAUGAGUACCCCAGCCUAAACACCACCUUUACGCCAGCAAUGAUUACUCUAAACUCUACGCGAAGAGAUUAAAGUAAACUCAUAAACCAUAAGAACAAUAAAACAAGAACUUACUAGAAUUUAGAUGUCGAAUUACUGAAGAAUCCUAGGAGCAAGCUUCGGGUUAGGAGAACUUGAUCCCGCAGGUACAAGCUUGGAGUAGACACCGACAGGCCGGGCUUCCUCCACUCUACACCUCCACUCUAUCUCUCUCAAUCUAGUAGAAACUAGAAGAUCUAUUUCUACCUUACAUUGAUUGCUAAGCCUAAAAAGAAAUAUUAAUUAGAGAAGAGGUUUUCCUUCGAGGGCACCCCUCACUCUCUAUGAUAAUUUCUUCAUGUCUUCUCCAGGGGCCAGGGGGCCUUGCUUAUAUAGUCCUCCCCUUCUAUGCGUUUUUGGGUCGAUAGGCGAGGUGGUACUAUGUUUUUCUUGAUCCAAUAGGUCGGUGGAAUAUCCCGAACGAAAGAGUCCUGAUUUGGCUCCAGCAGGGGGGCGGGCGCCCAGGCUACCAGGGCGGGCGCCCUGGGCCUGGCCCAGUUUUGCCUCCGCUUCGGUCUCGUGGCUUCUGGAGUCUUCUAGAUGAUGUAAAAUUACGCGGUGCGUUGAUAUCUCAAUGUAAUCCCAACAUGUGGGCCUUUCUUCCUUAUUUCCUGAUAACCCCCUGCAGAAACAGAUAAACAACAAAGCUCGUGGAAUUCUGUCAGAUCAAACCCUAAUUCUAGGUGAUGGUUGCAUAUUGGUCCUUUCUCUUGUUUAUUUGAUAAUUAAAAUUGAUACUUAAGAACCGUCAACAUAUACCCCCAUACUUAGGCUUUUACUCGUCCUCGAGAAAAAGGAUGGUUAAGAAAAAUAUCUAGGGUAAACUUUUUAAAGUAUUCUCUUUAUAAUUGCAGGGUGUUAAAAAUUUCCACUGUGUACCAUAGCCAGGGAUAUAUAUGAUCAAGAGUAAAGAUCCUUUCUUCUCAAUCUUGCCACUUGGAGCUUUUGUAUAUUUUUGAAAGAAAGUUAGCAUACCUUUUUAUCCUCAUAGGUUCUCUCAGAUCACUCAUUAUCUUUUAUAUAUCUCACUGAGGCUAUUUUAUUUUGCAAAAAUUCUCAAGCAUACUUACUUUGCAUUUAUUGCCUGAUCAAAACGGGAUCCGAGGAGAGGAAUGUCAUACUCUUAGAUCAAAGACUUUUGAAAUUAAAAUCUUUGUCAUCUCUUGCUGGUAUAUUGCUUAUUAGAGGGACCAUGGGCUAUCAUUUUUUUUAAGUGGAUACCGAGGUACCCCUAAUUCUACUGCCGGACACUUGUCCAUUUUUUCUGCGAGGUUGUCGAGCACUUGCUCCUUUUUAUUUCCUCGAAAUAUCUUCUAUUUUUGCAUAGCCCAUGCCUCUAGUGCAAUAAUACUUCGGAAGAGUGAAUCUUACUGAAAUAAUGUCUUGAUCUUAGGAGCAUGAUAAAUCUCUCAACAAGGGUCUAACUCAUUUUGAACAAACUCAAUAUAGAGCAGAUAGCUUUUAUAAUCAUAAUUAAUAUUUCAGUAUUAUCAGGCAUAUAAAACACUGAGGAUGGUAGCUAGAAUUUUGAAUAUUUUGAAAUAAAUUCUCCAAGCAACAAUGAUAUCAAGAACAAGAAACUCAUACUCUACCAUCACAUAUUCCAUAUUGACUUAAGUAACACAGGGUUUUAAAAUGAUUUUAUAACAAUUGCAAGUUUUCAGGAAAUAUCAUAGAUUGAGAUUAAUCAUGAUUAGAAAUAUUUUAAUCCUUUUAUUUUAUCAUGUCGGAAACAAUAAUCUGCAUAAUCCAAAAUAUAUAUAUGUGUAAAGUAAAGUGUGCAGAGUGUGUACCUGAAUGGUGGAGUGGUGUAGUUGGAGUGUGUUUGGUAUGUCGAGGGAUAUCCCCCAUACUUGUUUUAUGCUUUCUUGCACAAAAAUAAAGUAGAGACACACAAGACAUAAUAAUAAUAAUAAUAAUACUCUUUAUUGAUCUUGAGGCAUUGCAAAAGACUAGUAGCAAACUGAUAAUAAAAGUAAACCUAAACCGAAUUUAAAGAUAAAUGACUAAGAUGUAUUGCCUUAAGGUCUAAUCUAGAUAACUUAGCGGCGCUCUAAUUCCUUAAUCUUCUUGUUGGCACUGGCAAGAUCCUGCCUAAGGCCUAGUAUAAUGGUGUUGUGGUUAGAGAGCUGCCUAGUGAGGGAAUUAAUUGAGGACUGGAGGUCUAUGAUAACUCUAUCUAGCCUGCGAACUUCCUCAUCAAUAUCUAUUAUAGUCUUGCGACGCUUGGGAGGUGUCUCAAAAGCAUUGAGAGAGUGCUUCGGGGCUGCCUUUGGAGGGAUGAAACGGACUUUGGAUGCUCUAAUCUCUUCAAAGUAAGGCCUUUCCUCCUCCGUAGUGUAGCGAACACUGCUGAUCUCGCCGCUCCGGCUGGUCUUGACUCCAACGACCCUCUCAUUGGGUCUAGGUGGAAGGAUCCUUGUGCCGAUUGGCACCUUGAUAGUGGUCUUCGUCUUGGAUGAUGGUCCUUUGAGGAGUAGGGGUUGUGGUGGUGCGGUGAGAACUGGUUGAGCAUGGUAAGAUUGGGCGGAGCUACGUUCGCAUGAUGGCAUGGCUUCUAGCUGACGCUCUGUGUUGGCCGGGACGAGAGCACGGGCAUCGGGCUCUUCCACUGGCUCCAUGUUGAGGUUGAAGGGGACGACUUCCCAAUCGUCGUGGUACUUGUCGGCCAUUGGAGCAGCAAGGAACUAAUAAAAUUUUAAUUGAAGUAGAGCUAAUCAAGCUCUAAUUGAAGGAGAGCUAAUCAAGCUCUAAUUGAAGGAGAGAAAGCUUGGUGGCCUGGUGUUUGAAAACUGAGGUCAGGGGUCUGUUUAUAUAGGGGUGAAAAGGAUGCCUCUAUGGGUUGUUCGGGUUGCUCCCGUCGAUGUGCGUGCGAAACUUUCCAUCCGAGGGAUUAUUUGGAUCACCCUAGGUGCAUUUUCCAUAACAGAGAAAGUCGGGACCGAGGGGGAACAGGGGCUGGGCGCCCGCCCUCUCUCUGGCCCCUCUGUGGGCCCACUUCUCCGAGCGCGUUUCUAGAUGCAGAAUUAUAUAGAAAAAUAUAUAUAUGACCCAAAACCAUCAGACCAAAAGUGUCGGGCUCUAAUUCUCUAUGGGAAGGUAAAAAUGGACUACGUCUAUUUCUUCAAAUUCCUCAUUGGGCUCUAAAAAUAAUUUAAGACGUUGACCAUUUACCUUGAAUAACGUACCUUCACUAUUUUGAAGUGUGAUAGCUCCGUGGGAUGAUGAGUUGAUUACCUUGAAUGGCCCUUCCCAUUUGCUCCGGAGUUUUCCAUGCCCGAAAAGCUUUACCCUAGAAUUAAAAAGUAAUACCUUAUCUCCGGGUGUGAACUCCUUCUUCUUGAUUCUCUUGUCAUGCCACCUCUUGACUCUUUCUUUGUAGAUCUUUGAAUUGUGAUAUGCCUUCUCUCGCCAUUCUUAUAAUUCUGAUAGUUGCAUUCUUCUAUAAUCUCCAGCAAUAUCUAGGUCCAUAUUCCAUCUCUUUAUGGCCCAGUGUGCUUUGAACUCUAGUUCAACAGGUAGAUGGCAAGUCUUCCCGUACACCAAUUGGUAUGGAGACAUUCCGAUUGGGGUCUUGUAUGCUGUCCGGUAUGCCCAGAGUGCAUCGGGUAGCUUGUCUUUCCAUGCCGUUCCCAUUUCAUUUACUGUCUUCUGAAGAAUAUUCUUGAUUUGUUUGUUGGAAGUCUCUGCUUGGCCACUUGUCUGAGGAUGAUAAGGGGUAGCAACGUUGUGACGGAUUCCAUGUCUUGAUAGAUAUUGCUUGAAGCGUUUGUCGAUGAAGUGUGCUCCUCCAUCACUUAUCACUACUCUGGGAACUCCAAAUCUUGGAAAUAUAAUUUCUUCAAACAUCCUCUUUGAACUGACGUUGUCGGCAUGCUUGCAAGGUAAUUCUUCUACCCACUUGGAGACAUAGUCAACCGCCACCAAGAUGUACUCGCACUUCUUUGAUGGAGGAAAUGGACCCAUGUAGUCUAUUCCCCAGACAUCAAAGAGCUCAAUCUGAAGGUUGUUGGUGAGUGGCAUUGCAUCCCUUGUAUUUAUGUUUCCGUGUCUUUGACAUGGCCCACAUCUUCUGAUAUAUUGCUUCGUGUCUUCAUACAUUGUAGGCUAGUAGAAUCCACACUGCCAGAUCUUUGAAUGUGUACGGAAUGCUCCAUAGUGACCUCCAUAUGGUGAUGAAUGACAUCUGUCGAUGAUCUUCCAUCCUUCCUCAGUGGUCACACAUCUCCUGAGUAAGCCAUCAGAGCAUACUCGGAAGAGGUAUGGCUCGUCCCAUAUAUGUGAACGACUUUCUUGAAUAAGCUUCUUCUUGUUUGCUCCUGGUGGUACAUACCCUGAAACCAUAAAAUUAACAAUAUCUGCAUACCAGGGGUCAGACCUGUUAAUCCCGUAGAGCAUGUCGUCCCGGAGUGAAUCAUUGAUGGGGGUUUCAUGUGGAUUCUUAAAAUACAUUCUAGACAAGUGAUCAGCAACAGAAUUUUCUACUCCUUUUUUAUCUUUUAUUUCUAAGUCAAAUUCUUGGAGUAAUAAGAUCCAUCUAAUCAGGCGAGGCUUAGCAUCUUUUUAGUGAGCAAAUAUUUUAAUGCAGCAUGAUCAGUGUAAACAAUUAUUUUAGCUCCAACUAAAUAAGAUCUAAAUUUAUCAAUGGCAAAGACAACAGCCAGAAGCUCUUUUUCAGUAGUUGCAUAAUUAAGUUGAGCUCCUGUCAAAGUUUUACUGGUAUAAGCAAUUGCAUGAUGCUUCUUAUCUUUAGUUUGUCCCAAUACUGCCCCCACAGCAUAAUCACUAGCAUCACACAUAAUUUCAAAAGGCAACGACCAAUCAGGGGGCUGAAUGAUUGGUGCAGAGAUGAGUGCUUUCUUUAAUAAAUUGAAAGAUGUUAGAAAUGCAUCAUCAAAUUCGAAAGGAGCAUCCUUGGCUAGCAAAAGAGUAAGUGGUCUAGCAAUAAAUGAAAAAUCUUUUAUGAAUCUACGAUAAAAACCAGCAUGGCCAAGAAAGCUUCGAAUUCCUUUUAUAUUCACAGGUGGAGGUAGUUGUUCAAUUACUUCAAUUUUAGCUUUGUCUACCUCAAUACCUCUUUCAGACACUAAGUGUCCUAGCACUAUUCCUUCUCUAACCAUAAAAUGACAUUUUUCCCAAUUAAGGAUUAAGUGGUUUUCUUCACAUCUUUGCAAAACCUUGUCUAAGUUUUCAAGACAACUAUCAAAAGUUUUUCCAUAAACAGAGAAAUCAUCCAUGAAAACUUCCAUAAUCUCUUCAAUCAUAUCAGAAAAUAUAGACAUCAUGCAUCUUUGAAAAGAAGCUGGUGCAUUACAUAACCCAAAAGACAUUCUACGGUAAGCAUAAGUUCCAUAAGGGCAUGUAAAUGUGGUUUUGCUUUGAUCAUCAGGAUGGAUCGGGAUUUGAUGAUACCCUGAAUAUCCAUCUAAGAAAUAGAAGAACGAAUGGUUUGCUAACCGCUCUAGCAUCUCAUCUAUAAAAGGUAAAGGAAUGUGAUCCUUUCUCGUGGCUUUGUUUAAUUUUCUAUAGUCUAUGCACAUCCGCCAUCCUGUGACGGUGCGUUGCGGAAUUAGCUCGUUCUUUUCAUUCAUAAUAACUGUCAUGCCUCCCUUUUUGGGCACAACUUGGACUGGGCUCACCCACUCACUGUGCGGCACAGGAUAUAUAAUCCCUGCAUGCAACAACUUUAUAACUUCCUUUUUAACUACCUCUCUCAUAGUGUUGUUAAGUCUACGUUGGGGUUCUCGAGAGGGUGUAACAGAAGGAUCUGUUGGAAUACGAUGGGUACAAAUCAUAGGACUGAUUCCUGUAAGAUCUUGGAGUGAGUAGCCAAAAACUGAGUGAUGUUUCUCAAGAAUGGUCAUUAAUCACAGAGUUUGAUCCUGAGUGAGUUUAUCACUAAUGAUUACAGGGAACUCUGGAUUAUUGUUUAGGAAAGCGUAUGUAAGACCGGGUGGUAAAGUUUUAAGCUUUAUGGGAGGUCUAGGUGUUUCUGCAAACUCAUCUAAGGGUUCAGGCUCGGAAGGUUCGUCUUCUUCUUCUAUGAAGAAAGGAGUUUCGUCUUCUAAGUCUGGUUCAUCAAAAAGCUCUAGAGAUGCAGCCUUUACUUCCUCCAUAGGAUCAGGCAAAAGAUAUGACUCGGCCUUAUUGUUUAAGGAGUGUGAAAUUAUUAUUGGGAAUUUAAAAGUUUUUCCAAAAGAAAUGUGUAGCUUUCCAGUAUGACCUUCAUAAAGGAGUCUUCUAAAAGGUUGUCCUAUCAACAGGUCAAAGUCCCAUGUAUCAACGAUAUAGAAGUUCAAAUGAACCAUGGAGCCUUCUACCGUAAGAGGUAGGAUAUUAAUAAUUCCAAGACUGGGGACUAAUCGUCCCGAAGAUUCCUUUAUGACCUUUGUUGUGGGGGUUAAUAUAAGAUUUUUAAAUAGUUUAAGUGCAAAGGAUUUAGACAUAAUGUUGAUCCCCACAACAGGAUUAUAAAGAGCAUUAAAUCGAUCAGAAUUAUAAGCAUAGCGUAUAGUUAUAGAGGGUGUGUCCAAUCGGAUCACAUCAGAGGAAAGCUCUGAUUCCUCCAACCAUUCGCUACUCAUUACUAAGAUAAGCUCUCUCAAUUGAUAUUCACUUGGUAAAUAAAUGCUAAACUGGCCGUUUUGGGGUUUGUCAAUAGAAUGGUAGUUUGAAAUAUUUCCAAAAUCGGCAAAAAGAUCGGAUUCUAUAUCCAGCAUGAAGUCCGGUGGUGGAAUUUCUUCCUCUUGUGGCUCAGAACUUGGGAUAGCUAAAGUAGAUGAAGAAUUUGGCAGAGUGUCUACUUCGGCUUCGUAGGUUUCAUCAUGAAGGGUAUUAUCCAUCUCAGCUUCUAGGAUUCUAUCUAGGAUCACUCUAGCUUCAUCAGCAGGGAUGCGAAAGAAAGAACCUCUAGACAUUGCGUGCAGCAUUUGUUUGUGAUUUUUAUGAAGACCUCGAAAAAAGUGAAAUAAAAGAACAGGGUCUUCUAGAUUAAGGUUUGGACCAGAUUCUAAAAGAUCAGAAAAACGUUUCCAGGAUUUUCCCAAAGUUUCAUUAUCUUUUUGUUUAAAAGAUAGGACUUCGAGUCUAAGGUCGGCUAUACGGUCAAGGGAAUAGAAAUCUAGACAAAAGUUGGCUCGUAAAACUCCCCAUUCACCUUGUUGUUGACUUACCUUCUGACUGUACCAUUUUCUAGCUUCCCCCCUUAAGGAAAAAGGAAAAAGCUUCCAACGUAAAGUCUUAUCAGAAAUGCCUUCAAUGCGAAGACAAUCACAUGUUUGCUCAAAAUCUCUAAUAUGAAGGUAAGGGUUUUCGUCUUCCUUUCCCGAAAAAGAUAGGUUUUGAAUCAUGGCAAUUAACCUAGAACUUAACUUAUACUGGGAUGUUUGGAUAGGCUGUGAUGAUUCCCAUGGUAAAAGGUCAGUUGCUAAAGGGAUUGCAGAGUCAUGGAUCGAUUUAGAAUUUUGGUUUUCCAUAAGGUAAGAGUAAAGAAAAUAAAUAAUAAUAAAGAUAAGAAAAGACAAAAGUAUAGAUACAAGCUAAUAGCAAGACACAGGUUAUCUCAACAACCGUCUUUCUCCCCGGCAACGGCGCCAGAAAUGCUUGUUGAUAUUUGGGAACGCAAUAAGGAAUUGAUCCGCAAGCGCACGGAUAUCGGUGAGCACUUCAACCGGGAAAUUAUCCAGAGUAUCGUAUUUAUUUUUUUACCACUAGGAGAAAGAGUGCAUCUGACUAACCGGUCUAUUACUACUAACCUUUAGGCACAAAGAAUGUCUUUCGAUGUGAGUGAUAAAUAGAGAAGACUGCAACCGUAGUCUCCUUAUAACCUUGGUAAGGAUGAUCUACUGUUCUAAUGGGGAGGCUAACGGAAUCUAGACACCACAAAGGAUGUUCAACCCGCACCUAUAAACCCUAUCCUUCCUGCUAACGAGAUGUGAUCUACAAAGGUAGCUCGGAAUUGUCACGUUCCUCACUACUACCACGGUCCAGCUAGUCAGGGAAUAUCUAUGAGUACCCCAGCCUAAACACCACGUUUACGCCAGCAAUGAUUACUCUAAACUCUACGUGAAGAGAUUAAAGUAAACUCAUAAACCAUAAGAACAAUGAAACAAGAACUUACUAGAACUUAGAAGUCAAAUUACUGAAGAAUCCUAGGAGCAAGCUUCGGGUUAGGAGAACUUGAUCCCGCAGGUACAAGCUUGGAGUAGACACCGACAGGCCGGGCUUCCUCCACUCUACACCUCCACUCUAUCUCUCUCAAUCUAGUAGAAACUAGAAGAUCUAUUUCUACCUUACAUUGAUUGCUAAGCCUAAAAAGAAAUAUUAAUUAGAGAAGAGGUUUUCCUUCGAGGGCACCCCUCAAUGUCUAUGAUAAUUUCUUCAUGUCUUCUCCAGGGGCCAGGGGGCCUUGCUUAUAUAGUCCUCCCCUUCUAUGCGUUUUUGGGUCGAUAGGCUAGGUGGUACUAUGUUUUUCUUGAUCCAAUAGGUCGGUGGAAUAUCCCGAACGAAAGAGUCCUGAUUUGGCUCCAGCAGGGGGGCGGGCGCCCAGGCUACCAGGGCGGGCGCCCUGGGCCUGGCCCAGUUUUGCCUCCGCUUCGGUCUCGUGGCUUCUGGAGUCUUCUAGAUGAUGUAAAAUUACGCGGUGCGUUGAUAUCUCUAUGUAAUCCCAACAUGUGGGCCUUUCUUCCUUAUUUCCUGAUAACCCCCUGCAGAAACAGAUAAACAACAAAGCUCGUGGAAUUCUGUCUGAUCAAACCCUAAUUCUAGGUGAUGGUUGCAUAUUGGUCCAUUCUCUUGUUUAUUUGAUAAUUAAAAUUGAUACUUAAGAACCGUCAACACCCCCCUCUUGGGCAUCUUGAUCCUUUCAAUUGGUAUCAGAGCCUAGUGCUCAUUUUUUAGGCUUCACCGCCUAGAGAAAGAUGUCUAACGGGGAUGGACCGCCACCCAUGUUCGAUGGGGAUGACUUCCCGUAUUGGAAAAUACGGAUGGACUCAUAACUUGAGGCAUGUGACAUAAAGUGCCUAAAAGCCGCGACCGAAGGGUUUACCCCUCCGGCAAAGGACACCACUCUUACUCCACAAGAGCAAGAAAACGAGAAGUGGAAUGCGAAGGCCAAAAUCCACAUCUUUAGAGGCCUUUGCAAAGGGUUGUUCAAGCGCGUUCGGAGCCACAAAACCGCCCAUGCUCUAUGGAAGGAACUUUGUGCGCUCCAUGAGGGAUCAAAGAGUGAACGCGAGGAACGCUAUCACUUGGUGAUGAACAAGCUUAAUACAUUUGAAAUGCUCCCUAAAGAAAAUGCUAAUGAAAUGUAUUCUCGCUUGAAUGUGAUUGUAGAGGAGGUUAAUGGACUUGGGCUCACUCAAAUGAGCGCGGCGGAUGUCGCAAGGAAGAUACUAUGUGUGCUUCCCAUUGAGAAAUAUGGGCACAUAGUAACGGUGCUUCAUCAAGGCGAUCUCUCCACAACUACACCAACCGCCAUAUUGGGGAAGAUCAAUGCACAUGAGAUGUAUUUGUACACGAACCCCCAAGAUGGCUCCUCAUCGGCCAAGAAGGAGAAGAAGGACUUGGCCCUCAAAGCUUCUCACAAGGGCAAAGCCAAGAAGACUGAAGUCGAGUCAUCAACUUCAAGUGAUGAUGAUGCAUCCGUUGCCCUCUUGGUGAAAAGAACCACCAAGAUGUUGAAGAAGCUCAACAAUCAACUUUGACUCCAAGAAGAAAAAGUUCUUCACAAGUAGCAAGAGGAAGCCCAUCUCCGAGAUGGAUUGCUACAAUUGUGGUGAGCUUGGCCAUCUUGCUCAUCAAUGUCCAGAGCCCAAGAAGAACAAAUACAAGAAGAAGAACAAAGAGCAAGAUGACUCAAGUGAUGAUGAGAUGAAUGAAAAGAAGCCAUACAAGAAGAUAGGUGGCAAGAAGAAGGAGCACUACAAGAAGAAGAAUGGCAAAGCUUUCAUUGUUGGUGAUUGGCUCACCGACAUUGAGAGCUCAAGUGGUGACUCCUCCGGCAAUGAGAGCGAUGAUGAGAAGGUUGCCGCCAUUGCCAUUGAUGCUCUAUCACCAUCAUCUUCACCAUCAUCUACAUCCUCUACACACCUAUGCCUCAUGGCUAAAGGUGACCGGAAGGUACAAAGUGAGGAUGAGAGUAGUGAAAGUGAUAGUGAGUAUGAAUCACCUUCUUAUGAUGAACUUGUAAAAUUGCUAAACAAAUACACAAAAGUCAUAAGAAAGACUAGAAGUGAAAAGGAGAAACUUGAACUUGAAAAUGAAACACUUCUAGCAAAGCACAAGUCUAAUGAUGAGCUUAGAGAUCAAAAUGAUAUCAUGACCACUAAGCUCAAGGAGCUCAAACUCUCUUUAAAAGAGCUCAAAGAAAAACAUGAUAAACUUGAGAGUGUUCUUGAUGAGCUUAUCACUAGAUAUAGAGCAAUGAAAGAAGAGCUAACAACUCUAAAAGCCAACUAUGACAACCUAGAGAUUGCUUAUGAGCUUGCAAUUGAUGAAACACAUGUUGCUACUAACCAUGUUGCUAAGCUUGAUGUAGGUACAUCAUGUGAUGACUUGUGAAGAGCACAAGAAAAUGUGUUGAUUGCAAGGGCAAGAAAGUGGUAGUGGCCGAGAGCUAUGAGGACACUAUCAAGCUCAAGGAUGAAAUUGUCAUGCUCAAGAAAGAGUUGCAAGAGCAAGCCAAGCACAAGACCAUUGUAAUUGAGUCACUUGAUCAAGACAAGAAGCUUGCAUAUGAGAACAAGUUGCUCAAGGAAGAAAACCAAUAUCUCAAGCUUGGUUUGAUGUAUGACAAGCAAGAAGAGGAUGAGACAUUCAUCUUGGAUGAGUUAGCUAGCAACAAUGACCCAAUCGUCAAGAAGCUAACUCAAGAGAAUAGCAAGCUCAAGAAAUAGAAGGAACAUCUAACCAUGGGGUUAGCAAAGUUCACAAAAGGGAAGGACCUUCAAAGUGAGCUUUUCAUGAACACCGUAAUGAAGAUGGACAAGAGUGGGAUUGGCUACAAGGCUCAUCAAACAAAGCUCAUCAAGUCACUAGCCACUCAUGAUCAACCAAGCAAGCCAAAGCCAAAGAGAUGCUUUGAAUGUGGUCAAGAAGGACACUUUGCUCAUGAGUGUAUGGCACCACUACCACCACCCUUGCCCAAGCAUGCAAGACCAUUUGCAUUCAAUGCUCACUACAUUGUAAGGAAAGACAAGAGUGGCAAGGUCAAGGUUAGCUUCAUGGGGCCGCCCAAUAAGCAAAGGCCAAAGAAGAUUUGGGUGCCAAAGAAACUAGUAGAGAAGGUCAAGGGCCCUAAGCAAAUGUGGGUCCCUAAAUCUCAAGUCUGAUCUCUUGUGUGUAGGUGAACUACAAGACCGGUGGAUCACAUUGGGUAAUUGAUAGUGGUUGCACUCAACAUAUGACCGGAGAUCCCCGGAUGUUCACCUCUCUUGAUGAAGAUGUUGACGACCAAGAGAAGAUCACAUUUGGUGACAACUCAAAAGGCAAGGUCAUGGGUCUAGGAAAAGUUGCAACUCCAUCACCAAUGUGCUCUAUGUGCAAUCGUUGAGUUUCAACUUGCUCUCGGUUGGACAACUUUGUGAUCUUGGAUUUGAAUGCAUAUUCAAGAAGAAAGAAGUAAUAGUGACCAAGGAGGAUGACAAUGAAGUUAUAUUCAAAGGCUUCCGACACAACAAUCUAUAUGUAGUUGAUUUCUCAUCCGAUGAAGUUGAUGUCAAGACUUGCCUAUUCACCAAGACUUCACUUGGUUGGUUGUGGCAUAGAAGGUUAGCACAUGUUGGAAUGGGCACACUCAAGAAGUUGAUGAAGAAAGAAUUGAUUAGAGGCUUGAAGGAUGUGACAUUUGAAAAGGACAAGCUUUGUAGUGCAUGUCAAGUGGGCAAGCAAGUUGCAAACACUCAUCCAACCAAGGCCUAUUUCUCUACUUCAAGAGUGCUUGAGCUACUUCGCAUGGAUCUAUUUGGACGAACCACAUAUGCUAGCUUUGGAGGUGAAAGCCCUAGUUUGGUUUUGUAUAAUUAAUGAAACCCUAAUACUAACCUCUAUGCUAAGUGUGUGUAGACUUAAUGAGGUUGGUACAUGCCAAGUGAUAGAGCAAGAGAUGAUCAUGGUGAUGAUGNNNNNNNNNNNNNNNNNNNNNNNNNNNNNNNNNNNNNNNNNNNNNNNNNNNNNNNNNNNNNNNNNNNNNNNNNNNNNNNNNNNNNNNNNNNNNNNNNNNNAGGGUUUGGCUUUGGUGAUCAGACACCAUAGAGAGUGUGAUCACAUUUAGGAUAGAUAGCCAUACUAUAAAGAGGGGAAUUCUUUGGCUAAGUGGUUAUCAAGUGCCACUAGGUGUCUUUGUUCUUGUGCAUGCAUUUAGAACCUAGUGAGCUAACUUAACUCCUUCGAAGAAAAUGUUUGUGAAAAUGCUAACACACGUGCACAUGUUGGUUUACACGUUGUGGUGUUGGCACACUUUGAGAAGGAGGUGGAGUUUGAAGAGUAGAGAGAGGAAAAUGAAGUGCAUAAUUCCUAUUGCGCCGGUGGAAACUUUGGAGAAGUCGCGGGAGUGUUUCUCACUGAGAAACACUCACCGGACGCUGGCUUCUGGAGCACCGGACGUUGAGUCUGAGCAUCCGGUGCAAACAGUGCCUGGCCCAGCUAGGGUAAGGCACCGGACGACAGGCACCGGACGCAGGCCUGUGCGUCCGGUGGUUAGCCUUCGGUGUGUGGGCGUCCUGUGACCCUCUCUGCGCAUGGGUCCGGUGAGCACCAGACGCUACCGGUGCUUAGCGACCGGUGACCCGCAGGUUUGCGGAACUCUCUCCGCAUGAGUCCGGUGUGCACCGGACGUACUUGCUCAGCAUCUGGUGCACUGCAGGUGACCGUUAGACUCUGCCACCAGCGUUUCAAAAGAUGACACGUGGCUGACUUAGGAGCACCGGACGCAGGUGUUGAGCGUCCGGUGCCCCUUUUAGAGCGUCCGGUGAGCCCGCAGUUUGCCCAGUGAAAAGAGCCAACGGCUCUAUUUGUUUGAGGGGCUUAUAAAUAGUUGUUGGCCGGCUUAGGGCUUACUCUCUUGGCAUUCUAACAUACUUGACAUCCUAGUGAGCCUAAGAAAACACCUCCCACUCAUCUCCUUCAUAGAUUAAACAUCUUUGUGAGAUUGGGAGUGAUUCCAAGUGCAUUUGCUUGAGUGAUUGCAUCUAGUGGCACUUGGGGAUCGAUUUGGCUGCAGUUUUCUUGUUACUCUUGGUGGUUGCUGCCACCUAAACGGCUUAGAGCAGCGAAGGAGCAUUGGCACGAGUUGGUGAUUGUUCGUGGCCAUCUCCCGGUGAUUGUGAGAGGUUUGUGUCUACCUCGGCAGAGUGCCAAAGGCAACAUUAGUGGAUUGCUUGUGUCAUUGAGCUACCUCACUUGUGGGUAGGCUCUUGUGGUGUCCUAGUGAGGAUGAGGUUCGUGCUACACCUCUUAGCCACCGAACCACCAAGUGUUGGUCAACACAACGGGGACGUAGCGUGCCGGCAAGCACGUGAACCUCGGGAGAAAAUCGUAUGUCUCCUUUGUGAUUGUACUUUGGAUUUCUCCCAGUGAUUGGACUUCAUAUUAUUGAUUGGUUCAUCCCCUCUACGCGGUGGUAUAAAGAUCAAACCUUCUCUCUUAAUUUCUUGCAAACUAGAGUAGCUUACUGACUUGUAUAGAAACUUUAGGUAGCUCUCUAGUGUAAGUAGAGACAUAGCUCUUGUGUGCCUAGUGAUAAUAUCAACUAGAAUUGUUGGAUAGAGCUAGAGCAAAAAGCUUCGCUUUGUUAUUUACUAACCUCUUGUUCUAGUGAGUUUGUAGGAUUUUUAAAUAGGCUAUUCACCCCCCUCUAGCCAUAUUAAGACCUUUCAGGAGGCAACAAAUAUUGCUUGGUCAUAGUUGAUGAUUUCUUCCGGUACACUUGGACAUUCUUCUUGCAAGACAAGACCGAAGUUGCAUCCAUAUUCAAGAAGUUUGCCAAGAAUGCCCAAAAUCAAUUUGAAGUCAAGAUCAAGAAAAUUAGAAGUGACAAUGGCAAAGAGUUUGACAACACCAACAUUGAAGAGUAUUAUGAUGAAGUGGGAAUCAAACAUGAGUUCUCCUCAACAUACACACCACAACAAAAUGGGGUUGUAGAAAGAAAGAACCGGACAUUGAUCACCUUGGCAAGAACAAUGCUAGAUGAGUACAACACUUCGGAGAAGAUGUGGGCCGAGGCAAUCAACACCGCAUGCUAUGCAUCAAACUGGCUCUUUCUUCAUAAGUUCCUAGAGAAGACACCAUAUGAGUUGCUCAAUGGGAAGAAGCCCGAUGUCUCAUUCUUUAGAGUGUUUGGGUGCAAGUGCUACAUCUACAAGAAGCGCCAACACUUGCGCAAGUUCCAAAGGAGAUGUGACAUUGGCUACUUGGUUGGCUAUUCAUCAAAGUCCAAGGCAUAUAGGGUCUUUAACCAUGCCACAAACAUGGUUGAAGAAACAUUUGAUAUUGAAUUUGAUGAAACUAAUGGCUCCCAAGGAGCAAGUGAUAAUCUUGAUGAUGUAGGUGGUGAACCAUUGAGGGAUUCCAUGAAGAACAUGCCCGUGGGAGACAUGAAGCCAAAAGAAGAUGAUGAUGUGCAAGUCAUUGAUCCACCAUCCACCUCACUUGUACCAAAAACGAAGACAAGGAUGUGAGAGAUGCUCAUGAAGACACCCAAGUCACUCAUGAGCAAGCUAUGGCACGAGCACAAGUUGUUGAUGCUCCCCAACCAACCCCUCAAGUGGCGCCAAGAAGAACAUCACAUCUCCUCCAAGAUCACUCUCAAGAUCUCAUCAUCGGGAGUCCAUCACGUGGUGUAACUACACGCUCUAGACAUGCUUUAUUUAGCGAACAUCACGCUUUUGUGUCUCUUGAAGAUGAACCAAAGACUGUAGAGGAAGCUCUUCGUGAUGCGGAUUGGAUCAUGGCCAUGCAAGAGGAGUUGAACAACUCACGCAACCAAGUAUGGACACUUGAAGAGCAACCCAAAGAUGCAAGAGUGAUUGGAACAAAGUGGGUCUUCUGGAACAAGAAGGAUGAUCAAGGCAAAGUGGUGCGCAACAAGGCAAGGCUCGUGGCAAAAGGCUUUUCACAAGUGGAAGGUCUUGACUUCGGUGAAACCUUUGCACCAGUGGCAAGACUUGAAGCAAUCCGUAUCCUACUUGCAUAUGCAUCUAGUCAUGAUAUCAAGUUAUUUCAAAUGGAUGUGAAAAGUGCUUUUUUGAAUGGCUAUAUCAAUGAGCUUGUCUAUGUUGAGCAACCCCCCGGUUUUGAAGACCCUAGGUACCCCAAGCAUGUCUACCAGUUAUCCAAGGCUCUCUAUGGUCUCAAGAAAGCUCCUAGAGCUUGGUAUGAGAGGCUUAGGGACUUCCUCAUUGAGAAGGGCUUCAAGAUUGGGAAAGUUGACACAACACUCUUCACCAAGAAAAUGAAUGGGGAAAUCUUCAUUUGCCAAGUUUAUGCUGAUGAUUAUUAUUUUUGGCUCUACUAAUGAAGAUUUUUGCAAGGAAUUUGGUGAUUUGAUGUCCAAGGAGUUUGAGAUGUCCAUGAUUGGCGAGCUAUCCUUCUUCCUAGGAUUUCAAGUCAAGCAAAUGAAGGAAGGAGUCUUCAUCUCUCAAGAGAAGUACACACAAGAUCUUCUCAAGAGAUUCAAGAUGAUGGAUUGCAAGCCAAUCAAGACUCCCAAGGCAUCAAAUUGGCAUCUCGACUUGGAUGUGGGAGGUAACCUAAUUGACAAGACUCUCUAUCGUUCCAUGAUAGGAAGUCUACUCUACCUCACCGCAUCUAGGCCCGAUAUCAUGUUUAGUGUGUGUAUGUAUGCUAGAUAUCAAGCGAUGCCUAUGGAAUCUCACUUGAUUGCCGUCAAGAGAAUUCUUAGGUAUCUAAAAUACACACCUUGCCUAGGUUUGUAGUAUCCCAAAGGUGCAAGAUUCCAACUUGUAGGCUAUUCCGAUUUGGAUUAUGCCGGGUGCCGGAUUGAUAGAAAAAGCACAUCCAGAGGGUGCCACUUCCUAGGUAGAUCACUUGUCUCUUGGAUGUCAAAGAAACAAAAUAGUGUUGUCUUGUCAACGGCCGAGGUGAAAUACAUUGCCACCGGUGCUUGUUGUGCACAAAUACUCUACAUGAAACAAACUUUGCUAGACUAUGAAGUAGUACUAGACAAAGUACCUUUGUUGUGUGACAACGAAAGUGUCGUAAAACUUGCUAACAACCCGGUUCAACACACCCGCACCAAACACAUUGACAUCCGCCACCACUUCCUUAGGGAUCAUGUUGCUAAAGGUGACAUAUCUCUAGAGAAUGUGGGAACAGAAAAUCAAUUGGCGGAUAUCUUCACAAAACCCCUAGAUGAAGCUAGGUUUUGUAUGUUGAGAAAUGAACAUGAUGUGCUUGAUCUCUCUAACUUCAUUAAAAAAUGAAGUUGUGUGUUGAAACUUGUAAAUAGCUUUAGCUUUGCAUAUCAUGCACACCAAAACUAAAAUUGAAAAAGAAUUGUGUGUAGGGCUUGUCUAACAUGGUUAAGAUAACCCCCUUGUGUGUGUGAAAAAGCUUAACCUUGGAGCAAACUUGACAAGCAUUAGUUUACUUUCAAGUAUUGCAUUUCACCUCAUAUCAUAUGCAUGCUUGUUAGUUGACCAUUUCUUUUUGGUUAUUCUUUGAGCAUCCGCUGUGUUCGUCCAUAGAUAGGGGGAGCAUUCCAAGCUCAUUAUGAUUUAAACCCCUAGCUUUAAGGCCAUACGAUGCUCCUUGGUGUUUUCUCGUGACUAUUUUCAUAAAAACUACUAAGCCUAAGGCUAAAUAUUUGUGAAAAUUUGAGGGUUUGAGAGAGGUCACUCAUACCAGUUCCACUUGGUGUUUAUUUGUGUGUCUUUGAAGUUGGAACUUGGUUGGGUCAAAGUCGGACGUAGUGUUAUGUUGAAAAAGGACUCAGAGGUGCACCGGACGCUGUCUCGGUGCGUUCGGUGCAGUGAGUCUGCUAGAUUGCACUCACCGGACGCAGGAACAGUGUCCCUACAUUGUCUGGUGAGGUGCGUCCGGUGCUCAGCCCGGCAUACCCUAGGGCACCGGAUGCUAAGGCCAGCGUCCGAUGGCCAUCGUCCGGUGGUAUGCCGAUUUGAAAACCUCUCUGCGCAUGAGUCCGGUGGUCACCGGACGCGUCCAGUGCCACAUAAAGAGCGUCCGGUGACCCCGCGGCGGGCGCAUAUAACCCAUGCCCAGGGGUUUGGGUCGGCAUUUGUUUCUUCGCCUCCGUGAUUCUCCGGCCGCAGCCUGUGCCCUAGACGCCGAACCGCCGCCGCGCUUGGUCUCCAUCGAAUCUCCGGCGGCCUUGGGUUCUUCUCCUCACGCAGAUCUUCUCCAAGGGCAUCUUCCCCAUCCCUCUUCACGCCGUGGACCUUUCCUUCGUGAUCUUCUAGGGUUUGGGGUGAGUCUCCAUGUCUGCGCACUCAGGGUGUUUGUUUUUAUGUGUCAAAGGAUCCGAAUAAGAUUUUGAUCUCGAUCUUGUUCGUCUCAUCCGUGCAGCACCAUGAGGAGUCGUUUCGUGUUCCCCGGUGGUUCUCGAUUGCAAUAUUUCAUCCGGAACGCGACCCGUCAUCGGAUUGUAAGCCGUUCGCGCCCAUUCUUUAUCUAAUCUUGCGAUCUAUAGGGUUCUCUCACCUCUAGCUAUUAUGUUUGCUUAUGUAUGCCCUAUUUAUUCUAUCUCUUGCAGCGUGUUGAUCACUCAUGCCAGUUUGUCAGUUGUCGGCACUUAGUCAGGCAGUGAUUCUUGCGAUGGCUCGUUGCAAGAAUGUCAGUGGCCCGGCACCGAGCACUGGUGUUUCACCAGGAGGUGAUGGUGGAGGUGAUCCUCCUCGUCGCCUGUCAGCGGUAGAGAAGGGCAAGGGUAAAAAGUUAGCCACCAAGAAGAGGAAUGCCAGCGACAGAGAGGCAGAGAUAGCAGAGGCAGUUACUACAGCGGCUGAGGCAGCUGCGAGAGGUGGUCGCUCAGGUGCCCUGAGGAUUGGGGCAGAUCUCAUGCCAUGUCAGCGGCAUGCAGUUCUUCAGGCAGAGGCACUCCAUGGAUCCCCUCCUGGCACAAUCAUGCUAGGAGGACAGCGUGUCAGGAUUGCAGUCCGUGAGCCAGCUCAGGAGGACCCGAACACAGACACAGAGGUAGAGGCCUAGGUAGAGGGUCCGGCAGAGGCUCAGCAGCAGAAGCAGCCCCUUAGGAGGUCGACACACACUCGUACUCAGGCCAUCCCUAGGACUGGUACGCAGGGCCAGUCUACCACUGUUGCUCGCUCUACUCUAGCUAGAGGGACUCCUGCUCCUCGUCAGGCACCGGUGAGGAUACACAGAGACUAUACUCAGGUGUCAGCUCGGGAGAUCUAGCAGCUGCGGUUCGUUACGUUUUCUACUUGGUUUCCAGCUGCCAGGGAUCCGAGAGCUAGUGCCGAGUUCAACACAGUGGUUCAGGAGGAUAUAUACGAGGCACUAGUUCGCUCUCAGGCUCAGUUCCGGGAGCACAGGGUGCUGACCUUGAGAUACUGGGGAACGUGGUUGGUGCAGACAACAGGCAGUACAUCACAUAUCUCCACGGUCUCCCAGAGUUACUUGCUCUCCCUGGUACUUAUUGUGGGUAGUGGGUCAGAGAGUCCAAUGCUUCAGUAUGGGUUUCUCCGGAUCAUAGCUAUAUUCACUAUGCACUGGCAGAGACAGACUACAGGGUCACAGCACAGAGUGCCAGAGAGGUCCUUGGGUUGAGAGCCUACUCCACCAGGAUUCACCAGCUGUGCUACGGGAACUUCGAGCCCCCUCGACGUCCUCACGGUGGUGAGCUACCACCGGUUGACUUUGUGGCUCCUUGUUUCCGUCAGCCAUUAAGAGAGGGCUCUAGCAGGACAGUUGGAGAUCUCACACGCCCAGCCAAGAUCCUCGACUUUGUGUUGAGGAAGACACUCUUUCCCAGGACAGGUUACUGUUGGGUAUUCUUAACAUCAUUACUAAAAGUAGACUAAGUUCUAAAUCUAGCAACGGUGCCAAAAAUGCCAAACCUAUCCCUCACACCACUUAAGCCAAGUUGUCAUCCCCAGCAUGACAUGAGAGACGCGGUAUUGAAAUAUGCAAUUGCUCUUCUAAAUAAAUAAUGAAUGGGAUCUGCAAGCGCACAGAUUAAUACCGAUGCACCAUUUUAACCGGGAAGUAUUCCAGGUAUCGUUAUUUAUAUUUUUACCACUGGGAAGGGAUUAGCAAUCAUCACUAUUGAUUACAGAAUAGAAUAUGAGAUUGAGCAUCUAUCAUUGCAUGUAUAAUUGAGAACAUUAUAUCUAACUCUUCAUACAGGGAUAAGUGUCACAUAAAAGAUAUAUGAAAUAAUAAUAGUGACAAGGAUAACUAAUCUGAUCUAGCCACAUAAUAAAUAUGAUAAGCACCUCAAUUAGAUACUCUAGAAAGUCAUUAGCAUGGUAUUAGAAUGAACUACAAGAAUAUUCCCUAAGUUAUUCUUAACUAUAUAGUCUAGCAUUAUCAUAGUUAGUGCAAGCAUACUUAGCAAUCAUUGCGAGACAAGACUACGCCCAUGCAUAGUGAUAUUAGCAAGAAAUAUGAGAAACAUAGCAAUCACUCCCCUGUAAUAAUGUUGCUCUGCCAGCCCAAUACACGAGAGGGGGACUAUAUAAGAAUCAAUGAAGCUGUCACUAUCACGAACCACCCCACGAUCUGGCAUAUUGGGUACAAUCGCAGAUAAAUACGGUAUAAGCACCACGCCUACACAAUAUCUAUCAUUUACCCAUGGAUCCGAUGGAUAAACGCUAUACGAUCCUAAGCAUGUAUAUAGAUCGUAUCUAACUAAGCCAAGUACAUAACUAUGAUAAACUAAGAACAAUAUAAUCUUGAAUAUAAGCAAGUAGAGCAAAGUCAUAAGCAAUAUACUGAAGUAGAACAAAGUCAUAUUCAUAAUAUUGAAGAACAAAGAUAAUUAGAAAGCAAUUAGAAGCACAAUUAGAGAAUUACCAAGAAUCCUCCUGACAGAUCCGGAAAACAAUCGAAGAUUGACUCCUUCUAGUUCUAAUCCUAUGUAGCUAUGCUAAUCUAGAUAUCUAAUUGAUGUGGUGGCUCUAAUCUUGAUCAGAGGCUUCUUCUCCCUUGAUGGAACAAUGAAUUAGGGUUGAGAGGCUCUCUCCUCCAGGGGCCAGGGGGUCUGGUUUUAUAGUCCCUUCAAGUGAAUAUGGGCCCUUGGAUCAAACCGACAUAGAUUGUAUGGUUUAGAUUCAUCCUUUAGGUCGGUGGAGACUUCCCGCAAAGCAGAGUCCUGUUUGGACUCCAACAGGGGGCGGGCACCCAGUAGGACAGGGCAGGCGCCCUGUCUCUGGCCCCGUUUCGCCUCCGCUUCGGUCUCGUGGCUUCUGGAGUCUUCUAGAUGUAAGAUAAUUGCGCAGCACGUUAAUAUCUUUACGUAAUCCUCACAUGUGGGCCUUUCUUCCGAAUUUCCUGAUAACCCCCUGCAGAAAUAGACAAACACCAAAACUCGUGGAAUUCUGUCAGAUAAGACCCUAAGUCUAGAUCUUGAUUUCAUUUGGAUCCUUUUCUUUAUUUAUUUGAUAAUUAAAUUUGAUACUUAAGGACCGUCAACAAACUCCCCCAAGCUUACCUCUUGCUCGUCCCUGAGCAAGGAUAGACUCAGCUAUGGACCAGAAGUAGUUGCAAUAUCUUUAAAAUUUGACAGUACACAUGCUUUUUAAAUAAGAUCUCAUCUCUGAGUGAGAGUAAACUGUCAAGACUUAAAACUUACUUACUUUACCUUCACCAUGGGACUUGUAACUGUCACUUCUGUGUUGAGUAGUUAAAAGAUAGAACAGUCUAGCCAAGUGCCAUGUCUCUUAUUCUUGAUCAGCUAUAGCUCUAGAGUUUUUGCAAAUUUUCAAAUAAAACUCAGAAAUUCCUUGUAUGAUUCUCUCAGGUCUCUUUUUUGUGGUAUUUUUGGAUCCUUACCAAGGCAUUGAUGGUAUAUGCCUUCUCUCAAGAUAUGUAGUAUUUGUGGUAUGAGGCAUAGUGACAUUGCCUUUUCUCUCACCCUACUCUAAUAAGGCUUUAAUAUCUGGAGUUCAUAGGUGGGAGAUAAAGUAUACAUACUUACAAGACAUUUAUUGCAUAGUCAAACCAUGGAUCCAAAGAAACAAAUCAAUAAGCUAAAUCAAGAUGUGCAUGUGUGGCGAAUGAAUGGUGUAUGGUGAUAAUGGUGAUAACAAUGGUGGAAACAAUGGUGGUGGAAGUCUAAUUCUACUUUACUCUUUUGAGGGGAUACAUACCUUCCUUGCUUUUGAAACUUUAUGAGGAGAAUGAGAUGCUCUUCUUUUUCUUGUCUCUCAGGUGGGCAUCUUGCAACCCUAAUUCUACUGUCGGACACUUGUCCAUUUUUACCUCUCGUCUCACUUUUUUUUUCCUUCUUUCGAGGUUCCGAGCACUUGCUCCUUUUUAUUUCCUCGUAUCUCUUUUUUUUUCAGAGCACUCAUCUCAUGAGAUAAUAUAGCAAGUGGUAGUAACAAGAUAACUUGAGCAUUUAUUUUACAAAGGGAAAAAUAGAAAUAUUUUUUUUUUGGUUAUUCUCUCCCGGAUUAGGAGUAGAAUAUUUUUGGGUGAUUCUGGAGAUGGAAAUGGAUGGAUAUAUGUGAAUGGUACUUCCGGAGUAGAAGUAGCAUAUAUGAGUGAACGUGCAAGUGAAUCUUGAUUUAACCACAUGACAAGCUCCUAAGGGUCUACACAGCUUGACCACACUCAAUGCUCAUAAGCAGUAAAUAAUAAAUGUGUGGUUCAAAGUCUAGCAAGCAUGCAUAUAUGGCUGUGGUAGGAAUUUAAGCUCUCAUCAUACAGGAACUCAUCAUGCAACAUUUUAAAGAUUUUCAAAGAUAAAAUUCUCCAGAAUUCUAGCAUCUCUAGGAACAGAUAAACAGUAGCUCAACCUUCCCAUAUCAUAUCCGUUAACAACUUAGACUUCAGAUCAAGUUUUCAUCCCACAAGUUUAGGUCUAGAGCAAGAUUUAAAUUAUAACAGUUAUAUCUAAACUUGAGAGAGAACUUAAAAUUCGCAAAUUAGGCAGAGCAACUAUUUAUCAUAUCCAUGCUUAAGUUUUAUUUAGAUACAGAUUAGCAUAGCCACUUUAUUUAUUUAUUAAACACACUAAGCAAAAGGCAUAUAUAUAAGCAUAAAAUCUUUAUUUGUUUUUUUUAUAGUUAUUUAUAUUCUAAAAUAAUAUAAGUAUAAAGAUAGAUAGAAAGAAAUACUUAUCGGGAUAAAUGGGGGUCCUCUCCCCCAAGCUGAAUUUUGACGUAAUUUCUCUUGGUGUAGCUAGCAGGUGGUAGAGGUGUAUUUGAAAGUCAGCAGCAUUCUGACAGCGAUUAGGAUGUCCUCCGUCUGCUAGUCUUCUUGAUUCUUAAAUUCUGUGGAGCUCAAAUAGACAACAAAGCUUGUGGAACUGAUUAAGUGUUAGCAUAAAUAUCUAGCCUUUAUCCUGUUGAGACUCCUUAAUAAUUAUUACUCCCUGUUUUUAUAUUUUUGUUUUUAUAAAGCAGAAAAAUAUUUAUUUUAUUUUUAUGCCACCACAGUGAAUGUACUUAUGGGUUUUAUGCCACUCGUCUACUCACAUGGGGCUUACUGUUUUUAACAUUUUUAUUUUCUUUUUAAGAUAGUGUGAAUAUGAUUAACUAAGUAAACUAUUUGAAAUAAUUGAAAGGAAAAUGAUAACUACCAAGUUUACCUCUCGGCAAGGCGUCCGGUGUUUUUAAGUCCUCCGAACGGGACUCUCCAUUUUCUUAAUCGUCCUGAGGUUCGUUGGGUGGCGUAGUCGGUACUUCCGGCAGUGCCUCCUCUUCUUGUAUAGUUAUCUUCAUUUUCCAUACCUGACUCGGUGCUUCAAUCUCCUCUGGAUAAUUAUGUUUAAACUCUAUGUCUUCUAACCUUACAACUUCUCCUUCAUAGUCUGCCCAUCCGUCCUUGAUGAUCUGCCUCCUCUGGUUGCGGUUGCGUCGCUUUCUUACCUGCUUAGAUUCUUCAAUGAUAUAGUUAGGGUCAGUAAAAUAACGGCGUACCUUCUCUGAGGGGAAGUGCAUAUGGACUUCUCCGGCUCCAAUGUAGAUAAUUGCUUUAAUGGUGCUGAGGAACGGUCUUCCAAGGAUGACGGGUGGAUCAUACUCGUCUUCUCCCAUGUCAACAACUUGAAAGUCUGUGUAGACAAAGUGAUCGUCUAUUUUGACUGGGACAUCAGUUACUGUUCCUUUGACUUCUCGGAAUGUCUGAUCUGCCAUCUGGAGCUAAAUGUAUGUUGGUCUUAGUGGCAUGGUUCCGAACAAGAGCCGAUAGGUGACUGCGGCCAUUAUGUUGACGCCUGAUCCGGUGUUGCAAAUCGUCUUGUAGAAGUUGUAUCCAUUUAUGGAGCAGUAGAUGCUUGGCAUUCCUGGGUCGUCCUUCUUGGUCAAAAACGGUGACUUAAGUUUAUGAUCUUGGCCUCCAUGAACUACAGUGACCAUCUUAGCUGACUCGGUCCACACUUGCUUGUUCCUGUUUCUCCUGUUGGUCCUCUUCCUUGAUUCACGUCUGGAUUGAUCUUAAAUUUGUGUAGUCUUGUUCUUGAAGAAAAAUGUCUCCUUCUUCCCUUUGACGUAGAAACUGAUCUUGGCAGCACUAGCAUAGAUGAUAGCUCACGUGGUGUUUAAGAAUGGCCUCCCUAGGAUGAUAGGUGCUCUCUCAUCAUUUCCGGUCUCUACCACUACGAAGUCUGCUGGGGCAUAUAAGGUACCAACUCGGACACAAAGAUUCCUCACUAUUCCUUUUGGAAAAGUUAUCGUCUGAUCUGCAAACUGCAAACACAUGGUUGUCUCUAAUAAAGGAUAUGUAAAGAAUUUCUCAUAAAGUACCCUGGGUAUAAUGUUGACGCUAGAGCCAAAGUCACAGAGUGCUUCUGGGAAGUCCACCAUGCCGAUGGAGAUCGGGAUGACGGGGCGUCCUGGAUCGCCUCUCUUGACCGGUAGACGGUCAGUAGAAAAUUCAAUGACGGGGUUACUCCAAUUACCUGCAUCAAACACGUCUACAAGAUUUGUAGAUUCUAAUCCUUCCGGUUGUAAUGGUAUACCGGGGUUAGUAGUAGGAACAGCAGCAGCUAUUUGAUUUAACUGAGAUUCAAUCAUUUUAUUGAAGCUAAUUUGAUUCUUGAUGGCAUUAGAAAAAUUAUCCAUUCUAUUAUUUAUAUUUUCUAGCAUUUUAUCAUUAGACGCCAAUUUCUUAGAUAGGUUAUCCAUUAGCUUUCCUUGAUUAGACACUAACUCUCUCAAAGGUGGAAAAUUACUAUUGUUGUUAUAAGAAUUGUUACCUUGAUAAUUACCUGAGUAGUUAGGCCUCUGUUGAUUCCAACCUUGAUUUUGUUGAGGACGGUUGUAGUAGUUGUUGUUGUUGUUGUUGAUGUAGUUCACAUCCUCAAGUAUCUCAGGGCAGUGGUUGCCUGAGUGUCCAGUGUCUCCACACUCCUCACAAGUCAUGUGAGAGUCGUAGAUGUGCAUAACUUCUUUCUUGUCUCCAGCUCUAUCAUGAGCAGGUCUAGCUUUGCAGACAGCAUGUCUACCUCCUUCAGCUGAUGCAUACCUCCACCUCUCUUGCGUGUCUGGGUCCUCUCUUCAUUCCAGCUUUGGUUGGACGCCAUCUUCUCCACAAGAGCUGUGGCUUGUGGUAUAGUAAGUGAUAAGAAUGCUCCUCCAGCUGCAGCAUCCAUGGUUUCUCGGGCACUGUUGUUGAGCCCAUGAUAAAACGUCUGCAUCAAUAGCCAACUCUCCAUUCCAUGAUGGGGACAUUCUAGGAUGUAGUCUUGAAAGCGCUCCCAUGCUUCUGGAACAGAUUCAUCAUUUUGUUGCUGAAAACUUGUAAUCUUCCCACGGAGAGCAUUGGUCUUGCCCAUGGGAAAGAACUUAGCCAGGAAGUUUGUUGAGCAGAGUGCCCACGUAGUAUUCUUCUCCUUUGUAGCGUAGAACCACUGCUUCGCUCUUCCUAACAGUGAGAAUGGGAAGAGGCGAAGUAGUAUAGCGUCUUUGGAAACUCCUGUUAUGGUGAAUGUGUUGCAAAUCUCCAGGAAGUGUUGUAAAUGAGCACUAGCAUCUUCGUGUGCCUUCCCACAGAACUGGUUGGAUUGCACCAUGUUGAUAAGUCCAGGCUUGAGCUCAAAGUUGCCAUCGAUCUCUGCAGCAGGCCCAGUGCGGAUGUUGUCCGUAGUGGGAGCUGAGAACUCGCGGAUCGAUUUGUUCGCCAUGGCUUCGAACUCUGAAGACAAGUUCCGGUGAUCUUCUUGAUUGGAUGAAGCUUCUUCGUGAAGUGUUGAUGAUUUCUUUAGCUUGGCUCUCGUCUUCUUGAAUAAUGCUUCGGGAUUGUCAACAAAAUUUCCUGGAAGAUGUCUUCUAUUCAUGCAUUCCCCUGCAUAAGAUAAAAUAGAAAAAUAUUGGGGUAAAACUGUAUGAGAGAAUAGAUAAGCUCAAUCAUAUUAGUGAUGCGGAUGAUAACUCGAAAUCUUUUAUUCUAUCCCUGAUUAGUAAUCAACCUUCCCCGGCAACGGCGCCAAAAAUGCUUGUUGGGUAUUCUUAACAUCAUUACUAAAAGUAGACUAAGUUCUAAAUCUAGCAACGGUGCCAAAAAUGCCAAACCUAUCCCUCACACCACUUAAGCCAAGUUGUCAUCCCCAGCAUGACAUGAGAGACGCGGUAUUGAAAUAUGCAAUUGCUCUUCUAAAUAAAUAAUGAAUGGGAUCUGCAAGCGCACAGAUUAAUACCGAUGCAGCAUUUUAACCGGGAAGUAUUCCAGGUAUCGUUAUUUAUAUUUUUACCACUGGGAAGGGAUUAGCAAUCAUCACUAUUGAUUACAGAAUAGAAUAUGAGAUUGAGCAUCUAUCAUUGCAUGUAUAAUUGAGAACAUUAUAUCUAACUCUUCAUACAGGGAUAAGUGUCACAUAAAAGAUAUAUGAAAUAAUAAUAGUGACAAGGAUAACUAAUCUGAUCUAGCCACAUAAUAAAUAUGAUAAGCACCUCAAUUAGAUACUCUAAAAAGUCAUUAGCAUGGUAUUAGAACGAACUACAAGAAUAUUCCCUAAGUUAUUCUUAACUAUAUAGUCUAGCAUUAUCAUAGUUAGUGCAAGCAUACUUAGCAAUCAUUGCGAGACAAGACUACGCCCAUGCAUAGUGAUAUUAGCAAGGAAUAUGAGAAACAUAGCAAUCACUCCCCUGUAAUAAUGUUGCUCUGCCAGCCCAAUACACGAGAGGGGACUAUAUAAGAAUCAAUGAAGCUGUCACUAUCACGAACCACCCCACGAUCUGGCAUAUUGGGUACAAUCGCAGAUAAAUACGGUAUAAGCACCACGCCUACACAAUAUCUAUCAUUUACCCAUGGAUCCGAUGGAUAAACGCUAUACGAUCCUAAGCAUGUAUAUAGAUCGUAUCUAACUAAGCCAAGUACAUAACUAUGAUAAACUAAGAACAAUAUAAUCUUGAAUAUAAGCAAGUAGAGCAAAGUCAUAAGCAAUAUACUGAAGUAGAACAAAGUCAUAUUCAUAAUAUUGAAGAACAAAGAUAAUUAGAAAGCAAUUAGAAGCACAAUUAGAGAAUUACCAAGAAUCCUCCUGACAGAUCUGGAAACCAAUCGAAGAUUGACUCCUUCUAGUUCUAAUCCUAUGUAGCUAUGCUAAUCUAGAUAUCUAAUUGAUGUGGUGGCUCUAAUCUUGAUCAGAGGCUUCUUCUCCCUUGAUGGAACAAUGAAUUAGGGUUGAGAGGCUCUCUCCUCCAGGGGCCAGGGGGUCUGGUUUUAUAGUCCCUUCAAGUGAAUAUGGGCCCUUGGAUCAAACCGACAUAGAUUGUAUGGUUUAGAUUCAUCCUUUAGGUCGGUGGAGACUUCCCGCAAAGCAGAGUCCUGUUUGGACUCCAACAGGGGGCGGGCGCCCAGUAGGACAGGGCGGGCGCCCUGUCUCUGGCCCCGUUUCGCCUCCGCUUUGGUCUCGUGGCUUCUGGAGUCUUCUAGAUGUAAGAUAAUUGCGCAGCACGUUAAUAUCUUUACGUAAUCCUGACAUGUGGGCCUUUCUUCUGUAUUUCCUGAUAACCCCUACAGAAAUAGACAAACACCAAAACUCGUGGAAUUCUGUCAGAUAAAACCCUAAGUCUAGAUCCUGAUUUCAUUUGGAUCCUUUUCUUUAUUUAUUUGAUAAUUAAAUUUGAUACUUAAGGACCGUCAACAGUUACACGGACGGCUUCACCAGGAUACAGCAGUGGCUGGUAGCCUACCUCAUCUCGAAGACUCUAUUUGACUUGUGGGAUCUAAUAGUCUCUGAGAUCGAGGAUACUAUUUCAGAGUGCUUCAGGGGAUGGCGUUAGUUGCCGUAUGCACAUUGGAUCAUCAUGAUUAUUCUCCGUGCUAGGCCAGUAUCCCUUCUAGCUCACCUGCAGAGAGAGUUGUCGGACUCAGACACGGUGUUCCCUCACUACGACCCCAGGCAGAUGCUGAGAGCACACACCGAUCUCAGAGCUCCACCUCCUCCUAGUGCACCACGUGGCCAGGUGCCCCCUCCUUCUCCUAGGGGCACUCGCAGUUCAGGAGCAGUACCAGAGACCGAGGAGGAGCAGGACAUAGCUAUUGGAGCGUUUGCUGAUGCAGAAGCUGAGGAGGAGUUCGACUUUGCUUCGGACAGCUCGGAUGAUGAUUAUCGUCUUCCAGUGCCCGACCUUCCUCCGCGGACGCAUGAUCACGAGGCAGGAGGCUCCUCGAGUGCUUCAGACCCCGCUGUACUUGCCAUACUAGAGGGGAUGAGAGCCGAUCAGCGGCGGGCAGCUGUGGAGCAGGCGAGGAGAGACAGGGACCAGGCUGCCAUCAAUGCAGCCAUGCAGGCUUGGUAGGAUGAGCUGCAGCGACAACUUCUAACCUUCCAGGAGUAGCAUCUUGCAUUCCAAGCUCAGCAGACAGCGAUGAUGGCCGCUCUUAUGGCCGCCUCAGGUAUUCAGCUUCCACAGAUCCAGCUCUCAGGCACUUCGUCUGUGAGGCCUCCUACCCCAGCACCUCAGAGUCAGUCCCAGCAGCCACUUCAGCUCCCUGCUCAGAGUCAGCCGUUCUCGACGCCACAGCACCAGGUCUCUCAGGGUGCUAUCUCGUCUGGCUUUGAGCAGGUGCCGCAGUUCACGCCUCUUCGCUCUGGUUUCACACCUCAGUCAGUGACAGCCUCUCAGCUCGUGUUGGACUCGUCGGCAGGCCAGCACAUCAGCUACUCGUACAGUGCUCUGACUAGUGAUCCUACGCCUCCACCCCUGCAGGCUCCUGUAGCUUUUACGGUCCCAGUUACCACCACAGAGUGCCUGUCGUCGUCGGUAGCUUCGUUUGAGCCGCUUGCACAGUCUUCUACCGUGCCAGAGACGUCCGCUAUAGCGACUGAGUCCGUGCCAGCCUCGUCAGCAGGUCUUGAGCAGCCACCUCAGUCGGUGACAGUUUCAGCGCCCCUAGAGGAGACCCAGACAGCUUUGCCAGCACCUGCAGCUUCAGAGGGUCACUCCACCUCCUCCGCCUCGACGGCCGAUGGUUCAGACGAUGCAGCUCGUUUUGAGGCCGUGCCGAGGGACUCCACUGCUCCGCCUCCACCUCCGUCUUCUUAGGUUUUGGCGCUUGAUGCCAAAGGGGGAGAGAGUUGUGAGUAUGAGAGUUAGGGGGAGCUAGAGAGAUCUAGAGAGUGUGCUACUCCAUCAUGCAUCUUGUUUACUUUUAUGCAUUGCACAUGUGUGAGAUACUCUAUGGUUGUGAGACAUGACUUAUGCUUAUUUGUGAUUUCUCUAUGUCAUGUGUUUGGCUCAUAUUACCUUUGCUUCCGCGUUUUGCUCCGAUGUACUUAUGAGCCAUUUGUGAUUAUAUCCUGUUGUAUACAUCUCACUUAUUUGGAUGCAGGAUGUUAGACUUGGUUGAUAUAAGCAUGCCUAUCCCCUUUGCUCUUAUUGUAUCAUGCUUAUAGAAAGCAAGUCAUUUGAAAACCUCAUUUCCUUUCAUUCUCAAGGUUAUUAUCAUCAAUCACCAAAAAGGGGAUAUUGAAAGAGCAUCUAGGCCGCUAGUGAUUUCAGUGAUUAAUGACAAUGUUGAUUACUAUGACUAACGUGUGUUUUGCAGUGGCAAAGUCAUUAGUGAGGUCAUGGUAAUAGGUACUCGAUGGACAGGGACGUACAUGCCUACUUAAUUGUGGAAAUCGUUUCGGUUUUCAAAGGAUGGAUGGACAUCGUCAAGACUACACUAGGUCUAAGUGCCAUAUGGUGAAGAAGGGCACUUAGAGUAGUUUAGGACUUUGUUUUCUUUUUACCGUACUAUUAAGAGGGGCUUUGAUCUAGUAGCUUGACAUAGGCAAGGCUUUAGGUUUAGGUGUGGUGCACACUUGGUAAACCUAGCACUAGGCAGCUCAGAGAUAGUCCUUAGAUCGAGAGGAACCAACUUCGUUUUGGAGCGAUCGCGUUUCGACAAAGUUAGGGUGCCUAAAGAGGCACCGGACGCUGCACCGGACGCUUUGUGAGUGCGUCCGGUGAGGUCCUUAGCCGUUGGAAUCGUUUGGUGCUUAGGGUUAGGCACCGGACGCUUGCACCGGACUCACCGUGCAGCGUCCGGUCCCACACCCAAGGAGGUUGCAAACUUCCCUUGAGCACCGGACGCUAGCACCGGACGCACCGGGUAGCGUCCGAUUCCAUACUCAGGGAGUUUGUAAAACUCCUCGGAGCACCGGACGGUGCCACCGGAUGCUAAGAGGUAGCAUCCGGUGACCUGUCAGACGCAGGUAUAGUUAGCCAUUGUGUGUCACCGGACGCUCGGUGCAGAGCGUCCGGUGCAACAUUAACAGCGUCCGGUGACCCUGUUUUCAGUGGAAAACUGUUGGCUGACCUUUAGACUUCGUGGGAUGUAUUUAUACUUCUCCACCUCGUCCAUGAGAGCACUCUUGCCCAUUUGAACUUUAGAGAAACUUGUUUUGGAGCAAGAGGCUAACAAGAGCCUAGAGAGGAUUGACAUUUGAGUGAUUUCUUGAGAGAAUCCUUCUCUAGUGAAUUCCAAGAGUCAAGUGUGCAUCCACCACUCUCUAGAGCUUUGUUUGGGUGAAGUGAGUGUUCUUUGCUUGUUACUCUUGGUGAUCGCCAUCACCUAGACGGUUCAGUCGUGAUUGGAGGCAUGAAGACCGCCCGGAGUUCUUAUGGGUGGCUCGUGUCAAGCUUGUGAGCGGUUUUGGGCAAUUCACCGCGACGGAGUGUCGAAGAAUCAGCCCGUACAGAGCACUUGGUCCUUGCACGGACCAAGGGGGAGCAAGACCCUUGCACGGGUGCUCCAACCAGGACUAGUGGAGAGUGGCGACUCUCCGAUACCUCGGCAAAACAUCGUCGAGCACUUUCUUCCACUACUCCUUUAUAUUCUGGCAUUUACUUUGUGUUUCUACAUUCCUAGAUUUGCCAUGCUAGAAUAGGAUUGGAACUAGGUUGCAAAACUUUUAUCCGGAAGCUCUCUAGUCACACUAGGCACAAGGGGUUGAAAUGGAGCUUAUAGGUUGCUUAAAUUUUUAGAGAAGCCCUAUUCACCACCCCUCUUGGGCAUCUUGAUCCUUUCAGGAUGAUAUGACCAUGCCAGUAAGCAAGAUGUCACAAGCUCUAAGUCAAGCUACAACCACUUAAGUUUUACCUACACCGACACCAUCCCAAGUCAUCGAUGGACCGGUUACAUGUAGUCAUGCAAAGAAGCUACAACAAGAGGUCCACACGCUACUUUGCGAGAUUCAUUUUAACAUUAAUGAGAAUUAUAUACUACCUAUGUCGGUGUUUUUCCCCCGGGGGGUCACACCAACGAGUAAAUUUGUAUGCGUGUUUCCUUUUCCGGAUGGUGAUGCAAGAAGACACAGAGAUUUAUCCUGGUUCGGGCAAGAGAAGGCCCUACGUCCAGCGGGGGGAGAGAGUUUGUAUUAUCUUGCACCUAAGUGCUUGUACAGGGGCGAAUACAAGCGUGGUAUGAAGUGUGUAGCUCUACUGCGUGUGUGUGUGUUCUUGUGUUGUGAUGUCCCGUUCUUCUAUUCCUGAGUCUCUCCUUUUAUAGCUCCAAGGAGAGACACAGGGUACAUGCAUAGAUGUUAGAGUAGGGAUCGAUAGCCGCAUGGAGCGCUGACCUACUCGAGGCUUCCGUACGGCAUGGCCUCGAGCCGUCCCAUCUUGAUAGCCCGGUGAUGAUUACGCGUGCUCCUGUGUUCUGCCCUGCCAGCCGCCUUGUGCUGGUUCUGAGGUCGCAUGCUUGUACGGUAUGGUGGCGGAUCCGGCGGGGUAGCUGUGGUGUAGUCAGUCGACGCCCAACUUGUCCCUAGGAAGGGACCCUGUUCGGUCGAGGGUCGGAAGCCGUGUAAUAUGCUGGUAUCUGGAGCGCUGACCUUGGGCGUCUCGAGGGGGUCCCGAUUAGACGUUCCAUCCUUGUUUCCUGCGUCCUGACACGCCCUGGGUUGUUCGGUGGGAAGGCUGCAAAAAGUACGAUGGGACAGAAGCUUGUUCCCUAUCACGCCUUCCGUGACCUGUGUGUUAGGUGGGGAAGCGUCAGGUGCAUUUAAUGCUCCGGCCCGCGUGCGCGCGUCGGGCGGCGGACAGUGUCCUUGCGCCCGACGCCUCUCGGUUCGCUCGAGCCCGCUUCCCUUUUCGACGGCAGUCGUCGCUCGAGCCCUGACCGAUUCGCUCGACGCUAUUUCCGUCUUCGAGGCUGCGACCGUCGAUGGCGGCGCAUACGUAAGAUUAGAGCGUCGAAAUAAGGGUCUCGACCUUCUUACGGGCAAUCUCAUAAUGCGCAUCGCUGAGGGUACCCCUUACCGAUACCCUCGACAGUAGCCCCCGAGCCCUCGGAGGAGUUUUUGACUCCUUCGAGGGCUAUGUUGUCUAAUUCGCAGAAACGCUUUCGACACCAGUGGUGGAAGAUUCCGAUUGGCUCGUUUUUGCCCGGGGGUUUCGACGUACUCUCGAUAGAGCGAGCGUCUUCCAUCCCAAAUUGAGUUCCUAGUGGGUAGUCCAAGUGAGAACCUGUGCCCCUUUCGAGGGGGUCAGCUGUAGCCCGGAGGCGUCCUCAUAAAGCAGGGUCGACGUGGUCGGGGAUACCAGUCUCAUUCGAUAGAGACCGGCGGCUCGAUGCCUCCCGUCGGGGGGAUUCCUCUCGACUGUCUCGACCCUACCUUGAACAUCGCCAGCGAGUCCUCGAGGCGGGCCUCGAUCUUCGACCGCUCGCUGGGGAUCCCUGACUCUGGCGCUCGAGAUCGGCUGUCGAACCCUUUUGGCGGGCCAGCCAUCGACCUCUCGAGACUUUUGUGGUUACGUCCCUUGGCUUACGAGGGAAGGAAACGGCCGUGGCGGUUCGCCUUUCUGCCCGUUGGGCGCGCCUUUUUAGGCGGAUGACGUUACGACACCGUAUCGGCGAGGAAUUCGCAGAGUCCGGCCUGUGAGGAGAGAGAGAGGACUGUCAGGCGGCUCAUUUAUGGGGGGAGUUACCUUACUUCUCGGAUCUGUCCGUUGGCGGACAGCUGCCUAUAAAUACGUCGUCGCGUCACCGCCGUUCCUCUCCCUUCCGCCUUCUCGCUCUUGUUCCUUCGCUGCCUUUGCUUUCUCGCCAUCUCACGCGCACACGCCCCCUCGAGCUGUAGCAAACCCACCGUCCCUUUAGCCGAGAUGCCUGUAAGACUCGUCGCCGCCGACGACUGGCGCCCGUCGUCGAUGACGGAGCGUCGGCUGUUAGAGCUUGAGAAGGAGGGACUGCUGCGCCGCCGCACCUCGCUGUCGUCGCCAGAGUGGAUCGCGCCGCCGGCGAGCCACAGGGCGCCUCAGCCGCCCGAGGGCUACGUGGUGUCGUUCGCCAAGUUUCACCGCCACGGUCUGGGCGCGCCUCCAAGCCGCUUCAUGCGGGCCCUCUGCUUCCAUUAUGGGGUGGAGCUCCAGCACUUCUCUCCGAACGCCAUCACCGUAGCGGCGGUCUUCGCCGCCGUGUGUGAGGGCUUCCUGGGGAUGAUGCCGCACUGGGAGCUGUGGCUCCACCUCUACAGGGGCGAGCUGUUUCACGCCUCCACCGGAACCACGGGCGUAAGGAAGCCCGUGCGGGCGGGUUGCCUCAAUCUGGUGCAGAAGACGGGGAAGACGGACCGGCCGCGGGAGUACAUCCCGGUAGGGUUGUCGACCAACCACGCCGGCUGGGACUCCCAAUGGUUCUACCUGCGGAACGACGACAACCUCCUGCCUUCUUACUUGGGCCGUCUGAUCUUGGAGCGUCCAGCGGACUGGACGUACGGCGUCGUCCAAGCUCAUCAGUCUCGGCUCGACCCUCUCCUCGACGCCCUGAAGAAGCUUCGCCAGGAAGGUUUGACCGCCGCCCUCGUCCUCUCGGCCGUCCAUCAUCAGAGAGUUCUCCCUCUGAUGUCACGACCGUUGAGGAUGGACGAGAUGGGCCCUGGCGUCCCAUCUCGGGACCUCGAGGCAUGUCGGAUGUCCAACGAGCCUCCGGCGGACGACAAAGUCGCGGCCCGAGUCAGGGCCGCAAUUGCCGGUGAUUUUCAGCCGGAGCAUGUCAACGGCUUCCCCAUGAGACCUGACGCAGGCUCGAUCGAUCUGGUACGCUUUCUUCUUACGCGCAUCCCCGAUUCUAGGUUUCCUUUCUCCCCUCUCUUUUUUCUAAGUCUACCUUAGUUUUGGCAGGGUCGGAUUGAUGUCCGGUCCUCGAGGCCUCCGGUAAAGGAGGACGAGGUCGAUCGCGACAAACGGCGCCAAUCCGCCGAAAAGCUGAAGUCUGCCAAGGACUCCGCAAAGAAGGGGGAGAAGAAGAAGAACCUCGACCGCCAAGUAUUAGAGGCGCGUCGAGCCAAAUCCAGGCAGAGGGGGGAGCCUGAGGAAGAAUCCCCCAAUGAUGAUGAUGACGACGACGAGGGUAGCGACGACUCCGAGGGGAUGGCGUCGCGCCUCGAUCGGAUUCUCGAGGGCUCGCCUCGAGGUGACGUCGACGCCCCCCGGACGGAGGCGCCAGAGGAGGGUCCGAGCGGAUCUCGUCGUCCCCGGGCCGACGCUCCUUCCGCGCUCAAGGCGGGCCAAGACGCACCGCGCCCUCCCCCGGCGCCCAGGGAGAGCGGUCCGGCUAGGUCCCAGGCGUCGGGGCCGCUAACUCGCGGUCGCGCCGCGGCCUCUGAGAAAGGAGGCACCGGCCGUAGGAGCGCGAGUCCCGGCGUCCGCCAGGCGGGGACCGACGUACCUAAGCCAGUUCCUGCCCUCGAGGGGCCUAGAGCCCCGACGCGGGGUGGCUCGAGGCCCGCUGGUCGGGGUGGCGGAAGGCGAGCCGUUCUCCCCGUGGGGUAAGCCCUUUUGAUGUUGCAGUCUUUGUCCCCCCAUUCUUUCACCUUUCCUCACAUGCCGACUUUUUCUCAGGCUGAAACGGACCCUCGAGCAGGCCCAACCGUCAAUGGCCAAGAGGCUCAGAACGGGUGCCGCCUCCACGGAACCAGGUUCGUAGUUAAUUCCUGGGUGUCGCGAUAUUCUUACGUUGGUUAUCAUAACGUCUGACCCUUACCCUUUGUUUUGUAGGCUCAUCCAGCACCCAACCUCCAGCCGGCGUCGAGAGGGCUUUAUCUCGUCCCGCGCCUACUCCGCCGCCGCCGACUCAUGAUGCGGCCCCCCAGACGCGAGCGUCAGAGGGAGCCCCCGAGCCCUCUCGAUUGGGGGUCGAGGCGGAACCCAUCACCAUCAGCGAUACGUCUGAUGGCAACGAAGCGUCUGGGGGCGCUCGACCUAUGGAGGAAGAAGCAUCGACCCCCAACGUCGCGGGACGGACUCCCUGGCCUGCAGGCCUUCGAGCUCUCGAGGCGCAAAGGAAGAUGGUGGAGGAGGAGGAGCGGGAGCGCGAGGUGACGCAGCCGUCACUGGAGCAGCAGCAGCAGCGACCCCAGCCGGAGGAGCAGCUGCAGCACCAGCAGGAGGAGCAGCAGCAGCAGCUGGGGCAACAACAGCAGCUGGGGGGCCAAGAGGACGAGCCACUCGAGCCCCCGCCUCAAGUUUUGACCGAACCGGCGCCACUGGCGUCGCAAGAGCCCGGCGAUCAAGAGGGAAAUUUGCCGGUGUACGGACCUCCCACCCCAGCGUGGCUCCUCCCGGGGGCGCCUGCCGCGAUCCGGGCAGAGUCGGGGCGAGCGGACGGAGUGGUGGCGCUCGCCUGCAUGAUGCGCACCCCCACCGACCCCGAGUCCGAGAUCAAGAGGACAAUCUACGGCAUGGACGGGAUCGCCCCAGGGUUCCUCCGGGAGCGUCGAGCAUGGGAGGACCGCUUUCCCUCUGAGGAGGAUGAGAUCGGGUCGUCUGGGAGCAAGGACGGUACGUGGAAGACGGUGGACGACGACGGGCGGUUCCCUUGCCUCGCUGACCUGUUCUUGCACCAUGGGGGUUCCCUCGAGACCGUCGAGAACUUUCUCCGCGGCGUCAAGGUGUGGGCUGAUCGGGAGAUGGAGAACUGGUGUCCCGAUCGGAUUCGUAUCCGAGCUUCCAGCGACCCGUCCGAGCCCAAUAUGUCGAGGAGUGGGAGCAUGUCGAGGAGCUCCGCCUUUGGAUGAAACACGUGGUGGGGCUCCUAUCGGACGUCAUCAACAACGGGCUUGGGCCAGCUUAUUUUGUAAGUGUUUCUCGAGCUCCAAUCUUUGUGGCGCUUUCUGGUUUCUGUGUUCUAAUCCGUCUGACCCCUGAUUCGCAGGAUAUGAAAGAGACCUCUCGCAUCAAGUCCAGCUUCAUACAUGCCACGAGGGGCGGAUGGGAGCAGCUUCCCCUCCUCAAGGAUCAACUCCUCGAGUCGCAGGAAAAGCUGCUUAAAGCUUACAAAGAUCUCAUAGCACUCGAGGAGGAGAAGAAGGUGAGGGAGGCUGCUUUGGCCGAGGCCCGAGAGGUCUCGAAGAAGGCGGAGGAGGAGGCGAUGCAGCUACGGGAGCGGGCUCUCACGGUCGAGGAGGCCGCGUCCAGAGCCCGGGAGGAGGCCCUGUCCCACAAGAGCGUCAUCGCGGACCUGGACAAGGAGAAGGGCCUUCUCCAAACCGACCUGGACUCCCUCCGCGAUACCUUCCAAAAGAUGAAAGUGGCGUUCGUGGACAAUGAGGUCGCCAGGGGUGCCGCCGAGGACGCAAAGAAGAAGGCCCUCGAAGACCUCGAGAUGGAGCGAGCUCGAUCCCGCAGUCUCUCUGACGACGUCGAGCGUCUGAAGGGAGAAUUGCUGGAGAAGAGUGGAGCCGUCGCUCAGGCUGGCAGGGUGAUCGAAGAUCUCCGCGUCGCCAAUACUGAGCUGGCGCGUUCCAACAGAGAGAUCGAGCGUGCCAACACCAGAUUGGUCGGCGAGAACACGGCCCUAGAGGAGAGCAUCAAAGGUAUGUUUCCUUUGUCGAAUUUCCUUUUCGAGGUGUGCUUGAGUUUUUCCUAAAGCUUCUUUGUAUUGGUAUUUAUAGGGCUCAAGGACGAACUCCUGGCCGCCCAAGCCGAGGCUCGCAACGCCAAGGCUCAGCUCGAGGCUGAGGUUGCUUUGAACCGUCGAGUGCGGACGGCGAUAAGCGAUCUCUCGACCUCUUGGGAGGUCGAGCCUAUGGAUGAGUCGAGGGAGGACACUCGAGGCGACGCCCUGAUCGACCAGUUGUGCUACAUAGGCGCAACGCUGCGAGAUCAGGUGCGGGAUGCCCUCCACAUCGGGGUGAAGCGGGCGAUGGCGGUUGUCUGCUCGGGCUUCUCCUACGACAUGGAGGUGGUGUCCCAUGGCUUCGUCACCGAUAUCUCCAAGACCGACGCGGAGAACGAGGAGAGGCUCCAUGCCUUGAUCGACGACGCGGAGGCUCCUGGGGAAAGGUUGGCCAAGCUCUUCGAGCCUGAGGUGCUCCCUCCUGAGGCUAGCUCGGGCAGAGGCGAGGGCGGUGAGGAUCGUGCCGUUGACUGAGGCCUGCGAGCCUGCUCAGGGCGCCUGAGGCCCCUUGUACGAUACUUUAUUAAUUUUGCUAUUACAUGAUAUAGUAUCUUUUCGUAAUUGUUAACUGCUUAUUUGUCUUUCCGCUCGAGGUUCCUUUGUUUCUCUUUAUUCCUACGUUUGUAUCCCUUGCUCGACCUUUCGUCAGAAACAAACUCGAUUUCCGUAGCCCAGGGGCGUGGGAGUUUUCCGGCUCAUUAUCCCUCGGCCUUUGAGGGGCUCGAGGUGCCUUAGCUACUCGAACCGUGCAAGGUUUACCAAGCAAGAAAAGAAAAUUUCUUGGCUUUUUCGACGCUUGGGGAGGGGUCGUCCCUCUGGUAGCCCCCGAGGGGGUGCGGACUAUGAUGGGUCAUGGUCGGCAUCCCCUUUUGACGUCGAGACUAUAACUCGUAACUACUUUUGGUACAGAAAGAAGCCGCUCGAGGGAAAGACUUUAUUUAUUCAUGCGUUCAUUUACAAAGUCUUCGUUCAAAAAGUAGGAUCGUAAAUCUAGGACUUCUAGGGGUAGAAUCGACGUAGCUGUUCGAUGUUCCAUGCGUUGGUGAAGACUGCCCCCUUUUCGUCCGCCAAUUUGUACGUUCCUGGCUUAAGGACCUCGGCCACCACAUACGGGCCUUCCCAAGGUGGGGUCAGCUUGUGGCGUCCUUGGUUGCUUUGCCGGCGUCGUAGGACAAGGUCCCCUACGUUGAGGUCCCUCUUGCGCACGUGCUUGUCGUGGUAGCGUCGGAGUCUCUGCUAAUAUCUAGCAGAGUUGAGGAGGGCCAUGUCUCGAGCCUCCUCGAGUUGGUCGACCACGUUUUCCUGAGUCUCUUUGUUCGAUUGCUCGUUGUAAGCCUUGAGUCGUGGUGACCCAUACUCGAGGUCUGUGGGGAGGAUAGCUUCAGAGCCGUAGACCAUGAAGAACGGGGUGUAUUUUGUGGCCCUGCUUGGCGUUGUCCUAAGGCUCCAUAGGACUGAGGAAAGCUCCUCGACCCAUUUCUUGCCGAAUUUCUUCAAUCGAUUGUAGAUCCUUGGCUUGAGUCCUUGCAGAAUCAUGCCGUUGGCACGCUCGACCUGGCCGUUAGUUCGAGGGUGGGCUACUGCGGACCAGUUCACACGGAUGUGAUGCUGAUUGCAGAAAUCCAAGAACUUUCUGCCAGUGAACUGGGUGCCGUUGUCGGUGAUGAUGACAUUGGGGAUCCCAAACCGAUGGAUGAUGUCGGAGAAGAAAAGGACGGCCUGCUCGGAGCGGAUGUUGGUGAUGGGUCGAGCCUCGAUCCAUUUGGAGAACUUGUCGAUGGCCACCAGCAAAUGGGUAUACCCUCCUUUCGCCUUUUGUAGAGGUCCUACUAAAUCGAGCCCCCAUACCGCAAACGGCCAGGUGAUGGGGAUCAUCUGAAGAGCGUGGGCGGACAGAUGCGUCUGUUUGGCGUAGAAUUGGCACCCAUGACACGAGCGUACGAGCUCGAUGGCAUCCGCCACGGCCGUUGGCCAGUAAAAGCCUUGCCGAAAAGCGUUUCCUACAAGGGUCCGUGGGGCGGCGUGGUGGCCACAAGCCCCCGAGUGCAGGUCAUCGAGGAGUUUUCGGCCUUCCUCUACGGUGAUGCAACGUUGUAAGACCCCCGUAGGGCUCCAUCGAUAUAGCUCGUUGUCUUCGCCAUAGAUCACAUAUGAUUUGGCCCGUCGAGCGAUACGACGAGCUUCUGUCUUGUCUUCUGGCAACUCACCGCGGAUAAGGCAGUCGAGGAACGGUGUGCGCCAAUCGAAUGGUCGACCCGGUCGUCGUUCUAUUUCCAUCACCUCUUCCUCCAUCAAGAGCGCAUCGACAGCAUUGGUUGGUUGGGCGAUGGUGGUGUCGACGCCAGCCCCUGUGCCUAGGUCGACGGAUGGCUCGUGAAGAUCCUUUGAGAAUGCAUCAGGCGGCACCGUGCCUCUGGUAGAUGCGAUCUUGGCGAGUUCGUCGGCUGCCUCGUUGUAGCGUCGAGCGACAUGGACAAGCUCGAGGCCGUGGAACCUGUCUUCGAGUCGACGGACCUCCUUGCAGUACGCUUCCAUUUUUGGGUCGUGGCAACUCGAGGUUUUCAUUACCUGGUCGAUGACGAGUUGGGAGUCGCCUCGGACGUCGAGGCGUCGGACUCCUAACUCGAUAGCGAUCUUGAGACCGUUGACGAGGGCCUCAUAUUCUGCGACAUUGUUAGAUGCGGCAAAAUGAAUCCUGAUUAUGUACCUCAUGUGGACGCCCAAAGGUGAGAUGAACAGUAGGCCGGCCCCGGCCCCAGUUUUCAUGAGUGACCCGUCGAAAUACAUUGUCCACAGCUCCGCCUGGACCUGAGUUGGGGGAAGCUGGGAGUCUGUCCAUUCCGCGACGAAGUCUACCAGGGCUUGCGAUUUGAUGGCCUUUCGAGGCGCGUAAGUGGCCUCCUUGCUCUGGAUUAUCUCGCCCAAGGGGAAAGAAUAGACCACCGUGAUAGGAUGACCAAGGAAGUAAUGUUGCAGUUUGCGGCGGGCAAGGAUUACGGCGUAGAUCAGCUUCUGGAUUUGGGGGUAACGCGCCUUGGUCUCCGAAAGCACCUCGCUGACGAAAUAAACUGGCCUUUGGACCGGCAGCGCGUGACCCUCCUCUUGUCUUUCGACCACCACCGCCGCGCUGACGACCUGGGUCGUCGACGCGACGUAGAGGAGUAGCGGCUCCGCAGGUUGAGGUGGAACCAGGACUGGUGCCGAGGUCAGCGUCUUUUUCAGUUUUUCGAGUGCUUCCUCGGCCUCGGGGGUCCAAGAAAAGCGCUCAACCUUCUUUAGGAGUCGAUAUAACGGUAAUGCCUUUUCUCCUAGUCUUGAGAUGAAACGGCUCAGAGCCGCCAGGCACCUCGUGACUCUCUGUACACCCUUGACGUCUCGGAUCGGCCCCAUUCUCGUGAUGGCCGAGACUUUCUCGGGGUUGGCCUCGAUGCCGCGCUGCGAAACGAUAUAGCCUAGGAGCAUGCCUCGAGGUACACCGAAGACGCACUUCUCGGGAUUGAGCUUGAUCUGGCUGAUGCGUAGACAGCUAAAAGCAAUCUCGAGGUCCUGGAUCAGGUCUCCUCGUUGCUUUGACUUGACGACAAUGUCGUCGACGUAGGCUUCGACCGUCGACCCUAUGUGUUUGCCGAAAACGUGGAGCAUGCAACGUUGAUACGUGGCUCCGGCGUUUCGAAGCCCGAAUGGCAUGGUCACGUAGCAAUACAUCCCAAAAGGCGUGAUGAAAGAGGUCGCGAGCUGGUCGGACUCCUUCAUUUUUAUUUGAUGGUAACCGGAAUAUGCAUCAAGGAAAGAAAGGGUUUCACAUCCCGCGGUAGAAUCGACAAUCUGAUCAAUGCGUGGUAAUGGAAAGGGAACUUUUGGACAUGCUUUAUUCAAACUAGUAUAAUCGACACACAUCCUCAUUUUCCCAUUCUUUUUCUUAACUAAUACAGGGUUCGCUAACCAGUCAGGAUGAUGAACCUCCUUGAUGAAUCCGGCCGUCAAAAGCUUGUGGACUUCCUCGCCGAUGAUCUUGCGCUUUUCCUCGUCGAAUCGGCGCAACCGCUGCUUCACUGGCUUGGAACCGGCUCGAAUCUCCAAGGAGUGCUCGGCGACUUCCCUCGGUAUGCCCGGCAUGUCCGAGGGACUCCAUGCAAACAUAUCAGCAUUUGCACGGAGAAAGUCGACGAGCACGGCUUCCUAUUUGGGGUCGAGGUCGGCGCUGAUCGUCAGCACCUUUCCGUCGGAGUUGUUGGGGUCGAGCGGGAUCUUUUUGGUUCCUUCCGCCGCCUCGAAGCUGCCCGCGUGGCGCUUAGGCUCUGGAGCCUCAGCGGCCAGGGCCUCGAGCUUCGUGAUGAUCUCGGUGGAGCUCUCGACCGCCUCCCCGUACUCGACGCACUCGACAUCGCACUCGUAGGCAUGCUCGAAGGAGGAACUGACAGUGAUGACGCCUUUGGGGCCAGGCAUCUUCAGCUUCAAGUAUGUGUAGUUAGGUAUGGCCAUGAACCUGGCGUAGCCCGGGCGCCCGAUGAUGGCGUGGUACGUGCCUCGAAACCCAACCACCUCAAAGGUGAGGGUCUCCUUCCUGAAGUUGGCCGCCGUGCCGAAGCAGACCGGUAGGUCGAUUCGACCUACUGGCAGUGCCUUUUUCCCUGGCACGACGCCAUGGAAACCGCCGGCGCUUGGCUGGAGGCGUCCUCUAUCGAUGCCGAGGAGAUCGAGGGUCUCGAGGUAGAUGAUGUUGAGGCUGCUGCCACCAUCCAUCAGCACUUUCGAGAGUCGGGUGUUGACGAUGAUGGGGUCGACGACGAGCGGGUAGACGCCUGGGGCGACUACCUUGUCAGGGUGGUCUUCUUGGUCGAAAGUGAUGGGAGUGCUCGACCAGCUAAGGUAUUGGGGCACCGCCAUUCUUGCUGCAAAGACUUCGCGACGCUCCCUUUUGCGCUGCCUCGUGGUCAACUGAGUCGAAGGCCCGCCAUAGAUCAUGUAGCAGUUGUGGACGGCGGGGAAGCCGUCGUCAUCUUUGUUGUCCUCCUUGCCGCCAGCCUUCUCCUUCUUGGAGUCAUCACGCGUAUCUUUUUUGAACCCCUGACCGUCGAAAUGCUUUCUCAGCAUACGACAGUCCUUGAGUUUGUGGUUGGCGCCCCCCUUAUGGUAAGGGCACGGCUCCUCCAACAUCUUGUCGAAGAUCCCUCCCUCCGGAGGGCCUCGCGGCUUCUUUCGAUCCAUGGCGGCGACGAGGUUGUCACCUGAAUCUUCCUGGUGGAACUGCCGCACUUUCUGCUUCUUUUUAUUUUUCUUAAGGCCUCGACUGGAAGUCCCAUCUUCAUCGACAGGCUGCUUGCCUUUUCUUCCCUCUGAGCUGAAGAAGGCGCCGACUGCCUCCUCCCCUGCUGCGUAGUUAGCUACUACGUCCAUCAGCUCGUCGACGGUCUGAGGUCGAUUGCGACCUAAUUCCCGCACCAAAUCUCGACUGGUAGUGCCCGAGACAAACGCCAAGAUGACGUCGUGGUCAGGGAUGUGUGGCAACUCAGUGCGCUGCUUCGAGAAGCGUCGAGCGUACUCCCGAAGAGUCUCUCCUGACUUCUGCAUGCAUUUGCUGAGGUCCCACGAGUUCCCUGGCCGUAUGUAGGUCCCUUUGAAGUUACCCUCGAAGACUCUGACCAGAUCAACCCAGUUGUGGAUCUGAUUGGCAGGGAGUUCCUCGAGCCAUCGAUGGGCGGUGUCGGAGAGGAAAAGGGGUAGCUGUCUGAUGAUGGCUCGAUCAUCCCCUCGAGCGCCACCUAGCUGACAGGCCAGCCUGAAAUCGGCCAGCCAUAGCUCUGGCUUGGUCUCUCCAUUGUACUUGGCGAUGCUGGUUGGGGGUCGAAAUGGAUUAGGCAGGGGCGUGCUGCGAAUCGCCCUGCUGAACACCCGCGGGCCCGGUGUCUCGGGGGCCACCCGGUCCUCGUCGCUGUCGUAUCUCCCACCGCGAUGCGCGCUAUAACCACGUUCUUCCGCGUCUCCGUGCCGGCGGCGUCUAUUUUCUUUGAUGUCGUGCCGCGCGUCGUGUCGACGUUGAUUGUCGGCAGGGAGGAUGAGAGCGGUCUUUCUACCUCGAGGGGGAGGUUGUUGAUGGACUGACACCUCCUCUUCGUUUAGAGGCUGUUCGUCGCGCUUCUCUGUGGCAGCUCCUCGUCGUCGAGACGCCGAACUUUCGGCUUGUUGAACUGCUGCCACCUGGAGCAAUGUCUGAACCUCAUCUCGAAUGCGUCGGGCCUGGGAAUUUGACGGCUCUGGCAUGUUACGUAGCAGCAUCGUCGCUGCCACUACAUUCUGGCCUGCUCGAGGGAAACGGCUGACAGGUUGCUCCGCCUCUGCGUCACCGACGAUCUGUCGAUGUACCUCUCGAGCGCGUCUGCGGAUACUUCCGCCCGGCGGGUAGGGCAGGUCUUGUUCGAGGAUUUGCUCGAGCAGGACGAGGCGCUCGCGAUCUUCGUCGAGCUUCAUCUUGAGCUCCCGCAGCUGCGCGAGCUGCGCAGUUCUAUCUUCCUGAGGAAGAGGGUCGAGCCGUCCGUCGUUCCCAGGCGUCCUGGGGUCUUCUUGCGCCGCGGGGGCUUGACCACCCGCAGCAGCAUCCCGUGUCUCGUCGGUGGUUUCUGCCGCCCCAUCGAUGUGAUAGCAUUCCCUCGUAGGGUCAUAGCUGUCUGUCUCGGAGUCGGAGUCCGGUUCGGCGGCGUGGAAACACCCACGUCCUUCCUCCAGCAAUCGUUGCCUGAGGGAGGUGAUCGAGUAUCGUCCGGGGCCUAGACGGCGGAGUCCUCGUACUCGGGAAAGGUCCGGCAACUCGGACGCCGGCCGCCGCGCUUCAGAGCUACGUGGGAGGACCAUUGGUCUUUCUACGUACGUCUGGGCGUUUGGGCAUAUCGCCUUGGCGAGCGACGCCGCGGCGUUGUCCAACCCGAACGGCAGUGCCGCCCUUGGAGAGAACAACCCGUGUGGAAGUAGCCUAGCUGCGGUGGGGGAGGGCGCGCGAGACGCGUCUCCCCCCGUCGUCGCGCGGUGCUGAGUCGUCGUGCUUGUUGCUCCGUCACACGGCGUUGCCGACUUGUGGCCCACAUCCUGCCUUGCACGAGUUGUUGGUCGUGCUGAAGCAGAGGGGCCGCGGUGGUGCUGCCCGCGCCUCUUCUUAGGCGGGGAGGCAUGGUGGUGAGGGCGUCUCGGAGCCUUCAACCGUGCUGGCGUAACGCGGACUCCUCCUGGUCCUUUGACUGAGAGCAAGAUCAUGUCGUAGCCGGAGCCCGUAGACAUGAACUCGAGACUCCCAAACCAAAUCACCGUGGAGCGUGGAAGCGGCGAGGCAAGAGUAGCCAUCCGGAAAGUGGUGGGAAAUCGGUGAAAAACACGCAGGACCCCUACCUGGCGCGCCAACUGUCGGUGUUUUUCCCCCGGGGGGUCACACCAACGAGUAAAUUUGUAUGCGUGUUUCCUUUUCCGGAUGGUGAUGCAAGAAGACACAGAGAUUUAUCCUUGUUCGGGCAAGAGAAGGCCCUACGUCCAGCGGGGGGAGAGAGUUUGUAUUAUCUUGCACCUAAGUGCUUGUACAGGGGCGAAUACAAGCGUGGUAUGAAGUGUGUAGCUCUACUGCGUGUGUGUGUGUUCUUGUGUUGUGAUGUCCCGUUCUUCUAUUCCUGAGUCUCUCCUUUUAUAGCUCCAAGGAGAGACACAGGGUACAUGCAUAGAUGUUAGAGUAGGGAUCGAUAGCCGCAUGGAGCGCUGACCUACUCGAGGCUUCCGUACGGCAUGGCCUCGAGCCGUCCCAUCUUGAUAGCCCGGUGAUGAUUACGCGUGCUCCUGUGUUCUGCCCUGCCAGCCGCCUUGUGCUGGUUCUGAGGUCGCAUGCUUGUACGGUAUGGUGGCGGAUCCGGCGGGGUAGCUGUGGUGUAGUCAGUCGACGCCCAACUUGUCCCUAGGAAGGGACCCUGUUCGGUCGAGGGUCGGACGCCGUGUAAUAUGCUGGUAUCUGGAGCGCUGACCAUGGGCGUCUCGAGGGGGUCCCGAUUAGACGUUCCAUCCUUGUUUCCUGCGUCCUGACACGCCCUGGGUCGUUCGGUGGGAAGGCUGCAAAAAGUACGAUGGGACAGAAGCUUGUUCCCUAUCACGCCUUCCGUGACCUGUGUGUUAGGUGGGGAAGCGUCAGGUGCAUUUAAUGCUCCGGCCCGCGUGCGCGCGUCGGGCGGCGGACAGUGUCCUUGCGCCCGACGCCUCUCGGUUCGCUCGAGCCCGCUUCCCUUUUCGACGGCAGUCGUCGCUCGAGCCCUGACCGAUUCGCUCGACGCUAUUUCCGUCUUCGAGGCUGCGACCGUCGAUGGCGGCGCAUACGUAAGAUUAGAGCGUCGAAAUAAGGGUCUCGACCUUCGUACGGGCAAUCUCAUAAUGCGCAUCACUGAGGGUACCCCUUACCGAUACCCUCGACAACCUAACUGUUCUACCUAGAUUGUACUCUGGUAUAUAGAAGAAGAGAAGCAUGAAUCGGACCAUGAAGAACGGACCAGUGCAAGUUCUAGAAGAAGUCAAAAACGGACAAGUGGAAGUCAAAAACGGACCAGUGCAAAGAAAUCUUCAUAACUUUUUACUCACAAAAGCUAUGAAGGUCCAUGUGCACUUGAUUGAAAGCUUGACGAGUCUACUUUCCAAUGCAUCUAGUGGCGACCGAUUUGGAUACUUCAUAUUGCCUGCAGACCAGAAUUAGUAUAGACUGCUCAGAAGGUCAACAGUCUGCCGUGACAGAAUGUUGGUACAAUUUGCCAUGCAAAACUGUACAAAUCCACAAAGUUUCAUGGUGCAUGGCAAACAUUGCUAGAAAGUUCUUCGAGUCUAGUUUCACACCCAAGAAAUGGUUCGUCAUUUGGACUUCCCAAUAAAAAGGUAUGGUCAGUUUAUUGGAAACUGCUCUGGAGACCAACAGUCACACGAAGCCAGUUCGGGAAUCCAUUCCGAGGGGUCCUUUCACAUUGCCUUGCCCCAGAAACUCUAUUUCAUUUUCAUACCUAUCUAGGAGGGUUGUUCCUAGUAUAAAUAUCCCCUACCUCUAAGCUAUCAAAAACCUUUGAUCAUUUGAUAAACUACUUGAUAUUGCAGCCGUGAUGCUGAGUGUCUUACUCAACCUUUGUUAUUCCUUGUUCUUCUUCGACUUGUGAAGUGAAUCCUCUGGGUUCCCCUACUUCGUGCUCUACGGCUUCCGUUCGGCUGUGCCGUAUUGUGUGGAUUAGUUCCGGAUUGUGGUUCUGCAGUCGUUCAGAGAUCGAGUCAAAGUAUUCGUGGUUUCGGUGCCUCUCUCCCCGUCGCUUGGUCGCAUCCAACCUUUGUCAGGUAUAAAGCUAGUUACCCGCUGUUCGCAGCAAGUUAUCCUUGUUCUUUGAUCUACUGUCAUGAAGAUCGGGCCACCCUCGUGCCGAUUUAUAUCGGUACCCUAUCAAUGGGUCACCUCGGCUCAAAGCCUACAACGAGGAAACAAACAUGGAAACUCGAGAAAACUCGGUCGACCAGCUCGAGGAAGCUCGAGACAUGGCCCUCCUCAACUCAGCAAGGUACCAGCAGAAGCUUCGACGCUACCACGACAAGCACAUGUGCAAAAGGGACAUGAACGUAGGUGACCUUGUCCUACGCCGAUGACAAAGCACUUAAGGACGCAACAAGCUAACUCCACCCUGGGAUGGCCCAUAUGUGGUGGCCGAAGUCUUGAAGCCAGGGACAUACAAGCUCGUGGAUGAAAAGGGGCGGUCUUCACUAAUGCAUGGAACAUCAAAUAGCUACGUCGCUUUUACCCUUAGAGCUUCGAUGCUUUACAUUUUCACGCACAUCUUGUACUGAGACCCUGUGAACGAAUAUGUGAAUAAACGAGAAUACUUUUCCAAGUAGUACACGCUAUCACUAGUCAAAUCUCGACGAUAGAGGAAGUCCCGACUACGACCCAUCAUAGUCGACACUUCCUCGAGGGCUAGCAGGGGGGACCCCCCCACAGGUUCCUAAAAAUCAAACGAUUUUUUUUCAAAAGCUCAACGUUAUCUCUCCCCUUUUUCCAAGCCCUAAAGAAAACCCCACAUGAUCGAGUAGUAAAGGCACCUCGAGCCCCUUAAGGGCCGAGAGACGUUGAGCCUGAGAAACCCUACGCCUCCGGGCUAUGGUAACUCUACUCACUUCCUCACCCUCAAGGCAAUCGAAAUCGCCCCAAUGAAAGAUCAGUCGAGGAACAUAAACUUAGGCAGCAAAAGAAAUAAAAGAAACUCAGACAUAAAAAUAACAGAUGUAUAGGGUGUUGAUAUUUGGUAACGCAAUUAGAAAAUAAUCCGCAAGCGCACGGAUAUCGGUGAGCAUUUCACCCGGGAGGUUAUCCAGAGUUAUCGUAUUUAUAUUUUUACCACUGGGAGAAAGAGUGCAUCUGACUAACCAAAUCUAUUGCUAGUAUCCCUUUAGGCUACAAAGAGUGUCUCUCGAUGUGAGUGAUGUAUAGAGAAGACUGCAACCGUAGUCUCGCUCUAACCUUGGUAAGGAUGAUCUACUGUUCUAUUGGGGAGGCUCACGGAAUCUAGACACCACAAAAGAUGUUCGACCUGCACCUAUAAACCCUACCCGUCCCGCUAACAAGAUAUGGGAUACAAAGGUAACUCGGAAAUGUCACGUUCCUCGCUACUACCACGGUCCAGCUAGUCAGGGGAUAUCUAUGAGUACCCUAGCCUAAACACCACGUUUACGCCAGCAAGAGAUUACUCUAAUACUCAACCGGAAGAGGAUUAAAGUAAACUCAUAAACCAAAGAACAAUAAAACAAGAACUUACUAGAAUUAGAAGUCGAAUUACUGAAGAAUCUUAGAAGCAAGCCUCGGGUUAGGAGACUUGAUCCCGUAGGUACAACUCGGAGUAGACACCGACAGGCCGGCCUUCCUCCGAUCCACACCUCCACUCUAUCUCUCUCAAUCUAGUAGAAACUAGAAGAUCUAUUUCUACUUUACAUUGGUUGCUAAGCCUAAAAAGAAAUAUUAUUUAGAGAAGAUGUUUUCCUUCGAGGGCACCCCUCAAUCUCUAUGAUAAUUUCUUGUCUUCUCCAGGGGCCAGGGGGGUCUCCUUAUAUAGUCGUCCCCUUCUAUGCGUUUUUGGGUCGGUAGGCGAGGUGGUACUACGUUAUUCUGAAUCCAAUAGGUCGGUGGAGAUCUCCCGAGAGAAAGAGUCCUGAUUGGGCUCAACAGGUGGGCGGGCGCCCAAGGAAACUGGGCGGGCGCCCAGGUCCUGGUCCCGUUUCGCCUCCGCUUCGGUCUUGUGCCUUCUGGAGUCUUCUAGAUGGUAGAAAAUUGCGCGGUGCGUUGAUAUCUCUAUGUAAUCCUGACAUGUGGGCCUUUCUUCCUUAUUUCCUGAUAACCCCCUGCAGAAAUAGACAAACACCAAAACUCGUAGAGUUCUGUCAGAUAAAACCCUAAGUCUAGAUGUUGAUUUCAUUUGGAUCCUUUUCUUUAUUUAUUUGAUAAUUAAAUUUGAUACUUAAGGACCGUCAACAAACUCCCCCAAGCUUACUUCUUGCUCGUCCCUGAGCAAGGAUGAACUCAAGAGUUUAUGUAGUGGUUUCAUGCCUUAAAAGUACACACGCAUUCAAGCAAGAUCUCAUCUCUAAGUUAGAAUAAACUGUUAAGACUUAAAACUUACUCAUUUUAUCUUUCACCAUGGGGCUUGUAACCGUCACUUGUGUCUUGAGCAGUUAAAAGAUAGAACGGUCAAUUCAAGCGCCAUGUCUCUUAUUCGUGAUCAGCUAUAGCUCUGGGGUUUUUGCAGAUUUUCAAAUAAAACUCAGAGAUUCCUUAUAUGACUCUCUCAGAUCUCUCUUUUGUGGUAUUUCUGGAUCCUUACCAAGGCAGUAAUGGUAUAUGCCUUCUCUCCAAGUAUGUGGUAUUUUUGGUAUAAUGCAUAGUGAUAUUGCCUUCUCUCUCACCCUACUCUAAUAAGGUUCUGAUAUCUAGAGCUCAUAGGUGGGAGACAGCUAAUAUAUACUUACAAGACAUUUAUUGCAUAGUCAAACCAUGGAUCCAGAGAAACAAGUUAAUAAGUCAAAUCAAGAUGUGCAUGUGUGGCAAAUGAAUGGCGUAUGGUGAUGAUGGUGAUAAUAGUGGUGAAAGUCUAAUUCUACUUUUGCUCUUUUGAGGGGAUACAUACCUUUCUUGCACUUUGAAGCUUUUUGAGGAUAAUGAGAUGCUCUAUAUUUUCUUUUUCUUUCCUCUCAGGUGGGUAUCUUGUACCCCUAAUUCUACUGUCGGACACUUGUCCAUUUUUACCUCUCGUCUCACUUUUUUCUUUUUCUUCGAGGUUCCGGGCACUUGGCCCUUUUUAUUUCCUCGUAUUUUUUUUCUUCUCUCUUUAUUUUUCUUUCUUUUUUUUAGAGCACUCAUCUCCUAAAAUAAUGUAGCAAGUGGUAGUAACCAAAAUAACUGGAGCAUUUAUUUCACAGGGAAUAACAGGGAUUGGAAAAUGUUUUUGGCUAUUCUCUCUCGGAUUAGGAGUAGAAUAAUUUCGGGUGAAUGUGGAGAUGGAAAUGAGUGGAUAUAUGGGGAUGGUACUUCCGGAGUAGAAGUAGCAUGUAUGAGUGAAUGUGCAAGUGAAUCUUGAUUUAACCACAUGACAAGCUCCUAAGGGUCUACAUAGCUUGACCACACUCAAUGCUCAUAAGCAGUAAAAAGUAAAUGUGUGGAUCAAAGUCUAACAAGCAUGUAUAUAUGGCUGUGGUAGGAUUUUAAGCUCUCAUCAUACAGGAACUCAUCAUGUGUUAUUUUAAAGAUUUUCAAAGAUAAAAUUCUCCAGAAUUCUAGCAUCUCUAGGAACAGAUAAACAGCAGCUCAACCUUCCCAUAUCAUAUCCGUUAACAACUUAGACUUUAGAUCAAGUACUCUUCCCACAAGUUCAGGUUUAGAGCAAAUCUUACUUCAUAACAGUCAUGCCUAAACUUGAGAGAGAUUUCAAUUUUAAGAACUAGUCAUGGCAGAGCAACUAUUCAUCAUUUCCAUGUGAGAGUUUAUCAUGAGUGUUCAUAGCAAACUUUAUUUAUUUAUUUAUUUAGCAAACUAAGCAAAGAUAUAUAUAUAUAAAAGCAUAAAAUUUUUAUUUGGGUUUUCAUGAUUAUGCAUCUUUUAUCAUUUGAGUAAAGUAUAAACGCGAGUAGGAAUACUUAGCUGGAUAAAUGGGGGUGCUCUCCCCCAAGCUGGAUUUUGACGUAAUUUCUUCUGAUGUAGCUAGCAGGUGAUGGAGGUGUAUUUAAAAGUCGGCAGCACCCUGACAGCGAUUAGGAUGUCCUCCAUCUACUAGUCUUCUUUGAUCCUUGAAUUCUGUGGAGCUCAAAUAGACAACAAAGCUUUGUGGAACUGGUUAAGUGUUAGCAUAAAUAUCUAGCCUUUAUCAUGUUGAGCCUCCUCAAUAAAUAUUACUUAUUUAGCAGGAUCAUGCACUUAUUAUUUUUAUAUUUUUAUUGUAAGAUGAAAAUUUAUUUAUUUUAUUUUUAUGCCACCACAGUGAAUGUACUUAUGGGUUUUAUGCCAUGAGCAUACUCACAUGGGGCUUACUAUUUUUUUUAACAUUUUUAUUUUCUUUUCAAGAUAGCAUGAACCUGAUUAACUAAGCAAACUAUAAUUGAAUAAUUGAAAGGAAAAGGAUAACUACCAAGUUUACCUCUUGGCAAGGCGUUCGGUGUUUUUAAGUCCUCCGAACGGGACUCUCCGUUUUCUCAGUCGUUCUGGGAUUCCUGGAUGGCGUAGUCGGUAAUUCCGGUGGCGCCUCAUCUUCGUGUAUAACUAUCUUCUCUUUCUGACUCGGUGCUACGGUCUCCUCAGGACAGUUCUAUUCAAGCUGUAUGUCUUCAAACCUUAUCACUUCUCCUUCAUAGCCUGCCCAUCCGUCCUUGAUGAUUUGCCUCCUCUGGUUGCGGUUCCGUCGUCUUCUUCUUGUCCUGACCUGCUUAGAGUCUUCAACUAUAUAGUUAAGGUCAGUAAAAUAGCGGCAUACCUUCUUAGAGGAGAAGUGUAUAUGGACUUCUCCGAUUCCAAUAUAGAUGAUGGCUUUGAUAGUGUUGAGGAACGGUCUUCCAAGGAUGGUGGGUGGAUCACACUCGUCUUCUCCCAUGUCAAUGACCUGAAAAUCGUCUGGAGCUGAAUGUAUGUUGGUUGUAGGGGCAUGAUUCCAUGCAGGAGCUGAUAAGUGACUGCGGCCAUUAUGUUGUCGUUAGAUCCGGUGUCGUAGAGUGUCUUCUGAAAAGAGUAUCCAUUGAUUGUGCACUCGAUGCUUGGAACACCAGGGUCGUCCUUCUUGAUCAGGAAAGGCGACUUGAGUCGACGAUCUUGACCUCCUUGAGCUGCAGUGACCAUCUUAGCUGACUCGGUCCACAUUUGCUUGUUCCUAUUCCUCCUGUUGGUCCUCUUUCUUGGUUCAUGUCGGGAUUGCUCUGAAGCUUGUGUAGUCUUGUUCUUGAAGGAAAGUCUCCUUCUUCCCCUUGAUGUAGAGACUGAUCUUGGUAGCAUUAGCGUAGAUGACUGCUCUGGUGUUUAGGAAUGGCCUCCCUAAGAUGAUGGGUGCCCUCUCCUCACUACCUGUCUCUAUCACCACGAAGUUUGCUGGAGCGUACAAGGUACCAACUCGGACACAGAGGUUCUUCAAUAUUUCCUUUGGAAAACUAAGUGUCCGAUCUCCAUUGUGUUUUGUGCUUGUAGAUCCCGGUUCUUCACUUGGUGGAAUCUAGGAGUUGUAAAACUCCUCCAUGUUUUGUUUGAAGUGUACCUGUUCAUAGAGACAAGGCAGAGAUCAAGUGCAUGGGCCCUGUUGGUGGAAAACACCAACAUAACCAAAAGUGUAUUUGUUCUUCUCUAACCUUAAGCAUAGUGAGCAAGACAAAGUUGAUGGAUCAUGAGUGUAGCAUUUAAAACAUUUGUUAGAUCAGAUGGCUCAACCUAAUGGAAAGAUAAUCUAUCUAUAUUUAUGUUUUGUUUAUAUCUUCCAAAGAUUGAAUGUGCAACAUUUUAGCUUAUAUGAUUAGGAGUGUGGGAUCACGAAGGUAGUACUAAGAACAAAGAUUAAAGGACUAAUCAUGUUGAAUUAAUUGGGUUGGUUAAUUUGGAGUUAUAAAUCAUACAUGUUUGUCUCUUUAUUUAUGUGAAUGCUAGAACCAAGGAGAAGCUUAUAAAAGUGAUAGUCAAGUACCUUAAAAUGUUACCUUACUUGAAGAGUGACGGUACAGUAUUACCUCGUGGAAGCUUUCCUUUCUUAGCGGUUGUGCAUCGUGUUUGUGGCACCCUCCAUGAAUCAUCUCUUAUGAGCUACGUCUUUCUUGUGCAAAUUGUUUAAACUUCAUGUGUCACUUUCUUCAUCUCAAAUGUGAGUUUAUCUCAGGACUUCCCAGGUUGAUAUUGAAAGUUUUCCUACAGGGGUUAGUCCCACAAAAUAUACCAAUAUCUACUCAAGCAGUUUUUAGUUCAGUAACCAAACUAGACUCCAUGUCUAAUCAGAUUAAGGAAGGCUGUUUAACCUAAGCACCACGCUUAAUUUAAAUGCCAUUGGAAGUGUGUCCAGUACUUCCAAACUAACACUUACUUGAAUAAACAAAGGUAGCAUGAUGGCUUUUAUAGAGAUCUACUCAAGUGGAGAUGAAGUAGUGUGAUUAGUAUUUAACAAAUUGAGCAUGUCUCAAAGGUAAGGACAACCAACAUAGCAGCAUGACAAAGGAUGUUUUAUGUAAAGUACUCCCCCAAGCUUGAAUUUUACAAAAUUCAAGAUUGGAUGAAUUUAAUUUAAUGUUGCAUGAUGAUUGGUUGGGCAUACCUUGCGCUUGUCAUUCAUCCGAUCUUCUUGCUCCAAUCCUGGAAAGGUUAGUGGCAAGAAUACCCGAAGGAAUAUUUCUAUAAUUAUCUUUAUAUUCUCAAUACACCAGGCAAUGUUGCAAAUAAUUAGAAGUUCAUGUUACAAUCUGAUAAGUGCUUGUUUUAGGACACUAAGCUUGUCCUUGGGAAACCAUCAAUUUAUGUCGGCGAAGUGGUUUCCCUUCCCACGCUGACCUAUAUCAAGAUCAACUCAACGAGAUCUGCAAUAUUUAUUAUAGACAUAUGCAUCGACAACCGCCCUUUUAAAGUUUUUAUAAAUAGAAAGGAAGAGGGGGUUGGAGAUCUCAAAUGUGGUGAUGAUGGAGAGACCGAUUGAUUGGGGAGAUGUUUUAUAUGAGCAAGGACUUGGUAAGGUAUUUAUGAAAUAACUUCCAUGCUCACUGUUGUUUCUCUCAUUCUCAAACUCCAAGGAUGAUUCUUCAUGAAUGCUUAAAAUUCCUCUAGGAUUGUCUCUCAAGUUUGUUUUAUCUAUCCAUUUAAUGGUGAUAGCACAUGGAUUUUUAAUGCCCUCUAGCCAUUGAUGUUGCUCUUCUCGAUCCUCCUUGUGGUCUUGAUGCCUCUUAUGCAUGGGAUGUCUAGAGAGAUUCAUAGGAUUAUCGGGAGGUUCAAGAGAAAGAGCAUAGUAGAAAUUAUUAAGCUCAAGGAUGGGUUGGAUAGCCGAAUCAUGGGAUUGAAAUGUUGGGAAAUUGGCUAUUGAAACUUCCUUUCCUCAUCUGGGAGAUGAUUCCUUCUCUAUCUCUAAGAUUAUUCUAUGGAGACAAGUACAAUAAGGAUGUCCACGAAUGAAGACAUACCUUCCUUUACUAAUAGAUAAAGAAAGAAGGACUCUACCAAAGGUUAUAUGAUUAAGACCAAUGUGAAAAUAUUUAGGAAAAACAUGGUCUUGUAGGGCUAGGUCUAAACCAAAAUUUAUAGAAAGAUUAACAGAUUCCCUAGGUGUAGCUAAAAGUGCAUUAUCUUCUUGAUUAAAAGAUAGGACCUCAGCUAUAGAAAAGGGUUGGUUUUGACCUAUUGCAAUCAACUCCGGACACAGAUCAUAAUUAGGGGCAGGACAUGUUGACUCCCAUGGUCUAUGGCUGGUCUCCGAAGGUGCAAAGAAUUUAAUAAUAAGUAUGGAAUUUGAGUUAUCAAUAAAGAUAAAAACAAAAAGAUAAAAGAAUAAAAGUAUAAAAGUAUAAUACAAGAUAAUAGCAAGACUCAAAGUUAUCUCAGCAAACCGUCUUUCUCCCCGGCAACGGCGCCAGAAAUGCUUGUUGAUAUUUGGUAACGCAAUUAGAAAAUGAUCCGCAAGCGCACGGAUAUCGGUGAGCGUUUCACCCAGGAGGUUAUCCAGAGUUAUCGUAUUUAUAUUUUUACCACUGGGCGAAAGAGUGCAUCUGACUAACCAAAUCUAUUGCUAGUAUCCCUUUAGGCUACAAAGAAUGUCUCUCGAUGUGAGUGAUGUAUAGAGAAGACUGCAACCGUAGUCUCGUUCUAACCUUGGUAAGGAUGAUCUACUGUUCUAUUGGGGAGGCUCACGGAAUCUAGACACCACAAAGGAUGUUCGACCCGCACCUAUAAACCCUACCCGUCCUGCUAACAAGACAUGGGAUGCAAAGGUAACUCGGAAAUGUCACGUUCCUCGCUACUACCACAGUUCAGCUAGUCAGGGGAUAUCUAUGAGUACCCUAGCCUAAACACCACGUUUACGCCAGCAAGUGAUUACUCUAAUACUCAACCGGAAGAGGAUUAAAGUAAAGUCAUAAACCAAAGAACAAUAAAACAAGAACUCACUAGAAUUAGAAGUCGAAUUACUGAAGAAUCUUAGAAGCAAGCCUCAGGUUAGGAGACUUGAUCCCGUAGGUACAACUCGGAGUAGACACCGACAGGCCGGCCUUCCUCCGAUCCACACCUCCACUCUAUCUCUCUCAAUCUAGUAGAAACUAGAAGAUCUAUUUCUACUUUACAUUGGUUGCUAAGCCUAAAAAGAAAUAUUUCUACUUUACAUUGGUUGCUAAUUCCUUUGAGGGCACCCCUCAAUCUCAUGAUAAUUUCUAUGCGUUUUUGGGUCGGUAGGCGAGGUGGUACUACGUUAUUCUGAAUCCAAUAGGUCGGUGGAGAUCUCCUGAGAGAAAGAGUCCUGAUUGGGCUCAACAGGUGGGCGGGCGCCCAAGGAAACUGGGCGGGCGCCCAGGUCCUGGCCCCGUUUCGCCUCCGCUUCGGUCUCAUGGCUUCUGGAGUCUUCUAGAUGGUAGAAAAUUGCGCGGUGCGUUGAUAUCUCUAUGUAAUCCUAACAUGUGGGCCUUUCUUCCUUAUUUCCUGAUAACCCCCUGCAGAAAUAGACAAACACCAAAACUCGUGGAAUUCUGUCAUAUAAAACCCUAAGUCUAGAUGUUGAUUUCAUUUGGAUCCUUUUCUUUGUUUAUUUGAUAAUUAAAUUUGAUACUUAAGGACCGUCAACAUAGGGAAACCAUGAAUCUUAAGGCGACUCAAGCCACAACAUUCAGUUAAGACAAGUGCUAAAUAUUUUACAAUGGGUCUAAAUACCCAGAAUAGGCUCGCAAGGCCUUAGUCCGCAUCUAGGCCUUCACCACCGUCUUCCGCGCGUAGGCUAGUCUCAGGAGAGAGUACCUCUAGCUCGAACAGCUUCGCCAGCCUUUCCCCAGGGACCUCUGCGUCGUCGAUCAAGGCAUGGAGCCUCUCCUCGUUCUCGGCGAAGGUCUUGGAAAUGUCGGUGACGAAUGUAACACCCCAGGUGUUUGUCUUGAGUUUCGGCACUUACAUUUCAUGAGCAUAAGCAUCAUUUGUUCAUAUAUGAUAGUAUGAAACAUACUUUGAUGUUGUGACAAGUGAAUGCUUAAUGAUCCUACAUAAUAAAGCUUGUGGUUGCUGAUGGUGCUUCUUUCAUGUGUAUCAUCUCCAUCUCUACCUAGGUUGAUCACACAAAAAGUUUCGUGAAGUUUGGUUUCAAAAGGUCAAAUGAAAGGAUAAGUUACAUGAUUGUUGAAAUGACCUUAUUAAGUGAACGGAACCUUGGGAUACUAAAAUAACCUUGCAAUCUUGACCAAGUGACUCUAGAUGAACUCUACAACAAAGGUCAUGAAGGGUUCAUGUUAAGCUUGUGCCAAGAAAAUGCUUCAAUUGCUCUAAAACCCUAGUUUGAGCUUUAUCAAGUUGCUACUUUGACCAAAGUAAAAGUUUGACUUUGGUACCAGUUAUGAGGUUUGACCUUAAAUAAAAGUUGUAGUUUUGCUUCUGUAGAACAAACUUGCUUUAAAGUUCAAGAGCUAGUUUGGUACCUAUCCUAGUCAAAUUAAGCUCACAAGAUUCAAAUGCAGUGCUGUUAUGGAUCUCAGAAAUUUGGCCAAGUCAUCUGUGUUUCAGUUUCGGGUGUUCUAAUUGGGAGCUUUGUAGGUUCCUAACCAAGCUGAAACAGUCUUUGAGCCUUUAACAAAAGUUGUAGCUCAGUUUAUAUUUUACAAACUUUGUUUAAGGCCUCAUAUCUGAAUCAUCAUCUAUGCAUGUCAAAUAAUGGCCACAAGAUUGAAUCUGCUAUAGUUUCUAGCACUUAGAAUUUCUAAGUCUGGGAUUGCACUUCAUCGCGUUGGCAUUCCGCGUUCUCCAAAUUUUGUCAAACAACUUGAGUUGAUCACUUAAUAAAAGUUGGAGUAUAUAUUGUGGCCAAGAGCAUACCAAAAUAUGACACCAGUUGGAUUUCGUUUUGGUCAUCAAUUUUGAAUUUUGCUAAUCUUUAUCAAUUCAUUGACACUCAAGGGUUGGCAUCAUGUUAUCUCUUAAUCUGUUACUCUAAUAGCUUUGAACUCUUAAUCAAAGUUGGAGAACAGAACGAGUUGAGCAAACUUCAUUUUCGGCCCAUGUCCAAAUUCAGCACGUAGCUGGCCCAAAAUCACGCUCCACCGCUCCCACACCGUCACCCGCCACGUGCUCGACGAAAGGCUUCAAUGAGUGACACCUACUCUGGACGUGGCAACCAUGCACAGAGUAUCUCCUCCAUUGCUGCCACCUCCACGUUGCUCUCUGCCUCUCCCAUGCCCCAAAUGUGGAUGGCAGACCGUCCUCUAUCUCCCCCAGUCGUCCUCUCUCGCUCUCGUCGCCCUUGCUUGUCUAGUUCCUCGCCAUGGCCAUCCAUGUCCAUGGAUGGUCGAGCACAGAGCUGCUGCUGCUGCAGCAGCUGUGCUGCUGCCCUGCUUAUACUCGCCUCUCUCAGAAGCCUUCAGCAGUGUCGCCGAGCUCUACUCCCUCCUCUAUAUGCGCCGGUGCUCUCCUUGCCUCCAGUGUAGCCUUGACCAGUCCGGAGCCCGACCUCCAUCCUUCUCUGUUCGGUAAGCAGAAAACAGAGGACCUGUGGUUAGAAUAAGAAACAACUCAGGGUUCCAGAUGCGAAGCCAAGACUCAUAUGAACAGUGUUUCUGGGUUAUAGCGUGAGUCAUGGAAAAUCCAGGGUUCCCGGUGCAAGAUCUGUUUUCCUUUUUCUUUUGUUUUAGCAGAUUUCAUGGAUGAUCUUUGAAAAUGCAUAGUAAUUCGUAGAAAUUCGGAAAAUAGCAAAUGUGGACUUUUUGGAAUCCUUAUGAAAUUCUCUAUGCAGUAGAUCUAUAUUAUUGCAUGUUUUAGUUUGAAGUUUUAACGGUAAAAAUAGAUUUGUGCAGUUCGAUUUUAAUUGCUUGCUAUAUUUGUCUUUUUCAUAACCACUGUAUAUUGCUCAAAUAAAUGUGAAAAUGUUGUGACAAGCUUUUCAUAUUAUAUUUGAUAUCUGGUAAAAGUUUGAUGAAUUUAGGCAUGACAGAUUAGGAGUUAUAAAAAUAACAAAUGAUCUGUGUUGCUUUGCUGCUAUUCUGAGUGGAUCUGCAUGUUUAUAUUGUUUGGCUCAGUUAGGUUGUGAAUCAUGCCUGGAUGAAAAUAUAUGAGUUGUAGUACUUUUCAUAAGCUUUCCAAAACGAUAAAUAGCACAAUUUUUGGUCGAGCAUAUAUUUAUUUAUAGUAGUUUCAAUUAUUGUUCCAGUUUCUGUCUAAACCCAGACUGGAUUGCAUUGUUUGUAAUGUAAGACCUUGUUAGUGGUAGGUUUAGCUCUAGAUGUUUAUAACAAAGUUGUUCACAAUUUCGUAAGCUUUCUAGAAAGUACACAACCAUAAAUUAUGGACAUGUGAAACUCAUGUUAUGGCUGUUUAAUGUGGCAUGAUAGAUUCUGUCCAUGUUUUGAACAGAGAUGUCUUCAUGGGGCUUGAUAAAUGGUUUAUAAUUAUAAAUAAAAAUGUAAAAAUAGAAAAUUUUGUUCCAGUACAAUUCUAUGAUAUUUGUGUAUCAUGUUUAUAUAUGAUAUGGUCAUGCGUUUGAAGAAAAUAUGGUUUGUGCAUUUAUCUUGCUCUCACAUGGUUAAUUGCAAUAGUAAUUUGUCUUUUUUUAUAGAUGUUGCUAUGUUUAUUCAAAUGCAUUGAAAUUUAUAUAGUAGACUAUGAAUAGCAUGUAGAAGCUACUGUAAUGUUUGUAGAAUUUACUGUGCAUGUUUGGUAUAUGUUCUUUAAUUCACCUUGUUAUCCAAAUAAAUUAAGAAAUGCAUUAAAUAAAUUUAUUUGGUAAUGACCACUAUGUUUUCUAGUGUUCUUUAGAUAUGUGCAAACUGUUGGUAACAAUGGUUUUGUUAAAAUGCAUGUUUGAAACAUAAGUUAAUAAUUAAUUGUUUGCAAUUAUUGUUUCUGGACAGUUUGUGGAACUGUUUGGAUUACAAUAUGUAAAUGAUGUUUUCUGGGAAUCUUGUUUAUAGAAAAAUUGUAGAAAAUUCAGUUAUCUACAUGCUGUUAAAAUUUGGUAGUAUUUGGCCUUGUGGUUUGUGAGUUAUGUCUGUUCAAAAUUGGAUUUCAGAAAUGGUUGCUCUCUGUCUUGUUAGGACCUGAUUCUGUAAUCCAAAUAUUUUGACCUGCCAAACUUAUGAAUCAUGCUUUGAUGUCUAAAGAUGAAAUAUAGAUAAUUUAUUAAGCUUUGGAGAAUGUCUUCUUGCAUGUCUUUUGGAGUUGUGUAACUCCAGUUAUGUUUGCUUGAAGUGCCUAUCAGUUUUCUGUCUUUAUUUGUACCCUACUGUUUGGGGACAACAUGAGCUGUUUUAAUUGUGCAACUAAUUCCAUAGUAUAAAUUAUGUUUGCUUUGAAACUUGUCUAUACAAAAGUUGUAUAUAACUCUUUCAUAUAGCUUGUGUUAGAGUUUCAUAUCAUUUGGACAAAUGGUUUCUGAGUUAUAAGGGUAUUAAGUUUAUCUGUCAAAAUGCUUGUUCUCUGGUAUUCCUGGACCAGAUUCUAUAAAUAUGCAUGUUUGACUUAGUUAACUUACUAAUCAUGCUAAGAUGAUUAAAUAUGAAUUGUAUACAAUUUUAUAAGCUUUCCAUAAUGUCUUGUUGCAUGAAUUUUGGAUCUGUAGAACUCUGGUUAUGAUUUAUUUACUCAACUGUGCAUGUAUGUCCAGAAUUGCUAAAAAUGCAUUAAUGCUUGAUUAACUUACAUUGUGUGUGGUUUUAAGUGACUCAUGUCUUGGUGGUGUUAAUUAGUGUUAUGUGAUCCUAUGAAACAUGUGUUCAUGCACUUGCAUCUUGCAUGUCAUUUAGGUACGCUAGAUGAACCACGUGAAGGGCAUGACGGUGGACCUAUCGGGAUGAUGGGAGGACUAAACAAGUGUUGUGAACUUGGAUGCCGUCAAGACGGAGCAAGCUAACUAAUCUGACUCGUUGUCACAUUCCAGGCAAGCCCCGGAGCAUUAUAAGCCUCCUACUUUUUAAAAGUGAAUGAGUAUAUAUGUGUUGUAUAUGUAUUGUUGCAUUAAGUAUAGGAGUUGGAUGAAACCCUUGCUGCAUAUAUAUACCCUUCCUUGUCUAGUAUAUAUAUAACCUGAAUCCUAAUUAGACAGGAUCACGUCUAUGCUUAGCCAUGCUUAGCUCGGUAGAAGACAGGUGAUUUCCUGUCACCUGCGACAUAUAGGUGGAUUCCAGAUCACGGUUGGCUAUAUUUGCUAUCGUGGAAAAGAACCAUGUGUUAAUAAUAUGAAAGGAGACCGGGCGGGAUGAUGAUAGUGACGCAACAAGGCAUGGAGGUCUUGGGUGUGGAUCUAUCCCCGUCUGUGUCGAUUAAGGACCGAUCGUUGUACGUCCUCUUGUCAUGUUGAACGCAUGGCUAACACUUAGUUGGACGGAUAAGUCGUUCCGACCGCGAAGCCUAGUAGUAUGACUCAGGCCGGAAGACCUUCAAGUAUAAAGUGCGCACUACCGGAGGAAGUGCGGUGUGCGGUGGACCAUUGGCGUAAGUCCAAAGGCAGGUGAGUUAAAAUUCCUGACCUUCCUAGCAGAGUGGUAGCCCUGGGAGUGCGGCGCUGUUCGGAACCGCGAUUCCUGAGUCGUACCAAAGGUGACCCGUUGGCUCUCCGACGGGGGAUGCUUGGGUGAGUGCUAGGAAUACCCCUCCAGCUGGAUAGGAAUUGAUUCGAAUCGCCGUCUCUCCCGGAUAGUGAGAACUUGACAGAGCAGCGGCAAACGUAGCAUUCACUAAAUAACUUAAUGGUUUUAUGAUGAUGAUGAUGAUGAUCACAGCCUUGAUAAACCUGAUAUGGUUAUUAUUGAUUGAUAUUAAUCUAGUGAUUGCUAUAGUACAGGUGCUAAUCUAGUUGAUAGGUUAAGGAGAAUUAAAUGGAUGCUAAAUAAGAAUGGUUUAACUAUUUACACUUAAGCUUUUUAUGCAAAAUGUUGUCCAACAUGCUCGACUUAUAUAACAGCCUUGCGUACUCCUUGGUGUCAUUUAUUUCUGGUUUAUGACGGGUAAGUCUAGCUGAGUACAUUCUCGUACUCAGGGUUUAUUCCCACUUGUUGCAGGUUGUGAUGUAUCAUAGCUACUGCAAGAUUUGGAUGACUCCUGCUUUAGGGAAGGAGUAAGGUCAUGGGCAUGAUCCUUCCUACUUACCUCAUCUAUGAUGCUUUUGUUGGAAUGGACCAUGGUACUGGCAUGUAUUUGAAAUAAAAGUGAUAUUAAUUUCAAAUUACUUUGCUUCUGCUAUUUGUAAACUUGAGUUGUAAUAACCUUAUCGAACUCCGAUGUAUUUGAACUACUUGCGAAAUGUAUGUAACGUGUGACUUGUUAUGCUGAAUCACUACGAUCUUGGGUUGUAUGUUGGUUGGUUUGAAAUCCCUCGUGAUUUUGUUGGACUACCAGAGUUAUAUGGGCUCAAGUAUGAUAAAUUGAUCACUUCGGUGAUUGUUUUUGUACUUGUGCUCUUAUAUUUUGGACGGUUCCGUGACAGCUGGUAUCGGAGCAAGGUUCAACAGUAAACAUGUCACAUGUGUAUUUGAAACAAAGCUUUUCCUUAUAAAAAUCAGUUUUGACAACUUAUAGCUAUAUAUAGGUGUGUUCAAAUCUAAACUUUUAAUCUAAGUAUGCCAGUGGUCAUUUCUCUAUGCCCAACUAAGGACCUUUAGGUGGCUUAGUUAAGUACUAACUAUGGGGGGAUUUACUUACUGCAAUUUUUAUUUCGUCGUCCAUACGGCGUGCUAUUGUAUGGAUGCCAUUCACUUGAGUGGUAAUGUAUGGAUCAAUUUACAUCUACGCCCAGGCCAAGGUAUGUAUGUAUGAUGACCGCACUAUGCUACCCUGUGGUCAAAUGGUAGAGGUAGCCCUCAUAUAUGAAUUAGCCAUAUAUGUUGAUAGAUUCAAAUUUUGCAACAUUGCAACUACGCUCAGGUAAGUGUGAGUUGUGAGAGAAUGAUCGUCCAACCGUCGGUCUAGGGGAGAGCUAGUUUUGGUUACUGGAAUAUUUACAUGUUACACACAUGUAUAUAUGAAGGUACUUAAUUGUGGGUUAGUGGUACGGCCAUAUAUACAUGUCUCUAUGUAUGUGUAGCCGUAUUUCAUUUUGGAUAGUUUGAUGCUGAAAUAUAUAUAUUGGGAUAUAUAUAUAUGGAAGCAUCUAGCUUUCAACCUAGAAUCCAGUAUUUCAUUUAAUGCACUUAAAUCAUUGUUGGGUUGGGCUGAAAUGAAAUUCUCUGCAGGUACGCUGACCACGAAUGCGUAGAUUGUUUGUAGUUAACGACUAGCUUUAUGUCGAGAGUGUGCGUAUUAUGCCACCGAUAUAGAACGUGAUUACCACCUUAGGCUGGUAAUUUUGUGAGGACGAAUAGGACGAAGCAUGCAUCAUCAUGAUUGAUUGUCCUGUGCAUAGCUUUUCUCUUGUCACCCUUGUUCUAACAAUAAGUAACUUGUGAAUUAAUAUGAUGUGACUUUGCUUGUGUAAAGUUAGAUAAAAUGCCUUGCACUAUGUUGCUUGAGUAGCUAUGCUUGAUGUUAGGUUCUUCCUUUCUAGUUACCUACAUAGUAGUUCUUUUUAUGUGUGGUUGCCUUGCUUUCUAGGUGUGGUUGCAGCACAAGUUGUCUAACCUCUUGUCCUCAGUGAGUCCAUGAGUUUUCAUCCAGCCUUAUCAUUGUGCUUAUCUCAUAAGUUGCCUCAAAAACACCUUCUUGCUUAGAGCACAUGAGCUUAUGCAUCUGUACCUAACCAAACCUCAUUGGGUUCUCUUGAAUAUCAACUUUUGCCCAUGAUAUGUCCUGGAUUGAGCUUUGCCCAAAUUCUUUUGGAACCUUUGCUACCUAUCUAAAAAAAAAUCAUCUUGUUCCUAAAGACAUGAUCAUAUCUACCAACUUUGUGGUACAAUCUCGUAUCAUGAUCCUUGUCCUAAGAACCAGAUGUUGGGUUGCAUAAUGGUUAUCUGUCAAAUCAUGAAUCUCAUAUCAUGAUGCCAAUCAUUCUUAAUCAUGCAACUUACUGGAUUGGUUAUGCAUCAAUGUCAUAAUUCCCUAAAUCCUUGAACCACAUGCACACGUGCAUGUAGAAGGAGGUAUGCUCACAGUUAGUGGGGUACACCAUAUUCAUGUUGUAUCCUAACUGCAAUCAUAUUAGUAAGUAUCUUUCUAAAGAUCAUUCUUCAGAUCUUGUGCUUUCUACCCAUUUAACUGGGUUACCCUUUGAUCUGUCUCAAUGGCUUGCUUAUGUAUUAGUCAAUCUGUGCCAUCCGUCAACAUGAUGCACAUGUUUGAGAUGGCUGGCCUUUUUGGACAUAAGUGAGAUUUAUCUUCUCGACUGAAGAAGAGUAUGCACCUACUCAGCAAAGGAUAACAACACAUUCCCAUCAUGUUGUGUUUACUCUCUACCACCUUUGCUUAUAGUAAUGGUUGCUGGAGAUAAUUUCAUUGAUGUUUUCGCAUGCUUGCUUAUGUCUUGGGUGUCUUGCUUCUAUGUGCAAAAACCUUACCCCAAGAAUACUCUCAGACCACUUGGUUCCUUGUCCUACAGUUGAUCUAGUGCAAUGCUUAUCUGUUGUUGCAUGAGCCUCAUAAUCUUUUCAUAACAGAUCAUGUUGCUGCUGUGUCGAUCAAGCCCUAAUCUAAGUAUCAGCUUGGUGUUGACGGUCCUUAAUGCUCACAUUUAACCAUCAACUAAUCAUGGAAAAGGAUCCAAAUGCAACCAACACCCAGACUUAGGGUUUUAUCUGACAGAAUUCCACGAGUUUUGGUGUUUGUCUAUUUCUGCAGGGGGUUAUCAGGAAAUAAGGAAGAAAGGCCCACACGUCGGGUUUACAUAGAGAUAUUAAUGUGUCGCGCAAUUUUCUACCAUCUAGAAGACACCAGAAGCCACGGGAACGAACGGGAGGCCGAUCGGGCCCGGGGGCAGGGCGCCCGCCCUCCCCCCUUGGGUGCCCACCUAGCUACAGUAACCAAUCAGCUUCAACUUUGCGGAUCGUGCUCCACCGACCUAAGGGACCAAGGAAAACCGUGCGAUUAAUGUCGGUUUGAUCCGACGGCCUAGAUUCAUCUGAAAAGACUAUAUAAGCAAGGCCCCCUGGCCCCUGGAGAGCAUACCUCUUCUACAGAAUCAAAGCUAGGGUUUCAAUUCUUCAUCCAAGUAGAGAGGAUCCCUCUAGUUCUUCUAGUUCUACCUCUAGUUCAUCUAGAUCUAGUUCUAGUUCAUCUAGUUCUAGUUCUAGUUCUAGUUCCUCUAGUUCUAGUUCUAGUUAGUUCUAGUUGUAAUCUAGAAAAUAGGGAGAGAGAAGAGGAGAGCGGAGGAGGAGCCAGAUCUGUCGGAUCUUCCUCAACAUUAUACUUUUGCAGCAUCUGGUUCGUUCUUCAUCGUUCUCCAGGUUCUUCAAUUCACAAUUCCUGAGUUCUUUAAUUACUUUUAUUUACAUUCAAGUUAUUUAUUGGAUUCCCGCUUGCAUCAAGUGCUCUAGUCUUUAUAAUGCUAGAGUAGUAAUUAAUAGAUUAGACGUGGUGUUUAGUCUUGCAAUUACCUGGAAUUGCACCCAAUCCUGCGGAUUGUUGUGGUAGCCUUAGGGUAGUGACAGCCCUAACGGUCGAUGUAUUCCACCUCGUUCGGAUCGGUGUUUGUAGGACCGUAGUCAGACCUUCCUAGCCCCCUUCUCAUCUCUUUCUGUGGUUAGUGCUCUGAUGUCCCGAAAUAGAUAAUCUUGAAGUAAUUCUUGAUUCUUAGAUCAACUAGAGAACUCUCAGGAAACUUCCUCUCUUCCCACCAAAAAUAAUUAUAUAGUUAUCCUUGGGCGAUCUUGGAUCUUAAAUAGUACACUCACGUUCUCUGUGGAAAAUCGAUACUCUGGAAUACUCCCGGGUGAAGGCUACAUCGGUAUCCGCGCGCUUGCGGAUUUUUCUGUUUGCGUUUGAAGUACCCAACAAGCUUUCUGGCGCCGUUGCCGGGGAACGGUAGCUGUGCUAGUUUCGAACCAAGUCGUCCGUGUAUCCUUUUUCUUUUCCUUUUUUACCACACUCACCUUAUCAUUUUCACCGUACCACAUGGAUUUCACUCUAAGCAUUAAUGAGCAUGGAAUUUAUUUCAUAGCCACUUCACUUACUCCAUGCUCAUAUGCAACAUCUUCACAAUCCAUUGAUCUUUCUAACAUCACCACAUUCGAGAUCUCCCACCCCCUCAUCCUUUCUAUUUAUAAAAACUUUAAAAGGGCGGUUGUCGAUGCAUAUGUCUAUAUUAAAUAUUGCAGAUCUCGUUGAGUUGAUCUUGAUAUAGGUCAGCGUUCGAGGGGAAACCACUUCACUGACAUAAAUUGAUGGUUUCCCAAGGACAAGCUUAGCGUCCUAAAAUAAGCACUGAUCAGACCAUAACAUAAACUUUUAAUUAUUUGCAACAUUACCUUGUGUGUUGAGCAUAUCAGGAUAAUUGUAAAAAUAUUCCUUCGGGUAUUCUUGUCACUAACCUUUCCAGGAUUGGAGCAAGAAGAUCCGCUGAAUGACAAGCACAAGGUAUGUCCAACCAAUCAUCAUACAACAUUGAAUUAAAUUCAUCCAAACUUGAAUUUUGCAAAAUUCAAGCUUGGGGGAGUACUUGACAUAAAAAUAUCCUUUGCCAUGUUGCUAUGUUGGUUGUCCCUACCUUUGAGACAUGCUCAAUUUGUUAAAUACUAAUCACACUACUUCAUCUCCACUUGUGUAGAUCUCUAUAAAUGCUCUCAUGCGACCUUUAUUUCCUUUAGUAUAUGUCUAGGUUUGGAGUAGUUUCAUUUAUCUCUUAAUUAAACAUGGUGCUUAGUUUAGGAAUGAUGAUCGUACUUCCAAGGGAGUUUAAAUUAAGCAUGAUGCUUAGGUUAAAAUGCCCUCCUAAAUCAAAUUAGACAUGGUGUCUAGGUUGAUUUUUGAGCCGAUAGUAUGCUAUAGCAGAUAUGGGAUAUUUUGUUGGACUAACCCCUGUAGGAAAACUUUCAAUAUCAACCUGGGAAGUCCUGAGAUAAACUCACAUUGGAGACAAAGAGUGAGACACAUGAAGUUUAACAAUUUACACAAGGAAGACAUAGCUCAUAAGAGAUGAUCCAUGGAGGGUGCUACAAACACGAUGCACAACUGCUAAGAAAGGAAAGCUUCCACAAGGUGAUACUGUACCAUCACUUUUCAAGUAAGGUAACAUCUUAAGGUACUUGACUAUCACUUUUAUAAGCUUCUCCUUAUUUCUGGAGUUCACAUGAAUAAAAGAGACAAACAUGUAUGAUUUACAACUCUAGAUUAACCAACCCAAUCGAUUCAACAUGUUUAGUCCUUCCACCUUUGUGAUCCCACACUCCUAAUCAUAUGAGCUAAAAUGUUGCACACGCAAUCUUUGGUCAGAGGUGAGAAGACGCAUGGAUCUGAAUUUUAUCAAGUUUAAUGCAGAAUUGAGUGGUAAUUGGUUGAAUACUUGGAACUGUUGUGGUUAUCCAAUUCCUACAUGUCUUGGGUACCCUCAAUCUGUUACCUAAGAAGUUGCACCUGAUUCCACCCAAAUAACUUUUGUUGUUUGCAUACGAGGAUCCCCUUGAAGUAAAUGAUCAUGGAAGGUGUUGAACCCACAAAGUCAGCUAUCACAUUCAUCAUUCUCUUAACCAGGUUGGCAAGUACAAUUUUGUCAUCAGAGAAAGCGAACUGCAUGCUUGGAAAGUUGUACUCCAACCAUUUUGGUAGAAGACUACUUUUCAAACAUUGGAAUGAGCGUGGAACCACUAUAAUGAGCAACCCUUAGAAGCUUGUGACUUGGUGCAAGGUUCUUAUGGCUUGCAUUAGUUUCACAAAAAGACUGAUGAUACAAGUAGCUCCUUAUGCUCUGAACCACCCUUCAUACUUUGAGAACAAAGUGCACAAAACAGUGCUUUCUUGGAUUCCUCCCAAAGUAACAAUGCUUCAUCUUCAGACCAAAGCUUACUAGGAAAAGUAAGUAUCAGAAAACUUUUGGUCCAACUUAGCUUAUCUGAUGUUCGAAUGCUAUCGUUGAGGUUGGGAAAUGCUUGACAUUGUUUCUCUUCCCUUGAAAGUCUUUCGCACCGAAUCUUGGGACAAGAUUCUUUUUAAGGGGGGAGGGCUGUAACACCCCAGGUGUUUGUCUUGAGUUUCGGCACUUACAUUUCAUGAGCAUAAGCAUCAUUUGUUCAUAUAUGAUAGUAUGAAACAUACUUUGAUGUUGUGACAAGUGAAUGCUUGAUGAUCCUACAUAAUAAAGCUUGUGGUUGCUGAUGGUGCUUCUUUCAUGUGUAUCAUCUCCAUCUCUACCUAGGUUGAUCACACAAAAAGUUUCGUGAAGUUUGGUUUCAAAAGGUCAAAUGAAAGGAUAAGUUACAUGAUUGUUGGAAUGACCUUAUUAAGUGAACGGAACCUUGGGUUACUAACCUAACCUUGCAAUCUUGACCAAGUGACUCUAGAUGAACUCUACAACAAAGGUCAUGAAGGGUUCAUGUUAAGCUUGUGCCAAGAAAAUGCUUCAAUUGCUCUAAAACCCUAGUUUGAGCUUUAUCAAGUUGCUACUUUGACCAAAGUGAAAGUUUGACUUUGGUACCAGUUAUGAGGUUUGACCUUAAAUAAAAGUUGUAGUUUUGCUUCUGUAGAACAAACUUGAUUUAAAGGUCAAGAGCUAGUUUGGUACCUAUCCUAGUCAAAUUAAGCUCACAAGAUUCAAAUGCAGUACUGUUUUGGAUCUCAGAAAUUUGGCUGUCAUCAGUGUUUCAGUUUCGGGUGUCCUAAUUGGGAGCUUUGUAGGUUCCCAACCAAGCUGAAACAGUCUUUGAGCCUUUAACAAAAGUUGUAGCUCAGUUCAUAUUCUACAAACUUUGUUUAAGGCCUCAUAUCUCAAUCAUCAUCUAUGCAUGUCAAAUAAUGGCCACAAUAUUGAAUCUGCUAUAGUUUCUAGCACUUAGAAUUUCUAAGUCUGGGAUUGCACUUCAUCGCGUUGGCAUUCCGCGUUCUCCAAAUUUUGUCAAACAACUUGAGUUGAUCCCUUAAUAAAAGUUGGAGUAUAUAUUGUGGCCAAGAGCAUACCAAAAUAUGACACCAGUUGGAUUUCGUUUUGGUCAUCAAUUUUGAGUUUUGCUAAUCUUUAUCAAUUUAUUGACACUCAAGGGUUGGCAUCAUGUUAUCUCUUAAUCUGUUACUCUAAUAGCUUUGAACUCUUAAUCAAAGUAGGAGAACAGAACGAGUUGAGCAAACUUCAUUUUCGGCCCAUGUCCAAAUUCAGCACGUAGCUGGCCCAAAAUCGCGCUCCACCGCUCCCACACCGUCACCCACCACGUGCUCGACGACAGGCUUCAAUGAGUGACACCUGCUCUGGACGUGGCAACCAUGCACAGAGUAUCUCCUCCAUUGCUGCCACCUCCACCUUGCUCUCUGCCUCUCCCACGCCCCAAAUGUGGAUGGCAGACCGUCCUCUAUCUCCCCCAGUCGUCCUCUCUCGCUCUCGUCGCCCUUGCUUGUCUAGUUCCUCGCCAUGGCCAUCCAUGUCCAUGGAUGGUCGAGCACAGAGGUGCUGCUGCUGCUGCGGCUGUGCUGCUGCCCUGCUUAUACUCGCCUCUCUCAGAAGCCUUCAGCAGUGUCGCCGAGCUCUACUCCCUCCUCUAUAUGCGCCGGUGCUCUCCUUGCCUCUAGUGUAGCCUUGACCCGUCCGGAGCCCGACCUCCAUCCUUCUCUGUUCCGUAAGCAGAAGACAGAGGACCUCUGGUUAGAAUAAGAAACAACUCAGGGUUCCACAUGUGAAGCCAAGAAUAGUGUUUCUGGGUUAUAGCGUGAGUCAUGGAAAAUCCAGGGUUCCCGGUGCAAGAUUUGUUUUCCUUUUUCUUUUGUUUUAGCAGAUUUCAUGAAUGAUCUUUGAAAAUGCAUAGUAAUUCGUAGAAAAGUCGUAAAAUAGCAAAUGUGGACUUUUUCGAAUCCUUAUGAAAUUUUCUAUGCAGUAGAUCUAUAUUAUUGCAUGUUUUAGUUUGAAGUUUUAACGGUAAAAAUAGAUUUGUGCAGUUCGAUUUUAAUUGCUUGCUAUAUUUGUCUUUUUCAUAACCACUGUAUUAUUGCUCAAAUAAAUGUGAAAAUAUCAUGACAAGCUUUUCAUAUUAUAUUUGAUAUCUGGUAAAAGUUUGAUGAAUUUAGCCAUGACAGGUUAGGAGUUAUAAAAAUAACAAUUGCUCAGUGUUGCUUUGCUCCUAUUCUGAGUGGAUCUGCAUGUUUAUAUUGUUUGGCUCACUUAGGUUGUGAAUCAUGCCUGAAUGAAAAUGUAUGAGUUGUAGUACUUUUCAUUAGCUUUCGAAAAAGAUAAAUAGCACAAUUUUUGGCCGAGCAUAUAUUUAGUUAUAGUAGUUUAAAUUAUUCUUCCAGUUUCUGUCUAAACCCAGACUGGAUUGCAUUGUUUGUAAUGUAAGACCUUGUUAGUGGUAGAUUUAGCUCUAGAUGUUUAUAACAAAGUUGUUCACAAUUUCGUAAGCUUUCUAGAAAGUACACAACCAUAAAUUAUGGACAUGUGAAACUCAAGUUAUGGCUGUUUAAUUUGGCAUGAUAGAUUCUGUCCAUGUUUUGAACAGAGAUGUCUUCAUGGGGCUUGAUAAAUGGUUUAUAAUUAUAAAUAAAAAUGUAAAAAUAGAAAAUGUUGUUCCAGUACAAUUCUAUGAUAUUUGUGUAUCAUGUUUAUAUAUGAUAUGGUCAUGUGUUUGAAGAAAAUAUGGUUUGUGCAUUUAUCUUGCUCUCACAUGGUUAAUUGCAAUAGUAAUUUGUCUUUUUUUAUAGAUGUUGCUAUGUUUAUUCAAAUGCAGUGAAAUUUAUAUAGUAGACUAUGAAUAGCAUGUAGAAGCUACUGUAAUUUUUGUAGAAUUUACUGUGCAUGUUUGGUAUAUGUUCUUUAAUUCACCUUGUUAUCCAAAUAAAUUAAGAAAUGCAUUAAAUAAAUUUAUAUGGUAAUGACCACUAUGUUUUCUAGUGUUCUUUAGAUAUGUGCAAACUGUUGGUAACAAUGGUUUUGUUAAAAUGCAUGUUUGAAACAUAAGUUAAUAAUUAAUUGUUUGCAAUUAUUGUUUCUGGACAGUUUGUGGAACUGUUUGGAUUACAAUAUGUAAAUUAUGUUUUCUGGGAAUCUUGUUUAUAGAAAAAUUGUAGACAAUUCAGUUAUCUACAUGCUGUUAAAAUUUGGUAGUAUUUAGCCUUGUGGUUUGUGAGUUAUGUCUGUUCAAAGUUGGAUUUCAGAAAUGGUUGCUCUCUGUCUUGUUAGGACCUGAUUCUGUAAUCCAAAUAUUUUGACCUGCCAAACUUAUGAAUCAUGCUUUGAUGUCUAAAGAUGAAAUAUAGAUAAUUUAUUAAGCUUUGGAGAAUGUCUUCUUGCAUGUCUUUUGGAGUUGUGUAACUCCAGUUAUGCUUGCUUGAAGUGCCUAUCAGUUUUCUGUCUUUAUUUGUACCCUACUGUUUGGGGACAACAUGAGCAGUUUUAAUUGUGCAACUAAUUCCAUAGUAUAAAUUAUGUUUGCUUUGAAACUUGUCUAUACAAAAGUUGUAGAUAACUCUUACAUAUAGCUUGUGUUAGAGUUUCAUAUCAUUUGGACAAAUGGUUUCUGAGUUAUAAGGGUAUUAAGUUUAUCUGUCAAAAUGCUUGUUCUCUGGUAUUCCUGGACCAGAUUCUAUAAAUAUGCAUGUUUGACUUAGUUAACUUACUAAUCAUGCUAAGGUGAUUAAAUAUGAAUUGUAUACAAUUUUAUAAGCUUUCCAUAAUGUCUUGUUGCAUGAAUUUUGGAUCUGUAGAACUCUGGUUAUGAUUUAUUUACUCAACUGUGCAUUUAUGUCCAGAAUUGCUAAAAAUGCAUUAAUGCUUGAUUAACUUACAUUGUGUGUGGUUUUAAGUGACUCAUGUCUUGGUGGUGUUAAUUAGUGUUAUGUGAUCCUAUGAAACAUGUGUUCAUGCACUUGCAUCUUGCAUGUCAUUUAGGUACGCUAGAUGAACCACGUGAAGGGCAUGACGGUGGACCUAUCGGGAUGAUGGGAGGACUAAACAAGUGUUGUGAACUUGGAUGCCAUCAAGACGGAGCAAGCUAACUAAUCUGACUCGUUGUCACAUUCCAGGCAAGCCCCGGAGCAUUAUAAGCCUCCUACUUUUUAAAAGUGAAUGAGUACAUAUGAGUUGUAUAUGUAUUGUUGCAUUAAGUAUAGGAGUUGGAUGAAACCCUUGCUGCAUAUAUAUACCCUUCCUUGUCUAGUAUAUAUAUAACCUGAAUCCUAAUUAGACAGGAUCACGUCUAUGCUUAGCCAUGCUUAGCUCGGUAGAAGCCAUGUGAUUUCCUGUCACCUGCGAGAUAUAGGUGGAUUCCAGAUCACGGUUGGCUAUAUUUGCUAUCAUGGAAAAGAACCAUGUGUUAAUAAUAUGAAAGCAGACCGGGCGGGAUGAUGAUAGUGACGCAACAAGGCAUGGAGGUCUUGGGUGUGGAUCUAUCCCCGUCUGUGUCGAUUAAGGACCGAUCGUUGUACGUCCUCUUGUCAUGUUGAACGCAUGCCUAACACUUAUUUGGCCGGAUAAGUCGUUCCGACCGCGAAGCCUAGUAGUAUGACUCAGGCCGGAAGACCGGAAAGUAUAAAGUGCGCACUACCGGAGGAAGUGCGGUGUGCGGGGGACCAUUGGCGUAAGUCCAAAGGCAGGUGAGUUAAAAUUCCUGACCUCCCUGGCAGAGUGGUAGCCCUGGGAGUGCAGCGCUGAUCGGAACCGCGAUUCCUGUGUCCUACCAAAGGUGACCCGUUGGCUCUCCGAUGGGGGAUGCUUGGGUGAGUGCUAGGAAUACCCCUCCAGCUGGAAGGAAUCGAUUCGAAUCGCCGUCUCUCCCGGAUAGUGAGAACUUGACAGAGCAGCGGCAAACGUAGCAUUCACUAAAUAACUUAAUGGUUCUAUGAUGAUGAUGAUGAUGAUCACAGCCUUGAUAAACCUGAUAUGGUUAUUAUUGAUUGAUAUUAAUCAAGUGAUUGCUAUAGUACAGGUGCUAAUCUAGUUGAUAGGUUAAGGAGAAUUAAAUGGAUGCUAAAUAAGAAAGGUUUAACUAUUUAUACUUAAGCUUUUUAUGCAAAAUGUUGUCCAGCAAGCUCCACUUAUAUAACAGCCUUGCAUACUCCUUGGUGUCAUUUAUUUCUGGUUUAUGAUGGAUAAGUCUAGCUGAGUACAUUCUCGUACUCAGGGUUUAUUCCCACUUGUUGCAGGUUGUGAUGUAUCAUAGCUACUGCAAGAUUUGGAUGACUCCUGCUUUAGGGAAGGAGUAAGAUCAUGGGCAUGAUCCUUCCUACUUACCGCAUCUAUGAUGCUUUUGUUGGAAUGGACCAUGGUACUGGCAUGUAUUUGAAAUAAAAGUGAUAUUAGUUUCAAAUUACUUUGCUUCCGCUAUUUGUAAACUUGAGUUGUAAUAACCAUAUCGAACUCCGAUGUAUUUGAACUACUUGCGAAAUGUAUGUAACGUGUGACUAGUUAUGUUGAAUCACUACGAUCUUGUCUUGUAUGUUGGUUGGUUUGAAAUCCCUCGUGCAAUACCAAGCAACAGCAAUACAAGGAAUCAGCCAUUUUUAGGACUGUUAACAGCAGCUGAGGUAAUAAAUCAUAACUGGAGUUAUACAACUCCAAAAGACAUGAACUAAGACAUUCUGGAAAGCUUAAGAAAUUAUCUACAUUUCAUAUUUAGACAUCAAAGCAUGAUUCUCAACUUAAGCUGGUUGAAAUUAUAAAGUUCCAGAAUCUGUCCCUGACAAACGGAGAGCAGCCAUUUCUGGAAUCAAACUUUGAACAGACAUAACUCACAAACCACAAGGCCAAAUACUACCCAAUUUUAACAGCAGCUAGAUAGGUGAAUUAUCUACAACUUUGCUAUAAACAAGAUUCCCAGAAAACACCAUUUACAUAUUGUAAUCCAAACAGUUCCACAAACUGUCCAGAAACAACAAUUGCAAACAAUUAAUUAUUAACUUAUGUUUCAAACAUGCAUUUGAGCAAAACCAUUGUUACCAACAGUUUGCACAUAUCUAAAGAACACCAGAAAACAUAGUGGUCAUUACCAAAUAAAUUUAUUUAAUGCAUUUCUUAAUUUAUUUGGAUAAUAAGGUGAAUUAAAGAACAUAUAACAAAAUUGCUCAACAAAUUCCACCAAAAUUACAGUAGCUUCUAAACACUAUCCAUAGCCCACAGUAAAAAUUUCACUGCAUUUGAAUAAAGAUAUCAACAUCUAUGAAAAAGACAAAUUGUUAUUGCAAUUAACCAUGUGAGAAUAAGAUAAAUGCACAAAUCAUGUUUUCUUCAAACACAUGACCAUAUUAUAUGUCAACAUGAUACAACAAUAUCAUAUAAUUGUACAGGACCAACAUUUUUCCAUUUUCACAUUUUUAUUUAUAUAAACCAUUUAUCAAUUCCCAUGAAGACAUCUCUGUUUCAAAACAUGGACAGAAUCUGUCAUGCUACAUUAAACAGCUAUAACUUGAGUUUCAUAUGUCCAUAAAUUAUGGUUAUAUACUUUCUAGAAAGCUUACUAAAUUGUGAACAACUUUGUUAUAAACAUCUAGAGCUAAAUCUACAACUAACAAGGUCUUACAUAACAAACAAUGCAUCCCUGUCUGGGUUUAGACAGAAACUGAAACAGUACUUUAAACCACAAUAACUAGACAUAUGCUUAACGAAAAAUUAUGAUAUUUAGCUUGAUGUAAAGCUUAUGAAAUGUACUACAACUCAUAUAUUUUCAUCCAGGCAUGAUUCACAACUUAACUGAGCCAAAUAAUACAAACAUGCAGAUCUACUCAGAAUAGGAGCAAAGCAACACAGGGUAUUUGUUAUUUUUAUAACUCUUAAUCUACCAUGCGUAAAUUCAUAAAACUUUUACCAGACAGCAAAUAUAAUAUGAAAAGCUUGUCACAAUAUUUUCACAUUUAUUUGAGCAAUAACACAACAGUUAUGAAAAAGACAAAUAUAACAAGCAAUUAAAACCUAACUGCAGAAAUCUAUUUUUACCGUUAAAACUUCAAACAAAAACAUGUAAUAAUAUAGAUCUACUGCAUAGAGAAUUUCAUAAGGAUUCCAAAAAGUCCACAUAUGCUAUUUUACGACUUUUCUACGAAUUACUAUGCAUUUCCAAAGUUCAUCCAUGAAAUCUGAAAAACAGAUCUUGCACCGGGAACCCUAGACUUUCUCGGAAUCACGCCACAGCCCACAAAUACUAUUCAUAUGAGUCUUGGCUUCGUAUCUGGAACCCUGAGGUCCCUGGCUUCUUGUUACGUAACAGACGGACGAAGGAAUGGAGGUCGGCCGGUCCACAUUGGAGCCAAGGACGCCUUAGGGCUUGGCCACACCCAGCCUUGGCCAUGCUAAGCCGCUGCAUCCGCACGGCCAUGAGCAGCAGCAGUGCAGCAGCUUGAGCUCAGCUCUGCCAUGGGCCAUGGCGAUGGGAACAGAGAGUGGACAGGGAGGUAGAGAGUGAAAGAGGAAGAGAGGUGGAGGAGACCGUGGGCAAGUCCUCGGGAGUGGAGGGCGACAGGGCUGGCUCUCUGGUGCUCGUCCACAAUGGUACAGAGAGAGGACAAGGCAAGGUGGAGCUCGCAGCCAUGGUGGGAGCGCCCUGCUGCAUGGUCGCCACGCACAGGCCAGGUGUCUUCGGUUGGGGCAUUCUGUCGAACACGUGUCGGGUGACGGUUUGGAUAGAGUGGAACGCGAUUUUGGGCUUCUUGCAGGCCGAAUUAAACCGUGGGCCAAAAAUGAAGUUUGUUGCACUCGGCCUGCUAUACAACUUUGAUUAAGGGUGCAAAGCGAUUAGAGAAACAGAUUAAGAGAUAACAUGAUGCCAACCCUUGAGUGUCAAUGAAUUGAUAGUAAUUAGCAAAACUCGAAAUUGAUAACCAAAACAAAGUCAAACUGGUGUCAUCUUUUGGCAUGCUCUAGCCCACAAUAUAUACUCCAACUUUUAUUUUGGGACCCAAGCAAGUUGUUCAUAAGAAUUAGGAGAACGCGGGAUGCCAACAUGACGAACUGAAAUUCCACACUUAGAAUUUGAAAUGCUGGAAUUUACAGCAGAUUCGAUAUUGUGACUAUUGUUUGACAGGCUUGUAAGAUGAUUCAGACUUGGGCACUUUAAUAACGUUUGUAGCAUACAAACUAUACUACAACUUUUAUUAAAGGACCUAUACUUUUUUCUGCCUGGUUAGUAAGAUACAAGGCUCCCAACUAGGGUACCCGAAACUGAGCACCUUGAGGACUUAGCCCAAUUUCUGGGGUUCCAAAAUAGCACUGCAUUGAAUAUUGUGAGCUUAAUUUGACUAGGAUAGGUACUAAACUAGCUCUUGACCAUUAAAUAAAGUUUGUUCUACAGAAGCAAUACUACAACUUUUAUUUAAGGUCAAUCCUCAUAACUGGUACCAAAGUCAAACUUUCACUUUGGUCAAAGUAUCAACUUGAUAAAGCUCAAACUAGGAUUUUAGAGCAAAUAAAGCAUUUUCUUGGCACAAGCUCAACAUGAACCCUUCAUGACCUUUGUUGUAGAGUUCAUCUAGAGCCACUUGGUCAAGAUUGCAAGGUUAGGUUAGUAACCCAAGGUUCCGUUCACUUAAUAAGGUCAUUCCAAUAAUCAUGUAACUUAUCCUCUCAUUUGACCUUUUGAAUCCAAACUUCACAAAACUUUUUGAGUGAUCAACCUAGGUAGAGAUGGCGAUGAUACACAUGAAAGAAGCACCAUCAACACCCACAAACUUUAUUAUGCAGGAUCAUCAAGCAUUCACUUGUCAUGACACCAAAGUAUGUUUCAUACUAUCAUAUAUGAACAAAUGAUGCUUAUGCUCAUGAAAUGUAAGUGCCAAAAUGCAAGACAAACACCUGGGGUGUUACAAUUUUGUUGGACUACCGGAGUUAUAUGGGCUUAAGUAUGAUAAAUUGAUCACUUUGGUGAUUGUUUUUGUACUUGUGCUCUUAUAUUUUGGACGGUUCUGUGACAACGAAGCCGUGGGACACCACCUCCAUGUCGUAGGAGAAGCCUGAGCAGAUGACCGCCAUCGCUCGCUUCACCCUGGUAUAAAGGGCAUCCCGCACUCGAUCCCUCAACGUGGCCCCUAAGUAGCACAACUGGUCGACUAGCGCAUCACCUCGAGCCGCCUCCCUCGACUCAUCCAAAGGCUCGAGCUCCCAGGAGGCCGAAUGGUCACUUAUCACAGUCCUUAGUCGACUAUUCAGAGCAACCUCCCCCUCGAGCUGAGCCUUGGUAGAACGGGGAUCGAUCUGUGCGGCCAGGAGAACAUCCUUAAGCCCUACAAAGAUCGAUAAAGGAAAGUUAGAAAGUACGCGAAAUAAGCUUGACCAAAAGAAACACGAAAGCCAGAUCAUACUUACCAGGAAUCUUUUCUUCGAGAGCCGUGUUCUCGCCCACCAAGUCGGUGUUGGCCCUCUCGAUCUCCUUAUAAGAAUGAGCCAAAUCAGUAUUUGCGACCCGCAAGUGCUCGAUCAUCUUACCCGCUUGUAAGACAGCUCCCUCCUUCUCCAGCAGCAUUUUCUUCAGACGGUCAACGUCGUCAAAGAGGCUGCGAGAACGGAUUCGCUCUGCCUCGAGGUCCUCACGGGCCUUCUUCUCGGCCCCCUCCGCGGUGCUUCGAGCGAUCUCGCUCUUCACACGCUCCUCCUUUAUCUCACGAUAAGCCUCCCGGGUAGAGGCGAGGUCUGAUUUAACGAGGUUCUUCUCCUCGACGAGCUCGACAGCCGCACCUUUGUAGCGUGCAGCCUCCUUUCGGGCCUUGGAAGCUGCCUCCUCAGCUAAGGCGGUCGCUCCCUCAACUACACGACCUCCUCUUUUGCCUUCUCUGAGGCCUCCCGAGCCUCGGUCAGGGCAGCCUCCCUCUCUUUUUUCUCCUCCGAGGCCACCAUGAGAUCGUUGUAAGCCUGGAGCAGCUUUUCUUGCGACUCAAGGAGUUGUUCUUUAGGAAGAGGGAGCUGCUCCCAACCACCUCUCGUCGCAUGGAUAAAGCCCGACUUUAGGCGGGAGGUCUCUUUUAGAUCCUACAAGCAGAUAAUCAAACGAUAAGAAUACGAGACUAAGCACCCAAGUAGGUAAGGUCCAAAGAUACUUACGAAAUAGGCCUGGCCAAGCCUGUUGUUGACAAUGUCAGACAUAAGUCCCACAACGUGCUUCAUCUAGAGACGAAGCUCCUCGAGGUGCUCCCACUUCUCCGCCUCCUUUCGGUCAUCCAUCAUAAUAUUGGGCUCCUUCGGCCAGGUAGAGGCUCGAAGGCGGAUCUUCGCAGGGCCCCAGUUCUCCAUCUCCUCUUCCGUGCGUGCUUUGUUGCCCCGGAUGAGCUCUUGAAUGGUCUCGAGCGACCCCUGUUGACACUAGCUAACACCACUUAGAUACUAGGUUGUCAUCCCCAGCAUGGUGCCAGAGUGUACAAAGGUAUUUAUAAAUGUAAAGGCUUUCUAGAAAAUAAUCUAUUCUAUCCGCAAGCGCAUAGAUAAAACACCUCAUUGUAGCAUUUCACUAGGAUAAGUAUUCCAGGUAUUGUUAUUUAUAAUUUUGCUUACGAGGACAAAAGUGUGAAAUUAAGAUAAGGACUAAAUCUAUCAAGGCAUAGACUAGAGAUGGACUUGCAAGAAUAUGAUUACUAAUGAGAAACUCGUCACACAGUCACUUACUUUGGCAGGGGGUAAACCAUAAAGAUAAUGAUAAUGAGUUAUAAGUUCAUGGGUAAAUAACACAGUGAUUAGAAAAUAGACUACUCCUCAUAUAUGUAGGUGAUGUCGGAUUAGCUAGAGAAUGGAUUCUAAGUUAUCUACUAUCUACUAAGUCAUAAUCUACUCUAGUUAUCUACAAGAUCAUGUAUAGCAUAAAAGACUCUUCAUUUAUGUAUAAGGAACAUUGCUAAAGUAAAUCAGAACAUCGUAAGACUUACUCCGUAAUACAAAUUCUGCCUGUCCUAUCGACAGAGGGUGGACUAUAUAAGAAUCAACGAAGCUGUCACUAUCGCGAACUACCACACGACCCGGCCAAUAGGAUACAUUUGUAGGUAAAUAACAUCUAAGCACCAUGCCCACAUCUCCUGUGUUGGCUCUUGUGGUUGUGCUUGUCAAACCCAUGGGUCUCGAAGGACUCGAGGGUUGUAGUCGCAAUAGUAUAGGUGCGCUUCUUCUUCUGGUCCGAGAUCAGCUCCAUACCAAGUGCGUUCUCGAUGGGUGGUCAUCCUUUCAGAUGCCACUCGCUGUGGAGCUCUCUGGUUCACCGGUGUUACUGCAAUCUCAAUAAAAAAAAUUUGAACAACAUAGAGGCCAAGGUUCGGGUUAGGUAACCGAAUCUUGCCUUUAUUAUCAUAUAGCAUAUACAUUAUGUUCCCCUCUUUCUUUAACAUCCGAGCUUGUCUAAAUGUGUCAUAGCCAUGAUAAAUUCUUAACUCAUCUAUGAAUUCCAGUGAUGAAUUUUCUAGUAAAUGAAGAUUAAAGGCUAGACGAGUGAUAAGUGAAGUGCAUCCUACCGGUACCUGAAGACUAGGUAUACUAAGCCAAUGAGAAAACAAAAGUGUAAUAGGUGAAGUGGGUACUUUAUUAAUAGCAGCAUAUAAAAGUUGUAAAUCUUCUACUCUUACUUUCCUAAUGUCAUCACGAUAGAAAAGAUUGUACCCAAGCCAUUUGUGGAACAUCCUAAGAGUGGGGUGUUCCAUGUCACUGGUCCGGGCUUGACUAUAAAAAUUAUCUCUAGAUAUCUCUCUCCAGAACUGGUGUCUCUUAAAAUUAGGUAAGUCGGAGUCAAUGUUCAGGAUGCAUCUUGAAGAGAAACCAAGAUGGUCGCUGAGUUCUCUCCAAGACAACAUAAUCUCCUGUUUGAACAUCCGAAAUACAAUUCCCCCCUCGUAAUAUUGUAAAGUGCAAAGAAAUUCAAGAGUGAGAAGACGAGAACCUAGCUCAGUUAUGUUCCAAAAAUUUGUCCAACCUAACAUCUGGAAAAUUAAGUCGAAUUCAAUGUCCAUACCUGUUUCUUGUAGUAAGAUUGGAUCGAGAGUAGCGGUGUGAAUGAAAUCUUUGUUCUUUAGUUGCUAGUGGACUUCCUUUUACCUGCGGGUCUUCAGUCCAAGGUCUCCUAUCUUGAGAAGGACCUUGACUUGCUGAUCAGAUGAAGAUGACGGAGCUUGUGUGGGCGUUGGAUCGACGCUCAUCUCUAACGGGUGUGAGGAGUGUCGGGAUAAACUCCUUGUACCUAUGUUCUUGAGGGCCUUCCGUGCGUUCUUCACCUUCUUGAACAUCCUGUAAACAAAAGUUGGCAAAAACACAACUAGUGGAAAAUGUGAGAGAAAAUGUUAGUGGUCAGUUGUCCGAAAUGUCAGUAGUCCAGGGGUUAGUCGUUCAAGACAAGUUUUUAUUUUGGCAGCACCUCCCCCUAAACAACUAUUACUUCCGCUUGGACAGGAGGAUCACUACUUACUAGGUGAAAUUCACUCUCUCACUCAAAAACUACCAACUUCUUUCCCACUCUUCUCUUUCUCUCUACUCUCUUCUCACUUCACUACAAAAGCUCCUUCUCUGAAAAUUGAAACUUGCGUGGUUUUCUAGAAUGCUUGUGUGAUGGAGAUGGAGGCAGGAGGUGGCAAUUUAUAGGAGGAAGAGGGGGCGGCGCGGGCACCCUUGGUAGGUGGGCGGGCGCCCACUUGUGGUGCUCAUCCUGGCUGCCCUUUCUCCACUCCCUCCUUUGCUUAAUCUUUGAGCCAAAAAAUAAUUCAAUGGUGGUGGCUGGUUGGUGGAAAAGUGCUGGUGAGUGGAGAUAUGUUGGUGAAUCAAAUAAUGUGAUGGGAUGUGUAUGAGGUGUGGUGUAUGACAUGUGGGACCCAAGGAGUGUGGGUCAUGCUUCUAUAAGGUUGCUAUAAUUAAAUAUAAUGUAGGAAAAUCUAUGAGAAUUGAAACUUAUUAAAAAUGAUCAUGGCAAAAUAUUUUUGUGCCUCCACAAUAACUAAUAAGUAUGGGUUGUUACACACCACAAAUAUUAUUUAUAUGGGGCUUUUCAUUAUUGUAAUAAUGCUAUAAAUAAAUAUGGAUAAUGCAAGAAUUAAAUAUGAGAGAAUUAAUAAUGCGGAUAAAUACCAAUUUACGUCCCGAUGAGGGUUUGGGAUUUUUAGGUCCCCCAAGCUGGACCUCCAAAUCUUUUAAUCUUCUGAAUUACCUUCAUCCGGAGAUGGUGUCUCCAGUGGUCCUUCUUUAUGAACUUCCUUCACUGUCGAGUCUCUCUCUAGUCUGAGCUUGAAUGUGAAGUGUUCUUCUUGUCCGUUUAUGUUGAAUUUGAUUUCUCCUUUCCCAACAUCAAUGUGGGCGUUGGCGGUGCUCAGAAAUGGCCUUCCAAGGAUGAUGGACACUUUUGAGUCAGGACCCAUGUCUAGUACUACGAAGUCUACUGGCACCAGGAAAUCUCUGAUCUUGACUGGAAUGUUUUCGGCGAUGCCCAACGGGUGUCGAACCAAUUGAUCUGCUAGUUGCAGGUACAUUGAUGUUGGUUCUAGGGUUGUAUGCUCAAGCUUUUUGUAGACUGAUGCUGGCAUCACGCUGACACUUGCUCCGAGAUCACAAAGUGCAUUGUUGAAGUGUUGGUUUCUGAUUGAGCAAUCAAUAGUGGGACAUCUAGGAUCUUCCUUCUUCUUUGGUGGUUUAUUAAGGAUGGCCGCACUACAUUCUUCUGUCAGCUUGAUAACCUCAGUGGUGGGCAGUGGUCUCUUCUUGUUAAGAAUAUCUCUGAUGUACUUUGCAUAUGUGGGUACCUGUAUGGCAUCAAGCAGAGGUAUGUUGACAUAUAAUUUCUGAAUGACCUCUACAAACUUAGCAAACUGCUCAUCCGACUGCAGUCCUCUGUUUCUACUGGGAAAUGGCAAAUAGUUGGUGCCGUAAAAAUCUUUCCUCAUUUCUCUAGUUCUUGGUGAUUGCAGCAGAUCUUCUGCUUCAACUGGGCUUUCUUCUUCUAUCACUGCUGGUUGCACUGGUGCUUAUGUUCUUUAUUUCUCUUUAGGGUAUGGGGGAUCCCUGGUGACUUUGCCUCCUCUAGUAGUUAUGUUCUUUACCUGCUCAAUGUUAGUAGCAACAGGCAGUGCAGCAGCUAACUUUAUUAAUUUAAGCUCUACCCUUUUAUUAAGAGCGUUUUGCUCAUCAAAGGCAGUUAAUAGAAAAUCCAUUUUAUUGUGUAUAUCUUUUAGAGAUGAUUCAUUUGUGUCUAGCCUUUGUUUAACUUCAUCAUUAAUUUUGGUUUGUUGAGCAAUUAUCUCUUUUAAUGAAAGUUGCUUGAAAGUAUUACCUGAAUUCUUACCUUUGCUAUUGGUUUGACUCGAGGUAGGCUGAUAUUUGUAUGCUGUCUCAAUGGCCCUUUGAUCUUCUUUGAACUUGGCCCUCUGGUCAAUCCAAUGGAGCAAAUUUUCCAUCUUGGUUUAUAGUGCUUUUACUUCUUUUGGUAUUUCUUCAGUUUGAUGACAUUGUUGAGCUUUAUUUUGGAACCAACUUUGGUUUUCUGCUAUCUUAUCCAAAAGUAUCUCUUCUUUUCCAAUUGUAAGCUCCAAGAAUGAUCCUUUAGCAGAUGCAUCUAGGCACUCACGAGCCUUCUGGGUUAAUCCAUGGUAGAAGGUCUGCAUAAGUAACCAUGUGGCCAUUCCAUGGUAAGGACAAUCUGAUAUAUAUCCUUGAAAAUGCUCCCAUGCUUCUGAAAUGGUUUCUGUCUUCUGCUGUUGGAAACUGACAAUAUUUCCUCUUAAGGCAGUAGUUUUGCCUAUAGGGAAAAACUUUGAUAGAAAGGCAUCUGACAAGUUCGUCCAGUUGCUGAUGUUAUCUUGAUGAGUGUAAAACCACUUCCUCGCUUUUCCUUCUAAUGAGAAUGAAAAAAGGUGAAGCAGUAUGACAUCUUUGUCAACUCCGUUGAUGUGGAUUGUGCUUCCAGUCUCUAAGAAAUUCUGCAAGUGUGCACUAGCAUCUUCAUGUGUCUUUCCCCUGAAUUGUGUAGCUUGUACCAAAUUCAUGAGGCUUGACUUGAGCUCAAACUCGGGUACUCCUUCUUCUACUGCAAAUCUUGGACCAGUUGGAAUGUUCUCAAGACUUAGAGCAGAGAAUUCUUGUAGGGUCUUCUGUGCCAUAGCUUCAGCAAUUGGUAGCUAGCUUCUUCUUCUCUUGAUUGCUUUGGUUCUGAUGAUGAAGAGUUGAAUGUACCCAAAGUCAAUCCUGAUAUACCCUGUAUAAAAAUGUAAACAUAGAAAAACAACAGGGUGAACCUGCCAAAGCAGAGGUGCCUUGUUAUGAUUUCUCACUUAGUAUCUGUUUAUGCAAUUAUUUAUCUACAGUCUAGUCUAAUAUUUUAUGUGAAUAACCUUGACUGAUUUCCUGACUUUCCUUAUCGUUCCUAUGUAUUACCCUUUUGGUCCCCGGCAACGGCGCCAGAAAUGCUUGUUGACACUUGCUAACACCACAUGAAUACUAGGUUGUCAUCCUCAGCAUGGUGCCAGAGUGUACAAAGGUAUUUAUAAAUGUAAAGGCUUUCUAGGAAAUAAUCUAUUCUAUCCGCAAGCGCAUAGAUAAAACACCUCAUUGUAGCAUUUCACCAGGAUUAGUAUUCCAGGUAUCGUUAUUUAUAAUUUUGCUUACGAGGACAAAAGGGUGAAAUUAAGAUAAGGACUAAAUCUAUCAAGGCAUAGACUAGAGAUGAACUUGCAAGAACAUGAUUACUAAUGAGAAACUCGUGACACAGUCACUUACUUUGGCAGCGCCUCCUCUUCAUGUAUAGUUAUCUUCUCUUUCCACACCUGACUCGGUGCUACGGUCUCCUCUGGAUAAUUAAACUGUAAGUCUUCUGACCUUACAACUUCUCCUUCAUAAUAAGCCCGUCCGUCCUUGAUGAUUUCCCUCCUCUCGUUGCGGUUGCGUCGUCUUCUUCUUGUCCUGACCUGCUUAGAGUCUUCAACGAUAUAGUUAGGGUCAGUAAAAUAGCGGCGUACCUUCUCUGAGGGGAAGUGCAUAUGGACUUCACCAGUUCCAAUGUAGAUGAUUGCUUUAACGGUGCUGAGGAACGGUCUUCCAAGGAUGAUGGGUGGAUCAUAUUCGUCUUCUCCCAUGUCAAUAACCUGAAAGUCUGUGUAGACAAAAUGAUUGUCUAUUUUGACAGGGACAUCAGUUACUAUACCUUUAACCUCUCGAAAUGUUUAAUCUGCCAUCUGGACCUGAAUGUAUGUUGGUUUUAGGGGCAUGGUUCCGAACAAGAGUCGAUAGGUGACUGCGGCCAUUAUGUUGACGCCCGAUCCGGUGUCGCAAGUCGUCUUGUAGAAGUUGUAUCCAUUUAUGGAGCAAUAUAUGCUUGGCAUUCCUGGGUUGUCCUUCUUGGACAAAAACGGUGACUUAAGUCGAUGAUCUUGAGCUCCUUGAACUGCAGUGACCAUCUUAGCUGACUCGGUCCACACUUGCUUGUUCCUGUUCCUCCUGUUGGUUCUCUUCCUCGGUUCAUGUCGAGAUUGCUCUGGGAUUUGUGUAGUCUUGUUCUUGAAGGAAAAUGUCUCCUUCCUCCCUUUGAUGUAGAAACUAAUCUUGGCAGCACUAGCGUAGAUGACAGCUCCCGAGGUGUUUAAGAAUGGCCUUCCUAAGAUGAUGGGUGCCCUCUAAUCAUUACCGGUCUCUAUCACCACAAAGUCUGCUAGGGCGUAUAAGGUACCAACUGGGACACAGAGGUUCUUUAAUAUUCCUUUUGGGAAACUUAUUGUCUGAUUUGCAAACUGCAAACACAUGGUUGUUUCUGAUAAAGGAUAUGUAAAGAAUUUUUCAUAGAGUACCCUGGGCAUAAUGUUGACACUGGAGCCAAAGUCGCAGAGUGCUUCUAGGAAGUCCACCUUGCCGAUGGAGAUCGGGAUGACGGGGCAUCCUGGAUCGCCUCUCUUGACCGGUAGAAGGUCAGUAGUAACUUCAGUGACGGGGCUACUCCAGUUACCUGCAUCAAACAUGACUACAAGAUUUGCAGAUUCUAAUCCUUCCGGUUGUGAUGGUAUACCAGUGUUAGUAGCAGGAACAACAGCAACUAUUUGAUUUAACUGAGAUUCAAUCAUCUUAUUAACACUAAUUUGAUUCUUGAUGGCAGUAGAGAAAUUAUCCAUUCUAUUAUUUAUAUUUUCUAGCAUUGUAUCAUUAGAUGCCAAUUUCUUAGAUAGGUUAUCCAUUACUUUCCUUGAUUAGACACUAACUCUCUCAUAGGUGGAAAAUUAUUAUUAUUGUUGUAAGAAUUGUUACCUUGAUAAUUACUUGAGUACUUAGGCCUCUGUUGAUUCCAACCUUGAUUUUGUUGAGGACGGUUGUAGUAGUAGUUGUUGUUGAUGUAGUUUACAUCCUCAAGUAUCUCAGGGCAGUGAUUGCCUAAGUGUCCAGUAUCUACACACUCCUCACAAGUCAUGCGAGAGUCAUAGAUGUGCAUAACUUCUUUCUUAUCUCCAGCUCUAUCAUCGAGCUUCUUCAUGAGCAGGUCUAGCUUAGCAGACAGCAUGUCUACCUCCUUGAGCUGAUGCAUACCUGCACCUCUCUUGCGUGUCUGGGUCCUUUCUUCAUUCCAGCUUUGGUUGGAUGCCAUCUUCUCCACAAGAGCUGUGGCUUGUGAUAUGGUAAGUGAUAGGAAUCCUCCUCCAGCUGCAGCAUCCAUGGUCUCUCGGGCACAGUUCCCGAGCCCAUGAUAAAACGUCUGCAUUAAUAGCCAACUCUCCAUUCCAUGAUGGGGACAUUCUAGGAUGUAGUCUUGGAAGCGCUCCCAUGCUUCUGGAACGGAUUCAUCAUGUUGUUGCUGAAAACUUGUAAUUUUCCCACGGAGAGCAUUGGUCUUGCCCAUGGGAAAGAACUUAGCCAGAAAGUUCGUGGAGCAGAGUGCCCACGUAUUAUUCUUCUCCUUUGUAGCGUAGAACCAUUGCUUCGCUCUUCCUAACAGUGAGAAUGGGAAGAGGCGAAGUAGUAUAGCAUCUCUGGGGACUCCUGAUAUGGUAAAUGUGUUGCAAAUCUCCAGGAAGUGUUGGAGAUGAGCACUAGCAUCUUCGUGUGCCUUCCCACAGAACUGGUUGGAUUGCUCCAUGUUGAUAAGUCUAGGCUUGAGCUCAAAGUUGCUGUCGAUAUCUGCAGUAGGUCCAGUGCGGAUGUUGUCCAUAGUGGGAGCUGAGAACUCGUAGAUUGAUCUGUUCGCCAUGGCUUCGAACUCUGAAGACAAGUUUCGGUGAUCUUCUUGAUUGGAUGAAGCUUCUUGCUGAAGUGUUGAUGAUCUCUUCUUGAGCUUGGCUCUUAUUUUUUUGAAUAACGCUUUGGGAUUGUCAACAAAAUUUCCUGGAGGAUGUCUUCUACUCAUACAUUACCCUACAUAAGAUAAAAUAGUAAAAUAUCGGGGUAAAACUGUACGAGAGAAUUAAUGAGCUCAAUCAUAUUAUUGAUGCGAAUGAUGACUCAAAAUGCUUGUUGGGUAUUCUUAACGUCAUUACCAAAGUUAGUUUUGUAAUUUUGAUAACGGCGCCAAAAAUGCCAAACCUAUCCCUCAUACCACUUAAGCCAUGUUGUCAUCCCCAGCAUGACAUGAGAGACGUGGUAUUAAAAUAUGCAAUUGCUCAUCUAAAUAAAUAAUAAAUGGGAUCUGCAAGUGCACAGAUUAAUACCGAUGUAGCAUUUUAACCGGGAAGUAUUCCAGGUAUCGUUAUUUAUAUUGUUACCACUGGGAAGGGAUUAGUAAUCAUCAAUGUUGAUUAUAGAAUGGAAUAUAUGAUUGAGUAUCUAUCAUUGCAUGUAUAAUUAAGAACAUUUAUCUAACUCUUUCAUACAGGGAUAAGUGUCACAUAAAGGAUAUAAAGCAAUGAAUAGUGACAAAGAUAAUUAAUCUGAUCAGCAUAACUUAGCCACAUAUAAAUAUGAUAAGCACCUCAAUUAGAUAUUCUAGCAAGUCAUUAGCAUGGAAUUAGAACGAACUACAAGAAUAUUUCGUAAGUUAUUCUUAACUAUAUAGUUUAGCAUAUUAUAGUUAGUGCAAUUAUACUUAGCAAUCAUUGUGAAACAGGACUACGCCCAUGCAUAGUGAUAUUAGCAAUGAAUAUGAGAAACAUCGUAAUCACUCCCCUAUAAUAAUGUUGCUCUGCCAGCCCAAUACACGAGAGGAGGACUAUAUAAGAAUCAAUGGAGCUGUCACUACCACGAUCUACCCCGCGAUCUGGCAUAUAGGGUACAAUCGCAGAUAAAUACUGUAUAAGCACCACGCCUACACAAUAUCUAUCAUUUACCCAUAGAUCAGAUGGAUAAAUCCUAUACGAUCCUAAACAUGUAUAGAAAUCCAAUCUAACUAAGCCAAAUAUAUAACUAUGAUAAACUAAGAACAAUAUAAUUGCGAAUAUAAACAAGUAGAGCAAAGUCAUAAGCAAUAUAUUGAAGUAGAACAAAGUCAUAUUCAUAAUAUUGAAGAACAAAGAUGAACAAUUGAAGAACAAUAGAGAAUUACUAAGAAUCCUCUUGACAGAUCCGAAAACCAAUCGAAUAUUGACUCCUUCUAGUUCUAAUCCUAUGUAGCUACGCUAAUCUAGAUAUCUAAUUGAUGUGGUGGCUCUAGGCUUGAUCAGAGGCUUCUUCUCCCUUGAUGAAUAAUGAAUUAGGGUUGAGAGGUCCUCUCCUCCAGGGGCCAGGGGGUCUGGUUUUAUAGUCCUUCCAAGUGAAUAUGGGCCGUCGGAUCAAACCGACAUUGAUUGAACGGUUAUCCUUGAUCCUUUAGGUCGGUGGAGCGUAAUCCCGAAAGAGAGUUCUCAUUGGACUCUAACAGGGGGCGGGCGCCCUGGUCCCUAUGGCGGGCGCCCUGGGCCAGGCUCCGUUUUGCCUCCGCUUCGUUCCUGUGGCUUCUGGAGUCUUCUAGAUGUAAGAUAAUUGUGUAGUACGUUAAUAUCACUAUGUAAUCCCUAUGUGUGGGCCUUUCUUCCAUAUUUCCUGAUAACCCCCUACAGAAUUAUACAAACACCAAAACUCGUGGAAUUCUAUCAGAUAAAACCCUAAGUCUAGAUGUUGAUUUCAUUUGGAUCCUUUUAUUUAUUUAUUUGUGAAUUAAAUUUGAUACUUAAGAUCGUCAACACUAUUCUCAAGGUUCCUCCACCUGGCCGGUCUUCUGCACUAGGUUGAGGCAGCUGUCCCACAUCGGCUUCCUCACCCCUGUGGCCCCACCAUUGGCACGGAAGAGCUCACCCCGGUAAAGAUGGAGCCACAGGUCCCAGUGCGGCAUCAUCCCCAAGUAGCCUUCACACACUACGGCAAAGAUCACCGCGGUAGUGAUGGCGUUCGGCGAAAAGUGCUGGAGCUCCACCCCGUAGUGAUGGCAAAGCGCCCUCAUAAAGAGGCUUGGGGGAGAGCCGAGGCCGUGGCGAUGAAACUUGGCGAAAGAGACCACGUACCCCGUAGGCGGUCUUGGCUCCCAGUGGUCCGCCGCCGGCGCGAUCCACUCUAGCCGCGACGAAGAAGUGUGGGGGCGCAGGAGCCCCUCCUUCUCUAGAUCCAACAACCGACGGACGCCAAUCGUCGGCGGCAACAAGUCUCACCGGCAUCUUGGCAGAAGAAGAAAGGUGGCUCUGCUGCUGUGUGCUCGAGGGUGCGAGCGCGUCAAGAAGGCAAGGAGAGCAAAGGCGAGAACAAUGGCAGAAAGCAGAAGGGGUAGCGGCCAAGAGAUUCGGCAAUAUUUAUAGACGUCCAACCCCAACGGGCAGAUCCGACAAAUGUGGUAACCUCCCUAGUAAAUGCACCGACUAACGGUCUUGUUACUCCCCCUGACAGGACGCUACAAAUUCCACAACGGCACAGUGCUGCAAUGGCACACUCCUAAAAAGGCGUGGCCAAUGAGCGAGAAAACAAACCACCAUGGCUCUUCCUUCCACAACAAGGUAAAAUAGGCGUGCGCCGCCAUAAGAACCUCAACGAGAUCUCCGGCGGUCAAGUCGCGCCUCUGCUCUCGGGUCGCUGGCAUGUGGGGUCCGUUGACUUGCGGGUCCCCCCUGUCAGUCUCUCUUUCUCCUUUGUUUAACUUAGGGUUUGAGCUAUUUUUGCAAAAAUCAUAUCUCCUGUUUCUGAGAUCCAAAAAUGGUGAAACUAAUUUUGUGGUGUUCCUUGAGAUGGCUAGUUUUUAAUAAAAAUAUAAAAUGAACCAUGUUUUCUGGGAAAAUAUUUAUUAGGAUUUAAUCUUGUUAUUCAUGAAUAAAUUCAUAUCUCUGGUUACACUGCUUAAUUUGCUCUGAAAAUUUUUUGGUAGUCUCUGUGUGAUACUAGAAUGCUAUGAUAAAUAUUUCAUGAUUUUUGGAGUACCGCAGCUUUGUUAUGUAAAUUAUGUUUGAGAUUUGGCUUGUUUCCUUGAUUAAAUCAUAUAAAAUAAUUGGUGCGUAUGCUGGUGUUCUACUUUGAUGGUAAACUUGUUUAUGACAUUCAUAAUAUGUAAAUAAUCUGAAAUCUGUUGUUUGACAUCAUAUAAGUCAUGUUUCUGAAUUUAUGAAAUAAACACCUUGUUACAUGUUAAAUGCAUAUCUUCAAUGUGGUAUGUGCAAUUGCUCUAAAAUUUUUAUGGUGAUGCUUUGAUGCUAUACUUGUGCUUCUGUAAUUUUUGUAGAUUUUUCUGAGCACUUUGACCAGUAUCUUGUAAUUAUGCUCCUUUCUUGAAUUAAUUAAUAAAUGCCUUGUUAAGUAAAUGUUUGAGGGUUAUCAUCUGGUGUUCUGGUUGUCUUAUGGUAUGCUUGUGCUCAUAAGCCAUGUGGUUGGCAUGGUUUAUGUUUUGGUUAUGUCAUCAAAUAAUUAAUUAAAGGGUUAAAGGCUGUUCUGGACAGCAAGGGAGUAAUUUAACUUUUGCUUAAUGAUAAAUUGGCUUUCUGGGAAACUUGUCUAAAUCAAAGUUGUUGUAAACUUAUUGAACUAGCUGUGGUUUAAAUUUGGGAUCAUUUGGUCCAGUUGUUUUGAAGUUAUAAUCUUUCCAAGUUAGGUUCCAGAAAUAGGUGUUCUCUGUUUUUCUGGGACAGAACCUGGAACUUUGUUUAAAUGACUUGUUUAAUAUAUGAAUCUUGCUAUGAUGUUUAAAGAUGAUUUGUAGACAAUUUCAUAAGCUUUCCAGAAUGUCCUCACUUAAGUUUGUUGGAUCUUUGUGGCAAUAGUUAUGAUCUGUUUACUGAGCUAAUCCUGCUGUUUGAUGCUUGCUGUUAUAAGAUAUCAUGUUAGGUUUUGGGCUAAGUUAACUUGUUAACUUGUGUGAACUUGUUAUAUCUAUUGCUCCGUAAAUGAGUGUCCAGUGGGUCACUUAUGUUAUCAAGCAUUCAUUCUUUUGUAUGCACACCUUCUCAUUCACUGAGCAUGCAAUAGGUGCAUCGGACGUGGCAGCCUCCUUCGAUCUGCAAGUGAACCCCGAAGGCCAAGUGGGCAGCCAGGAGGUGGAGGUCCAGCAAGUCGGACUCGAGGAGCCCGAAGAAGAAGUUGAGUGCCCAAAUCACGAGCCAGCCUCGUUCGUGAAAGGCAAGCCCCGGAGCAUUUUAAACCUCCCUUUACUUUCGAAAGUGUAUUUAAUAUGUUAUAUCUAUUGCUGCAUUUAAUUAUAGGAGUUGUGAUGAAACCUUUGCUGCAUUUUACUCUAUCCUUGUCCAGAUAACUCACCACACCUUGGUUAUAGAGUUAGGAUCGAGUAGCAGCUUAGCCAUGCUUAAUCGGUAGAAGUCGGGUGAUUUUCCGUCACCUGCGCGAUAUAGGGUUGUGUCGGAUCACGAUGGUCUAUAUGUGCUAUCGUGGAUGGAACCUGAUUAAUUUGACUUAAGUCGGGCGGAGUUUUGCAAGGUUGUAGUAACUCCAUCUGUGGCAGCUAAGGACUGAUCGUUGUACGUCCUCUUGUCAUGUUGAACGCAUGCCUAACACUUAGUUGGCCGGAUAACUCGUUCCGACCGCGAAGCCGAGUAGUAUGACUCAGGCCGGAAGACCGGCAAGUAUAAAGUGCGCACUACCGGAGGAAGUGCGGUGUGCGGGGGAACAUUGGCGUAAGCCCAAAGGCAGGUGAGUUAAAUUUCCUGACCUCCCUGGCAGAGUGGUAGCCCUGGAAGUGCGGCGCUGAUCGGAGCCACGAUUCUUGAGUUGUACCAAAGGGGACCCGUUGGCUCUCCGACGGGGGAUGCUUGGGUGAGUGCUAGGAAUAACCCUCCAGCUGGAUAGGAAUUCAAUUCAAAUCGCCGUCUCUCCCGGUUAGUGAGAACUUGACAGAGCAGCGGCAAAUGUAGCAUUCACUAAUGAACUUGGUUCAUGAUAAUGAUGAUAGCAAGGAAGAACAUAUGAUGAACUUGAUAUGGUUAUUAUUGCUUGUAAUAAUCAAGUGAAGUGCUUUAGUUCAGGUGCUAAUCUAGUGGUAGGCUGAUGAUAAAUAAAUAUGAUGCUCUUACAUUGGGUUAGUCAUAAUAAAGGCUUUUGGCAAAAUGUUGAGUCAUCCAGCUCUACUUUUAUUUUUAGCCUUGCAUGAUCCUUGGUGUCUUUUAUGUUUUACUAGAUGGGUAAGUCUAGCUAAGUACAUUCUCGUACUCAGGGUUUAUUCCCACCUGUUGCAGAUGACAUCUUUUAUGACGGCUUCUGCAAGACCUGUCUCCAUCCCGCUGGGGAUGAGGACUAACCGUUGGGCACGGUUCUCUAACAAACUCGUACCUGUUGCUUUUGGAAGGAUGGUGUAGACUCUAGCAAUAACAAAAACUUGUGAACUGAACUUUGAACAAGUGUGUGUAAUUAUUUUGCUUCCGCUACUUCGAACUUGGGUUGUAAUAACUUAAUGACUCCGAUGUGGUGCCGCUUCGAUGACAAUGAAUGACUAUGUAACAUUCGCUGUGUUGUGCUGAAUUAUUACGAUCUUGGUUUGUUGCAAGUUGGUUUGAAGUCCUUCAUGAUUUCAAUUGACUACCGGGAUUAUAUGGGCUCAAGUUUGGAAACUUGAUUGCUUGUUGAUCGUUUCUACACUUGAACUCUUAUAAUUUGGUCGGUUCAGUGACAGCGGCAAGGGUUCUCACUUGGGUUACCCGAUAGGAGCUCAUCUUGGGGUGAUGACACUCGCUCCACCAGGAGCACGUCACAACCCCAACCUCAAAAAGGCAAAACUGGUCAGCAAAGGCUCAAUGCCCUUCUUCUAUAACGAACGUCUUUCGGUGAAAGGGGGGAUCGGGAGCGAACUCAUCAGAAAAAGCAGUAUAGCCUUCUAAGGAGCCCAAGACUCCUUAAAAGACAUGGGGGCUACCCCCACGAGGGUCGCUCGUGCGACCCCACGGAAACUCGACCAACGGAAAAGCCUCUACUCGAGCGCAAGCUGUCACAGAACCGACCAAAUUAUAAGAGUUCAAGUGCAGAAACGAUCACCUAGCAAUCAAGUUUCCAAACUUGAGCCCAUAUAAUCCCGGUAGUCAAUUGAAAUUACGAAGGACUUCAAACCAACUCGCAACAAACCAAGAUCGUAAUAGUUCAACAUAAACACAGCGAAUGUUACAUAGUCAUUCAUUGCUGUCGAAGCGGCACCACAUCGGAGUCAUUAAGUUAUUACAACCCAAGUUCGAAGUAGCGGAAGCAAAAUGGUUACACACACUUGUUCAAAGUUCAGUUCACAAGUUUCUGUUACUGCCAGAGUCUAUGCCAUCCUUCCAAAAGCAUCAGAGACGAGGUUGUUAGAGAACCGUGCCCAGCGGUUAGUCCUCAUCCCCAGCGGGAUGGAGACAGGUCUUGCAGAAUCCGUCAUAAAAGAUGUCAUCUGUGGGAAUAAACCCUGAGUACGAGAAUGUACUCAGCUAGACUUACCCGUCUAGUAAAACAUAAAAGACACCAAGGAUCAUGCAAGGCGAAAUAUCAAGUGGAGCUGGUUGACUCAACUUUUUGGCAAAAGCUUAACUUACAACUAAAUUAUUUAGAGAGCAUCAUAUUUAUUUAUCAUCAGCCUACCACUAGGUUAGCACCUGUACUACAACACAUCACUUGAUUAUUACAAACAAUAAUAACCAUAUCAAAUUCAUCAUAUGUUCUUCUUGCUAUCAUCAUUAUCAUCAACCAAUUUCAUUAGUGAAUGCUACGUUUGCCACUGCUCUGUCAAGUUCUCACUAACCGGGAGUGUCGGUGUUUUCCCCCGGGGGGUCACACCAACGAGUAAAUUUGUAUGCGUGCUCCCUUUCCCGGAUGGUGAUGCAAGAAGACACAGAGAUUUAUCCUGGUUCGGGCAAGAGAAGGCCCUACGUCCAGCGGGGGGGAGAGAGUUUGUAUUAUCUCGCACCUAAGUGCUUGUACAGGGGCGAAUACAAGCGUGGUAUGAAGUGUGGAGCUCUACUACGUAUGAGCGUGGUCUUGUGUCGUGAUCCCCCUGUUCUAUUCCUGAGUCCCUCCUUUUAUAGUUCCAAGGAAGGACCUAGGGUACAUGUAUAGGUGUAGGAAUUGAGUCGAUAGCAGCAUGGAGCGCUGACCUACUCGAGGUUUCCGUACCGGCAUGACCUCGAGCCGUCCCGUCUUAAUAGUCUGGUGAUGAUCACGCGUGCCCCUGCAUUCUGCUCUGCGCGCCGUCUUGGAUUGGUUCGACGGAUGCACGCUUACAUGGCUCGGCGGCAAAUCUGGCGGAGCGGUUACGGCCUGGUCAGUCGACGCCCGACUCGUCUCCAGGAAGGAGCCUGGUGAAGUCGAGGGUCGGAUGCCGUACGAGGUGUCGAUAUCUGGAGCGCUGACCUUGGGUGUCUCGAGGGGGUCCCGAUUAGACGUUCCAUCCUUGUUUCCCGCGUCCUGACACGCCCUGGGUCGUUCGGUGGGAAGGCUGCAAAAAGAACGAUGGGACAGAAGCCUGUUCCCUAUCGCGCCUCCCGUGACCCGUGUGUUAGGUGGGGAAGCGUUAGGUGCAUUAAAUGCCCUGGCUCUCGUGCGCGCGUCAGGCGGCGGACAGUGUCCUUGCGCUCGACGCCUCUCGGUUCGCUCGAGCCCGCUUCCGUAUUCGACGGCAGUUGUCGCUCGAGCCCUGACCGAUUCGCUCGACGCUAUUUCCGUCUUCGAGGCUGCGGCCGUCGAUGGCCGCGCGUGUGUACGGAUGGUCUCGUUAUACGCAUUGGUGAGGGUACCCCUUGUUGAUACCCUCGACAGGGAGAGACGGCAAUUCGAAUCGGAUUCCUAUCCAGCUGGAGGGUUAUUCCUAGCACUCACCCAAGCAUCCCCUGCCGGAGAGCCAACGGGUCACCUUUGGUACAACUCAGGAAUCACGGCUCCGAUCAGAGCCGCACUCCCAGGGCUACCACUCUGCCAGGGAGGUCAGGAAUUUUAACUCACCUGCCUUUGGACUUACGCCAAUGGUCCCCCGCACACCGCACUUCCUCCGGUAGUGCGCACUUUAUACUUGCCGGUCUUCCGGCCUGAGUCAUACUACUCGGCUUCGCGGUCGGAACGAGUUAUCCGGCCAACUAAGUGUUAGGCAUGCGUUCAACAUGACAAGAGGACGUACAACGAUCGGUCCUUAGCUGCCACAGAUGGAGUUACUACAAACUUGCAAAACUCCGCCCGGCUUAAGUCAAUUUAAUCAGGUUCCAUCCACGAUAGCACAUAUAGACCAUCGUGAUCCGACAUAACCCUAUAUCGCGCAGGUGACAGGAUAUCACCCGACUUCUACCGAUUAAAGCAUGGCUAAGCUGCUAUUCGAUCCUAACUCUACAACCAGGGUGUGGUGAGUUAUCUGGACAAGGAUAGAGUAGAAUGCAGCAACAGUUUCAUCACAACUCCUACACGUAAUGCAUCAAUAGAUAUAACAUAUUAAGUAACUUUCGAAAAUAAAGGGAGACUUAGAAUGCUCCGGGGCUUGCCUUUCACGAACGAUGCCGGCUCGUGAUUCGGGCACUCAACUUCUUCUUCGGACUCCUCGAAUCCAGCUUGCUGGACCUCCACCUCUUGGCUGCCCUCUUGACCUUCGGGAUUUACUUGCAGCUCGUAGGAGGCUGUCGCGUCCGAUGCACCUAUUGCAUGCUCGAACAAUAAGAAGAUGCGCAUGCUAACGAUGAAUGCUUGAUAACAUAAGUAACUCACUGGACACUCAUUUACGGAGCAAAAGUGAUACUAGCUCACAAAAGUAAUUAAGUCAACUCAGCCCACAACCUAUCAUGAUACCAAAACAGCAAACAACACAAAACAAGUGCACUCAGUAAAUAAAUCAUAACUAAUGAUAGACAGAUCCAACAAUUAUGAGUGAAGACAUUCUGGAAAGCUUAUGAAAUUGUCCACAACUCAUCUUUAAACAUGACAACAAGAUUCAAAUAUUAAACUAGCCAUUUAAACAAAGUUCCAGGUUCUGUCCCAGAAAAACAGAGAACACCUAUCCCUGGAACCCAACUUGGAACAGCUAUAAUUUUGAAACCACUUGGCCAAAUGACCUCAAAUUUAAACCACAGCUAGUUCAAAAAGUUUAGAACAACUUUGAUUUAGACAAGUUUCACAGAAAGUCAAGUUAUCAUUAAGCAAAGUUAAAUCCUUUCCUUGCUGUCCAGAACAGCCUUUAACCCCUUUAAGUAAUUAUUUAAUGACAUGACCAAAACAUAAACCAUGCCAACCACAUGGCUUAUGAGCACAAACAUAUUACAAGGUUACCAGAACAUCAGAUGGAAACCCCCAAACAUUUACUUAACAAGGCAUUUAUUAAUUAAUUCUAGAUAAGAACAUAAUCACAAGCUAACAGUCAAAGUGCUCAGAAAAAUCUACAAACAUUACAAAAGCACAAGUAUAGCACCAAGACAUCACCAUAAAAAUUUCAGAGAAAUUGCACAUACUAAAUUAAAGAUAUGUAUUUAACAUGUGCCAAGGUACUUAUUUCAUAAAUUCCAAAACAUGACUUAUAUGAUGUCAAACAACAGAUUUCAGAUUAUUUCUGUAUUAGGAAUACCAUAAACAAGUUUACCACCAAGGUGGAACACCAGCAUAAGCACCAAUUAUUUUAUAUGAUUUAAUUAAAGAAACAAGCCACAUUUCAAUCACAAAUUACAUAUCACAACUGCAGUGCUCCAAAAAUCAUGAAAUAUUUAUCAAAUGAUUCUAAUACCAUACAAAGGCUACCAUAAAAUUUUCAGAGCAAACUAAGCAGUAUAACAAGAGAUAUGCAUUUAUCCAUGAAUAACAAGAUUAAAUCCUUAAUAAAUAAUUUCCAAGAAAACAUGGUUCAUUUUAUAUUUUUAUUAAAAACUAGCCAUCUCAAGGAAUACCACAAAAUUUGUUUCAACAUUUUUGGAUCACCAGAACUAGAGAUAUGAUUUUUGCAAAAACAGCUCAAACCCUAGUUUAAACAAAGGAGAAAGAGAGACUGAAAGAGGGGACCCGCAAGUCAAGGGACCCCACCUGCCAGUGACCCGGAAGCAGAGGCGCGGCUUGACCGCCGGAGAUCUCGUCGACGGCGAGGUCUCGGCGCUGGCCAAGGGCACCAUCGUGCUCCCCACUGCAUUCCGCAUCUAGCGGUACCCAAAACCCUAACUCUACCGGCCUCUAGGUACCUUGCCCUCGCAAAUGGAGGCACGGCGGUGGUGCGUGGCCGACCGCCGGCGUCUCUGGCCGGAGAUAGAGCAGAAGAGAAUGCGGACGAGCAACAGCAAGACCUAGCGGAGCUUUUGGGACAAGAAUGAGGAAGAAUGGUGGACUACAGAGCCCUGGCCACGACGCCGGUGGCCAUGGCAGAGCUCCGGCGAGGUAAGCCCGCGACGGAGAAGGCAAUGCGGGCUCACCGAAGCUCGGCAGUCGCAGUCAACUCGACGAUGGUGAAGUGGAGAGGCUGGCGGAACGCUGGGCGGAGUUGCUUGGCCGGAGACACGGAGACACGCGUGCGCGAGCUCGCCGAAACCAUGGCGCCGACGCAGAGACGACGACGCACGUGAGAGGGAGGGAACCGGGAGUGGAAUGGCGCUGUCGACGCGACCGGGGGCGCCGUGGCGAGCCGUAGGACGAGCGGAGGACUGACGAGCGGGGCCAACGGCGACGUACGGACGCCACGGGUCCAGACACGUGGCGUCACCGGCGAGCUCCCCCUGUCUGACGGUGGCUCCAUUCAGUUCCCAAACCGACUGAAACUCGAUUUUGCCCGACGAUUAACUCUCUAACCACUCGAUGAUUUUGCUGGCUAAUUGCUCUAUGCUGGAGAGCUACAUGAGCACUCCAACAUUGCUUACAAGAUCAAAUCUUGAUUCGGCCUAGAAUUCAAACUGGAGGAUGAACAAUACCCCCUCGAGCAAACUGCAGUGAUUCCAGACUUAGAAAAUUUUCCAAGUGUUGGAAACAGCCCCAAAUUUGCCUUGUGGGUCAAAUUUGAGCUAUUUGUGAUCAUUUUCAUGAGAUGGCCAUAAAAGGACUUUUGUUCCUUAUAAAAUUUGCUACAGCUUUGCUGUAGAAAGUUUUGACAUGCAAACAUUUUAUGAAACACUUUUUAAAAGCCUAAGCAAAAGAGGUUUCUAAGGCCUAUUUUCAUAAGUAUGACAUAAAAGCAUAUUUUGGAGAAGUGACCAACAUGAACAUUGUUCCCAAAGUCAAGUUAAGCAUAGAUAAACUAAUUAACAAGGCAUUGAGCACAAACACAAGCAUGGUUCACUCAAUCAUAAGCAUAGGAAGACUAUUUAAGCAAUUUAAACCACAUUUUUGCAUAAAAUAACAUUCAGCUUGACCAGCCGUUUGGGGAUGAUAAGCAGAGCUACGGACUAAAUGAGUACCAAUUUGCUCAUGCAGACAUUCCCAAAAACGAGCAGUGAACUGUGGUCCACGAUCUGAUAUGAUUGUUCGAGGCACACCAUACUGACGAACAAUGUGCUCGAAAUACAACUUUCCAUACUGAUGUGGGCGAUAGUCAGUUCGGACUGGAAUAAAUCGAGCAACCUUGGCCAAACGAUCUACAAUCACCCAGAUGGAGUCAUAACCCUUAACAGAAAUUGGGAGUCCACUGAUGAAAUCCAUGCUGACUUCUUCCCAUUUCCAACUAGGAAUUGAUAAGGGUUGAAGCAAACCAGCUUUCAUGUGAACAGCCUUCACACGACAACAAUUGUCACAACGAGCGACAAAAGCAGAUAUCUCCUUUUUCAUCUUUGUCCACCAAAACAAAGGUUUCAAAUCAUGAUACAUCUUGCUACUACCAGGAUGGAUAGACAAUUUGGAUGAAUGAGCUUCAGAUAGGAUCUGAUUUCGCAGUUCACGGUCUUUUGGGACUACAAGUCGAUCCUUGAACCAAAGGAUUCUGUCCUCAUCAACCCGGAAAUGCUUGGUUUCUUCUUCCUUCGAUUUCCUCUUUAUAUGGUGGAUGCCUACAUCUAUCCGCUGCAAUUCGAUGACUCGAUUGCGAAGGGUACUCUCCAGAGAAGUCUGGUUGAGCACCAGUGGAUGCAUAAGGUGUGACCACAACGGAUCUUCCACUUGGAUUGAGUGACAGUGCGCUUUCCGACUCAAGGCAUCCGCCACUACGUUUGCCUUGCCUGGAUGAUAGUGCACUUGGAGAUUAUAAUCUUUAAUCAACUCAAGCCAUCUUCGCUGCCGCAUAUUCAGUUCAGGUUGACUGAAGAUAUACUUGAGGCUCUUAUGAUCGGUGUAGAUAUUACACAGAUUACCCAGCAGAUAAUGCCUCCAGAUUUUCAAAGCAUGAACAACUGCUGCCAAUUCUAAGUCAUGAGUAGGGUAAUUGACCUCAUGCUUUCGAAUUUGGCGCGAGGCAUACGCGAUAACGCGACCUUCCUGCAUCAACACACAGCCUAAACCAAUGCCUGACGCGUCACAAAAGACAUCGAAGGGCUUCUCGAUAUCAGGUUGAGCUAGGACAGGAGCGGAUGUCAGCAAUGUCCUCAACUUGUGGAAUGCCUCUUCACACUCAGGUGUCCACACAAACUUUUCAUCUUUCUGAAGUAGACGAGUCAUAGGCUUGGAUAUUUUGGAGAAUUCCGGAAUGAAUCAACGGUAAUAUCCAGCAAGACCGAGAAAACUCCGAACCUCGUGUACCGAAGUUGGAACUUUCCAAUCCAGCACUUCUUGCACCUUAGCCGGAUCCACCGAUAUGCCUUCUUCAGAUAAGACAUGGCCCAAGAAAGGUACUUUCUUUAGCCAAAACUCGCAUUUGCUAAACUUAGCAUAAAGCUGAUGUUCGCGCAGACGCGACAACACUAUACGCAAAUGCUCUGCAUGCUCCUCUUCAUUGCAAGAAUAUACCAAGAUAUCGUCAAUGAAGACCACCACAAACUUGUCCAAUUCGGGCAUGAACACUGAAUUCAUAAGAUACAUGAAGUGAGCAGGUGCAUUCGUCAAACCGAAGGACAUGACAAGGUACUCAUACAGCCCAUACCUCGUCGAGAAAGCUGUCUUAGGUACAUCUUCAGGACGGAUCUUGAUUUGAUGGUACCCAGAUCGCAAAUCAAUCUUGGAGAAUACUUUAGCUUUAGACAACUGAUCAAACAAGAUAUCAAUGUGAGGAAGAGGAUAUUUGUUCUUGAUAGUCACCGCAUUUAGGGGACGAUAGUCCACACACAUGCGCAAAGAUUGAUCCUUCUUCUUCACAAAGAUAGCCGGACAACCCCAAGGAGAAGAACUAGGACGAAUAAGACCCUUCUUCAACAACUCAUUUAGUUGGGUCUUAAGCUCAGCUAAUUCAUUGGGUGGCAUUCUAUAAGGUCUUCUAGAGAUAGGAGCGGUAGCUGGAAUCAAUUCAAUUUUGAACUCCACAUCCCGAUCCGGAGGAAGCCCGGGAAGAUCCUCAGGAAAAACAUCCGGAAACUCACACACCACCGGAAUAUCCUGAAUAGCCUUAGAUGUAACUGCAUUCACAGUGCUACGGAUUUGAAUAUCACGAGGGAGUUGCACUAGAAAUGCCUCCUUGGUAUUUGGGUCUUUCAACAUCACUACACGAGUGGUGGUGUCGAUAAGAACUCCAUUGCACCUCAUCCACUUCAUCCCCAGAAUUACAUCUAUGCCCACACCGGGUAGAACAACCAAAUCAGCAAGAAACUGACGGCCUCCGAUUUCCAGAGUUGCCCCCAAAACCACUUGAUUGGUGGAAAUAUCAUUUCCCGCAGCACUAAUACAAUAACUGCCCUUAUCAAGUGUAAUGGCCUUGAUGUUAUGCUUAGACACAAAUUCAGAACUCACAAAGGAAUGCGAUGCUCCAGAAUCAAAAAGCACGAGUUCAUCAUGUUGAUUUACCAGAAACUUACCAGCCGUGACUACCUCACCAGCAGGGAUUGCUUCCACAGUGGUGUAGUGAACACGCCCCUGACGAACGUUCCCUUGGCUGCCCUUCUUCGGUGGGUACGGACAGUUGCUCUGCCAAUGCCCGGUCUGAUUGCAGUUCCAGCACGGACGGUUGGCAGGUGGAGUCUUGGCAUAGUUGGGACCCGUGUUGCCCCUAGGAAGAGCAAUAGAGUAUCCCUUGCGAAAACCCGUCUUCGCCUGAUUCUUCUUCACCGGAGGGUGGUAUCGCUGGUUGGGGGUUGGAGCACGGAAUGGGGGCAUAGUUGCCACUGGAGCCUUGGACUGAGAUGACCCGACACCGGCCUCAAAGGCCCUCUUGCGAGUUUUGGUCGCAGUGUACACAGUGUUAUAGUUCUCUUGAGUGAGAGCAUCACUGACAAACUCAUUGAAAGUUGCACACUUAGUGCGGCCCAUAGUCUUCAGCAAUUUGGGGCCCAAACCCCGCUUGAAGCUAGCAAUCUUUUUCGUCUCCGUGUUCACAAAUUCAGGAGCAUACCUAGACAAAUGAUUGAAAGCAUGCAAAUACUCCUUCAGAGUCUUGUUGCCCUGAGUCAACUGCAUUAACUUGGUAUGCUUCAUCUCCAUAACACCAGGAGGAAUGAAAUUCCCUUUGAAAGCCUCACGGAACAGAUUCCAAUCAAUCACAGUGUCAGCCGGAAGAGCUUCUCGAUACUGAUUCCACCAGAUGCCUGCCGGACCUUGCAGUUGGUGAGCGGCAUACUCUGCCUUCAGACCUUCAGUCAACCGGAGUAAGCGGAACUUUUGUUCCACCGUAUUGAGCCACUCUUCAGCUUGAAGGGGUUCUUCAGCUUCUCUGAAGGGUGGGGGCUUUGUAUCCAUGAAGUCCUUGAAGCUACUGUACUGGUUAGGAGCUGGCCCUUCCUGUGCAUUACGACCACCCUGAUUUGCCAUCCGAUUGAUGGUCUCAGUGAGCAUCCUCUGAUUUUCCACCAUCAUUUGCAUCAGCUCAGCUGGAUUUGGUGGUGGGGGAGGAGGGGGUGGAUUCAUGUUUGCACGCUGUUCCGCACCUCGGGUGCCACGAGACAUCUGUAAAGACACAGUCAGUGAGCAUUGAUGAUGACAAGAUUUGCCGCAGAAGAACUUAUAUUCAUGCCUGAAAGUAUUCAAGAGAAUAGCUUUACAGAAAGGCACAACAAUUCAAUUCCACAAAACAACAUCACCAAUCCAACACAUGACAUAGAUAUCCGCAAUACGCACCACAACAGAAAACAUCGGCAUAGCAUAACGAUCAUAAAAGACUGCACAUUGGGUCCAUAAAGUUAUUACACCAUCACAGUACAUGCCAUGAGUCAAGGUCAAAGUUUCGGGUUACAACAUGGUUACAAAAGCACCACGGCUGACUGGCAUACUACAAAAGAUCCUCGCAUAACACUACCCACUACUCCCUACACUCCAGGCUCAUCGUCCGAGUCAGCGUCGAAGAUCGCCUCUCCAUCCUCGUCGCUAACCGGCUCAAGCUCCUCGUCCUCCACGUCCUCAUGCAAAGGUGGUGCAGCCGCUGCUUGUCCAUCGACCUCCAUACCAUCAUCAUCGGCCACAAUCACCUAAGGUCCCACCUCUGGAUACACGGGUAUAGGGCGAGGAAUAGGGUGUAGAAAGUUGUUGAGACGGUGAAUCUCUACAAGACCAGCCUCAAUCUGAUCCUGCAGAUAGUUCUCCCGCUCAAGCGACUGAACUCGGUGCAUCUCCCAUGCCUGGCGCCUGUUCUCCGACACGCGGAGUGCAGUAUCCCUCUCACGGGUGAGCUGCACCAAGCGCUCCUGUAAGGUCUCCCUCUCUUUGGCUAACUGGCUCAUUUGAUCCUGCUUAGGAUCCCUCUCUCUAAUGGCCUUCACCCACUGCAGCCUACGAUACUCCGCAAUGUCUUCCCAGUCAUUGCGGUCCUUCUGAGCUUGCUCCAGGAGUCUAGCUUGCUUGUGAAACUUGCGAGCACGCUUUUCAGCCUUCCGCUGCAUCUCCUGGGCCCUGCGAACAGCCACCAUCACCUGUGCAUAGGUGCCCUCUUGCUGACUGAUCAGCUUGAGCACAGCCAUCAUAGCACUCAUAGCAGGACUAGAACUCUCAGCCCUCUCUUCCCUGCCUCGAACCAAAGCACAACCGUCAGCCUGUUUCCACUCCGCUGCUGCUGGGUCAGCACUGGGAAUGGAGGCCGCUAGUCCUCCCGUCAGCUCGUCACCACACCUCUGACAGAUAUCGAGCAGGAUAGUCUAGGCUGCAACCUGAGCUGCCUCCCAGGGAGUCUGCCCAUCUGAGCAGCAAGUCCAGCCUGUCCAUGCAGGCUUGUCCCCAUGUGGAGGGACAACUCCCUGCACACCAAACCACUGAAUCCCUCCUGUGCUCUCCAUCUCCCACCAAGAAUACUGAGGUGGCUCAGUGUACCCAACAGUCCGUAACACUCUCCAAAGCAGGGUAGGAGUGCCAAACUCGUGCAAGAAAGUGUCACUGGGAUGGGGUGAAGCGGGUGCGUCCAUCUAUGGAAAGGAAUAGAAAUACCAUGGGUAAAAGAGGAUUAGUUUAAGCAAUCAUUUAUUUAUUUAAAAGGGAUGAAAUUGUAAGAGAAGGAGUAGACAGAAUGUAUGUAUGAAUGCGACAUGAUGCAUGCACGAACCGUACGUCCUCACAAACUUAGAAAAUUAAUAUUCUAACGGAUAUACGGUGGCAUACAUUCGUCUCUCGAUACGAUAACUAUCGGUUUACACGUGCGCUGUUAGAGUACCUGCAGAAAAUUUCAUUUCAGCCCAACAGUUCCCAAUAUAUCACUCAAGAAAGCAGUAAACUAAGUGCACAUUGCUUGGGCAUGCCAACAUGCUCAAACAAUGACACCACAACUACCUGAGAAAUUAAAUACUCCCCAAUUACGUUUCUUUCGUGGUUCCAUGGUUUCGACAUGUAACCACUCCAGAAAACCACCGCGAACACUCCCCUAGACCGCCAUUUGGACGAUCACGCUCUCACAGCUAACACUUACCGGGGCGUAGGUGCGACGUUGCAUAAUUUAAAUCUAGCAACAAAUGUGGCUAAUUCACAUAUGAAGGCUACGUCAACCAUUAGACCACAGUGUAGCAUAGUGCGGUCAUCACACAUCCAUACCUGAGUACUGCCGGAGAUGCAUAAAUAAAACCCCCAAGUCAGUACUUAAAUAGCCACCUAGAGUCCUUAUGUGGGCAAGGAGGAUUCGACCACUGGCAUAACUUAAUUAUUUGUUUUACACCAUUUUAUUUAAAAACUCUUUUGUUUUAAAUACACAAACGCUGCAUUUAUAAUGCUGAACUUGCUCCGAUGCCAGCAGUCACAGAACCGACCAAAUUAUAAGAGUUCAAGUGCAGAAACGAUCGCCUAGCAAUCAAGUUUCCAAACUUGAGCCCAUAUAAUCCCGGUAGUCAAUUGAAAUCACGAAGGACUUCAAACCAACUCGCAACAAACCAAGAUCGUAAUAGUUCAACAUAAACACAACGAAUGUUACAGAGUCAUUCAUUGCCGUCGAAGCGGCACCACAUCGGAGUCAUUAAGUUAUUACAACCCAAGUUCGAAGUAGUGGAAGCAAUAUAGUUACACACACUUGUUCAAAGUUCAGUUCACAAGUUUCUGUUACUGCCAGAGUCUAUGCCAUCCUUCCAAAAGCAUCAGAGACGAGGUUGUUAGAGAACCGUGCCCAACGGUUAGUCCUCAUCCCCAGCGGGAUGGAGACAGGUCUUGCAGAAUCCGUCAUAAAAGAUGUCAUCUGCAACAGGUGACUUACCCGUCUAGUAAAACAUAAAAGACACCAAGGAUCAUGCAAGGCGAAAUAUCAAGUGGAGCUGGUUGACUCACCUUUUUGCCAAAAGCUUAACUUACAACUAAAUUAUUUUGAGAGCAUCAUAUUUAUUUAUCAUCAGCCUACCACUAGGUUAGCACCUGUACUACAACACAUCACUUGAUUAUUACAAACAAUAAUAACCAUAUCAAAUUCAUCAUAUGUUCUUCUUGCUAUCAUCAUUAUCAUGAACCAAUUUCAUUAGUGAAUGCUACGUUUGCCGCUGCUCUGUCAAGUUCUCACUAACUGGGAGAGACGGCGAUUCGAAUCGGAUUCCUAUCCAGCUGGAGGGUUAUUCCUAGCACUCACCCAAGCAUCGCCUGCCGGAGAGCCAACGGGUCACCUUUGGUACAACUCAGGAAUCGCGGCUCCGAUCAGCGCCGCACUCCCAGGGCUACCACUCCGCCAGGGAGGUCAGGAAUUUUAACUCACCUGCCUUUGGACUUACGCCAAUGGUCCCCCGCACACCGCACUUCCUCCGGUAGUGCGCACUUUAUACUUGCCGGUCUUCCGGCCUGAGUCAUACUACUCGGCUUCGCGGUCGAACGAGUUAUCCGGCCAACUAAGUGUUAGGCAUGCAUUCAACAUGACAAGAGGACGUACAACGAUCGGUCCUUAGCUGCCACAGAUGGAGUUACUACAAACUUGCAAAACUCCGCCCGUCUUAAGUCAAUUUAAUCAGGUUCCAUCCAUGAUAGCACAUAUAGACCAUCGUGAUCCGAGAUAACCCUAUAUCGCGCAGGUGACAGGAUAUCACCCGACUUCUACCGAUUAAAGCAUGGCUAAGCUGCUAUUCGAUCCUAACUCUACAACCAGGGUGUGGUGAGUUAUCUGGACAAGGAUAGAGUAGAAUGCAGCAACAGUUUCAUCACAACUCCUACACGUAAUGCGUCAAUAGAUAUAACAUAUUAAGUAACUUUCGAAAAUAAAGGGAGACUUAGAAUGCUCCGGGGCUUGCCUUUCACGAACGAUGCCUGCUCAUGAUUCAGGCACUCAACUUCUUCUUCGGACUCCUCGAGUCCGGCUUGCUGGACCUCCACCUCUUGGCUGCCCUCCUGACCUUCGGGAUUCACUUAUAGCUCGUAGGAGGCUGUCGCGUCCGAUGCACCUAUUGCAUGCUCGAACAAUAAGAAGAUGCGCAUGCUAACGAUGAAUGCUUGAUAACAUAAGUAACUCACUGGACACUCAUUUACGGAGCAAAAGUGAUACUAGCUCACAAAAGUAAUUAAGUCAACUCAGCCCACAACCUAUCAUGAUACCAAAACAGCAAACAACACAAAACAAGUACACUCAGUAAAUAAAUCAUAACUAUUGAUAGACAGAUCCAACAAUCAUGAGUGAAGACAUUCUGGAAAGCUUAUGAAAUUGUCCACAACUCAUCUUUAAACAUGACAACAAGAUUCAAACAUUAAACUAGCCAUUUAAACAAAGUUCCAGGUUCUGUCCCAGAAAAACAGAGAACACCUAUCCCUGGAACCCAACUUGGAACAGCUAUAACUUUUAAACCACUUGGCCAAAUGACCUCAAAUUUAAACCACAGCUAGUUCAAAAAGUUUAGAACAACUUUGAUUUAGACAAGUUUCACAGAAAGUCAAGUUAUCAUUAAGCAAAGUUAAAUCCUUUCCUUGCUGUCCAGAACAGCCUUUAACCCCUUUAAGUAAUUAUUUAAUGACAUGACCAAAACAUAAACCAUGCCAACCACAUGGCUUAUGAGCACAAACAUAUUACAAGGUUACCAGAACAUCAGAUGGAAACCCCCAAACAUUUACUUAACAAGGCAUUUAUUAAUUAAUUCUAGAUAAGAACAUAAUCACAAGCUAACAGUCAAAGUGCUCAGAAAAAUCUACAAAAAUUACAAAAGCACAAGUAUAGCACCAAGACAUCACCAUAAAAAUUUCAGAGCAAUUGCACAUACUAAAUUAAAGAUAUGUAUUUAACAUGUGCCUAUUCCGUAUCACGCUUCUCGUGACUGGCGUGUUAGGUGAGAACGCGACAGGCGCAUUAAAUGACCUGGUUCCCGUGCGCGCGUCAGGCGGCGGGUGGCGUCCUUGCGUUCGACGCCUUCCGGUUCGCUCGAGCCUGUUUUCGUAUUCGACGGUCGUUGGUGCUCGAGCCCUGAUAGAUUCACUCGACGCUCUUUCCGUCUUCAAUGCUGCGGUCGUCGAUGACUGUACGUGUGACUGGUUAGAGCGUCGAGUUGGGGGCCUUGACCUGCGUAUGGGCAACCUCGUUAUGUACAUCAGUUAGGAUAACCCUUAUUGAUACCCUCGACAGUAGCUCCAGAGUCUCCAUUUGAGCGCUGGCGCUCGAGUGGAGGCUUUAUUUUGCGGUUGAGUUUCCGUGGGGGCGCGCGAGGGAAUCCGCGGGGGUAGCCCCCGAGCCCUUGGAGGAGUUUUUGACUCCUUCGAGGGUUAUAUCGCCUAAUUCACAGAAACGCUGUCGACACCAGUGGUGGAAGGUUCUGUUUGGCUCGUUUUGCACAGGGGUUUCGACGUACUCUCGAUAGAGCGAGCGUCAUCCACCCCAGAUUGAGCUCCUAACAGGUAGUCCAAGUGAGAACCUGUGCCCCUUUCGAGGGGGUCAGCUGUAGCCCGGAGGCGUUCUCAUAAAGCGGGGUCGACGUGGUCGGGGAUGCUGGUCUCAUUCGAUAGAGUCCAGUGGCUCGAUGCCUCCCAUCAGGGGGAUUCCUCUUGACUAUCUCGACCCUACCUUGGACAUCCCCAGCGAGUUCUCGAGGCCGGCCUCGAUUUUCAUCUACUCGCCGGGCAUCCCUGACUCUGGUGCUCGAGAUCGGCUGUCGAACUCUUUCGGCGGGUCAGCCCACGACCUCUCGAGGCUUUCGUGGACACGUACCUUGGCUUACAAAGGAAGGAAGAGGCCGUGGUGGUUCACCUUUUUGCCCGUUGGGCGCGUAUUUUCAGGUGGGAGCCGUUGCGAUACUCUAUCGGCGCAGAAUUCGUAGCGUCUCGUCCCGUGGCCCGGUUGCCGUUCUUCCUUCCGCCUUCUGCCUCCAUUCUUGCCUUUGGUCCCUUGCCUUAGCUCCCUUGCCAUCUCACGCCCACGCACCCUCGAGUAGCAGCAAAUCCGCCUUCCUUCCACCCAAGAUGCCUGUGAGACUUGUCACCGCCGACGACUGGCGCCCGUCGUCGAUGACGGAGCGCCGGCUGCUGGAGCUCGAGAGGGAGGGGCUUCUGCGCUCCCAUACUUCAUUGUCGCGGCCGGAGUGGAUUGCACCGGCGGCGGACCACCGGGAGCCCAGGCCGCCCACUGGCUACGUGGUCUCUUUCGCUAAGUUCCACCGCCACCGCCUGGGCGCUCCUCCGAGCCGGUUCAUGCGGGCGCUCUGCCACCAUUACGGGGUGGAGCUUCAGCACUUCUCCCCAAAUGCCAUCACCGUCGCAGCGGUCUUUGCCGCGGUGUGUGACGGCUAUUUGGGGAUGAUGCCCCACUAGGAGCUGUGGCUCCACCUCUACAGGGGUGAGCUCUUCAAUGCCCCCACUGGGACUACAGGCGUGAGGAAACCCAUGCGGGCCGGGUGCCUUAAUCUGGUGCUGAAGAUGGGGAAGACGGAGAGGCCACGUGAGUACAUCCCGGUGGGGUUGUCAUCGAACCAUGCCGGAUGGGACUCCCAGUGGUUCUACUUGAGGAACGACGAUGAUCUCCUUCCUGCCUACACCGGUCGCCUAAUCACGGAGCGCCCGGAGAACUGGACGUACGGCGUCGUCCAAGUCCACCAGUCGCGGCUCGACCCCCUCCCGACGCCUUGAAGAAGUUACGCGUGGAGGGCCUGUCCGCCGCUCUCGUCCUCUCGGCCGUCCAUCAUCGGAGAGUUCUCCCACCGAUGUCUCGGCCGCUGAGGAUGGAUGAGAUGGGGCCUGGCGCUUCGUCCCAGGACCUCGAGGCGUGCCGGAUGUCCAACGAGGCUCCGGCGGACGAUGAAGUCGCGGCCUGGGUCAGGCCGACCGUCGCCAGCGACUUCCAACCGGAACACGUCAAUGGCUUCCCCACGAGGCCUGAUGCAGGCUCAAUCGACCUGGUAAGUUCAUUUCUUGUAUAUGGCUUUGAUUCUGGAUUUCCUUCGAUCCCCUUUUCAAGCCUGUCUUUGUUUUCACAAGGACCGAUCGACGUCCGGUCCUCGAGGCCUCCAGUAAAGGAGGACGGGGUCGACCAUGACAAGCGGCACCAAUCCGCUGAGAAACAGAAGUCCGCCAAGGACAUAGAGAAGAAAGAGAAGUAGAAGAAGAAUCUCGACCGCCAAUCGUUAGAGGCACGUCGAGCCAAGUCUAGGCAAAGGGGGAGCUUGAAGAACAAUCCCCUAGCGAGGAUGAUGGCGGAGACGGCGAUGACGACAGUGACGACUUCGAGGGGAUGGCGUCUCGCCUCGACCGCAUCCUCGAGGGUCCGCCUCGAGGCGAUGUCGACGCCCCGCGGACGGGAGCGCCAAAGGAGGGGCCAGGCGGAUCUCACCGCCCCCGCGCUGACACCCCUCCCAUGCGUGCGCCAAGCCGGGCCGUCCCGCAGCACCAACCUCACCCUGCUCCAAAGGUGGGUGGCCGGGCUAAGCCCCAGGCGACGGGGCCAUUGACCUGUGGCCGCGCCGUGGCCUCUGAAAAGGGAGACACUGGCCGCAGGAGCGCUAGCCCCAGUGCUCGCCAGGUGGGAGAUCUGGACCGAGGCCUGCGCCUGCCCGUGAGGGGCCUGGAGCCUCGACGUGGGGUUGUUCGAGGCCCACCGGUCGAGGAACCAGCAGGCGAGCCGUUCUCCCUGUGGGGUAAGUUCUUCAACGUUGUGAUUCUCAUCCUCCUGUUUCUUCACGUUUUCUCUUAUAACGGUCUCCCUUAUGCCCAUUUCUCUUUCCUCAGGCUAAAGCGGACGCUUGAGCAGGCCCAGCCUUCAAUGGCGAAAAGGCUCUAGGUGGGAGCGGCCUCCAAGGAUUCGGGUUAGUAGCUUAUUCCCGUUGUUAUGGGAGUUAUGUCAUUCUGGUGACGACUGGCGGGUGAGUCUGCCCCGUCGUCGCCGAAACGGGCCGAGGCGCCUCAGCCCCAAGAGCAAGAGGGAGUCCCCGAGCCUCCCCGAUCGGGGGUUGAGGCGGAUCCGAUCACUAUAAGUGAUGGGUCUGGCGGCGACGGGUCUUCGAGGGACGCCCGCCCUAAGAACGAGGAGGUUGAGGCCUCUCCCACCAUGAGACAGACUCCUUGGCCCAUCGGGCUCCACUCUCUCAAAGAGCAGAGGAGGAAAGAGGAAAGAGAGCGUGAGCAGAAGACGCGACAUCAGCCGCAGGAGGAACAACAGCUGCUGCUGAUGGGAGGAGAGGUGGGGCAGUCGUCAGCAGGUCCCCAGCUCGAGGAGCUGCUGGAGCAGGACCGUCGCCAGGAGCCGCAGGAGCCCCAGGGGCAGCAGCAGCAGAGGGGCCAGCAGUCGGAGGGACCGCUCGAGCCGCCUCCCCACAGUCCGCCCCAAUCGGUACUACCGGCGCCGCAAGAGCCCGGGAACCAGGAGGAGGGUCUGCCAGUUUUCGGCCCUCCGACCCUGGCGUGGCUCGGUCUAGGGGCGCCCGCCGCGAUCCCAGCAGAGUCGGGGCGGGCGGACGGCAUGGUGGCGCUUGCCUGCACGAUGCGCACACCCGUCGACCCUGAAUCCGAGAUCAGGAGGACGAUCUACGGCAUGGACGGAUUGCCCCGGGAUUCCUCCGGGAGCGUCGGUCCUGGGAGGAACGUAUUCCCACCGAGGAGGACGAGGCUGGAACGUUGGGCGGUGGUGGAGGCGGUGAAACCGGGACCUGGAAGACGGUGGACGACGAUGGGCAGUUCCCUUCCCUCGUCGACUUGUUCCUGCGCCACGGGGGGUCACUCGAGACUGUCGAGGAGCUCAUCCGCGGCGUCAAGGCGCGGGCUGACCAGGAUAUGGAGAAUUGGUGCCCCGACCGGAUCCGUAUCCGGGCUCCACCGUUCCGUCUGAGCCCAAUAUCUUUCUGGACGAUCAGAGGGAGGCCGAGAAGUGGGAGCACGUCAAGGAGCUUCGCCUCUGGAUGAAGCACAUGGUGGGGCUCCUGUCCGACGUUGUGAACAACGGGCUCGGACUGGCCUACUUUGUAAGUAUUUCCAUGUCUUUUAUUUUUUAUGGAACGUUGGGUUUUGUGUUCUAACUGCUCGAUCACCGGUUCGCAGGACCUAAAAGAGACCUCCCGCAUUAAGUCAAGCUUCAUCCACGCCACGAGAGGCGGCUGGGAGCAGCUCCCCAUCCUCAAGGACCAACUCCUAGAGUCGCAGGAGAAACUCCUCAAGGCUUAUAAAGAGCUCUUGGCGCUCGAGGAGCAGACGAAGGAGAGGGAGGCUGCUCUGGUCGAGGCUCGAGAGGCCUCAAGGAAGGCUGUGGAAGAGGCUGUGCUACUGAGAGAGCGGGCCAUGACGGUCGAGGAAGCCGCGUCCAAAGCUCGGGAGGAGGCCCUGUCCUACAAGAACGUCGUUGCUGACCUGGACAAGGAGAAAGGCCUCCUCAAGACCGACCUAGACUCCAUCCGAGAAUCCUUUCAAAGGAUGAAGGUGGAGGGUGUGAACAGCGAGAUCCCCAGGAGCGCCGCGGAGGAGGCAAAGAAGAAGGCCCUAGAAGACCUCGAGGCAGAACGGGCUCGAUCCCGCAGCCUUUCUGAUGACGUCGACCAUCUAAAGAGAGCGCUGCUGGAAAAAUAUGGGGCCAUCUCGCAAGCCGGCAAGGCGAUCAAAGACCUGCGUGUCGCCAACACCGAGCUAGCGCAGUCCAACAGGGAGGUCGAGAGGAUCAAUACCAACUUGGUCGGCGAGAACAUGGCCCUAGAGGAGAGCAUCCACGGUAUGUCUCUACUGUCAAGUUUCUUUUCUGUGGUGUGCUUGGUGUUAUCUAAUUUCUUCAUGUUGGUCCUUGCAGGACUCAAAGAUGAGCUCCUGGCCACCCAAGUCGAGGCCCGUUCCAUCAAGACUCAGCUCGAGGGGGAGGUCGCCUUGAACGGUUGUCUACGGACUGCGAUAGGCGACCUCUUGGCCUCCAGGGAGCUCGAGCCUGUUGACGAGUCGAGGGAGGAGGCUCGAGGAGAUGCACUCAUCGACCAGCUAUGCUACCUUGGAGCUACACUGAGGGACCGGGUGCGGGACGCUCUUCCCAUCGGAGUGAAGCGGGCGAUGGUGGUAGUUUGCUCAGGCUUCUCCUACGACAUGGAGGUAGUGUCCCACGGCUUCGUCACCGACAUCUCCAAGACUGAUGCGGAGAACGAGGAGAGGCUCCACGCCUUGAUCGAUGACGCAGAGGUUCCUGGGGAGAGGUUGGCUAAGUUGUUUGAGCCAGAAGUACUUCCUCCUGAGACUAGCUCAGUCGCGGGUGAGGAUGGUUAGGGCCGAGACGUGGACUGAGGCCUGUGAGCCUGCACUGGGUGCCUUGGCCCCUUGUACAGUACUUAGCCAAUUUGUUCUUAAGUAAUAUAAUGGCUUUAUGUGGUUGUUAGAUUUCUAUGAAUGUUUGUCCAUCUUUUCGCUCGAGCCUCCUUUGUUUCCUUUUGCACCUAUGUUUGCAUUCCUCGUUUGGUCUUUUGUUUAAGGCGAUCUCGAUUGCCACAAGGGUGAGGAAGUGAGUACAGUUUCCGUUGCCGGGGGGCAUAGGAGUUCUCAGGCUCGUCGUCUCUCGGCCCUUAAGGGCCUCGAGGUGCCUCUACUACUCGACCGUAUGGGAUUACUGAUAGGAACGAAAGGAUUACUUGGUUUUUUCGACAUUUGGGUGGGGGUCACCCCCUUGCUAGCCCCUGAGGGGGUAUCAACUAUGAUGGGUCAUAGUUGGUACUCCCUUCUAAUGUCGAGAUUUCGACUCAUGAAAAAGUAAAUUGCUUUGAGGGAAAGAUCUUAUUCAUUCAUGCAUUCAUUCGUAAGGCCUUGGUACAGAAUGUACAUAGGAACAUAAAGCUUUGAAAUUCUAGGGGUAGAAUCGACGUAGCUGUUCGAUGUUCCACGCAUUGGUGAAGAUCGCCCCCUUUUCAUCUGCGAGCUUGUAUGUCCCCGGCUUCAAGACUUCAGCCACUACACAUGGGCCCUCCCAAGGUGGAGUCAGCUUGUGGCGUCCUUGAUUGCUUUGCCGCCGUCGUAGGACGAGGUUGCCCACGUUCAAGUCCCUCUAGCGCACGUGCUUGUGGUGGUAGCAUCGAAGUUUCUGCUGGUAUCUGGCAGAGUUGAGGAGGGCCAUGUCUCGAGCUUCCUCGAGUUGGUCGACCGCGUUCUCUUGAGUCUCUUUAUUUGAUUGCUCGUUGUAUGCUUUGAGUCGAGGGGAUCCAUACUCGAGGUCCGUAGGAAGCACAGCCUCAGAGCCAUAGACCAUGAAGAAUGGGGUGUAUUUUGUCGCCCUGCUCGGCGUCGUCCUUAAGCUCCAUAGGACCGAGGAAAGCUCCUCGACCCAUUUCUUGCCGAAUUUCUUCAAGCGAUUGUAAAUCCUUGGUUUGAGCCCCUGCAAAAUCAUGCCGUUGGCACGCUCGACCUGGCCGUUAGUUCAAGGGUGGGCCACUACAGACCAGUUCACAUGGAUGUGAUGCUGAUCGCAGAAGUCCAAGAACUUUUUGCCGGUGAACUGAGUGACGUUGUCGGUGAUGAUGACGUUGGGAAUCCCAAACCGGUGGAUGAUGUCGGUGAAGAAAAGGAUGGCCUGCUCGGAGUGGAUGUUGGUGAUGGGUCGAGCCUCGAUCCAUUUGGAGAAUUUGUCGAUGGCCACCAACAAGUGGGUGUACCCCCCUUUUGCCUUUUGUAGAGGCCCUACUAAGUCGAGCCCCCAUACCGCAAACGGCCAUGUGAUGGGGAUCAUCUGGAGAGCGUGGGCGGGCAGGCGCGUCUGUUUGGCGUAGAAUUGGCACCCAUGGCAUGAGCAUAUGAGCUCGACAGCAUCAGCUACGGCCGUUGGCUAGUAGAAGCCUUAUCGGAAAGCGUUCCCUACGAGGGUCCGAGGAGCAGCAUGGUGGCCACAAGCCCCCGAGUGUAGAUCCUCGAGGAGUUUUUGGCCUUCUUCUAUGGUGAUGCAACGCUGCAAGACCCCGUCAGGCUUCGUUGAUAUAGCUCAUUGUUCUCGCCAUAGAUUACAUAUGACUUGGCCCGUCGAGCAAUACGGCGGGCCUCGGAUCGAUCUUGUGGUAGCUCGCAGCGGUUUAGGCAGUCGAGGAACGGCGUGCGCCAAUCAAACGGUUGACUGGGCCGCUGUUCCACCUCCAUUACCUCAGCUGCCAUUAGUAGCGCUUCGACUGUGUCGGUUUGCUGGUAGGAGCGGCUUCGACACCAGCCCCCGAGCCCAAGUCGACGGAUGGCUCUUGUAGAUCUCUUGAGAGCGCGUCAGGUGGCACCGUGCCUCGAGUCGACGCGAUCUUGGUGAGUUCGUCGGCCGCCUCGUUGUAGCAUCGGGCGAUGCGGACAAGCUCGAGGCCGUGGAACUUGUCCUCGAGUCGACGGACUUCCUUGCAGUAUGCUUCCAUUUUCGGGUCGUGGCAGUUCGAGGCCUUCAUCACUUGGUCGAUGACAAGCUGGGAGUCGCCUCGAACGUCGAGGCGUCGAACUCCAAGCUCGAUGGCGAUCUUCAGACCGUUGACGAGGGCCUCGUACUCUGCAACAUUGUUGGACGUGGCAAAAUGUAUCCUGAUGACGUACCUCAUAUGAACACCCAGGGGCGAGAUGAAUAGCAGGCCCGCCCCAGCUCCCGCCUUCAUGAGAGACCCAUCAAAGUACAUCGUCCACAGCUCUACCUGGACCUGAACCGGGGGGAGCUGGGAGUCCGUCCAUUCCGCGACGAAAUCCACUAGGGCUUGUGAUUUGAUAGCUUUUCGGGGCGCAUAAGUGAGGGUCUCACUCAUGAGCUCAACCGACCACUUGGUGAUUCUUCCCGUGGCCUCCCGACUUUGGAUUAUAUCGCCCAAGGGGAAAGACGAGACCACCGUGAUAGGGUGGCCGAGGAAGUAGUGUUGCAGUUUGCGCCGGGCGAGGAUUACGGCGUAGAUUAGCUUCUGGAUUUGCGGGUAACGCGCCUUGGUCUCCAAGAGCACCUCACUGACGAAAUAGAUCGGCCUCUGGACUGGCAGCGCGUGCCCCUCCUCCUGCCUCUCGACCACUACCACUGCGCUGACGACCUGGGUCGUUGAGGCGACGUAUAGAAGCAGAGGUUCUGCAGGUUGAGGCGGGACUAGGAUUGGCGCAGAGGUCAUCGUUUUCUUCAAGUUAUCGAGGGCUUCCUCGGCUUCUGGGGUCCAAGAGAAACGCUCGACUUUCUUCAGAAGUCGAUAUAGUGGCAACGCCUUUUCUCCCAACCUUGACUCUCUGUACGCCCUUGAUGUCUCAGUGCCGCCAAACAUCCCGUGACUCUCUGUACGCCCUUGAUGUCUCGGAUCGGCCCCAUUCUCGUGAUGGCCGAGACUUUCUCGGGGUUAGCCUCGAUGCUGCGCUGGGAAACAAUGUAACCCAGGAGCAUGCCUUGAGGUACGCCAAAAACGCACAUCUCGGGGUUGAGCUUAAUCUGGUUGGCGCGUAAGCAGCUGAAAGCGAUCUCGAGGUCCUAAAUCAGGUCUCCCCGUUGUUUUGACUUGACGACAAUGUCGUCGACAUAGGCCUCGACCGUCGACCCUAUGUGCUUGUCAAAGACGUGGAGCAUGCAGCACUGGUAUGUUGCUCCCACAUUUCGAAGCCCGAACGGCAUGGUUACAUAACAAUACAUUCCAAAAGGUGUGAUGAAAGAUGUCACGAGCUGGUAAUGGAAAAGGAACUUUUGGACAUGCCUUAUUUAAACUGGUAUAAUCAACACACAUCCUCAUUUUCCCAUUCUUUCUCUUAACUAGUAUAGGGUUUGCUAACCAGUCGGGAUGGUGAACCUCCUUGAUGAAUCCGGCCAUCAAAAGCUUGUGGAUCCCCUCACCAAUGAUCUUGCGCUUCUCCUCGUCGAAUCAGUGCAACCGUUGCUUCACUGGCUUGGAACCGGCUCGAAUUUCCAAGGAGUGCUCGGCGACUUCCCUCGGUAUGCCCGGCAUGUCCGAGGGACUCCAUGCAAACAUGUUGGCGUUUGCAUGGAGAAAGUCGACGAGCACAGCUUCCUAUUUGGGGUCGAGGUCGGCGCUGAUCGUCAGCACCUUGCCGUCGGAGUUGUUGGGGUCGAGCGGGUACUUCUUUGUUCCUUCCGCCGGCUCGAAGCUGCCCACGUGGCGCUUGGGCUCUAGAGCCUCAGUGUCCAGGGCCUCGAGCUUCGAGACGAGCUCGGUGGAACUCUCGACCGUCUCCACAUACUCGACGCAUUCGACGUCGCACUCGUACGUGUGCUCGAAGGAGGAGAUGACGGUGAUGACGCCCUUGGGACUGGCAUCUUCAGCUUCAGGUAAGUAUAGUUUGGGAUAGCCAUGAAUUUGGCGUAACCCAGGCGCCCAAUGAUGGCGUGGUACGUACCUCGAAACCCCACCACCUCAAAGGUGAGGGUCUCCUUUCUGAAGUUGGCCGCCGUGCCAAAGCAAACCGGUAGGUCGAUUCGUCCUUCCGGCAACGCCUUCUUUCUUGGUACAACACCAUGGAAGCCACUGGCGCUUGGCUGGAGCUGCGCCCUGUUGAUGCCCAAGAGGUUGAGGAUCUCGAGGUAGAUGAUGUUGAGGCUGCUGCCACUGUCCAUCAGCACCUUUGAGAGCCGGGUGUUGACGAUGAUGGGGUCGACGACGAGCGGGUAGACGCUAGGGGCAACUACCUUGUCGGGGUGGUCCUCUCGAUCGAAGGUAAUGGGGGUGCUCGACCAACUGAGGUAUUGGGGCAUCGCCAUUCUCGCCACGAAGACCUCACGGCGUUCCCUCUUGUGCUGUCUUAUGGUCAACUGCGUCGAGGGCCCCCCAUAGAUCAUGUAGCAUUCGUGGACGGCGGGGAAACCAUCGUUGUCUUUAUUGCCCUCCUUGUUGCCACCCUUCUCCUUCUUUGGGUCGUCGUGCGCGUCCUUCUUGAACCCCAGACCAUCAAAAUGCUUUUUCAGCAUACGAGAGUCCUCGAGCUUGUGGUUGGCUCCUCCCUUAUGGUAAGGGCAUGGCUCCUUUAGCAUCUUAUCGAAGAUGCCUCCAUCUGGAGGGCCUUGAGGCCUUUUGCGUUCCAUGGCGGCGACGAAAUCGUCAUCGAGGUCUUCCCGCUGGAACGGCCGUGUAUUCUUCUUUUUCUCGUUCUUCUUGGGUCCUCGACUGGGGCCCUCAUCAUCGUCGAUGGGCGACUUGCCUUUCCUUCCUUCACAGCUGAAGAAGGCACCGACCGCUUCUUCCCCCGCAGCAUAGUUUGCGACUAUGUCCAUCAGUUCGUCGACGGUCUGAGGGUGAUUCCGGCCUAAUUGCCGCACCAAGUCGCGACUGGUGGUACCAGAGACAAAGGCCAGGAUGAUGUCGUGGUCGGGGAUGUGCGGUAGCUCGGUGCGUUGCUUCGAGAAGCGUCGAGCGUACUCUCGAAGCGUUUCUCCUGGCUUCUGCUUGCACUUGCUGAGGUCCCACGAGUUGCCGGGUCGUAUGUAGGUUCCUUUGAAGUUACCCUCAAACACCCUGACCAAAUUAACCAAGUUGUGGAUCUGGUCGGCCGGGAGAUCUUCGAGCCAUCUGCUGGCGGUGUCAGAGAGGAAAAGCGGCAGCUAUUUGAUGAUGGCUCGAUCGUGCCCUCGAGCGCCUCCUAGCUAACAGGCCAGCCUGAAAUCUGCUAGCCAUAGCUCUGGCUUAGUCUCAUCGUUGUACUUUGCAAUGCUAGUCGGCGGUCGGAACGGGCUGGGCAGCGGCGUGCUGUGGAUCGCCCUGCUGAACACCCUUGGGCCUGGUGGCUCUGGGGCCAUUCGGUCCUCAUCGCUAUCGUACCUCCCACCGCGAUGGGCGCUGUAACCGCGUUCUUUCGCGUCCCCAUAUCGACGGCGACGGUUCUCUUCAAUAUCACGACGUGCAUCGUGUCGUCGUUGGUUGUCGACAGGGAGGAUGAGCGUGGUCUUUUUCCCUCGAGGGGGCGGCUACUAAUGGACUAAUACCUCCUUUUCGUUCUAGGCUGGCUCAUCGCGCUUUUCUGUGGCCGGCCCUCGACGUCGGGAGGCCGAGCUCUCUGCUUGCUGAACUGCUGCCACCUGGAGUAGAGUUUGCACCUUGUCUCGGAUGCGCCGUGCUUGGGAGUUUGAGGGCUCCGGCAUGUUGCGUGACAGCAUCGUUGCCGCCAAAACAUUCUGGCUUGCCCGAGGGAAGCGGCUGACGUGUGGUUCUGGCUCCCCGUCCCCGACGAUCCGUCGGUGCACCUCUCGAGCCCUUCUGCGGACACUUCCGCCAGGAGGGUAUGGCAGGUCCUGCUCAAGGAUCUGCUUGAGCAGGACGAGGCUCUCACGGUCCUCAUCAAGUUUUGUCUUGAGCUCUCGCAGCUGCGCAAGUAGUGCGGCUCUGUCUUCUUGUGGUGGUGGGUCGACCUGUCCGUCGUUCCCAGGCGUCCUGGGGUCUUCCCGUGCUGCAGGGGCUCGACCGCCAGCAACGGCGUCCUGCGUCUCGUCGGUAGUUUCUACUGCCCCGUCGAUAUGGUAACAUUCCCUGGUAGGGUCGUAGCUGUCGGAUUCCGAGCCGGAGUCCGGUUCGGAGGCGUAGAAACAUCCGCGUCCUUGUUCCAGCAGCCGCUGCCUAAGUUAGGUAAUCGUGUACCGCCCAGGGCCUAGGUGGCGGAGGCCUCGUACCUGCGAGAAGUCCGGCAACUCGGAUGUCUGUUGCUGUGCCCCAGGGUCACGAGGGAGGACCAUUUGUCUCUCUACAUACGUCUGGGCGUUUGGGCAUAUCGCCCUGGCGAGCGACGCCACGGCAUUGUUGUGGACGGUCCUUAAUGCUCACAAUUAACCAUCAAUUAAUCAUGGAAAAGGAUCCAAAUGCAACCAACACCUAGACUUAGGGUUUUAUCUGACAUAAUUCCACAAGUUUUGGUGUUUGUCUAUUUCUGCAGGGGGUUAUCAGGAAAUACGGAAGAAAGGCCCACACGUCGGGUUUACAUAGAGAUAUUAACGUGCCACACAAUUUUCUACCAUCUAGAAGACUCCAGAAGCCACGGGAACGAACGGGAGGCCGAUCGGGCUCGGAGGCAGGGCGCCCGCCCAACUCUCCUGGGCGCCCGCCCAGCUACAGUGUCCAAUUCGGACCCGUUUCGCGUAUUAUGCUCCACCGACCUAAAGGAUCAAGGAAAACCGUGCGAUCAAUGUCGGUUUGAUCCGACGACCCAGAUUCACUUGAAGGGACUAUAAAACCAGACCCCCUGGCCCCUGGAGAACAUACCUCUUCUACAGAAUCAAAGCUAGGGUUUCAAUUCUUCAUCCAAGUAGAGAGGAUCCCUCUAGUUCUUCUAGUUCUACCUCUAGUUCAUCUAGUUCUAGUUCUAGUUCAUCUAGUUCUAGUUCUAGUUCUUCUAGUUCUAGUUCUAGUUAGUUCUAGUUGUAAUCUAGAAAAUAGGGAGAGAGAAGAGGAGAGCGGAGGAGGAGCCGGAUUUGUCGGAUCUUCCUCAACAUUGUACUUUUGCAGCAACUGGUUCGUUCUUCAUCGUUCUUCAGGUUCUUCAAUUCAUAACUCCUGAGUUCUCUAAUUACUUUUAUUUACAUUCAAGUUAUUUAUUGGAUCCCCGCUUGCAUCAAGUGCUCUAGUCUUUAUAACGCUAGAGUAGUAAUUAAUAGAUUAGACGUGGUGUUUAGUCUUGCGAUUACCUGGAAUUGCACCCAAUCCCACGGAUUGUUGUGGUAGCCCUAGGGUAGUGACAGCCCUAACGGUCGACGUAUUCCACCACGUUCGGAUCGGUGUUUGUAGGACCGUAGUCAGACCUUCCUAGUCCCCUUCUCAUCUCUUUCUGUGGUUAGUGCUCUGAUGUCCCGAUAUAGAUAAUCUUGAAGUAACUCUUGAUUCUUAGAUCAACUAGAGAACUCUCAGGAAACUUCUUCUCUUCCCACCAAAAAUAAUUAUAUAGUUAUCCUUGGGCGAUCUUGGAUCUUAAUUAGUACACUCACGUUCUCUGUGGAAAAUCGAUACUCUGGAAUACUCCCUGGUGAAAGCUACAUCGGUAUCCGUGCGUUUGCGGAUUUUUCUGUUUGCGUUUAAAAUACCCAACAAGCUUUCUGGCGCCGUUGCCGUGGAACGGUAGCUGUGCUAGUUUCGAACCAAGUCGUCCGUGUAUCCUUUUUCUUUUCCUUUUUUACCACACUCACCUUAUCACUUUCACCAUACCAUAUGGAUUUCACUCUAAGCAUUAAUGAGCAUGGAAUUUAUUUCAUAGCCACUUCAUUUACUCCAUGCUCAUAUGCAACAUCUUCACAAUCCAUUGGUCUCGCCAACAUCACCACAUUCGAGAUCUCCAACCCCCUCAUCCUUUCUAUUUAUAAAAACUUUAAAAGGGCGGUUGUCGAUGCAUAUGUCUAUAUUAAAUAUUGCAGAUCUCGUUGAGUUGAUCUUGAUAUAGGUCAGCGUUGGAGGGGGAACCACUUCGCCGACAUAAAUUGAUGGUUUCCCAAGGACAAGCUUAGUGUCCUAAAACAAGCACUGAUCGGAUUGUAACAUGAGCUUUUAAUUAUUUGCAACAUUACCUUGUGUAUCGAGCAUAUAAGGAUAAUUGUAAAAAUAUUCCUUCGGGUAUUCUUGUCACUAACCUUUCCAGGAUUGGAGCAAGAAGAUCGGAUGAAUGACAAGCACAAGGUAUGUCCAACCAAUCAUCAUACAACAUUGAAUUAUAUUCAUCCAAACUUGAAUUUUGCUAAAUUCAAGCUUGGGGGAGUACUUUACAUAAAAACAUCCUUUACCAUGUUGCUAUGUUGGUUGUCCCUACCUUUGAGACAUGCUCAAUUUGUUAAAUACUAAUCACACUACUUCAUCUCCACUUGAGUAGAUCUCUAUAAAUGCUCUCAUAGUACCUUUAUUUGCUUUAGUAUAUGUCUAGGUUUGGAGUAGUUUCAUUUAUCUCUUAAUUAAGCAUGGUGCUUAGUUUAGGGCUGAUGAUCUUACAUCCAAGGGAGUUUAAAUUAAGCAUGAUGCUUAAGUUAAAAUGCCCUCCUAAAUCAAAUUAGACAUGGUGUCUAGGUUGAUCUUUGAGCCGAUAGUAUGCUAUAGUAGAUAUUGGAUAUUUUGUUGGACUAACCCCUGCAGGAAAACUUUCACUAUCGACCUGGGAAGUCCUGAGAUAAACUCACAUUGGAGACAAAGAGAGACACACAUGAAGUUUAACAAUUUACACAAGGAAGACAUAGCUCACAAGAGAUGAUCCCUGGAGUGUGGCACAAACACGAUGCACAACCGAUAAGAAAGGAAAGCUUUCACAAGGUGAUACUGUACCAUCACUCUUCAAGUAAGGUAACAUCUUAAGGUACUUGACUAUCACUUCUAUAAAGCUUCUCCUUGGUUCUGGCAUUCACAUGAAUAAAAGAGACAAACAUGUAUGAUUUACAACUCUAGAUUAACCAACCCAAUCGAUUCAACAUGUUUAGUCCUUCCACCUUUGUGAUCCUACACUCCUAAUCAUAUAAGCUAAAAUGUUGCACACUCAAUCUUUGGAAGAUAUAUAUAAAAGAAACAACAUAAAUAUAGAUAGAUUAUCUUUCCAUUAGGUUGAGCGAUUUGAUCUGACAAAUGUUUUAAAUGCUACACCCAUGAUCUUGUUAUCCAUCAACUUUGUCUUGCUCACUAUGCUUAAGGUUAGAUAAGAACAAAUACACUUUUGGUUCUGUUGGUGUUUUCCACCAACAGGGCCCAUGCACUUGAUCUCUGCCUUGUCUCUAUGAGCAGGUACACUUCGAGCAAAAUAUGAAGGAGUUUUACAAUUCCCAGACUCCACCAAGUGAAGAACCUAGAUCUACAAGCACACACACACUGGAGAUACUGAGCACUCAGGCAAUCACUGCCCUGAGAUACUUGAGGACGUAACUACUGGAGUAACCCCAUUGUGGAAGUAAUUACUGACCUUCUGCCGGUCAAGAGAGGCGAUCUAGGACGCCCCAUCAUCCCGAUCUCCAUCGGCAUGGUGGACUCCCCAGAAGCACUCUGCGACUUUGGCUUCAGCGUCAACAUUAUGCUCAGGGGAAUAUUGAAGAACCUCUACGUUCGAGUUGGUACCUUGUACGCCCCAGCAGACUUCGUGAUGUUAGAGACUGGUACUGAUGAGAGGGCACCCAUCAUCCUAGGGAGGCCAUUCCUGAACACCUCGGGAGCUGUCAUCUACGCUAGUGCUGCCAAGAUCAGUUUCUACAUCAAGGGGAGGAAGGAGACGUUUACCUUCAAGAAUAAGAUUACACAAAUCUCAAAGCAAUCCCGACAUGAACCAAGGAAGAGGACCAACAGGAGGAACAGAAACAAGCAAAUGUGGACUGAGUUAGCUAAGAUGGUCACUGCAGUUCAAGGAGGUCAAGAUCGUCAACUCAAGUCGCCUUUCUUGUUCAAGAAGGACGACCCUGGUGUUCCAAGCAUCGAGUGCACAAUCAACGGAUAUUCUUUUCAGAAGACACUCUACGAUACCGGAUCUGAUGUCAAUGGCCACAGUCACCUAUCAGCUCCUGUUUAGAACCAUGCCCCUACAACCAAAAUACAUUCAGCUCCAGAUGAUUUGAAGGUUAUUGUCAUGGGAGAAGACGAGUACAAUCCACCCGUCAUCCUUGGAAGAUCGUUCUUUAGCACCAUUAAAGCAAUCAUAUACAUUGGAACCAGAGAAGUCCACAUGCACUUCCCCUCAGAGAAGGUACGCCACUGUUUUACUGACCCUAACUAUAUAGUUGAAGACUCUAAGCAGGUCAGGACAAGAAGACGACGACGCAACCGCAACCAGAGGAGGCAAAUCAUCAAGGACGGAUGGGUAGACUAUGAAGGAGAAGUUGUAAGGUCUGAAGACAUAAAGCUUGAACAGAACUGUCCUGAGGAGACCGUAGCACCGAGUCAGGUGUGGAGAGAGAAGAUAGUUAUACACGAAGACCAGGCACCGCCGGAACCACCGACUACGCCAUCCACCGAAUCCCAGGACGAUUGAGAAAACAGAGAGUCUCGUUCGGAGGACUUAAAAACACCGAACGCCUUGCCAAGAGGUAAACUUGGUAGUUAUCCUUUUCCUUUCAAUUAUUUAAAAUAGUUUGCUUAGUUAAUCAGGUUCAUGCUAUCUUGACAAGAAAAUAAAAAUGUUAAAAAUAGUAAGCCCCAUGUGAGUAUGCUCAUGGCAUAAAACCCAUAAGUACAUUCACUGUGGUGGCGUAAAAAUAAAUAUAUAUAUUCCUGUCCUAUAAAAAUGAAAAUAUAAAAAUAAAUUUAUGAUCCUACUAAAGAGAGUAACAUUUAUUGAGGAGGCUGAACAUGAUAAAGGCUAGAUAUUUAUGCUAACACUUAACUAGUUCCACAAAGCUUUGUUGUCUAUUUGAGCUCCACAGAAUUAAAGGAUCAAAGAAGACUAGUAGACGGAGGACAUCCUAAUCAAUGUCAGGGUGCUACCGACAUUCAAAUACACCUCCGCCACCUGCUACAUCAAAAGGAAUUACGUCAAGAUCCAGCUUGGGGGAGAGCACCUCCAUUUAUCCAGCUAAGUAUUCUACUCACGUUUAUAUUUUACUCAAAUAAUAAAAAGAUGCAUAAUCAUAAAAACCCAAAUAAAGAUUUUGUGCUUAUAUAUAUAUCUUUGCUUAGUUUGCUAAAUAAAUAAAUAAAUAAAAAUUUGCUAUGAACCCUCAUGAUAAGCUCUCACAUGGAAAGAUGAAUAGUUGCUCUACCAUGACUAGUUCUCAAAAUUGAAAUCUCUCUCAAGUUUAGGCAUCACUGUUAUUAAUUAAGAUUUGCUCUAAACCUGAACUUGUGGGAAGAGUACUUGAUCUGAAGUCUAAGUCGUUAACGGAUAUGAUAUGGGAAGGUUGAGCUGCUGUUUAUCUGUUCCUAGAGAUGCUAGAAUUCUGGAGAAUUUUAUCUUUGAAAAUCUUUAAAAUAUCACAUGAUGAGUUCCUGUAUGAUGAGAGUUUAAAUUCCUACCACAGCCAUAUAUACAUGCUUGCUAAACUUUGAGCCACACAUUUACUUUUUACUGCUUAUGAGCAUUGAGUGUGGUCAAGCUGUGUAGACCCUUAGGAGCUUGUCAUGUGGUUAAGUCAAGAUUCACUUGCACGUUCACUCAUACAUGCUACUUCUACUCUGGAAGUACCAUCCACAUAUACCCAUUUCCAUCUCCAGAACCACCCAAAAAUAUUCUACUCCUAAUCCGGAAGAGAAUAGCCAAAAAUAUUUCUAUUUUUUCCCUGUGAAAUAAAUGCUCAAGUUAUCUUGUUACUACCACUUGCUAUAUUAUCUCAUGAGAUGACUGCUCUAAAAAAAGAGAAAAAAAAAGAAGAAUACGAGGAAAUAAAAAGGGGCAAGUGCCCGGAACCUCGAAAGAAAAAAAAAAGAAGAAAAAGUGAGACGAGAGGUAAAAAUGGACAAGUGUCCGAUAGUAGAAUUAGGGGUACAAGAUACCCACCUGAGAGAAAAGAAAAAAAAAGAAAAAGAAAGAAAAAGAAAAUACAGAGCAUCUCAUUCUCCCUGAAAGUUUCAAAAGAGCAAGAAAGGUAUGUAUCCCCUCAAAAGAGCACAAGUAGAAUUAGACUUUCACCAUUGUUAUCACCAUCAUCACCAUAUACUAUUCAUUCGCCACACAUGCACAUCUUGAUUUGACUUAUUGACUUGUUCUUCUGGAUCCAUGGUUUGACUAUGCAAUAAAUGUCUUGUAAGAAUGUAUUAGCUGUCUCCCACCUAUGAGCUCCAGAUAUCAAAGCCUUAUUAGAGUAGGGUGAGAGAGAAGGCAAUGUCACUAUGCCUUAUACUACAAAUACCACAUACUUUGAGAGAAGGCAUAUACCAUUACUGCCUUGGUAAGGAUCCAGAAAUACCUUAAAAGAGAGACUAGAGAGAGUCAUACAAGGAAUCUCUGAGUUUUAUUUGAAAAUCUGCAAAAACUCCAAAGCUAUAGCUGAUCAAGAAUAAGAGACAUGGUGCUUGACUAGACCGUUCUAUCUUUUAACUACUCAAGACAGAAGUGACGGUUACAAGUCCCAUGGUGAAAGGUAAAUGAGUAAGUUUUAAGUCUUAACAGUUUACUCUAAGCAGAGAUGAGAUCUUGUUUAAACGCAUGUGUAUCUUUAAGUUAUGAAACCACUGCAGAAACUCUUGAGUUCAUCUUUGCUCAGGGACGAGCAAAGGUUAAGCUUGGGGGAGCUUGUUGACGGUCCUUAAUGCUCACAAUUAACCAUCAAUUAAUCAUGGAAAAGGAUCCAAAUGCAACCAACACCUAGACUUAGGGUUUUAUCUGACAGAAUUCCACAAGUUUUGGUGUUUGUCUAUUUCUGCAGGGGGUUAUCAGGAAAUACGGAAGAAAGGCCCACACGUCGGGUUUACAUAGAGAUAUUAACGUGCCACGCAAUUUUCUACCAUCUAGAAGAUUCCAGAAGCCACGGGAACGAACGGGAGGCCGAUCGGGCUCGGAGGCAGGGCGCCCGCCCAACUCUCCUGGGCGCCCGCCCAGCUACAGUGUCCAAUUCGGACCUGUUUCGCGUAUUAUGCUCCACCGACCUAAAGGAUCAAGGAAAACCGUGUGAUCAAUGUCGGUUUCAUCCGACGGCCCAGAUUCACUUGAAGGGACUAUAAAACCAGACCCCCUGGCCCCUGGAGAUCAUACCUCUUCUACAGAAUCAAAGCUAGGGUUUCAAUUCUCCAUCCAAGUAGAGAGGAUCCCUCUAGUUCUUCUAGUUCUACCUCUAGUUCAUCUAGUUCUAGUUCUAGUUCAUCUAGUUCUAGUUCUAGUUCUUCUAGUUCUAGUUCUAGUUAGUUCUAGUUGUAAUCUAGAAAAUAGGGAGAGAGAAGAGGAGAGCGGAGGAGGAGCCGGAUUUGUCGGAUCUUCCUCAACAUUGUACUUUUGCAGCAACUGGUUCGUUCUUCAUCGUUCUUCAGGUUCUUCAAUUCAUAACUCCUGAGUUCUCUAAUUACUUUUAUUUACAUUCAAGUUAUUUAUUGGAUUCCCACUUGCAUCAAGUGCUCUAGUCUUUAUAACGCUAGAGUAGUAAUUAAUAGAUUAGACGUGGUGUUUAGUCUUGCGAUUACCUGGAAUUGCACCCAAUCCCACGGAUUGUUGUGGUAGCCCUAGGGUAGUGACAGCCCUAACGGUCGACGUAUUCCACCACGUUCGGAUCGGUGUUUGUAGGACCGUAGUCAGACCUUCCUAGCCCCCUUCUCAUCUCUUUCUGUGGUUAGUGCUCUGAUGUCCCGAUAUAGAUAAUCUUGAAGUAAUUCUUGAUUCUUAGAUCAACUAGAAAACUCUCAGGAAACUUCCUCUCUUUCCACCAAAAAUAAUUAUAUAGUUAUCCUUGGGCGAUCUUGGAUCUUAAUUAGUACACUCACGUUCUCUGUGGAAAAUCGAUACUCUGGAAUACUCCCGGGUGAAAGCUACAUCGGUAUCCGUGCGCUUGCGGAUUUUUCUGUUUGCGUUUAAAAUACCCAACAAUUGUCCAAACCAAACGGCAAUGCUCUUCUUGGGGCGACCAGCCCAUGUGGGAGUAACCUAGCGGCUGGGGAGAGUGCGCGGGGCGCGUCUCCUCCUGUCGUCAUGUGAUCUUCGUGGCGCUGAGCCGUCACGCCCACGGUUCCGGCGCAUGGUGCUAUCGGCUCUCGUGUCACCUUCUUCCUGGCACGAACUGUCGGUCGUGACGAAGCAGAGGGGCGACGGUGGUGCUGUCCACGCCUCUUCUUGGGCGGGGAGGCAUGGUGGCGAGGACGUCUUGGGGCCCUCAACCAUGCUGGCGCAACGUGGGCUCCUCCCGGUCCUUUGAUCGAGUGCAAGAUGAUGUCAUAGCCGGAGCCAGAAGACAUGAACUCGAGACUCCCAAACCAAAUCACCGUGGAGCGCGGAAUCGGCGAAGCGAGAGUGGCCAUCUGGAAAGGAAUGGGAAAUCGGUGAAAAACACGUAGGACCCCUACCUGGCGCGCCAACUGUCGGUGUUUUCCCCACGGGGGGUCACACCAACGAGAAAAUUUGUAUGCGUGCUCCCUUUUCCAGAUGGUGAUGCAAAAAGACACAAAGAUUUAUCCUGGUUCGGGCAAGAGAAGGCCCUACGUCCAGCGGGGGAGGAGAGUUUGUAUUAUUUUGCAGCUAAGUGCUUGUACAGGGGUGAAUACAAGCGUGUAUGAGCUGGGAUGGAGUAUGGAAGUUCUACUACAUAUAAGUGUUGUCUUCCCUCUGUGUAUCGCCUCCUGGGCCUCCCCUUUUAUAGUUCCAAGGAGAAGCCCAGGGUACAAGUAUAGGUGUCAGAGUUGGGGUCGAUAGGGAUAUGGCGCACGGACCUAAUCGAGGCCUCCGUACCGGUGUGGUCUCGAGCCGUCCGGUCCUGAUGGCUUGAUGUUGAUUACACGUGCCCCUGUAUCCUGCUCUGUGCGCCGUCGUGGACUGGUUUAUCUGCUGCACGCCUGUACGUCAUGGCGGCAGAUGCGUCGGAGUGGUUGCAGUGCUGUCUUUCGACGCCCGACCCUUCCCCAAGAAGGAAACGUGUCUGGUCGAGGGUCGGACACCGUGUAGCGCCAUGCUAGCCAGAGCGUUGACCUUGGAUGUCUCGAGGGGGUCUUGAUUGGAUGUUCCGACCCUGCUUCCUGCGUCCUGACAUGCUCUGGGUCGUUUGGUGGGGAAUGCUGCAAAAAGAAUGAUGGGACGGGUGCCUGUUCCCUAUCACGCUUCCCGUGACUGGUGUGUUAGGUGAGAACGCGACAAGCGCGUUAAAUGCCCUGGUUCCCAUGCACGCGUUAGGCAGCGGGCAGCGUCCUUGCGUUCGACGCCUUCCGGUUCGCUCGAGCCUGUUUCUGUAUUCGACGGUCGUUGGUGCUCGAGCCCUGAUUGAUUCGCUCGACGCUCUUUCCGUCUUCGAUGCUGCGGUCGUUGAUGACUGUACGUGUGACUGGUUAGAGCGUCGAGUUGGGGGCCUCGACCUGCGUACGGGCAAUCUCAUUAUGUACAUUAGUUAGGAUACCCCUUAUUGAUACCCUUGACAGAAGUAUUGAUAGAGGCAAGUGAACAUGCAAUAGAUGAUGAGGGGAUGAAGGACCUAAAGACAAAAUUGGACCACCUAAUGUGGAAAAUGAAUGUGGGCUUUGUUUGUGUUGCAGUUGUUCUACUUAGUGUUGUAGUCAAGUACCUGAUCUAAUGAGGUUCGGUAAUGUUUAUGGAUCAACACAGCUUGUAUGUGUUCUAAAGGGAUCUUUUAUUUGUUUAAUUUUCACAGUGUGGUUCAAAAAACACUUGAUUUCGACAUGUAGUAUGUGAAUUCUAUACAUGUUCACUCCCAAACAAAAUCAUAUAAGUAAUCAAAUAAAAAAGUCAUUAUCUCAGGAUUCUACCCCACAAACAAUUGGUGCAACAACUCCAUCGUCAAUGUACGUGUCAUCUUACUCAUCUUCAUCGUCAUCUAAUAAGGCCACAUCGUCUGGUUCAUCAGCUGCUUCGGCCUGCACCUGAGCAAUAAUAGAGACAUCCCCGAUUGUGCCUUGCUUGUCCUAUCUGGUCCAACUUGUUGUCAAAUCCUCCUGUCCACCAAGUAAAUCACUAAUGCCUUGGAAACCCACAUCAAUUGAGUCCUCCCGUUCUAAUUCAGGCAUGGCAAACAAGUCCCUUGGUUUCAUCGCAAUAACACUUCUCCAACCAGGUUUGUUUACCACAUCCAUGUAGAACACUAGUUCUGCCUGUGUCACAAGAAUAUAGGGUUCAUUCUCAUACCUGUUCCGAGUACUAUCGAUAUCAAUAACCCCAAACUGAUCCUUAUUCUAUCCUCUGCCUCUGCUUGUACUGGCAGCAGGCACAUCAUACCAGUCACACUCGAACAAAAUGACUUCUUUUUGUCUAGGGAAUUGUAGUGACAUCUUUCUUUUAAUCACCCCAUACCUGCACAUGUUACCAGUACUAGCAGGGUCUCCAUUACAAGCACGCCACUGUUUUGUGUGACGAGGUUUUUCUCAAUGUCAACUAUGCGAAACAGCCAAUUAUUGAUAUGGCAUCUAUGCAGUAUACGAGCUCAGUUGUCCUUCCACUCAGCAAGUGCAAACAUCUCGGCAAUUACGUUCUGUUUGGCAUAUUGCUCUCUCACCUUACCCUCGAACCGUCUUGCAAAUUGUUCCUCGUGUCGCUUUUUAAGAUUUCUUGUACCACCACGCAUCUGCAAUUCUUCCAUAUGCACACUACACAUAGAAAAGUUAUAUUAAUAAUGUUGGUUUGAAAUAUAAUAUUUAAAAAUAAUGUUGUUUAAUUAAUAUGUAACUUACUCGAUGAAUGGUUUAGUGUCAUCAUAAUUAGAAAUUAUGUAGUGCUAAAUCUUCCGCAUCUCAUCUCUGUCAAGGAGCUUGACAGUCUGUCCUCUCUAGUUGUAAUCCAUUGCAGCAAAUAAGCUCUAACCAGAUGGUGGCUCAUUCACGGCAACACUUUCAUGACGAUCAGCACGAUUCAGUUUGGUGUCCAUGUCCAAGAAUCUAUAGCAAAAUGUAAGGCACUCCUCGAGUAUGUAUCCCUCGGCUAUUGACCCUUCAGGGUGCGCCUUGUUCCUCACGUAUCCUUUUGUAGUAUGUAGGUACCGCUCCACUGGGUACCUCCAUCUAUAACAAACGGGCCCUCCAAGUUUAGUCUCUUCAGCUAGAUGAAUAGGCAAAUGCAUCAUGAUAUCCAAAAAUGAAGGUGGGAAUAACAUCUCUAGUCGGCAUAGAGUGUCAACAAUUGUACUACUAAGUUUGUCCAAGUCUGCUUCCCCCAUCUCCUUGGAACAUAGUGCAUCGAAGAAAUUACUAAGCUGGAUCAAUGCAACGACAACUUGUUGUGGCAAAAUCCUCUGCACCACUAAGGGUAACAGUUUCUAUAGAAUUAGAUGGUAAUCAUGAGAUUUCAAGCCAGACAGCUUAGAUGUGUUUAGGUCAACACAUCUUAUUAUAUUGGAGGAGACCCCAUCAGGCAUUUUCAGUCCAUAUAGAAAUUUGCAUAAAUUAUCCUUCUCAUCAUUAUCUAACUUGUACAAGGCUGCUAGCAAGGUAUACUUAUCUUUAUUGAUCACAGGAUGUUGAUCUGGUCUCAUCCCUAGUUGUUGCAUGUCAAGCCAGGCCUUCUCCCCAUCCUUACACUUACCUUCCAAUUCUAGCAGAGUGCCUAAUAUGGUCUCACAUAUAUUUUUCUCAAUGUGCAUGACGUCUAAAUUAUGCCUGAUGAGCAAAGAAGACCAGUAUGGGAGCUUGUUGACGGUCGUUAAGUACCAAAUAUAAUCAUUAAAUAAAUAAAGAAAAGGAUCCAAAUGCAACAACCACCCAGACUUAGGGUUUUAUCUGAUAGAAUUCCACGAGUUUUGGUGUUUGUCUAUUUCUGCAGGGGGUUAUCAGGAAAUAUGGAGGAAAGGCCCACAUGUCGGGUUUACAUAGAGAUAUUAACGUGCCGUGCAAUUUUCUAUCAUCUAGAAGACUCUAGAAGCCACGGGAAUGACUGGGAGACUGAGCGGGCCCGGGCACAGGGCGCCCGCCCUCCCCCUUUGGGCGCCCGCCCAGGUGUCUCGGCCAAUCAAGCCCCGCCUCAUGAAUUAUGCUCCACCAACCUAAAGGAUCAAGGAAAACCGUGUGAUUAAGGUCGGUUUGAUCCGACGGCCCACGUUCACUUGAGGGGACCAUAUAAGCACGACCCCUGGCCCCUGGAGGAGAGCAAUCCCAUCAUUCAUUAGCAUAUUUUCCAGAGAGGAUUUAGAGAGACAGGUCCCUCUAGGGUUCCAACCUCAUAGGGCUUAGCAUCCAAUGUGAGAUUAGAAUUAGUUCUUAUAGAUUGAGAGAGAUAGAGUGGAGGUGUAGAUCGGAGGAAGCCGGCCUAUCGGUGUCUACUCUAAGGUUGUACCUGCGAGAUCAAGUCUCCUAACCCGAGGCUUGCUCCUAGGAUUCUUCAGUAUUUUAACUUCUAAAUUAUAGUAAGUUCUUUGUUCUUAUUGUUCUUUGGUUUAUGAGUUUACUUUAACCUCUUCCGAUAGAGUUUAGAGUAAUCAUUGCUAGCGUAAACAUGGUGUUUGGGCUAGGGUACUCAUAGAUAUCCCCUAUCUAGCCAGACCGUGGUAGUAGCGAGGAACGUGACAUUUCCGUAGCUACCUUUGUAGCCCACAAUCCUGUUAGCAGGAUCGGUAAGGUUUAUAGGUGCGGGUCGAACAUCCUUUGUGGUGUCUAGAUUCCGUAAGCCUCCCUAAUAGAAUAGUAGAUCAUCAUUACCAAGGUUAGAACGAGAGUGUGGUUGUAGCCUUCUCUAUACAUCGCUCACAUCAAAUCACAUUGUUUGUAGCCUAAAGGGUAGUAGCAAUAGAUUUGGUUAGUCACAUGCACGCUUUUUCCCAGUGGUAAAAAUAUAAAUACGACUCUGGAUAACCUCCCGGGUGAAAUGCUCACCAAUAUCCGUGAGCUUGCAGAUCAUUUCCUUAUGGCGUUAACAAAUAUCAACAGAGCUCAAAAAAAAUACUCUUCUUCAUCCAGUUGUGCCAUCUUUCAUCAUAAUCGUGCUUCCUUUUUUUGUAGACGUCAUUCCAAAACUCACUUGUUCAAAACUUUCAUACUGCUCAAGUACCUGUGCACCAGUUAGUUGUACUGGUGCCUCCCUAGUUUCGACCAUGUUGUUGAAGCUGACCAUGUUCUGGUGCUAAAUAUGGUCCAAGGGUAAGAAACGUCGACUGGCCAUGUAGCAGUGCUUUCUCCCAUGCUUCAACCACAAAAAAUCAGUAUCUUUGUGGCAAUAUGGGCAUGCAAACUUUCCUUUGGUGCUCCAACCAAACAACAUGGCAUAUGCUAGGAAGUCAUUAAUUGUCCAAAGUAAAAUAGCACAUAAUCUAAAGUUUUUACUGGUUUGUGCAUCCCAUGUUCUAACACCCUUUUCCCAAAGCACCUUGGGCUCCAAUAUAAGAGGCCUCAAAUAUACAUCAAUAUCCAUUCGAGGAGAUUUUGGACCAGGGAUCAACAUUGACAUCAUCCAGUUUGAUUGCUUCUAACACAACCAAGGAGGCAAAUUGUAAGGUAUUAGAACAACAGGCCAUAUGGAUUAGGUUGUACUUUGCAUCCCAAAGGGGUUGAAUGCAUCAGAAGCAAGACCCAGCCUAACAUUACGAGCUUCUUUUUCAAACAACCUAUAUUUCUUAUCCACGUGCUUCCAUGCCUUCGAGUCAGCAGGGUGACGCAUUUUCCAAUCAUUGACCCUCUCUUUCUUAUGCCAUUGGAUGUCCUCCGAUGUGCUCUUCGACAUAUACAUUCUUUGCAGCGAGGAAUAAGAGGGAAGUAGCGUAGGAUCUUCACGGGAAACCGUUUCUUGAAAGUAGUACCAUCGGAGGUGUUCUCGACAACUUUCCACAUAGACUCCCCACAUGUGGGGCAUUCCUGCAGAUUUUCAUUUUCCUUAAAAAAUAACACACAAUCAUUCUUGUAGGCGUGUAUCUUGACAUAGUCCAAGCCUAGAUCUCAAACCACUUUUUGAACUUUAUCCAAUGAGUUAGGGAUACAAUGGCCUUCAGGGAGAACCCUUGAGAACAAUUUAAGUAUGGCCUCCAAACAUGCAUUACUAAUACCAUACAUGUACUUUAUCUGAAAAAGUUGCACGAUAAAAGAAACCUCUCUCACACUAACUCUCUCACAGGUGGAAAAUUAUUAUUAUUGUUGUAAGAAUUGUUACCUUGAUAACUACUGUUGGGUAUUUUAAACGCAAACAGAAAAAAUCCGCAAGCGCACGGAUACCGAUGUAGCUUUCACCCGGGAGUAUUCCAGAGUAUCGAUUUUCCACAGGGAACGUGAGUGUACUAAUUAAGAUCCAUGAUCGCCCAAGGAUAACUAUAUAAUUAUUUUUGGUGGGAAGAGAGGAAGUUUCCUGAGAGUUCUCUAGUUGAUCUAAGAAUCAAGAAUUACUUCAAGAUUAUCUAUUUCGGGACAUCAGAGCACUAACCACAGAAAGAGGUGAGAAGGGGGCUAGGAAGGUCUGACUACGGUCCUACAAACACCGAUCCGAACGAGGUGGAAUACGUCGACCGUUAGGGCUGUCACUACCCUAAGGCUACCACAACAAUCCGCAGGAUUGGGUGCAAUUCCAGGUAAUUGCAAGACUAAACACCACGUCUAAUCUAUUAAUUAAUACUCUAAUGUUGCAAAGAUUAGAGCACUUGAUGCAAGCGGGAAUCCAAUAAAUAACUUGAAUGUAAAUAAAAGUAAUUAAAGAACUCAGGAUUAUGAAUUGAAGAACCUGGAGAACGAUGAAGAACGAACCAGUUGCUGCAAAAGUACAAUAUUGAGGAAGAUCCGACAGAUCCGGCUCCUCCUCCUCCGCUCUCCUCUUCUCUCUCCCUAUUUUCUAGAUUACAACUAGAACUAACUAGAACUAGAACUAGAGGAACUAGAACUAGAACUAGAUCUAGAUGAACUAGAGGUAGAACUAGAAGAACUAGAGGGAUCCUCUCUACUUGGAUGAAGAAUUGAAACCCUAGCUUUGAUUCUGUAGAAGAGGUAUGAUCUCCAGGGGCCAGGGGGUCUGGUUUUAUAGUCCCUUCAAGUGAAUCUGGGCCGUCGGAUCAAACCGACAUUGAUCGCACGGUUUUCCUUGAUCCUUUAGGUCGGUGGAGCGUUGUCCGCGAAACGUGACCGAAUUGGUCUCUGGAAGUGGGCGGGCGCCCAAGGGACUAGGGCGGGCGCCCUGUGCCUGAGCCCUCUCGGCCUCCGCUUCGGUCCCGUGGCUUCUGGAGUCUUCUAGAUGAUAGAAAAUUGCGCGGCACGUUAAUAUCUCUAUGUAAACCCGACGUGUGGGCCUUUCUUCCGUAUUUCCUGAUAACCCCCUGCAGAAAUAGACAAACACCAAAACUUGUGGAAUUCUGUCAGAUAAAACCCUAAGUCUGGGUGUUGGUUGCAUUUGGAUCCUUUUCCAUGAUUAGUUGAUGGUUAAAAGUGAGCAUUAAGGACCGUCAACAAGCUCCCCCAAGCUUAACCUUUGCUCGUCCCUGAGCAAAGCUAAAAUCAACAAGAAAACAGGGGUUACUUUUAUGCCUCUUACUACAGGGUUUUUAAGUUAUCAAUAAGGUCUUAAGUGAUUGAAAAACAGAAUGAUCAAGUCAAGCACUAUGUCUCAAGUUCUUCUGUCUUAGCUUUGUUCUGGAGUUUUUUUAUAAGUCUGCAAAAUGAAACUGAGGCAUUGCCUUCUUCUCGAAAGAUAUAUAAGUAGAGCUUUAAAAGUUUUAGCAUACUUACUUUGCAUUUUGCUAUGUCAAUGUUUGGAGCAAGGGAGAGGAAUGUCAUACUCCUAGAUCAAGACCUUUGACCUUUUUGAGAAGUUUGUCAUCUCUUACUGGCAUAUUGCUUAUUAGAGGGACCAUGGGCUAUCAUUUUUUUUCUUUUUUUUUAGUCUCUUUUUUUUUGAGUGGGCAGCAAGUACCCCUGAUUCUACUGUCGGACACAUGUCCAUUUUUUUCCACUCAGGUGGGUAUCUUUGUACCCCUAAUUCUACUUCGGACACUUGUCCAUUUUUACCUCUCGUCUCACUCUUUUUUUUUCGAAUCAAAUUUUUGCAUAGUCCCAUGCCUCUAACGCAAUAAUACUUCGGAAGAGUGAAUCUUUUAUAUUUUAAAACAAAAUGAUCUUGAUCUUGGGAGCAUGAUAAUUCUCUCAACCAAAACUACAAGAAUUAACAAUGGCUUGAACAAAGCAAGUGCCCACAGUUUUAAUAUUUAUAUCUUAUAAGACUCUAGGUAUUAUGAUCUCAUAUAUAUUUUUUUAUGAACUUUUAGAUUUUCAAAAGAUAAAAUCUCCAGAACUCUAGCAAAACUUGGAACAAGUUAAAUAGUAGCUCAGACCUUCUCAUUUCAUGUUUGUCAAUUAUCUAGACUUGAAUCAAACUUUCUUUUUAUUUUAUUUAAAACUUAGGAUUACACAAAACUAUUGUAUAUUACUCAAAAGAAAAACUUUGUUUGGUUUCGUGGUUACGCAUUUUUUUAUUUAUUUCUGAAUACUAGUAAAUAAAACCAAGAAAGAAAAGUAAUACUUAUCUAGAUACACGUGGGGGUGCCUCCCCCAAGCUGGAUGUUGACAUAGUCAUUCACUCUUGUGGCCUACAUGUUCGGUCUCACUCUUCUUAAGCCUCAAAAUCCUGCACAACCCAAAUAGACAACAAAACUUGUGGAACAUGUUAAGGGUUAGGUAAUUGUCUAGAGCUUAUGAGAGCUUAAUAUGAGAAUUCUAUGAACUCAAUCAAAUCAAGUUCCUCUACCAGAUUGUUUUGUGGCUCGAGAUAGAUUUUCAAGCGUUGACCAUUUACCUUAAAAGUGUUACCUGUGUCGUCUUGAAUGGUAAUGGCUCCAUGAGUUGAAGUGUCAAUAACCUUGUAUGGUCCAUCCCACUUACUUCGUAGCUUACCAUGACCAAAGAGCUUAACUCUUGAAUUGAAUAGUAGAACCUUAUCUCCAGGCUUAAACUCCUUGUGCUUGAUUCUCUUAUCAUGCCAUCGUUUUGUUCUCUCUUUAUAGAUCCUUGAAUUGUGGUAGGCUUUCUCUCUCCAUUCUUCUAGCUCAGAUAAUUGCAUCAGACGAUUCUCGCUAGCAAGGUGGAGAUCCGUGUUCCAUUUCUUGAGUGCCCAAUGAGCCUUAAACUCUACUUCCAUAGGCAAGUGACAAGUUUUUCCAUAUACAAGUUGAUAAGGUGACAUGCCUAUGGGUGUUUUGAAUGCAGUUCUAUAUGCCCAAAGUGCAUCAGGAAGUUUGUCCUUCCACCCCUUACCCAUCUCAUCUACGGUCUUUUGUAAAAUAUUUUUGAUUUGUUUGUUAGACGUUUCGGCUUGACCGCUAGUCUGAGGAUGGUAUGGUGUUGCAACGUUGUGUUGAACUCCAUGAUCGGCUAAGUACUUCCGAAAGAUUUUGUCGAUGAAGUGGGAACCUCCAUCGCUUAUAACUACCCGGGGUAUACCAAAGCGAGGAAAGAUUACUUCAUGGAACAUUCUCUUGGCAUGUUUUGAAUCAGCUGAUCGACAAGGUAAGGCUUCUACCCAUUUGGACACGUAAUCCACAGCUACUAAGAUAUACUCGCAAUUCCCGGACAUAGGGAAUGGCCCCAUGAAAUCAAUGCCCCAUACAUCGAAAAGUUCUACUUGAAGAUUAUUUGUGAGAGGCAUUUCAUUUCGUGAGUUAAUAUUCCCAUGUUUUUGACACCGGUGGCAUCUCCUGACAAAGUCCUUUCUAUCUUCAUACAUCGUUGGCCAGAAAAAAACACUUUGCCAAAUUUUAGCAUGUGUCCGAAAUGCUCCAUAGUGUCCUCCAUAUGGCGAGGCAUGGCAUCUUUCCAUAAUUUGAGUAGCCUCAGCCAUAGGAACACACCUUCUCAAGACUCCAUCAGCGCAGACUCGGAAAAGAUAUGGCUCAUCCCACAGGUGGAAACGACUAUCGUGAAGCAACUUCCUUUUGUUUGCACCAGGUGGAACAUAGCCUUUUACUAUAAAGUUUACGAUGUCUGCGUACCAUGGAUCUGCAUGUGUUAUCUUAAGCAGGGUGUCAUCCCUUAGGUAGUCAUUUAUGGGAAGCUCAUCAUGUGUUUCCUUAUAUUGUAGCCUAGACAAGUGGUCGGCUACGGAAUUCUCAACUCCCUUCCUAUCUCGGAUUUCUAUAUCAAAGUCUUGGAGAAGAAGAAUCCAUCGAAUUAUACGAGGCUUAGCAUCUUUCUUAGUGAGGAGGUACUUGAGAGCAGCAUGGUCUGAAUAAAUGAUUAUCUUUGCCCCCACUAAGUAAGAUCUAAACUUGUCUAUAGCAAAGACAACAGCCAAAAGGUCUUUUUUAGUUGUAGUGUAAUUGAGCUGUGGUCCAGACAAGGUUUUGCUAGCGUAGGAUAUGGCAUAAUGCAUUUUAUCCUUGGUUUGUCCUAAAACGGCACCAACCGCAAAAUCGCUAGCAUCACACAUGAUCUCAAAAGGAAGAUUCCAAUCAGGUGGUUGGAUAAUUGGGGCUGAGAUGAGUGCUUUCUUAAGAGUUUGAAAAGAUUCAUGACACUCAUCACUAAAGAUGAAAGGUGCAUCCUUAGCUAGAAGAUUAGUUAGGGGUCUAGCAAUUUGAGAGAAAUUUUUGAUAAAGCGUCUAUAGAACCCUGCAUGUCCCAAAAAGCUACGGAUUCCUUUCACAUUCGUGGGAGGUGGAAGUUUUUCAAUAACUUCAAUCUUUGCUUUGUCCACCUCUAUACCACGUUCGGACACUUUAUGUCCUAGCACUAUUCCUUCCUGAACCAUAAAAUGGCAUUUCUCCCAGUUCAGGAUUAAGUGCUUUUCUUCACAUCGCUGCAAGACUCUAUCUAAAUUCUCCAAACAAUGAUCGAAGGUUUUGCCAUAGACGUAAAAUCAUCCAUGAAAACCUCCAUGAUCUUCUCAAUCAUGUCCGAGAAAAUAGACAUCAUGCACCGUUGGAAAGAAGCUGGAGCAUUGCACAAUCCGAACGACAUUCGUCGGUAUGCAUAAGUUCCAUACGGGCAUGUAAAGGUAGUCUUUUCUUGGUCAUCUGGGUGGAUUGGGAUUUGGUGAUAUCCAGAAUAACCAUCAAGGAAACAGAAGAAAGAGUGGUUUGCAAGCCGUUCCAACAUUUCAUCUAUGAAGGGUAAUGGAAAGUGAUCUUUCUUUGUAGCCUUGUUGAGUUUUCGAUAGUCAAUACACAUACGCCACCCAGUGACAAUUCGUUGAGGAAUGAGUUCAUUCUUCUCAAUCCUAACGACCGUCAUUCCUCCUUUCUUUGGCACUACUUGGACAGGGCUAACCCACUCACUAUGUGGCACAGGAUAAAUAAUCCCAGCACGAUAGAGUUUGAGGACCUCUUUCUUAACAACCUCUCGCAUAGCAUUGUUAAGUCUCCGUUGUGGUUCCCUUGAAGGUGUAGAAUUGGGAUCAAUAGGGAUACGAUGAGUGCAAAGAAUGGGACUAAUGCCCGUGAGAUCCUCGAGAGAGUAGCCAAAUGUUGAUCUAUGUCUUUCAAGAACAGUGACAAGUUGUUGUGUUUCAUAAUUGGAAAGCUUGUCACUGAUAAUUACUGGAGUUUUUGAGUUGUUGUGCAAAAAGACAUAUCUAAGGCCAGAAGGAAGAGGUUUUAAUUCUAUCGAAGGAGGUGAAGGUAGUUCAUUUUUGUCUAGCUCAACGGGUUCUACCAACUCUUCUUCUUCUUGAACAAAGUGUUCAUGAUUAAAGAAUGGUUGGGUCAUCUCCUCUUGAGUCACCAUUAAGAUCUCCUCAAUAGGAUCUGGGUCAAGUUUGGGUUCCACUAUCGUGUUAAUUGAUCUAGCAAGAGGAACAAUAAUAGUAGAAUUCCCAACCUUGAAGUCUAAAUGACCUCGUUGUGGUUGUUCUUGUAUAAGUUUCAUGAUUGGUCUGCCAAUCAAGAGAGGAAUCUCCGGUAUGUCAUAAAUAUGAAAAUCUAGACAUAUUCCAGAGUCCUUGAUUCUAACAAGAACUGCCCUUAAUACCCCAUGGAUUUCUAGAAUUAAUCCAGAUGGACUUUGUAAAAGUUUUUGGGAUGGGGUUAUGGACUCGUUGGGAUAAAGAGUGUCAGCUAACUCCUUGGAAAUAACAUUUAUCCCAACAUAUGGAUUGUAGUGGACUUUCCUAGUGGACCGUCUAAUUUGGUACAGAAGAAUGGUUGAAGGAGUGAUGAUCCGAGCUACCUCAGGAGACAGCUCUGCUUCUGUUAGCCAUUCAUCACUCAGAAUAGCCGAAAGGCUUUUGAUGUGUUCUAUGUCAACAGAUUCUUCUCUUAGAACGGAUUGAGUGGUCCUUGCUAGAGGUCGGAAUUGGUAAGGCUUGUGAACCUAGCCCAAGCUGCUCCUAAAGUUUCCAUCUCUCUUUGUUUGAAUGUAAGAAUUUCGAUUCUAAGGUCAGCGAUUCGAAAGAGUGGGAAGAAAGCGAGACAAAAGUUGUCCCGAAGUUCGUCCCAAUUUCCAUUAACGCCUCCUACAGAAUGAGCAUACCACUUUUUUGCUCUUCCCAAAAGGGAGAACGGAAAUAAUUUCCAUUUAAGGGUUUCUUGUGUCAUGCUAGAAAUAGAUCGGCAAGAGCACAACUGCUCGAAUUCUCUAAGGUGGGUGUAUGGAUCUUCAUCUACUUGCCUAGAGAAGGGUUGCUCCUGAAUCAUGGCUAUUAAAUCAGGGCCAAGGUCAUAGCCAUCUGUAAGAAUUGGAUGUGAUGAUGGUGGUGGCUCUAAUAACUCGCCCUUUGGAGCAAAGAAUUUAUAGAUAGGAGUGAAAUCCAUGUGGUGUGGUGAAAAUGGUAAGGUGAGUGUGGUAAAAAAAGGAAAAGAAAAAGGAUACACAGACGACUUGGUUCGAAACUAGCACAGCUACCGUUCCCCGGCAACGGCGCCAGAAAGCUUGUUGGGUAUUUUAAACGCAAACAGAAAAAAUCCGCAAGCGCACGGAUACCGAUGUAGCUUUCACCCGGGAGUAUUCCAGAGUAUCGAUUUUCCACAGGGAACGUGAGUGUACUAAUUAAGAUCCAAGAUCGCCCAAGGAUAACUAUAUAAUUAUUUUUGGUGGGAAGAGAGGAAGUUUCCUGAGAGUUCUCUAGUUGAUCUAAGAAUCAAGAAUUACUUCAAGAUUAUCUAUUUCGGGACAUCAGAGCACUAACCACAGAAAGAGGUGAGAAGGGGGCUAGGAAGGUCUGACUACGGUCCUACAAACACCGAUCCGAACGAGGUGGAAUACGUCGACCGUUAGGGCUGUCACUACCCUAAGGCUACCACAACAAUCCGCAGCAUUGGGUGCAAUUCCAGGUAAUUGCAAGACUAAACACCACAUCUAAUCUAUUAAUUACUACUCUAAUGUUGCAAAGAUUAGAGCACUUGAUGCAAGCGGGAAUCCAAUAAAUAACUUGACUGUAAAUAAAAGUAAUUAAAGAACUCAGGAUUAUGAAUUGAAGAACCUGGAGAACGAUGAAGAACGAACCAGUUGCUGCAAAAGUACAAUGUUGAGGAAGAUCCGACAGAUCCGGCUCCUCCUCCUCCGCUCUCCUCUUCUCUCUCCCUAUUUUCUAGAUUACAACUAGAACUAACUAGAACUAGAACUAGAGGAACUAGAACUAGAACUAGAUGAACUAGAACUAGAUCUAGAUGAACUAGAGGUAGAACUAGAAGAACUAGAGGGAUCCUCUCUACUUGGAUGAAGAAUUGAAACCCUAGCUUUGAUUCUAUAGAAGAGGUAUGAUCUCCAGGGGCCAGGGGGUCUGGUUUUAUAGUCCCUUCAAGUGAAUCUGGGCCGUCGGAUCAAACCGACAUUGAUCGCACGGUUUUCCUUGAUCCUUUAGGUCGGUGGAGCGUUGUCCGCGAAACGUGACCGAAUUGGUCUCUGGAAGUGGGCGGGCGCCCAAGGGACUAGGGUGGGCACCCUGUGCCUGAGCCCUCUCGGCCUCCGCUUCGGUCCCGUGGCUUCUGGAGUCUUCUAGAUGAUAGAAAAUUGCGCGGCACGUUAAUAUCUCUAUGUAAACCCGACGUGUGGGCCUUUCUUCCGUAUUUCCUGAUAACCCCCUGCAGAAAUAGACAAACACCAAAACUUGUGGAAUUCUGUCAGAUAAAACCCUAAGUCUGGGUGUUGGUUGCAUUUGGAUCCUUUUCCAUGAUUAGUUGAUGGUUAAAUGUGAGCAUUAAGGACCGUCAACAACUACCUGAGUACUUAGGCCUCUGUUGAUUCCAACCUUGAUUUUGUUGAGGAUGGUUGUAGUAGUAGUAGUUGUUGUUGAUGUAGUUUACAUCCUCAAGUAUCUCAAGGCAGUGAUUGCCUAAGUGUCCAGUAUCUCCACACUCCUCACAAGUCAUGCGAGAGUCGUAGAUGUGCAUAACGUAUUUCUUAUCUCCAGCUCUAUCAUCGAGCUUCUUCAUGAGCAGGUCUAGCUUAGCAGAUAGCAUGUCCACCUCCUUGAGCUGAUGCAUACCUCCACCUCUCUUGCGUGUCUGGGUCCUUUCUUCAUUCCAGCUUUGGUAGGAUGCCAUCUUCUCUACAAGAGCUGUGGCUUGUGAUAUGGUAAGUGAUAGGAAUGCUCCUCCAGCUGCAGCAUCCAUGGUCUCUCGGGCACUGUUGCCGAGCCCAUGAUAAAACGUCUGCAUUAAUAGCCAACUCUCCAUUCCAUGAUUGGGACAUUCUAGGAUGUAGUCUCGGAAGCGCUCCCAUGCUUCUGGAAAGGAUUCAUCAUGUUGUUGCUGAAAACUUGUAAUUUUCCCACGGAGAGCAUUGGUCUUGCCCAUGGGAAAGAACUUAGCCAGAAAGUUCGUGGAGAAGAGUGCCCACGUAGUAUUCUUCUCCUUUAUAGCGUAGAACCAUUGCUUCGCUCUUCCUAACAGUGAGAAUGGGAAGAGGCGAAGUAGUAUAGCAUCUCUGGGGACUCCUGAUAUGGUAAAUGUGUUGCAAAUCUCCAGGAAGUGUUGGAGAUGAGCACUAGCAUCUUCGUGUGCCUUCCCACAGAACUGGUUGGAUUGCACCAUGUUGAUAAGUCUAGGCUUGAGCUCGAAGUUCCUGUCGAUAUCUGCAGUAGGUCCAGUGCGGAUGUUGUCCAGAGUGGGAGCUGAGAACUCGUGGAUUGAUCUGUUCGCCAUGGCUUCAAACUCUGAAGACAAGUUUCGGUGAUCUUCUUGAUUGGAUGAAGCUUCUUGCUGAAGUGUUGAUGAUCUCUUCUUGAGCUUGGCUCUUGUUUUUCUGAAUAACGCUUUGGGAUUGUCAACAAAAAUUCCUGGAAGAUGUCUUCUACUCAUACAUUACCCUGCAUAAGAUAAAAUAGUAAAAUAUCGGGGUAAAACUAUAUGAGAGAAUUAAUGAGCUCAAUCAUAUUAGUGAUGCGAAUGAUGACUCAAAAUGCUUGUUGGGUAUUCUUAACGUCAUUACCAAAGUUAGUUUUCUAAUUUUGAUAAUGGCGCCAAAAAUGCCAAACCUAUCCCUCAUACCACUUAAGCCAUGUUGUCAUCCCCAGCAUGACAUGAGAGACGCGGUAUUGAAAUAUGCAAUUGCUCAUCUAAAUAAAUAAUAAAUGGGAUAUGCAAGCGCACAGAUUAAUACCGAUGUAGCAUUUUAACCGGGAAGUAUUCCAAGUAUCGUUAUUUAUAUUUUUACCACUGGGAAGGGAUUAGUAAUCAUCAAUGUUGAUUAUAGAAUGGAAUAUAAGAUUGAGUAUCUAUCAUUGCAUGUAUAAUUGAGAACAUUUAUCUAACUCUUUCAUACAGGGAUAAGUGUCACAUAAAGGAUAUAAAGUAAUGAAUAGUGACAAAGAUAAUUAAUCUGAUCAGCAUAACUUAGCCACAUAUAAAUAUGAUAAGCACCUCAAUUAGAUAUUCUAGCAAGUCAUUAGCAUGGAAUUGGAACGAACUACAAGAAUAUUUCGUAAGUUAUUCUUAACUAUAUAGUUUAGCAUAUUAUAGUUAGUGCAAUUAUACUUGGCAAUCAUUGUGAAACAGGACUACGCCCAUGCAUAGUGAUAUUAGCAAUGAAUAUGAGAAACAUCGUAAUCACUCCCCUGUAAUAAUGUUGCUCUGCCAGCCCAAUACACGAGAGGGGGACUAUAUAAGAAUCAAUGGAGCUGUCACUACCACGAACUACCCCGCGAUCUGGCAUAUAGGGUACAAUCGCAGAUAAAUACGGUAUAAGCACCACGCCUACACAAUAUCUAUCAUUUACCCAUGGAUCAGAUGGAUAAAUGCUAUACGAUCCUAAACUUGUAUAUAAAUCCAAUCUAACUAAGCCAAAUAUAUAACUAUGAUAAACUAAGAACAAUAUAAUUGCGAAUAUAAACAAGUGGAGCAAAGUCAUAAGCAAUAUAUUGAAGUAGACAAAGUCAUAUUCAUAAUAUUGAAGAACAAAGAUGAACAAUUGAAGAACAAUAGAGAAUUACCAAGAAUCCUCUUGACAGAUCCGAAAACCAAUCGAAAAUUGACUCAUUCUAGUUCUAAUCCUAUGUAGCUACGCUAAUCUAGAUAUCUAAUUCAUGUGGUGGCUCUAGGCUUGAUCAGAGGCUUCUUCUCCCUUGAUGAAUAAUGAAUUAGGGUUGAGAGGUCCUCUCCUCCAGGGGCUAGGGGGUCUGGUUUUAUAGUCCUUCCAAGUGAAUAUGGGCCGUCGGAUCAAACCGACAUUGAUUGAACGGUUAUCCUUGAUCCUUUAGGUCGGUGGAGCGUAAUCCUGAAAGAGAGUUCUCAUUGGACUCUAACAGGGGGCGGGCGCCCUGGUCCCUAUGGCGGGCGCCCUGGGCCAGGCUCCGUUUUGCCUCCGCUUCGUUCCUGUGGCUUCUGGAGUCUUCUAGAUGUAAGAUAAUUGCACGGUACGUUAAUAUCACUAUGUAAUCCCGAUGUGUGGGCCUUUCUUCUGUAUUUCCUGAUAAUCCCCUGCAGAAAUAGACAAACACCAAAACUCAUGGAAUUCUGUCAGAUAAAACCCUAAGUCUAGAUGUUGAUUUCAUUUGGAUCCUUUUAUUUAUUUAUUUGUUAAUUAAAUUUGAUACUUAAGAUCGUCAACACUAUUCUCAAGGUUCCUCCACCUGGCCGGUCUUCUGCACUAGGUUGAGGCAGCCGUCCCGCACCGGCUUCCUCACCCCUGUGGCCCCACCAUUGGCACGGAAGAGCUCACCCCGGUAAAGAUGGAGCCACAGGUCCCAGUGCGGCAUCAUCCUCAAGUAGCCUUCACACACUGCGGCAAAGAUCGCCGCGGUAGUGAUGGCGUUCGGCGAAAAGUGCUGGAGCUCCACCCCGUAGUGAUGGCGAAGCGCCCUCAAAAAGCGGCUUGGGGGAGAGCCGAGGCCGUGGCGAUGAAACUUGGCGAAAGAGACCACGUACCCCGUAGGCGGUCUCGGCUCCCGGUGGUCCACCGCCGGCGCGAUCCACUCUAGCCGCGACGAAGAAGUGCGGGGGCGCAGGAGCCCCUCCUUCUCUAGAUCCAACAACCGACGGACGCCAAUCGUCGGCGGCAACAAGUCUCACCGGCAUCUUGGCAGAAGAAGAAAGGUGGCUCUGCUGUUGUGUGCUCGAGGGUGCGAGCGCGUCAAGAAGGCAAGGAGAGCAAAGGCGAGAACAAUGGCAGAAAGCAGAAGGGGUAGCGGCCAAGAGAUUCGGCAAUAUUUAUAGACGUCCAACCCCAACGGGUAGAUCCGACAAAUGUGGUAACCUCCCUAGUAAAUGCGCCGACUAACGGUCUUGUUACUCCCCCUGACAGGACGCUACAAAUUCCACAACGACACAGUGCUGCAACGGCACCCUCCUAAAAAGGUGUGCCCAACGAGCGAGAAAACAAACCGCCAUGGCUCUUCCUUCCACAGCAAGGUAAAAUAGGCGUGCGCCGCCAUAAGAACCUCGAGGGAGCGCGGACUGGCCCACCGGACGGGUUCGACGGUCGCCCUUGAGUACCAGAGUCAGGGACGCCCGGCGAGGGGACGAAAACAAGGUGUGCCUUGAGAACUCACCGGGAGUAUCCAAGGCAGGGGUGAGGGGGUCGAGAGGAAUCCCCAUGGAGGGAGGCAGCGAGCCAUUGGACUCUAUCGAAUGAGACCAGUAACCCCGACCGCACUGACCUCGCUUUAAUGAGAACGCCUCCGGGCUGCAGCCACCCCCCUCGAACGGGGCAAGGGUUCUCACUUGGGUUACCCGAUAGGAGCUCAUCUUGGGGUGAUGACGCUCGCUCCACCAGGAGCAUGUCGCAACACCAACCUCGAAAAGGCAAAACUGGUCAGCAAAGGCUCAAUGCCCUUCUUCCAUAACGAACGUCUUUCGGAGAAAGGGUGUAACAUCCCUGAUGUUACGAACACUAAAACUGGAUCAUGUCAUCAUAAGCAUUGCAAAGCAUAUUUGUUAAGCACAUCAUGAUGCAUCAACUUAAAAUAAGUUUAAUUUGGUUGAAUGUGCUCAGGGAAUUAAAGUGUGAUUAUCUUGUAUAUCGAUGCUUGUGUUGGUUGCUAAAACCCUAGGGUGAAAGAUUUCCGAAAGGCUUAGGGGGGGGGGAACCCUGAUUUUUGAACCCUAGAACUGCCCCCCUUUUGUACAAUUUAAAAAACAAGCAAAAUUUGAGGUUGAGUUCAAAAGCAAAGUUGUAGAUCUUGUCAAGAUGUACAACUUUGGUGUUUUGAGUUUUUGAAGUUUCAAUAUAAAAUUUAAAGUAAUUUUGAAAAUACAGAUUUCCAGAAAUUGUCCUCUUUGCCAACUUGAAUCUCUAAUUCAAAAUCUAUUUGGAAUCCUGAAAAGUGAUCAAAAUGAAAGUGGUAGGGCUAAUCAAAAUGAACAACUUUUAUUUCGGGAGUUUUUCAAGUUGUUGAGAAAAAUCAAAAGUAAUUUUAGAAUUUCUAUUCUGCCCAAUUCAAACCAGUUUUGCCCCCAAAUUGAAUUUUUGAAUUUCAAAAUGUUUUCCUCAAAUUCAUGCCCUUCCACUCAAAAUCAGUUCUGGACUCUUAAAGAUGUUUUGUAGCAUCCAAAAUUUUGAACAACUUUUGUUUUGGCGGAAAUUUGAGUGCUAUUCAGAUUUUGGGAAUAAUUUGGAAAAUGAGGGGGAAGGGAUUAGGGCGAGCUACAGUAGCUCCACCUAUUGCCACCGGCCAGCAUCGCACUCCAGCGCCGUGGUGGACGCGCUGGCGUCCGGCAUGCCCUCCACGCAGCUGUGCGCUUGCUUGCCGUUGCCUAUUCCACGCCAUCCUCAUCCGAAGCGGACGACAGCGUCCUCCUUGCUUCCUAUUUCUUCCCCUGCUGUCCUGCCGCCGCAAGCCAUGGCCGCUGUACGUCACCCCACCGUGACCAGAGCUCUCCAGCGCAGCUCCACUCUAUCCGUUUGGUGUUAUAGCUCCACCUCCAUUCGCUGAUACCUAUGAGCCUCUCGUUUCGUACAACACGGGCUAGAACUCCGUCGUGCCGCCGUGUUGCGGACCGGCAAACCGCCAUGGCAACCUGCGCACGUGGCCAGGAGGCCAUAAACCUUCUCCGGCCAAGCCACACACACCAGAGCGAGCGCGCAAGCCUCAGGGUGCUCCCCAACGCUUUCCCUCGCUGCCAACAAGCGUCCACCGGCCGGAAAUCACUUUUUCUCCGACAUCCUCUGCUCUGGAUUCGCGACUAGGGACUUCGCGCUACAAUUUGAAGUUCUCCAGGGGUCUAAUUGCACAGACUGUGACUCAGGUGAAUAGUGCUAUAAGGACUUGUUUGUAGAUGUUUUGUUGAAUCUUUGAAAAUUCAUAUCUGGAGUUUGGUAACUCCAAUUUUGGUGAAAUAAAUUUUGUUGUGCUCCUUGAGAUGUCUAGUUUUUAUUAAAAAUAUGAAACUGUCCAUGUUCUGUAGUAAAAGAAUUAGUUAUGAUUUAUGCCUUUUAUUUAUGUUUAAAAAGGAGAAAUUCAUAUCUCAUUCUGUGUAGCUCUUAUAGGCCUGAAAUUUUUAUGAUGUUCUCAUGAUGUUAUGUGAGUGUUGCAGUAAAGAUUUCAUGUUCAGUGGAUAAUAUAAGGUUAAGUUAUUAUUUUAUCUUGUUUAGUGCUUAUUAAAUUGUCUAUAAUUAAACUAAAAAUUAAUAAAUGUAAAAUAUGGUUCCUGUACCUUUAUAUGAGGUUGUUAUAUCAUAUAGGUACAUAAUUUAGCUAUGUGUUUGUAGAAAAUGUCGAGUUUCUUAUUUAUCUUGUUGUUACAUGCUUCCUUGUGAUGGAAAUUUAUCUUUUUCAUGGAAAUUGCUAUACUUAUCCAAAUGGCAUGAAAUUUAUACAGUAGACUUUGGAGAGCAUAUAUGAGCUUCUGUAGUUUUCUCAGAAUUUACUAUGUACUUUUGAUAUAUGGUUAUUACUUUGUCUAUUAAUUUAAAUAAAUUAAUAAAGACAUGAAAGGUAUUUAUUUAGGGAUGGCCAUGAUGUUUUCUAGUAUCUCUUUGAUGUAUUUAAACUGUUGGUGAGCUGGGUUUUGCCUAGGUUCAAGUUUGGAACAUAAAUGAAAUGUUAUUUCUCGGUAAUUCAAUUGUUAGUGGUUUCUCGAUAGUUUUUGGAGCAUUAUAAAUUGCUCUAGGUAAAUAAUGUUGGAUAUGAAACUUGUCUACAACAAAGUUGUAUAUAAUUCAUGUAUCUAAUUGGUGUUAAAUUUUAGUGGCAUUUGGCCCUAUAGUUUCUGAGUUAUGCCUGUUUAAAUUUAAGUUUCAGAAAUGGUUUCUCUCUGUCAAAUCCUGGAUCAGUUUCUGUAGUUGUGCAAUUUCGACCUACUAAACUUGUGAAUCAUGCUUUGAUCAUGAAAGAUAAAUUGUAGCAAUUUUCAUAAGCUUUCCAAAAUGUUAUGGAUCAUGACUUUUGGUGAUCUAGAACUCUGGUUAUAGAUGUAUGAAGCUUAAUGUCUCAUUCUGUCCAAGGUCUGGACAGAAUUGUUUAUUCAUACUGUUUGGCCAUUUUAUCUAUUAAAUCAGUUCUCGAAAAUAAUAACAAAGUUGUAGAAAAUUAUCUAAGCUUUCUAGAAAGUCUAAUAUCACCUUUAUUGGAUGCUUGGAUCUCUAAUUAUGGUUGAGUGAAGUUGCGUAUAUGCUGCUGUCCUGGUUAUGUGUGCAAAUAGAGUUGAUUGUUUUUUUUUUUUGCUAGCCUUUACUUAAAUAAUGAGUAGCUUAAUCUGUCAAAUAGGAUUUGAGUGAUUUUGGGAUUGUAUGAUGACCUAAGGUCAUUAACCUUAAUGACCUUUGGCACUUAAUUAUUGUUUGAUGUUAAUACUUAAUUACUGCCACUAAUACUUAAUUAAGAAUUAAUUAAGGUAAAAAGGUUUAAUGGUCAGUUAAUUAAGGAUAAUUAGGAAUUGAGAAAGGUCUUAAUUUACUAAUGCAACCUCUUGGGUAAAAACACUAAGAUGAUAAACAACUUUAAUUACUGUUUAGCCUAUUUUUGCACCAAGAAGGAAAGUUGUACUCAACUCGGUCCUUCUUAAAUAUAUGUCAUACGCAUAUCAUGAGCAUCCAUCAUUUUGCGUAUAGUGCACGUGACCAAAGGAGCGACCGUUGAACCGAACCCCGAGGUCGGUGCUCCGUUCGAGGAAGUAGGAUCCGAGACUUGGGAAGUCUCCGAGGGUCCCUCUCAGCUCUGCAACCAAGGCAAGCCCCGGAUGCAUUAACCCCUCCUUGAAUGUUUUAAAUCUUUUAUCACUUAUGAAUUGAAAAUGCUGCAUUAGGUAGUUGAGAAUUGGGUUAACCUACUUGCUGCAUUUACUACCUUGUUAUCUGUUAUCCUGUCCUUGACACCUAUUUUAUUUUAAAAAUUGCGUAGUGAUGCUUAGCCCUGCUACUAGAUAGGUUUUCAAACAAGAAAGUUUCACGGGUUGUUGUGGAAUACUCUUAUGAUCAAUGAUAUUUCAACUUGAGACCGGUCGGUGGACUUGAUUUAAGAAUGGAGUCUUAAAGUAGUGUCUCCAACUGUGUCGGUUAAGGACCGGUCCGUUGGUGGCCUGAUGGGUUGAGAAUUUAUAGUACUAGCCACUUGCCCUCGGUAAGCCCGGUCUUGUGAUCCCUCGACGCGAACAGCUACUCGCGCACUGGGCGUGGAGCGAUGGCGAGAGUAGUGUGUACCCACCUUACGGAUCUGAGAUGACCGGGAAACAUCUAGAUCGGCUGUAGUAGGGUGGAGUACUGUGCUCUCGGGUGCCGCAAACCUGGUCAAAUUUGGGGAGAGCUUGAUUUGGGUUGAUAUAUGCAAGAUUUGGUUCUACAUAUGUCGGGUGGUUAGGAACUCUAGCUGGAUUGCUAAGCGGUUCGAAUCGUCGUUGCUCCCCGAUUGGGAGACUCAAUCCACUGACCCUCAUCGUAGUUAAAUAUGCAACUAAGUGAUAAAAGAAGAAAGGGGAAAUGUCUCAUGAGGUUCGGAUCCCAAUUCCCGGACUCAGAGUGACAUGAAGCUAUGGCCGUUGGAUGGAUACUACUUUAAUUAAGGACUAGGAACUUACAGACUUGUCUGUGAGAAGCAACUAGAUAGACUGUCCUCGAACUCGACCUCUUAAGGAGAGGAAUUCAUGGAUAAAACUUGAAAAUAAGGAUGCACUAUUAGUAAGCUUUUUGGCAAAACAAUUUGGCUCCUUGCUCAGCUACUCCUUGUCUACCCUAAGCCUGCAUUCCCAAGUUCUCCCUUUUUCCGCCGGGUAAGUCUUGUUGAGUACUCCCGUACUCAGGGUUUUAUAACCCCUGUUGCGGGUGCUGACUUAUGCUGCUAAUGGAGGUCAUGUCGGUGGGCGCGACAUGAUUUAUCCACCUCUUAUACCUUAGAAGCUUCACCUAAGAUGCUUCCGCUACUCUACACACCUUUUGGAAAUUUAGUUGUUUAUAUUCCAUCAUAUGUUGUAAAUUGAGCUAUAAAUCUUCCGCACUCUGAUGUAAGAUAUUUUUGUAAGAAAUGUUGUAAUGUUGUGGAAACUCCAUGUUGCUCCUGUAUGAGUUAAAAUGUGGAUGAUUCGGGGUCCUCUAAGGGCACCGGACAGACUAUCUGGGUUAUAUGACUCUCAUGUGCAGUAAUCAGAGGUCUUAAUGACAAUGAUAGGUGCAUGUGGGCCAUAUAAUUUAGGUGGUUCUGUCAAAGAGUGGUGUGGAGCUCAUACAUGGAUCUUCUACAACAUUACUUGUGAAAAACUUCAAAAGGAAUUUACAAAUUAAAAGUUUUUGAGGACAACAACUUGUAAAUGCUCGUUAACUUUUCUUAUGCUUGCUAUUCAAGUUCUGUGAAGACUAUCUGCUGACUCAAAUAGAAGGCAUUGAAAGGGACUACGAUUCUUCUUCAACAAGCCAAGUGAAGAAUCAAACUACUCCAACAAUGCUUUGUCAAAAGUCUUGCAACAUUCCAUCCAGAGUGAUGAAGAUAGUGUAUAAAAUAAAGCCCUAUAAUCUACUAACAUGAUGAACAUGGAGCACUCUAGCCAUUGAGAAGACGUAUAGGACGAGCAUAUUGCAUAUCAUGCAUAAUUUGAAAAAUAUAAUGAUGCUUAAAACUUCAUCCUUAUGCUUCAAAAAUAGUUAUUAUUCAUUAUAGCUGUUUUAUUGAUGAAUCUCAUCAUGUACCAGGUUUCGUAACCGAUUGAUAAUCUUUUACUCCAUAAGAUCCUAAUCCUUGAUUCUCUUGUUAUGCAUGUGACCCUUCCUUGAUUUCAUCUAACUUGACACAUGCUACCUCCUUGCUGUCAUUUCAUGACAUAUGUGCUGAUUGAAUGACACUAUGAUUGUGUCCUCUUAAGGUACCAUGACUUGUAACUUAGGUAACAAUGUCGAAACCUGGGGUCUCCUAUGGCUCAUGACCAUGAGGAAAUACUGCUGGGUGCUCAUUGUUAUCAAAGUAUAUUAUCAUUGUUGAUAUUUGGUAACGCAAUAAGGAAAUGAUCCGCAAGCGCACGGAUAUCGGUGAGCAUUUCACCCGGGAGGUUUUCCAGAGUAUCGUAUUUAUAUUUUUACCACUGGGAGAAAGGGUGCAUCUGACUAACCAAAUCUAUUGCUACUAUCCCUUUAGGCUACAAAGAAUGUCUCUCGAUGUGAGUGAUCUAUAGAGAAGACUGCAACCGUAGUCUCGUUCUAACCUUGGUAAGGAUGAUCUACUGUUCUAUUGGGGAGGCUCACGGAAUCUAGACAAUACAAAGGAUGUUCGACCCGCACCUUUAACCCUACCCGUCCUACUAACGAGAUGUGAUCUACAAAGGUAACUCGGAAAUGUCACGUUCCUCGCUACUACCACGGUCCAGCUAGUCAGGGGAUAUCUAUGAGUACCCUAGCCUAAACACCACGUUUACGCUAACAAGUGAUUACUCUAAUACUCAACCGGAAGAGGAUUAAAGUAAACUCAUAAACCAAAGAACAAUAAAACAAGAACUUACUAGUAUUAGAAGUCGAAUUACUGAAGAAUCUUAGAAGCAAGCCUCGGGUUAGGAGACUUGAUCCCGUAGGUACAACUCGGAGUAGACACCGUCAGGCCGACCUUCCUCCGAUCCACACCUCCACUCUAUCUCUCUCAAUCUAGUAGAAACUAGAAGAUCUAUUUCUACCUUACAUUGGUUGCUACGCCUAAAAAAGAAAUAUUAUUUAGAGAAGAGGUUUUCCUUCGAGGGCACCCCUCAAUCUCUAUGAUAAUUUCUUGUCUUCUCCAGGGCCAGGGGGCCCUGCUUAUAUAGUCCUCCCCUUCUAUGCGUUUUUGGGUCGAUAGGUGAGGUGGUACUAUGUUUUCCUUGAUCCAAUAGGUCGGUGGAACAUCCCGAGCGAAAGAGUCCUGAUUUGGCUCCAACAGGGGGGCGGGCGCCCUGGGCCUGGCCCAGUUUCGCCUCCGCUUCGGUCUCGUGGCUUCUGGAGUCUUCUAGAUGAUGUAAAAUCGUGCGGUGCGUUGAUAUCUCUAUGUAAUCCCGACAUGUGGGCCUUUCUUCCUUAUUUCCUGAUAACCCCCUGCGGAAACAGAUAAACAACAAAACUCGUGGAAUUCUGUCAGAUCAAACCCUAAUUCUAGGUGUUGGUUGCAUUUGGAUCCUUUUCUUUAUUUAUUUGAUAAUUAAAUUUGAUACUUAAGGACCGUCAACAAACUCCCCCAAGCUUACCUCUUGCUCGUCCCUGAGCAAGGAUAGACUUAGCUAUGGAUCAUAAAUUGUUGCAAUAUUUUAAAAAUUGAUGUUACACAUGCUUUUUAAAUAAAAUCUCAUCUCUGAGUUAGAGUAAACUAUCAAGACUUAAAACUUACUUUACCUUCACCAUGGGACUUGUAACCGUCACUUUUGUCUUGAGAGGUUAAAAGAUAGAACAGUCUAGCCAAGUGCCAUGUCUCUUAUUCUUGAUCAGCUAUAGCUCUAGAGUUUUUGCAGAUUUUCAAAUAAAACUCAGAGAUUCCUUGUAUGAUUCUCUCAGAUCUCUCUUUUAUGGUAUUUUUGGAUCCUUACCAAGGCAGUGAUGGUAUAUGCCUUCUCUCAAGAUAUGUAGUAUUUGUGGUAUGAAGCAUAGUGACAUUGUCUUCUCUCUCACCCUACUCUAAUAAGGUUCUGAUAUCUGGAGCUCAUAGGUGGGAGACAGCUAAUACAUACUUACAAGACAUUUAUUGCAUAGUCAAACCAUGGACCCAGAGAAACAAGUCAAUAAGUCAAAUCAAGAUGUGCAUGUGUGGCGAAUGAAUGGUGUAUGGUGAUGAUGAUGAUAAUAAUGGUGAAAGUCUAAUUCUACUUUUGCUCUUUUGAGGGGAUACAUACCUUUCUUGCACUUUGAACCUUUUUGGGGAGAAUAAGAUGCUCUAUAUUUUCUUUUUCUUUCCUCUCAGGUGGGUAUCUUGUACCCCUAAUUCUACUGUCGGACACUUGUCCAUUUUUACCUCUCGUCUCACUUUUUCUUUUCUUUUGAGGUUCCGGGCACUUGCCCCUUUUUAUUUCCUCGUAUAUAUAUUUUUUUUCUCUCUUCUUUUUUUUUAGAGCACUCAUCUCCUGAAAUAAUGUAGCAAGUGGUAGUAACCAAAAUAACUGGAGCAUUUAUUUCACAGGGAAUAACAGGGAUAGGAAAAUGUUUUUGGCUAUUCUCUCCCGGAUUAGGAGUAGAAUAAUUUUGGGUGAAACUGGAGAUGGAAAUGAGUGGAUAUAUGUGGAUGGUACUUCCGGAGUAGAAGUAGCAUGUAUGAGUGAAUGUGCAGGUGAAUCUUGAUUUUAACCACAUGACAAGCUCCUAAGGGUCUACACAGCUUGACCACACUCAAUGCUCAUAAGCAGUAAAAAGUAAAUAUGUGGCUCAAAGUCUAGCAAGCAUGUAUAUAUGGCUGUGGUAGGAUUUUAAACUCUCAUCAUACAGGAACUCAUCAUGUGUUAUUUUAAAGAUUUUUUUAAAGAUAAAAUUCUCCAGAAUUCUAGCAUCUCUAGGAACAGAUAAAAAGCAGCUCAACCUUCCCAUAUCAUAUCCAUUAACGACUUAGACUUUAGAUCAAGUACUCUUCCCACAAGUUUAGGUUUAGAGCAAGCUUUAAAUUAUAACAGUUAUGUCUAAACUUGAGAGAGAUUUCAAUUUUAAGAACUAGUCAUGGCAGAGCAACUAUUCAUCAUUUCCAUGAGAGAGCUUAUCAUGAGGGUUCAUAGCAAAUUUUAUUUAUUUAUUUAUUUAGAAAACUAAGCAAAGAUAUAUAUAUAAAAGCACAAAAUCUUUAUUUGGGUUUUUCAUAGUUUAAUAUUCUAACAUAAUAUAAGUAUAAAGAUAGGUAGAAAUACUUAGCAAGAUAAAUGGGGGUGCUCUCCCCCAAGCUGAAUUUUGACGUAAUUUCUUCUGAUGUAGCUAGCAGGUGAUGGAGGUGUAUUUGAAAGUCGACAGCACCCCGACAGCGAUUAGGAUGUCUUCCGUCUGCUAGUCUUCUUUGAUCCUUGAAUUCUGUGGAGCUCAAAUAGACAACAAAGCUUUGUGGAACUGAUUAAGUAGCAUAAAUAUCUAGCCUUUAUCAUGUUGAGCCUCCUCAAUAUUACUUAUUUAGCAGGAUCAUGCACUUAUUAUUUUUAUAUUUUUAUUGUAAGAUGAAAACUUAUUUAUUUUAUUUUCAUGCCACCACAGUGAAUGUACUUAUGGGUUUUAUGCCAUGAGCAUACUCACAUGAGGCUUACUAUUUUUUUUAGCAUUUUUAUUUUCUUUUCAAGAUAGCAUGAACCUGAUUAACUAAGCAAAACUAUUGAAUGGAAAAGGAUAACUACCAAGUUUACCUCUUGGCAAGGCGUUCAGUGUUUUUAAGUCCUCCGAACGGGACUCUCCAUUUUCUUAGUCGUCCUGGGAUUUGCCGGGUGGCGUAGUCGGUGGUUCCGGCGGCGCCUCCUCUUCGUGUAUGACUAUCUUCUCUUUCCACACCUGACUCGGUGCUACGGUCUCCUCAGGACAGUUCUGUUCAAGUUGUAUGUCUUCAGUCCUUAUCACUUCUCCUUCGUAGUCUACCCAUCCGUCCUUGAUGAUUUGCCUCCUCUGGUUGCGGUUGCAUUGUCUUCUUCUUGUCCCGACCUGCUUAGAAUCUUCAACUAUAUAAUCAUUAAAGUAGUGGCGUACCUUCUCAGAGGGGAAAUGCAUGUAGACUUCUCCGGUUCUAAUAUAGAUAAUGGCUUUGAUAGUGUUUGAGGAACGGUCUUCCAAGGAUGAUGGGUGGAUCGAACUCGUCUUCUCCCAUGUCAAUGACCUGAAAAUCAUCUUGAGCUGAAUAUAUUGGUUGUAGGGGCAUGGUUCCAUGCAGGAGCUGAUAAGUGACUGCGGCCAUUAUGUUGUCGUUAGAUCCGGUGUCGUAGAGUGUCUUCUGAAAAGAGUAUCCGUUGAUUGUGCAUUCGAUUCUUGAAACACCAGGGUCGUCCUUCUUGAUCAAGAAAGGUGACUUGAGUCGACGAUCUUGACCUCCUUGAACUGCAGUGACCAACUUAGCUGACUCGGUCCACAUUUGCUUGUUCCUGUUCCUCCUGUUGGUCCUCUUCCUUGGUUGAUGUCGGGGUUGCUCUGAACUUUGUGUAGUCUUGUUCUUGAAGGAAAGUCUCCUUCUUCCCCUUGAUGUAGAGACUGAUCUUGGCAGCAUUAGCGUAGAUGACAGCUCUAGUGUUUAGGAAUGGCCUCCCUAAGAUGAUUGGUGCCCUCUCCUCAGUGCCAGUCUCUAUCACCAUGAAGUCUGCUAGAGCAUACAAGGUACCAACUCAGACGCAGAGGUUCUUCAAUAUUUCCUUUGGGAAACUGAGUGUCCGAUCUGCAACCCUGGGCAUAAUGUUGACGCUGGAGCCAAAGUCGCAGAGUGCUUCUGGGAAGUCCACCAUGCCGAUGGAGAUCGGGAUGACGGGGCGUCCUGGAUCACCUCUCUGAGUAAUUAGGCCUCUGUUGAUUCCAACCUUGAUGUUGUUGAGGACGGUUGUAGUAAUAGUUGUUUUUGUUGUUGAUGUAGUUCACGUCCUCAAGCAUCUCAGGGCAGUGAUUGCCUGAGCGUCCAGUAUCUCCAGUGUUUGUGCUCGUAGAUCCUAGUUCUUCACUUGGUGGAAUCUGGGAGUUGUAAAACUCCUUCAUAUUAUGCUUGAAGUGUUCCUGCUCAUAGAGACAAGGUAGAGAUCAAGUGCAUGGGCCCUGUUGGUGGAAAACACCAAUAGAACCAAAAGUGUAUUUGUUCUUCUCUAACCUUAAGCAUAGUGAGCAAGACAAAGUUGGUGGAUCAUGAGUGUAGCAUUUGUCAGAUCAGAUGGCUCAACAUAAUGGAAAGAUAAUCUAUCUAUAUUUAUGUUUUGUUUAUAUCUUCCAAAGAUUGCAUGUGCAAUACUUUAGCUUAUAUGAUUAGGAGUGUGGGGUCACGAAGGUAGUACUAAGAACAAAGAUUAAAGGACUAAACAUGUUGAAUUAAUUGAGUUGGUUAAUUUGGAGUUAUAAAUCAUACAUGUUUGUCUCUUUAUUUAUGUGAAUGCCAGAACCAAGGAGGAGCUUAUAAAAGUGUUAGUCAAGUACCUUAUGAUGUUACCUUAAUUGAAGAGUGAUGGUACAGUAUCACCUUGUGGAAGCUUUCCUUUCUUAGCGGUUGUGCAUCGUGUUUGUGGCACCCUCCAUGAAUCAUCUCUUAUGAGCUACGUCUUUCUUGUGCAAAUUGUUAAACUUCAUGUGUCACUUUCUUCAUCUCUAAUGAGUUUGCAUCUCAGGACUUCCCAGGUUGUUAUUGAAAGUUUUCCUGCAGGGGUUAGUCCAACAAAAUAUACCAAUAUCUACUCAAGCAGUUUUUUAGUUCAGUAACCAAACUAGACUCCAUGUCUAAUCAGAUUAAGGAAGGCUAUUUAACCUAAGCACCACGCUUAAUUUAAAUGCCAUUGGAAGUGUGACCAGUACUUCCAAACUAACACUUACUAGGAUAAACAAAGGUAGCAUGAUGGCUUUUAUAGAGAUCUACUCAAGUGGAGAUGAAGUAGUGUGAUUAGUAUUUAACAAAUUGAGCAUGUCUCAAAGGUAGGGACAACCAACAUAGCAACAUGGCAAAGGAUGUUUUAUGGAAAGUACUCCCCCAAGCUUGAAUUUUGCAAAAUUCAAGAUUGGAUGAAUUUAAUUUAAUGUUGCAUGAUGAUUGGUUGGGCAUACCUUGUGCUUGUCAUUCAUCCGAUCUUCUUGCUCCAAUCCUAGAAAGGUUAGUGACAAGAAUACCCGAAGGAAUAUUUCUACAAUUAUCUUUAUAUGCUCAAUACACAAGGCAAUGUUGCAAAUAAUUAGAAGUGCUUGUUUUAGGACACUAAGCUUGUCCUUGGGAAACCAUCAAUUAACUCAAUGAGAUCUGCAAUAUUUAUUAUAGACAUAUGCAUCGACAACCGCUCUUUUAAAGUUUUUAUAAAUAGAAAAGAAGAGGGGGUUGGAGAUCUCAAAUGUGGUAAGGAUGGAGAGACAAAUUGAUUGGAGAGAUGUUUUAUAUGAGCAAGGACUAGGUGAGGUAUUUAUGAAAUAACUUCCAUGCUCACUGUUGUUUCUCUCAUUCUCAAACUCCAACGAUGAUUCUUCAUGAAUGUUUAAAAUUCCUCUAGGAUUGUCUCUCAAGUUUGUUUUAUCUAACCAUUCAAUGGUGAUAGCACAUGGAUUUUUAAUGCCCUCUAGCCAUUGAUGUUGCUCUUCUCGAUCCUCCUUCUUAUGCAUGGGAUGUCUAGAAAGAUUCAUAGGAUUAUCGGGAGGUUCAAGAGGAAGAGCAUAGUAGAAACUAUUAAGCUCAAGGAUGGGAUGGAUAGCCAAAUCAUGGGAUUGAAAUGUUUGGAAAUCGGCUAUUGAAACUUCCUUUCCUCGUCUGGGAGAUGAUUCCUUCUCUAUCUCUAAGAUUUUUCUAUGAAGACUAGUACAAGAAGGAUGUCCACAAAUGAAGACAUACCUUCCUUUACUAAUAGAUAAAGAAAGAAGGACUCUACCAAAGGUUAUAUGAUUAAGACCAAUGUGAAAAUAUUUAGGAAAAACAUGGUCUUGUAGGGCUAGGUCUAAACCAGAAUUUAUAGAAAGAUUAACAAAUUCUCUAGGUGUAGCUAGAAGUGCAUUAUCUUUUUGAUUAAAAGAUAGGACCUCGGCUAUAGAAAAGGGUUGGUUUUGACCUAUUGCAAUCAACUCCGGACACAGAUCAUAAUUACGGGCAGGACGUGUUGACUCCCAUGGUCUAUCGCUGGUCUCCGAAGGUGCAAAGAAUUCAGUAAUAGGUAUGGAAUAUAAGUUAUCCAUAAAGAUAAAAAUAAAAAGAUAAAAGAAUAAAAGUAUAAAAGUAUAAUACAAGAUAAUAGCAAGACUCAAAGUUAUCUCGGCAAACCGUCUUUCUCCCCGGCAACGGCGCCAGAAAUGCUUGUUGAUAUUUGGUAACGCAAUAAGGAAAUGAUCUGCAAGCGCACAGAUAUCGGUGAGCAUUUCACCCGGGAGGUUUUCCAGAGUAUCGUAUUUAUAUUUUUACCACUGGGAGAAAGGGUGCAUCUGACUAACCAAAUCUAUUGCUACUAUCCCUUUAGGCUACAAAGAAUGUCUCUCGAUGUGAGUGAUGUAUAGAGAAGACUGCAACCGUAGUCUCGUUCUAACCUUGGUAAGGAUGAUCUACUGUUCUAUUGGGGAGGCUCACGGAAUCUAGACAACACAAGGGAUGUUCGACCCGCACCUUUAACCCUACCCGUCCUGCUAACGAGAUGUGAUCUACAAAGGUAACUCGGAAAUGUCACGUUCCUCGCUACUACCACGGUCCAGCUAGUGAGGGGAUAUCUAUGAGUACCCUAGCCUAAACACCACGUUUACGCUAACAAGUGAUUACUCUAAUACUCAACCGGAAGAGGAUUAAAGUAAACUCAUAAACCAAAGAACAAUAAAACAAGAACUUACUAGUAUUAGAAGUCGAAUUACUGAAGAAUCUUAGAAGCAAGCCUCGGGUUAGGAGACUUGAUCCCGUAGGUACAACUCGGAGUAGACACCGUCAGGCCGGCCUUCCUCCGAUCCACACCUCCACUCUAUCUCUCUCAAUCUAGUAGAAACUAGAAGAUCUAUUUCUACCUUACAUUGGUUGCUACGCCUAAAAAAGAAAUAUUAUUUAGAGAAGAGGUUUUCCUUCGAGGGCACCCCUCAAUCUCUAUGAUAAUUUCUUGUCUUCUCCAGGGCCAGGGGGGCCUUGCUUAUAUAGUCCUCCCCUUCUAUGCGUUUUUGGGUCGAUAGGUGAGGUGGUACUAUGUUUUCCUUGAUCCAAUAGGUCGGUGGAACAUCGCGAGCGAAAGAUUCCUGAUUUGGCUCCAACAGGGGGGCGGGCGCCCAGGCUACCAGGGCGGGCGCCCUGGGCCUGGCCCAGUUUCGCCUCCGCUUCGGUCUCGUGGCUUCUGGAGUCUUCUAGAUGAUGUAAAAUCGUGCGGUGCGUUGAUAUCUCUAUGUAAUCCCGACAUGUGGGCCUUUCUUCCUUAUUUCCUGAUAACCCCCUGCGGAAACAGAUAAACAACAAAACUCGUGGAAUUCUGUCAGAUCAAACCCUAAUUCUAGGUGUUGGUUGCAUUUGGAUCCUUUUCUUUGUUUAUUUGAUAAUUAAAUUUGAUACUUAAGGACCGUCAACAAUCAUGAUCCCUUAUAGUCCACAAUUAGGGUGUUUCAUUCGUUGGACACUCCUUAGGGAUUCAAAUUUGUCCUUUUGAGUUCCCUAAACACCUUGUGGUUGUGAUCGACUUUUGAUCUCAGUUACAUUCUUGGUAUUGUGAGACAUGGGUUCUUGUUGUGGUGCCCUAUAGUGGUGCCAUGUCCCGUGACCACGGUGCCGCGUCGGAACCUAGAGUCUUUUGUGUGUCCGGAUGACACAAAUUUCUACUGGGCGCGUGUAGGUAUCGAGGUUAUGGACAUGAUCCAUUAUAGCCCCACAACUAAGGUGCCCUCGCUCUUUGAGCCCUAUCAUGGGAACCCAUGCCCAUAUCUUUGUGGGAAUUACCUAAAACCCUUGACUUGGAUAACCGUCAUAGGUUGAUUGAAAGCUAUUGUAACCGUACUCUAUAGUAGGUACCAUGAUCCGUGAUCACGUUAUAGUGUCGAACCUUGUAGUCUCCUGUGGAACCGUGGCCAUAAGGAAAUACUACCAGGUUCUCGUUAAACAUCGGGAUCUCUGGUCAUGCUCCACUAUAGUCUACAGUUAGUAUGCUUUCAUUCUCCUUGGAAGCUCAUUUGAAGAUUCAUAUCUUCUUAUGAGUUCUCUAAAAUUCCUGGUUGAUUACAACUUUCUGUUGAUCUUAGCUGUAAUUCUCAGACCAAUUGUAAUUGUUUUAUGAACUUCUCAGAAGUUAAUGUGCUUGACACAUUUCCUUUUCCAUUACUUAACCCCAUGGGUUUUAGUACCCUGGAAAUCUCGGGACGAGAUUUCUUUAAGGGGGAAGGGCUGUAACAUCCCUGAUGUUACGAACAUUAAAACAGGAUCAUGUCAUCAUAAGCAUUGCAAAGCAUAUUUGUUAAGCACAUCAUGAUGCAUCAACUUAAAAUAAGUUUAAUUUGGUUGAAUGUGCUCAGGGAAUUAAAGUGUGAUUAUCUUGUAUAUCGAUGCUUGUGUUGGUUGCUAAAACCCUAGGGUGAAAGAUUUCCGAAAGGCUUAGGGGGGGGGAAACCCUGAUUUUUGAACCCUAGAACUGCCCCCCUUUUGUACAAUUUAAAAACCAAGCAAAAUUUGAGGUUGAGUUCAAAAGCAAAGUUGUAGAUCUUGUCAAGAUGUACAACUUUGGUGUUUUGAGUUUUUGAAGUUUCAAUAUAAAAUUUAAAGUAAUUUUGAAAAUACAGAUUUCCAGAAAUUGUCCUCUUUUCCAACUUGAAUCUCUAAUUCAAAAUCUAUUUGGAAUCCUGAAAAGUGAUCGAAAUGAAAGUGGUAGGGCUAAUCAAAAUGAACAACUUUUAUUUUGGGAGUUUUUCAAGUUGUUGAGAAAAAUCAAAAGUAAUUUUAGAAUUUCUAUUCUGCCCCAAUUCAAACCAGUUUUGCCCCCAAAUUGAAUUUUUGAAUUUCAAACUGUUUUCCUCAAAUUCAUGCCCUUCCACUCAAAAUCAGUUCUGGACUCUUAAUGAUGUUUUGUAGCAUCCAAAAUUUUGAACAACUUAUGUUUUGGCGGAAAUUUGAGUGCUAUUCAGAUUUUGGGAAUAAUUUGGAAAAUGAGGGGGAAGGGAUUAGGGCGAGCUACAGUAGCUCCACCUAUUGCCACCGGCCAGCAUCGCACUCCAGCGCCGUGGUGGACGCGCUGGCGUCCGGCAUGCCCUCCACGCAGCUGUGCGCUUGCUUGCCCUUGCCUAUUCCACGCCAUCCUCAUCCGAAGCGGACGACAGCGUCCUCCUUGCUUCCUAUUUCUUUCCCUGGUGUCCUGCCGCCGCAAGCCAUGGCCGCCAUACGUCACCCCACCAUGACCAGAGCUCUCCAGCGCAGCUCCACUCUAUCCGUUUGGUGUUAUAGCUCCACCUCUAUUCGCUGAUACCUAUGAGCCUCUCGUUUCAUACAACACGGGCUAGAACUCCGUCGUGCCGCCGUGUUGCGGACCGGCAAACCGCCAUGGCAACCUGCGCACGUGGCCAGGAGGCCAUAAACCUUCUCCGGCCAAGCCACACACACCAGCGCGAGCGCGCAAGCCUCAGGGUGCUCCCCAACGCUUUCCCUCUCUGCCAACAAGCGUCCACCGGCCGGAAAUCAGGUUUUCUCCGACAUCCUCUGCUCUGGAUUCGCGACCAGGGACUUCGCGCGACAAUUUGAAGUUCUCCAGGGGUCUAAUUGCACAGACUGUGACUCAGGUGAAUAGUGCUAUAAAGACUUGUUUGUAGAUGUUUUGUUGAAUCUUUGAAAAUUCAUAUCUGGAGUUUGGUAACUCCAAUUUUGGUGAAAUAAAUUUUGUUGUGCUCCUUGAGAUGUCUAGUUUUUAUUAAAGAUAUGAAACUGUCCAUGUUUUGUAGUAAAAGAAUUAGUUAUGAUUUAUGCCUUUUAUUUAUGUUUAAAAAGGAGAAAUUCAUAUCUCAUUCUGUGUAGCUCCUAUAGGCCUGAAAUUUUUAUGAUGUUCUCAUGAUGUUAUGUGAGUGUUGCAGUAAAGAUUUCAUGUUCAGUGGAUAAUAUAUGGUUAAGUUAUUAUUUUAUCUUGUUUAGUGCUUAUUAAAUUGUCUAUAAUUAAACUAAAAAUUAAUAAAUGUAAAAUAUGGUUCCUGUACCUUUAUAUGAGGUUGUUAUAUCAUAUAGGUACAUAAUUUAGCUAUGUGUUUGUAGAAAAUGUCGAGUUUCUUAUUUAUCUUGUUGUUACAUGCUUCCUUGUGAUGGAAAUUUAUCUUUUUCAUGGAAAUUGCUAUACUUAUCCAAAUGGCAUGAAAUUUAUACAGUAGACUUUGGAGAGCAUAUAUGAGCUUCUGUAGUUUUCUCAGAAUUUACUGUGUACUUUUGAUAUAUGGUUAUUACUUUGUCUAUUUAUUUAAAUAAAUUAAUAAAGACAUGAAAGGUAUUUAUUUAGGGAUGGCCAUGAUGUUUUCUAGUAUCUCUUUGAUGUAUUUCAACUGUUGGUGAGCUGGGUUUUGCCUAGGUUCAAGUUUGGAACAUAAAUGAAAUGUUAUUUCUCGGUAAUUCAAUUGUUAGUGGUUUCUCGAUAGUUUUUGGAGCAUUAUAAAUUGCUCUAGGUAAAUAAUGUUGGAUAUGAAACUUGUCUACAACAAAGUUGUAUAUAAUUCAUGUAUCUACUUGGUGUUAAAUUUUGGUGGCAUUUGGCCCUAUAGUUUCUGAGUUAUGCCUGUUUAAAUUUAAGUUUCAGAAAUGGUUUCUCUCUGUCAAAUCCUGGAUCAGUUGCUGUAGUUGUGCAAUUUCGACCUACUAAACUUGUGAAUCAUGCUUUGAUGAUGAAAGAUAAAUUGUAGCAAUUUUCAUAGGCUUUCCAAAAUGUUAUGGAUCAUGACUUUUGGUGAUCUAGAACUCUGGUUAUAGAUGUAUGAAGCUUAAUGUCUCAUUCUGUCCAAGGUCUGGACAGAAUUGUUUAUUCAUACUGUUUGGCCAUUUUAUCUAUUAAAUCAGUUCUCGAAAAUAAUAACAAAGUUGUAGAAAAUUAUCUAAGCUUUCCAGAAAGUCUAAUAUCACCUUUAUUGGAUGCUUGGAUCUCUAAUUAUGGUUGAGUGAAGUUGCGUAUAUGCUGCUGUCCUGGUUAUGUGUGCAAAUAGAGUUGAUUGUUUUUUUUUUGCUAGCCUUUACUUAAAUAAUGAGUAGCUUAAUCUCUCAAAUAGGAUUUGAGUGAUUUUGGGAUUGUAUGAUGACCUAAGGUCAUUAACCUUAAUGACCUUUGGCAUUUAAUUAUUGUUUGAUGUUAAUACUUACUUACUGCUACUAAUACUUAAUUAAGAAUUAAUUAAGGUAAAAAGGUUUAAUGGUCAGUUAAUUAAGGAUAAUUAGGAAUUGAGAAAGGUCUUAUUUUACUAAUGCAACCUCUUGGGUAAAAACACUAAGAUCAUAAACAACUUUAAUUACUGUUUAGCCUAUUUUUGCACCAAGAAGGAAAGUUGUACUCAACUCGGUCCUUCUUAAAUAUAUGUCAUACGCAUAUCAUGAGCAUCCAUCAUUUUGCGUAAAGUGCACGUGACCGAAGGAGCGACCGUUGAACCGAACCCCGAGGCCGGUGCUCCGUUCGAGGAAGUAGGAUCCGAGACUUGGGAAGUCUCCGAGGGUCCCUCUCAGCUCUGCAACCAAGGCAAGCCCCAGAUGCAUUAACCCCUCCUUGAAUGUUUUAAAUCUUUUAUCACUUAUGAAUUGAAAAUGCUGCAUUAGGUAGUUGAGAAUUGGGUUAACCUACUUGCUGCAUUUACUACCUUGUUAUCUGUUAUCCUGUCCUUGACACCUAUUUUAUUUUAAAAAUUGCGUAGUGAUGCUUAGCCCUGCUACUAGAUAGGUUUUCAAACAAGAAAGUUUGAAGGGUUGUUGUGGAAUACUCUUAUGAUCAAUGAUAUUUCAACUUGAGACCGGUCGGUGGACUUGCUUUAAGAAUGGAGUCUUAAAGUAGUGUCUCCAACUGUGUCGGUUAAGGACCGGUCCGUUGGUGGGCUGAUGGGUUGAGAAUUUAUAGUACUAGCCACUUGCCCUCGGUAAGCCCGGUCUUGUGAUCCCUCGACGCGAACAGCUACUCGCGCACUGGGCGUGGAGCGAUGGCGAGAGUAGUGUGUACCCACCUUACGGAUCUGAGAUGACCGGGAAACAUCUAGAUCGGCUGUAGGAGGGUGGAGUACUGUGCUCUCGGGUGCCGCGAACCUGGUCAAAUUUGGGGAGAGCUUGAUUUGGGUUGAUAUAAGCAAGAUUUGGUUCUACAUAUGUCGGGUGGUUAGGAACUCCAGCUGGAUUGCUAAGCGGUUCGAAUCGUCGUUGCUCCCCGAUUGGGAGACUCAAUCCACUGACCCUCAUCGUAGUUAAAUAUGCAACUAAGUGAUAAAAGAAGAAAGGGGAAAUGUCUCAUGAGGUUCGGAUCCCAAUUCCCGGACUUAGAGUGACAUGAAGCUAUGGCCGUUGGAUGGAUACUACUUUAGUUAAGGACUAGGAACUUACAGACUUGUCUGUGAGAAGCAACUAGAUAGACUGUCCUCGAACUCCUCGACCUCUUAAGGAGAGGAAUUCAUGGAUAAAACUUGAAAAUAAGGAUGCACUAUUAGUAAGCUUUUUGGCAAAACAAUUUGGCUCCUUGCUCAGCCACUCCUUGUCUACCCUAAGCCUGCAUUCCUAAGUUCUCCCUUUUUCCGCCGGGUAAGUCUUGUUGAGUACUCCCGUACUCAGGGUUUUAUAACCCCUGUUGCAGGUGCUGACUUAUGCUGCUAAUGGAGGUCAUGUCGGUGGGCGCGACAAGAUUUAUCCACCUCUUCUACCUUAGAAGCUUCACCUAAGAUGCUUCCGCUACUCUACACACCUUUUGGAAAUUUAGUUGUUUAUAUUCCAUCAUAUGUUGUAAAUUGAGCUAUAAAUCUUCCGCACUCCGAUGUAAGAUAUUUUUGUAAGAAAUAUUGUAAUGUUGUGGAAACUCCAUGUUGCUCCUGUAUGAGUUAAAAUGUGGAUGAUUCGGGGUCCUCUAAGGGCACCCCACAGACUAUCUGGGUUAUAUGACUCUCAUGUGCAGUAAUCAGAGGUCUUAAUGACAAUGAUAGGUGCAUGUGGGCCAUAAAAUUUAGGUGGUUCUGCCACAAAGGGGGGAUCGGGAGCGAACUCAUCAGAAAAAGCAGUAUAGCCUUUUAAGGAGCCCAAGACUCCUUAAAAGACACGGGGGCUACCCCCACGAGGGUCGCUCGUGCGACCCCACGGAAACUCGACCAAUGGAAAAGCCUCUACUCGAGCGCAAGCACUCGAGUAGAUACUCGGGGGCUACUGUCGAGGGUGUCAGUAAGGGGUAUCUCAACCGACGCUCAUAACGAAAGGACCCAUACAUAAGUCGAGGCCCAAACUCGACGCCCUCGCUUACACUCGUGAUCACCAAAGCUCAAUGUCGACCAUAGCCUCGAACACGAAAAUAAGGUCGUGCGAAUUGACAGAGGCUCGACUAAACAACAACCGUCGAAUACGGAAGUGGCUCGGGCGAAUCGACAGGCCUCGAGCGCAUAGGCGCCGUCCGCCGCCUAUCGCGGGUAUGGGAGCCAGGGCAUUUAAUGCGCCUGCCAUGCUCUCACCUACCCCGACAGUCACGGGAAACAUGAUAGGGAACAAGCACCGGUCCAAUCCCCACUUUUCACAGCUUUAUCCCCCUUAUAAGCAAGAGUACAACCAAGCACAGUGUGACAGUCGAGACGUCACGUCACGGUGUCCCUCGAGGCACCGAGAGUCAGCGCACCGCUCAACGAAGCCAUACGCAGUACCGAACCCUCGAGCAAAUACGUUCCUUCCUAGGGAAGGGUUAGGCGAUGAAUGUCAGCGCUUCAACCACCCUAGACGUGACCACUGCCACGACGUACAGGCACGCUCGAGACUAAGCCAAUCCGAGACAAUGUAUAGGGGCCAAACCUAGAAGCACGCGUGAUCAUCACCAAAGUACCCAAUAACAUGACGGCUCGAAGCCACGCCGGUACGGAGGCCUCGAGUAGGUCAGCGCGCCAUGCCCCUAUCGAUCCCUAUUCUGUUGCCUACGACUUGUAAUCCAGGUCUCCCCUUGGAACUAUAAAAGGGGACACCGAGGAAGAGAUACGGGCAAGGAGACACUACACGUAGAACAACCUUCCAUACACCCCUGUACAAGCACUUAGCUGCAUGAAUGUAGAAGAUCUCCCCCCCGGUGGACGUAGGGCCUUCUAUUGCCCGAAACAGGAUAAAUAAUUGUGUCACUCUUGUAUCACCAUCUGGAAAAGGGAACACGCACACAAAUUCACUCAUUGGUGUUACUCCUCGGGGUCAAAACACCGACAUAGAGCUGCUCUGUCGGCAAUACACUGAGCAGCCUUUUGAUAUUGGAGUUGGCGGCUUUCUAGAUGACUAGUUUGGAAGAGUGCUUUGUUGACACCAGAAGUGGCAAACGGUUAUACCGCAAGCGUACGGUAGUCAAUGUAGCCUUCACCGGGAGUAUUCCAGGUAUCGUGAUUUCCACGGGGAACGCGAAGUGAAUUAACUAGGCUUUAGAUCGUUAGGUGAUGAUCAAAGGGUCUAGGAUAAUGGGGUAGAGAGGUCUAACUAGUUAAUGCCUGGUCUUGGUAAUUAAGUAUAGUCAAGGUUUUUCACCUAACUCUUUACUGAGGGCGAUACCCGAAAAGGAGGAUUGAGUUAACGAAGUUUUUCACCUCCUCGUCUCCUAAGCGACUACCCUGCUCAGCCCAACUAUUAUUUGCAACUUGCCUACAACAGAUGCGAGGAACUUUCCGCCUAGCGAGGACUGUCACUCUCACACUACGUGUCUACACAACUGCGACAAGGAGUCCACACUGGCAAGAAGUAGUCUAGACACCACGUCUAAACUAGCUCUUGCUACCCUAAGCUUAGCUAAAGCUAAGAGCACUCAAGAUCAAGCAAUGUGCCAGUAAAGGAUUCUUAUACUUAAAGUACCAGACCAAAUAUUAAAUACUAGAAAAGACUCAGAAGUAAGACUUACAAGAAGACCUGCUUCCGCUGAGGUGCUCUGCGAAGAAGACUCCCGACAGGCCGGGACUCCUCCUUGGAACUCCUCACUCUCUACUCACUAUGAUAGCACUAAGCUACUAAAGUAGUUUACUCCUAAGAUACAUGACUCUUAAGUGAAGGAAUAGGGGGGUAUUUAUAGUGGGAGAUGGAGUAGGGGCUACUCCGGUGCCACGUCAGCGAUCCGCGUCAUCUUCAUCAUGCACCAUUGGAUCAAACCGACUUCACAACCGCCAUCUGAUCAACGGUAGAGGCAAACUAACAUGUGCAACAUGUGGGCAAGGUCGGUGGGAGGCCAACCGACCCUGGAACCGCCAUGAAGUGGGGUCGGCCGACCCCCUAUCUGGCUGGUUGGGCCCACCUGCAGUGUCCUGGAGGCUCUCUGAUGUCGGUGGAGUUGAGCUGACCUGUGGGACCCACCAAAGUGGGGUCGCCCGACCCCAAUUCUAUGGGGUUAGGGUGUCAGCCCUGUCCUACAUGUCUUCCUCUUCAUGACUAUAAUGUUGUCUUGGUUACUGGUGUCACUGAUCUUUAGUUAUUCACCCCUUCUUAGUGUUUGGACCCUUGAAAAGUACCUGUUCUUACUCCUGCAACCAAAUAGUAGCAUGUACAUGUGGAACUAGGUUAUAUGUACCUAUAUUACUACUUUGUUUGGUUGUUUUCUCCCAAAAUGAGUCUUAUGUUGACGGUUAUGAUAGUAGAAAACAUGGUAUAAAUACCGUCAACAAGACCCCCCACACUUGAGUCUUUGCUCGUCCUCGAGUAAAGGUUAAAAAUGAGUGAUCAAUGGUUUCUAACUUAAGAUAGUAGUGAGCAUAAAAUGCUAGUUCGAACAUAGUUCAUCCAAAUGGGUUUUUGUGUAAGUGUCUAGCAUAUAUCCUUCAGAGGUUGAGAAAAGGAACAACUCUCAGAACAAGAUCAAAUUCCAAUUUCAUAUUCUUGGUACUUAGAGUUUUUAUGACACUUUUUAAAAUAAGUCACAUAGUUCAAUCCUACUCCUCAUUUAGCGCUCUAGAUCACUCAAAGUUUUUUUUUUUAGUAGUCCUCACCAAGGCAUGAAUGCCAACUUGUUUCAUCCUAUAACUAUAGGCUUAUAUGGGGCUUGGUAGGGAUAAACAAGGUAGCAUACUCUACUUUGCAAAUAUUGUUAAGUCAAAAACAAGGAUCCAAAGAGAGGAGUGUCAUAGUCAUAGAUCAAGAUGUGCAAGUGUGUUAUAUGGUGGACUAGGUUGCUCCUUUAUUUGCUACACUCUCUCUACUUGUAUAUUGAGACAUGGCUAGAUUUUCUUUUUCUUCGAGCUUUAUGUGCUCAAUUUUUUUUUUAAAUACUUCAUGGACUUGCACAUGUCCAUUUUUUUCUUUUUCUUUUAUUUUGCCAAGCCUUUUAUGUCUCAUUUUCUAAACAAUAUUUAGAGAGGUGUUCUAACACUUAGAGUAUGGAGCAACCUAUUUAGUGGAUGCACAAUACAUGUGGUUGCGUACUUCCAGUGUAGAAGCAGCAUAUAUAUAUGUGGUGUGUACGUGAUCUUGAUCUUGUGACUAUGAUACAACUCUCACUAGGGUCAACAAGGUUUUGACAAAACUCAUUACAAAAGCAGGUUGCAUUUCAUAAAAUGGUUACUUGAAUAUCUAAGUGUAUGGCUUUUGGUGGGAAUUUCUUGCUAAUGAGGAGUAAAUGAUACUAUGGUUUUGUGAUAUUUUUGAAACAAAUCUCUAAGUACCUUGAAUAGAAAUGUUAUGAAUUCUUAGCCAAGAGUUAUAUCACUUUCAUCAACAACUUAGUCAAUAUGGUUCCUAUAGAUUUUUACCCAUGAGGAUGAACAAUUGUAAGAACUAUACUUUAUGUCACAAUUUCUCUUAAAUCAUGAACCAGUUCACUUUUUAUUUUGCAAACAAGUUUAAACUAUCAAAUUUUAUUUUAAUUGUGACACAAAGGUAGAGAAUUGGACAGACUGAGAGGGGGAAGAGUUAGCAAACCGGGCAGGAAAGAUGUGUUUCGUCGUAUAGAAGCUUCCUGGUGGGCCCAGGGCUCUAUGGAGGGGUCGGCCGACCCCACCUGGAGGUUCCUGGCCCUGCCACUCGAUUCUACGUCCCUCGGGAAGUCUUUCUGCACUUGUGUCGUUUCCUUUUGCCAUAGAAAGGGGGUCGGGCGACCCCCUCAUCGCGCCUGUUUUUGGUGCCAUGACGUGCCAAGGUGUAUGCAGUGUUGUUCCAUGCUCACGGCAGUUCAGAGAUGAAGUUGGGGGGUCGGGCGACCCCCCCACACUUGCAGUUUUCGUGCAGCUGAACUUAAAACAGAGAGACGAUCAAAUGCAGAUGUCCUGCUGGUGGCAACACACCAGCAGGACCAAAAACGACUCCAUUAAAUCAAAUUUCAAUUGUAUAGGCACUUUUACAUUGCGAAAUUCAAAGUGACAAACUGAAAAAUAAAAUUGAGUAAUCAAACCUAAAUAAUCAAAUAGUGCCUAUAACCUAAACUAACUAAUUUAUUUAGGGAGAUGGAGGUUUGAGGAGAUCCUCCCGCCCAAUUGCUUGCGCCUAACGCUUGAUUUUAGCGCUGGUGCUAAUGCGCAGGUGGCGGAAGUGAUCUUCUAACUCAAGAUUCUCCAUCCUGAGCUCCGACACUGUCUCCUCUAAGAUCCUAUUUUUCUUUCUAAGGCUAGCUGUGACUUCCAGGAGCUUCUCGAUGUCGCCUUUUUCUGGAUCUUCUUCGUAUUUGCCAGGCGCACCGUUGAUCGGAGGUGGAUCCAUCUUCCGCCGGAUGGAUGGACUUGCUGACGAGUCAAAGGACUCCCGCAACUCCAUCUUUUCCUUAGAGUUCAGCGGCGGGAUCAGCACCUUCCCCUUUCCCGGCCCACUGCCCACCACUUGGUGGUUCCUCCAAAAGGUUGGGGUGGACGGCGAGUAGGAAGAGGUGUGGAUCGUGUCGGAGGAGAUGGUGAUGGCCUGCUUGGUGGCCAUCGGCGCCUUCUCCCGCAGCGCAAGUUGGCCCGUGGUAGGUCGAAUCGGCGUUACGGCUCGAGUAGGGGACUUGCCGAUGCCCCUGCGCGGUGUGAGCGAACGAGAGGCCGACGCGGAGCGCUGGGUCACCCGGGGCGAGGUCGGGCGACCCCUCUUGGGGUCGGGCGACCCCCACAUGGGGCCCGUCGGCCCUCCAGCCGGCGGCACCAUGGCUAGUGGUUCAGGCUCCAGCACGUUGACGGCUAGGGCAAGCUCCAGGCUCUCAGUUAGAGACCUUUGCGGACGUGGGGAGUUGGAGCGAAUGGCUUGGUUGGAAGAUUUAGUUGGAGGAGCCAUGGAGAUGAAUCUCUUGGCAAGGAAUGGAGGCUAGGAGAGUCUGGUUCGAGGUGAAGAUGAGAAGGAAUGAAUUGAGAGGAGGAAGAAGAAGAAGAGGGGGGAUAAAUAGAUGUGUUUGGAGCCUGAGAGUUUGAAUUUUGAAAAGGAGCGUCGUGGAACGUUUGAGGGACGAUCCGAGACUCCAGGGGAUUUCAAAACUCAAAAUAUUGGGGUCGGGCGACCCCUAUAUUUCAGGAUUUUGAAUUUUGAAUUUCAGCACCGAACUCUAUUCAUUCCCCUCUUUCUAAACCUAUCCCCCCUUGGGCCAAAACCCCUAGAAGAGGGGUCGGCCGACCCCCAUUUGGGGUGUUCGGCGGCCCAACUUUGAUCCUACGUCAUCUAAAACCCUUUACAAACCUAUUUCAAAACAAAAAGGAACUAAAUAUAUUGAUUUAGCAAUUAUUUAAACAAAAAGGGGGUAAAAAGAAGGACAUGUGGAUUUUAAGACUUUGUGUCAGAUUCAAAUUCUAUCAUAUCAACUUCUUCUUCUAAAGGUUCAUGUUCAUGGAAAACUUUAAGACGAUGACCAUUUACCUUAAAGGUGUUGCCGUCGUCGUCCCGCAGCGUUACCGCUCCAUGAGUCGCGGCGUCAACAACGAAGAAUGGUCCUUCCCAUUUGCUCCUUAGCUUUCCAUGGCCAAAUAACUUGACCCUUGAGUUGAACAUGAGAACCUUAUCCCCAGGAUGAAAUUCCUUUUGCUUGAUCCUUUUAUCAUGCCAUCUUUUUGUUCUCUCUUUGUAGAUCCUGGCAUUGUGAUAGGCUUUAUCUCUCCAUUCUUCUAGUUCGGAGAUUUGGAGCUUUCUAUUUCUUCCGGCCGAGGGCAAAUCCAUGUUCCAUUUCUUGAUUGCCCAGUGAGCUCUAUGCUCUAGCUCUACCGGUAGAUGGCAUGUCUUACCGUAUACAAGUUGGUAUGGUGUCAUACCAAUUGGGGUCUUGUAUGCGGUCCUGUAUGCCCAAAGUGCAUCUGGUAGAUGGCUUUUCCAGCCGGUUCCCAUCUUAGUGACAGUCUUCUGCAGAAUGUUCUUGAUUUGUUUGUUAGAUGUUUCUGCUUGUCUGCUCGUUUGAGGGUGAUAGGGUGUUCCAAUGUUGUGCCUUAUCCCCACUUCAGCUAAGAACCGUCGGAAUCUUCUGUCAAUGAAGUGGCUCCCUCCAUCACUGAUAACUAGUCUGGGGGUGCCGAAGCGUGGAAAUAUGACUUCCUUGAACAUCUUUAUCGAAUGUGUAGAGUCGGCUGCUCUGCAGGGCAUUGCUUCGACCCACUUGGACACAUAGUCUACUGCCACUAGGAUGUACUCACACCCUUGUGACAAAGGGAAUGGCCCCAUGUAGUCUAUGCCCCAAGCAUCGAAUAUCUCGACUUGUAAGUUGUUUGUGAGUGGCAUUGCAUCACGAGUAUUGAUGUUCCCAUGCUUCUGACACCUUGCACAUCUCCUCACGAAGUUCUUUGUAUCUUCGUACAUGGUAGGCCAGUAGAAUCCACUCUGCCAUAUCUUGGCAUGGGUCCUGAAUGCUCCAUAGUGGCCUCCGUACUCUGCCCCAUGGCAUUUUUCCAUUAUUUUUACUGCUUCGUCCAUGGGAACACAUCUCCUGAGUAUGCCAUCUUGACAGACUCUGUAGAGGUAAGGAUCGUCCCAUAGGUGCACCCUACUCUCUUUAACAAGCUUCUUCUUGUCUACCCCAGAUGGUAUGUAUCCGGACGCCAGGUAGUUGACUAUGUUUGCAUACCAUGGGUAGGCUUCUGAAACUCGGAGGAGUGUGUCGUCUCGAAGGUAGUCGUUGAUAGGUGGAUCCUGUUUAUCCUCGAUUUGCAUCCUAGACAAGUGAUCGGCUACCGAGUUUUCUACUCCCUUUUUAUCUCUAAUUUCUAAGUCAAAUUCUUGGAGUAGUAGGAUCCAUCUUAUUAAUCUUGGUUUAGCAUCUUUUUUAGUGAGCAAGUAUUUUAGAGCUGCGUGAUCGGAGUAAACAAUCACCUUUGCUCCAACUAAAUAAGAUCUAAACUUGUCUAUAGCAAACACUACAGCCAACAGUUCUUUUUCAGUUGUUGCAUAAUUCAGCUGUGGUCCUGUUAGUGUUUUGCUAGCAUAAGAUAUUGCGUGAUGCUUCUUAUCUUUAGUCUGUCCUAAGACAGCACCUACAGCGUAAUCACUAGCAUCACACAUUAUCUCAAAAGGUAGCGACCAAUCAGGGGGUUGAAUGAUUGGUGCAGAGAUAAGUGCUUUCUUAAGAUAGUAAAAGGAAUCCAAGCACUCAUCAUUAAAAUCAAAGGGUGCAUCCUUUGCUAACAGGUUUGUUAAAGGUCUAGCAAUUUGAGAGAAAUCUUGUAUGAACCUUCUAUAAAAGCCUGCAUGGCCAAGAAAGCUACGGACGCCCCUAACAUUUGUGGGAGGAGGGAGCUGUUCUAUAACUUCAAUUUUAGCUCUAUCUACCUCUAUCCCACGUUCGGACACUCUAUGUCCUAACACUAUCCCUUCUCGAACCAUAAAAUGGCACUUUUCCCAGUUCAAGAUCAAGUGCUUCUCUUGGCACCUUUGUAAGACUCGGUCCAGGUUCUUUAGGCAAUCAUCAAAAGUUUUCCCAUAGACGGAGAAGUCGUCCAUGAAAACUUCCAUGAUUUCCUCGAUCAUAUCGGAGAAGAUGGACAUCAUGCACCUUUGAAAAGAGGCAGGAGCAUUGCAUAGGCCAAAAGACAUGCGCCUAUAUGCAUAUGUUCCGUAGGGGCAUGUGAAUGUAGUCUUACUUUGGUCGUCGGGAUGGAUUGGGAUUUGAUGGUAACCCGAAUACCCAUCAAGGAAGCAGAAGAAAGAGUGUUUGGCUAACCGUUCCAGCAUCUCAUCGAUGAAUGGCAACGGAAAGUGGUCUUUCUUAGUGGCCUUGUUAAGUUUUCGGUAGUCUAUGCACAUUCUCCAUCCCGUGACAGUCCGUUGAGGAAUGAGUUCAUUGUUGUCAUUUUUAACGACCGUCAUUCCUCCUUUCUUAGGAACUACUUGAACGGGGCUGACCCAUUCACUGUUCGGAACAGGGUAGAUUAUGCCCGCAUGCAAUAGUUUUAAGACCUCUUUCUUCACAACUUCUCUCAUCGCAUUAUUUAGCCUUCUCUAAGGCUCCCUGGAAGGUAUAGCAUCGGGUUCGAUAGGGAUGCGAUGAGUGCAGAGUGCAGGACUAAUUCCCUUAAGGUCUUCUAACGAGUAUCCUAAGACAGAGCGGCGUUCUUAUAAGACGAUGAUGAGUUUGGUGACUUCUUCUUCUGUCAGUUGAUCACUAAUGAUUACCGGAGUCUCUCUAUCAUCAUUAAGGAAGGCGUACUUAAGUCCAGAGGGAAGUGGCUUAAGUUCUAUAGAGGGUUUUGGUGGUGGUUUAGAUUCAUCCAAGUCUAAUGGUUCUUCUAAUUUGUUCUCUUCUUCUUGGAUGAAGUUUUCGGCGUCUUCUUCUAAGUCAGGCUGAGAAGCGUCCAGAAGAGAUGCCGACAUCACCUCCUUUAUUGGGUCAGGCUCGGGCGGGGUCUCGGCUUUAGAAUUAAUAGAGCCGGCAAAAGGCAUAGAAAGGUCUAAGCCCUUCCCGAGGUUACCCUUGAGACGCCCUUCAUGAAAUCCAUUUAGGAACCUCAUGAUGGGGUGCCCGAUUAACAAGUCAACUUCUUUCAUAUCAAAGAUAAAGAAGUUUAGCAGAAUGUUGACUUUGUUAAUGGAGACAGGAAUAUUCUGUGCAAUCCCACAACUCUCGACCAUUUCCCCAGAGGGUAAUUUAAGAAAUUUGCUGGUCGGGGUUAAUGGUUCCUCGCCUAGGAGUGUCAGUACUAAUGAUUUGGACAUUAGGCUUACUCCUACAGCAGGGUCAUAAAGGGAUUCUAUAGGAGUGGAGUUUAUGACACAGGGAAUGGGUGUAAAACUCGAGACAAGUUUGAUGACAUCAGAUGAUGUCUCAGCUUCUCUAACCCAUUCAUUACUCAUAAUAGCCGUGAGUUCUUGGGCAGUUGCCCUGAGGUAACCAGCCUCAAGAUGAGCUGGGAUAUGGCUAUUCGGAGCUCUGCGUGCUGUAGAUCUCCUUUGCACAGGUUGAUUCGAGACAUUGCCAAAAUCGGCAAAUAGAUCAGUCUCGAUGUUAAGUGGGUAAUCCAAGGGAUGAAUUACUUCUUCCCUUGGAGGUGCUUGUGGUAUUGGUUCAGGUUCGACAGCUUGGGUUGCGGCUAAAGGAGUUUUGGCUGUCGAAGGUUCAUCCCUAGGAGUUCGAUCUUCCUCAGGAGCUUCAAUAUGAUCAUCAGUGUAAGGGGUAUUCUCGAGAAUAGUCCCAAGAAUGGCCUUACCUUCACUGAUAGGUAAAUGAAGGAAUGCUCCCUUGGAGGCUAAAUCAAGGAAUUGUGCGGAUUGUUGGCUAAGUCCGAGGUAAAAAUGUUGCAUAAGAAUUGGCUCGGUUAUACCUAAGUCUGGGCCAGAUGAUGUUAAGUCGGUGAGACGCGCCCAGGCCGCACCUAGAGACUCCUUCCCUUCUUGCUUGAAGUCUAGGACUUCUCUACGGAGACGAGCUAUUCUAGAGAUGGGAAAGUAGGUGAGGCAGAAUUUGGCUUGCAGCUUUUCCCAUUCUCCUCCUACACUACCUACAUAGCGAGUGUACCACCGUCUGGCCUUUCCCGUCAAAGAGAACGGAAAGAGCUUCCACUUGAGGGUAACUCGCCUCAUCCCUUGGAUGUGGAUGCAUGAACAAAGUUGUUCGAAAUCUCGUAGGUGUGUGUAAGGAUUUUCAUCUCCUUCUCCCGAAAAGGGAUUCUCCUGAACCAUCGCUAUGAGACUCGGGCGAAGCUCAUAGUGACAGGCCAAAAUGGCUUUUGAUGAACUCGCUGGCUCCAACUCAGCGCCCGUUGGAGCAGCGUAAUCGAAGAGGGUUGUUUGAUCCAUUUGGAUAUGUGUAUAAAGUUUUAAAUCAAACAAAGAUAACUUAACGAUUUUUUUUCCUAGUUAAAACAGCUACCGUUCCCCGGCAACGGCGCCAGAAAGCUUGUUGACACCAGAAGUGGCAAACGGUUAUACCGCAAGCGUACGGUAGUCAAUGUAGCCUUCACCGGGAGUAUUCCAGGUAUCGUGAUUUCCACGGGGAACGCGAAGUGAAUUAACUAGGCUUUAGAUCGUUAGGUGAUGAUCAAAGGGUCUAGGAUAAUGGGGUAGAGAGGUCUAACUAGUAUUAAUGCCUGGUCUUGGUAAUUAAGUAUAGUCAAGGUUUUUCACCUAACUCUUUACUGAGGGCGAUACCCGAAAAGGAGGAUUGAGUUAACGAAGUUUUUCACCUCCUCGUCUCCUAAGCGACUACCCUGCUCAGCCCAACUAUUAUUUGCAACUUGCCUACAACAGAUGCGAGGAACUUUCCGCCUAGCGAGGACUGUCACUCUCACACUAGGUGUCUACACAACUGCGACAAGGAGUCCACACUGGCAAGAAGUAGUCUAGACACCACGUCUAAACUAGCUCUUGCUACCCUAAGCUUAGCUAAAGCUAAGAGCACUCAAGAUCAAGCAAUGUGCCAGUAAAGGAUUCUUAUACUUAAAGUACCAGACCAAAUAUUAAAUACUAGAAAAGACUCAGAAGUAAGACUUACAAGAAGACCUGCUUCCGCUGAGGUGCUCCGCGAAGAAGACUCCCGACAGGCCGGGACUCCUCCUUGGAACUCCUCACUCUCUACUCACUAUGAUAGCACUAAGCUACUAAAGUAGUUUACUCCUAAGAUACAUGACUCUUAAGUGAAGGAAUAGGGGGGUAUUUAUAGUGGGAGAUGGAGUAGGGGCUACUCCGGUGCCACGUCAGCGAUCCGCGUCAUCUUCAUCAUGCACCAUUGGAUCAAACCGACUUCACAACCGCCAUCUGAUCAACGGUAGAGGCAAACUAACAUGUGCAACAUGUGGGCAAGGUCGGUGGGAGGCCAACCGACCCUGGAACCGCCAUGAAGUGGGGUCGGCCGACCCCCUAUCUGGCUGGUUGGGCCCACCUGCAGUGUCCUGGAGGCUCUCUGAUGUCGGUGGAGUUGAGCUGACCUGUGGGACCCACCAAAGUGGGGUCGCCCGACCCCAAUUCUAUGGGGUUAGGGUGUCAGCCCUGUCCUACAUGUCUUCCUCUUCAUGACUAUAAUGUUGUCUUGGUUACUGGUGUCACUGAUCUUUAGUUAUUCACCCCUUCUUAGUGUUUGGACCCUUGAAAAGUACCUGUUCUUACUCCUGCAACCAAAUAGUAGCAUGUACAUGUGGAACUAGGUUAUAUGUACCUAUAUUACUACUUUGUUUGGUUGUUUUCUCCCAAAAUGAGUCUUAUGUUGACGGUUAUGAUAGUAGAAAACAUGGUAUAAAUACCGUCAACAUGCUUCUUUGACACUGGCAGGGAUUUAGCCAUAGAUUGUUUUAAAAAUAACAUUUGUCGGGUCAGAGUCAUCCACCAGUUGAGCUGUAUCUUGCUGCAAUAAGACCAACAGGUCGUCCAGCUUGGAUCUAACUUCUGCCAAUAUUGUCCCAGGCACCAAUGAAGAGCUUGCCUCUUCCCCUUCGUCAUCAGGAAUAUCGAUGACAAAGGAGAAUAGGCUAUCAGGAGAGUCUUGUUCCUAAAAGGAGAGAGAAUGAGUCAGUUGGGAGUGAUCAUGAAUAAGUGCAAAUUGGUCAAAACGGAUAAGCUUACUUGUUUCAAAGCAUUGGCUGGAGGUAUAGUCUGAAUUAUGUCAUGGUGAGAAUCGACUGGGUCUGCCAAUGGAAUAACUUCAGCUGCUAUUGGUAUAAAUUAACUGCACUCCAUUUAAAUAAAUUUAAGUAGGAUUAUCCGCAAGUGCACAGAUAUCAUACCACUAUCACAUUUUACCUGGAGGUUUUAAAUAUCGAAUCCAUAGGGAAUAGUUGUGAUGAUGACAUAGUAUAUAGACUUAACCCUACAAUUAGGCUAGAUCAUAUCAAGAAAAAUGAAAUAACUAAUGCACUCUGGUUCCGACUCCAGUAAACUUUGUAUAAUACCGUUUUAUCGGGCAAGUAACCCGAAUAGGGGAAGAAUCAAAGUAAUCCCCUAUCAGGCACCUAUAAGCCUAUCAAUCCUAUCAAUGGGAAGUGGACUAUAGAGGAAUCAACGCAGUUGUCACCUACGCGAACUACCACUGUCCGGUUGAUCACGGGACAUUCACAAGUAAACCUAACCUAGGCACCACACCUACACUAUGAAAUACUACUUCAACCAAGUUAUGACCAAGAUCAAAGCACUCAAUAUGAGUUGUGAACCAAAGAGCAAAUAAGAACAAGUUGCUUACUUAAACUAGAAGGGUAAGUACAAAAGUACCUCAAAACAAAGCUCCAGGCGAGGGAACUGAAUCCAGAAGAACUAGUCUCUCCUAAUUGCUACAUCUAGACGACACUACAAGGUUUUGACCCAUUAGCCACAAAACACUUAGGCAACACCACUCAUUUGGUUGCAAUUCGGGGGUACUAUGACACCCAAACACUAAAUUGGUAGUAAUAGGGGUACAUAUUGCUACACUUUUAUUGUGUUGUGAUACUGUUUUUUUAGUUGCAACUAGUUCAUGAUAAUGCACCCAUUUUAAGGAUUUUUGUUGCAAUUUGCGUGUUGUCCAGCUACACAAAUUUUGAGUUGCAUUAGCAUUUCGUGUGUUGCAAAUGAAUGGUGAUAUGGCAACCAUAUUAUCUUUGGUUGCUUAUGAAGGGCACAAUCACGAUGAUUGAUUUAGGUUGCAACAUGCUUUCGUUCCUUGUGGUAAUAUCUAGAUGACAAUUGCAUCCUUUCUUGCUGCGAGAUGCAAUAUAUAUACGUAUUACCACUAUUGAUGUGUGGUAGUAAUACUGGCCAUAGACGUGGCAACUGUUAUACGUCUAUUGCAACGAAGGCUUACUUGGUUGCACUUUAAUUUCUAUUCCUCUAUAAAUAGGUGGGUCAGUAGUUCCCAAUCCGCAGGCCACAUAUCUUCCUUCCCAAAUCUGCCCACCGCCGCCGCCAUCAUCCCCCCUGCUCGCUCGAUCUAGGUAUGGCGGCGCAUAGAGAAGGUAACUCGUCUAGUGGGAGUAGGGUAUCGAGGAGGGAGGAAUGACGAGCGCAAGCACCAUAUCCGAUAGGUCAACAAACUGGGCUGCCUCUAGUUAUGUGUCCAAAUUGCAAGCUCGCUCAUGUGAUCGAACUUCGCGUCAUGUCAGAGACUAAAAACAAGGGCAGGAGCUUUAUCAAGUGUCUGAGGAAUGGGGUCAGUGAAGUUUUCUUGUAAAUAUUAUUGUCAACCAUCAUGAUUGUUUGCAUAAAUCUUUGUGUUAACUAUUGUAGUUCCAACUUUUUGUAGAAUCCCAAAUUAUGUGGCUACUAUAAGUUUCAGAAGGAGUACUUAGAUGACUUGAUUGAUAUGAAGGUGUUUGUCAUCAUAUGUGAGGAGCUUGAGGAGCUGGAAGUUGUCGGUGUUUUCCCCACGGGGGGUCACACCAACGAGUAAAUUUGUAUGCGUGCUCCCUUUUCUAGAUGGUGAUGCAAAAAGACACAAAGAUUUAUCCUGGUUCGGGCAAGAGAAGGCCCUACGUCGAGUGGGGGAGGAGAGUUUGUAUUAUUCUGCACCUAAGUGCUUGUACAGGGGUGAAUACAAGCGUGUAUGAGCUAGGAUGGAGUAUGGAUGUUCUACUGCGUAUGAGUGUUGUCUUCCCUCUAUGUAUCGCCUCCCGGGCCUCCCCUUUUAUAGUUCCAAGGAGAAGCCUAGGGUACAAGUAUAGGUGUCAGAGUUGGGGUCGAUAGGGAUAUGGCGCGCGGACCUACUCGAGGCCUCCGUACCGGCGUGGUCUCGAGCCGUCCCGUCCUAAUGGCUUGAUGAUGAUUACGCGUGCCCCUGUAUCCUGCUCUGUGCGCCGUCGUGGACUGGUUUAUCUGCUGCACGCCUGUACGUCAUGGCGGCAGAUGCGUCGGAGUGGUUGCAGUGCUGUCUUUCGAUGCCCGACCCUUCCCCAGGAAGGAAACAUGUAUGGUCGAGGGUCGGACGCCGUGUAGCACCUUGCUAGCCAGAGCGUUGACCUUGGAUGUCUCGAGGGGGUCUUGAUUGGACGUUCCGACCCUGCUUCCUGCGUCCUGACAUGCUCUAGGUCGUUUGUUGGGGAAGGCUGCAAAAAGAAUGAUGGGACGGGUGCCUGUUCCCUAUCACGCCUCCCGUGACUGGCGUGUUAGGUGAGAACGCGACAGGCUCAUUAAAUGCCCUGGUUCCCGUGCGCGCAUCAGGCGGCGGGUGGCGUCCUUGCGUUCGACGCCUUCCGGUUCGCUCGAGCCUAUUUCCGUAUUCGACGGUUCGCUCGAGCCUAUUUCCGUAUUCGUCGAGUUGGGGGCCUCGACCUGCGUACGGGCAAUCUCGUUAUGUACAUCAGUUAGGAUACCCCUUAUUGAUACCCUCGACAGUAGCAACAGAGUCUCCAUUUGAGCGCUGGCGCUCGAGUGGAGGCUUUAUUUUGCGGUUGAGUUUCCGUGGGGCGCGCGAGGGACCCCGCGGGGGUAGCCCCCGAGCCCUUGGAGGAGUUUUUGACUCCUUCGAGGGUUAUAUCGCCUAAUUCAUAGAAACGCUGUCGACACCAGUGGUGGAAGGUUCUGUUUGGCUCGUUUUGCGCAGGGGUUUCGACGUACUCUUGAUAGAGCGAGCGUCAUCCACCCCAGAUUGAGCUCCUAACGGGUAGUCCAAGUGAGAACCUGUGCCCCAUUCGAGGGGGUCAGCUGUAGCCCGGAGGCAUUCUCAUAAAGCGCGGUCGACGUGGUCGGGGAUGCUGGUCUCGUUCGAUAGAGUCCAGUGGCUCGAUGCCUCCCGUCGGGGGGAUUCCUCUCGACUAUCUCGACCCUACCUUGGACAUCCCCAGCGAGUUCUCGAGGCUGGCCUCGAUUUUCGUCUACUCGCCGGGCAUCCCUGACUCUGGUGCUCGAGAUUGGCUGUCGAACUCUUUCGGCGGGUCAGCCCACGACCUCUCGAGGCUUUCAUGGACACGUACCUUGGCUUACAAAGGAAGGAAGAGGCCAUGGCAGUUCACCUUUUUGCCCGUUGGGCGCGUCUUUUCAGGUGGGAGCCGUUGCGACACUGUAUCGGCGCAGCAUUCGUAGCGUCUCGUCCCGUGGCCCGGUUGCCGUUCUUCCUUCCGCCUUAUGCCUCCAUUCUUGCUUUAGCUCCCUUGCCUUCUCACGCGCACGCACCCUCGAGUAGCAGCAAAUCUGCCUUCCUUCCACCUAAGAUGCCUGUGAGACUUGUUGCCGCCGACGACUGGCGCCCGUCGUCGAUAACGGAGCGCCGGCUGCUGGAGCUCGAGAGGGAGGGGCUUCUGCGCUCCCGUACUUCAUUGUCGUGGCCGGAGUGGAUUGCGCCGGCGGUGGACCACCGGGAGCCCAGGCCGCCCUCAGGCUACGUGGUCUCUUUUGCUAAGUUCCACCACCACGGCCUGGGCGCUCCUCCGAGCCGGUUCAUGCAGGCACUCUAGCACCAUUACGGGGUGGAGCUUCAGCACUUCUCCCCAAAUGCCAUCACCGUCAUGGCGGUCUUUGCCGCGGUUUGUGAAGGCUAUUUGGGGAUGAUGCCCUGUUGACGGUCCUUAAGUAUCAAAUUUAAUUAUCAAAUAAAUAAAGAAAAGGAUCCAAAUGAAAUCAAGAUCUAGACUUAGGGUUUUAUCUGACAGAAUUCCAUGAGUUUUGGUGUUUGUCUAUUUUUGUAGGGGGUUAUCAGGAAAUACGGAAGAAAGGCCCACAUGUAAGGAUUACGUAAAGAUAUUAACGUGCUGCGCAAUUAUCUUACAUCUAGAAGACUCCAGAAGCCACGAGACCGAAGCGGAGGCGAAACGGGGCUAGAGGCAGGGCGCCCGCCCUGUCCUACUGGGCGCCCGCCCCCUGUUGGAGUCCAAACAGGACUCUGCUUUGCGGGAAGUCUCCACCGACCUAAAGGAUGAAUCUAAACCAUACAAUCUAUGUCGGUUUGAUCCAAGGGCCCAUAUUCACUUGAAGGGACUAUAAAACCAGACCCCCUGGCCCCUGGAGGAGGGAGCCUCUCAACCCUAAUUCAUUGUUCCAUCAAGGGAGAAGAAGCCUCUGAUCAAGAUUAGAGCCACCACAUCAAUUAGACAUCUAGAUUAGCAUAGCUACAUAGGAUUAGAACUAGAAGGAGUCAAUCUUCGAUUGGUUUCCGGAUCUGUCAGGAGGAUUCUUGGUAAUUCUCUAAUUGUGCUUCUAAUUGCUUUCUAAUUAUCUUUGUUCAUCAAUAUUAUGAAUAUGACUUUGUUCUACUUCAAUAUAUUGCUUAUGACUUUGCUCUACUUGCUUAUAUUCAAGAUUAUAUUGUUCUUAGUUUAUCAUAGUUAUGUACUUGGCUUAGUUAGAUACGAUCUAUAUACAUGCUUAGGAUCGUAUAGCUUUUAUCCAUCAGAUCCAUGGGUAAAUGAUAGAUAUUGUGUAGGCGUGGUGCUUAUACCGUAUUUAUCUGUGAUUGUACCCAAUAUGCCAGAUCGUGGGGUGGUUCGUGAUAGUGACAGCUUCAUUGAUUCUUAUAUAGUCCCCCUCUCGUGUAUUGGGCUGGCAGAGCAACAUUAUUAUAGGGGAGUGAUUGCUAUGUUUCUCAUAUUCCUUGCUAAUAUCACUAUGCAUGGGCGUAGUCUUGUCUCGCAAUGAUUGCUAAGUAUGCUUGCACUAACUAUGAUAAUGCUAGACUAUAUAGUUAAGAAUAACUUAGGGAAUAUUCUUGUAGUUCGUUCUAAUACCAUGCUAAUGACUUUCUAGAGUAUCUAAUUGAGGUGCUUAUCAUAUUUAUUAUGUGGCUAGAUCAGAUUAGUUAUCCUUGUCACUAUUAUUAUUUCAUAUAUCUUUUAUGUGACACUUAUCCCUGUAUGAAGAGUUAGAUAUAAUGUUCUCAAUUAUACAUGCAAUGAUAGAUGCUCAAUCUCAUAUUCUAUUCUGUAAUCAUUAGUGAUGAUUUCUAAUCCCUUCCCAGUGGUAAAAAUAUAAAUAACGAUACCUGGAAUACUUCCCGGUUAAAAUGCUACAUCGGUAUUAAUCUGUGCGCUUGCAGAUCCCAUUCAUUAUUUAUUUAGAAGAGCAAUUGCAUAUUUCAAUACCGCGUCUCUCAUGUCAUGCUGGGGAUGACAACUUGGCUUAAGUGGUGUGAGGGAUAGGUUUGGCAUUUUUGGCACCGUUGCUAGAUUUAGAACUUAGUCUACUUUUAGUAAUGAUGUUAAGAAUACCCAACAAGCAUUUUUGGCGCCGUUGCCGGGGAAGGUUGAUUACCAAUCGGGAAUGGAAUAAAAGAUUUUGAGUUAUCAUUCGCAUCACUAAUAUGAUUGAGCUUAUCUAUUCUCUCAUACAGUUUUACCCCGAUAUUUUUCUAUUUUAUCUUAUGCAGGGGAAUGUAUGAAUAGAAGAUAUCUUCCAGGAAAUUUUGUUGACAAUCCCGAAGCAUUAUUCAAGAAGACAAGAGCCAAGCUAAAGAAAUCAUCAACACUUCACGAAGAAGCAUCAUCCAAUCAAGAAGAUCACCGGAACUUGUCUUCAGAGUUCGAAGCCAUGGCGAACAAAUCGAUCCGCGAGUUCUCAGCUCCCACAACGGACAACAUCCGCACUGGACCUGCUGCAGAGAUCGAUGGCAACUUUGAGCUCAAGCCUGGACUUAUCAUCAUGGUGCAAUCCAACCAGUUCUGUGGGAAGGCACACGAAGAUGCUAGUGCUCAUUUACAACACUUCCUGGAGAUUUGCAACACAUUCACUAUAGCAGGAGUUUCCAAAGACGCUAUACUACUUCGCCUCUUCGCAUUCUCACUGUUAGGAAGAGCGAAGCAGUGGUUCUACGCUACAAAGGAGAAGAAUACUACGUGGGCACUCUGCUCAACAAACUUCCUCGCUAAGUUCUUUCCCAUGGGCAAGACCAAUGCUCUCCGUGGGAAGAUUACAAGUUUUCAGCAACAAAAUGAUGAAUCUAUUCCAGAAGCAUGGGAGCGCUUUCAAGACUACAUCCUAGAAUGUCCCCAUCAUGGAAUGGAGAGUUGGCUAUUGAUGCAGACGUUUUAUCAUGGGCUCAGCAACAGUACCCGAGAAACCAUGGAUGCUGCAGUUGGAGGAGCAUUCUUAUCACUUACUAUACCACAAGCCACAACUCUUGUGGAGAAGAUGGCGUCCAACCAAAGCUGGAAUGAAGAGAGGACCCAGACACGCAAGAGAGGUGGAGGUAUGCAUCAGCUGAAGGAGGUAGACAUGCUGUCUGCAAAGCUAGACCUGCUCCUGAAGAAGCUCGAUGAUAGAGCUGGAGACAAGAAAGAAGUUAUGCACAUCUACGACUCUCACAUGACUUGUGAGGAGUGUGGAGACACUAGACACUCAGGCAACCACUGCCCUGAGAUACUUGAGGAUGUGAACUACAUCAACAACAACAACUACUACUACUACAACCGUCCUCAACAAAAUCAAGGUUGGAAUCAACAGAGGCCUAACUACUCAGGUAAUUAUCAAGGUAAUAAUUCUUAUAACAACAAUAGUAAUUUUCCACCUUUGAGAGAGUUAGUGUCUAAUCAAGGAAAGCUAAUGGAUAACCUAUCUAAGAAAUUGGCAUCUAAUGAUAAAAUGCUAGAAAAUAUAAAUAAUAGAAUGGAUAAUUUUUCUACUGCCAUCAAGAAUCAAAUUAGCUUUAAUAAAAUGAUUGAAUCUCAGUUAAAUCAAAUAGCUACUGCUGUUCCUACUACUAACCCCGGUAUACCAUCACAACCGGAAGGAUUAGAAUCUGCAAAUCUUGUAGACGUGUUUGAUGCAGGUAAUUGGAGUAACCCCGUCACUGAAUUCUCUACUGACAUUAUGCCGGUCAAGAGAGGCGAUCGAGGACGCCCCGUCAUCCCGAUCUCCAUCGGCAUGGUGGACGUUCCAGAAGUACUCUGCGACUUUGGCUCCAGUGUCAACAUUAUACCCAGGGUACUCUAUGAAAAAAUCUUUACAUAUCCUUUAUUAGAAACAACCAUGUGUUUGCAGUUUGCAGAUCAGACGAUAACUUUUCCAAAAGGAAUCGUGAGGAACCUUUGUGUCCGAGUUGGUACCUUAUAUGCCCCAGCAGACUUCGUAGUGGUAGGGACCGGAAAUGAUGAGAGAGCACCUAUCAUCCUAGGGAGGCCAUUCUUGAACACCACGGGAGCUAUCAUCUACGCCAGUGCUGCCAAGAUCAGUUUCUUCGUCAAAGGGAAGAAGGAGAUAUUUUUCUUCAAGAACAGGACUACACAAAUUCAAGAUCAAUCCAGACGUGAAUCAAGGAAGAGGACCAAUAGGAGAAACAGGAACAAGCAAGUGUGGACCGAGUCAGCUAAGAUGGUCACUGUAGUUCAUGGAGGCCAAGAUCAUCAACUUAAAUCACCGUUUUUGACUAAGAAGGACGACCCAGGAAUGCCAAGCAUCUACUGCUCCAUAAAUGGAUACAACUUCUACAAGACGAUUUGCGACACCGGAUCAGGCGUCAACAUAAUGGCCGCAGUCACUUAUCGGCUCUUGUUCGGGACCAUGCCACUAAGACCAACAUACAUUCAACUCCAGAUGGUAGAUCAGACAUUUCGAGAAGUUCAAGGAAUAGUAUCUGAUGUCCCAGUCAAAAUAGACGAUCACUUUGUCUACACAGACUUUCAAGUUGUUGACAUGGGAGAAGACGAGUAUGAUCCACCCGUCAUCCUUGGAAGACCGUUCCUCAGCACCGUUAAAGCAAUUAUCUACAUUGGAACCGGAGAAGUCCAUAUGCACUUCCCCUCAGAGAAGGUACGCCGUUAUUUUACUGACCCUAACUAUAUCAUUGAAGAAUCUAAGCAGGUAAGAAAGGGACGCAAUCGCAACCAGAGGAGGCAGAUCAUCAAGGACGGAUGGGCAGACUAUGAAGGAGAAGUUGUAAGGUCAGAAGACAUAGAGUUUAAACAGAAUUAUCCAGAGGAGAUUGAAGCACCGAGUCAGGUAUGGAAAAUGAAGAUAACUAUACAAGAAGAGGAGGCGCUGCCGGAAGUACCGACUACGCCACCCAACGAACCUCAGGACGAUUAAGAAAAUGGAGAGUCCCGUUCGGAGGACUUAAAAACACCGAACGCCUUGCCAAGAGGUAAACUUGGUAGUUAUCAUUUCCCUUUCAACUAUUUCAAAUAGUUUACUUAGUUAAUCAUAUUCACACUAUCUUAAAAAGAAAAUAAAAAUGUUAAAAACAGUAAGCCCCAUGUGAGUAGACGAGUGGCAUGAAACCCAUAGGUACAUUCACUGUGGUGGCAUAAAAAUAAAAUAAAUAUUUUUCUGCUUUAUAAAAACAAAAAUAUAAAAACAGGGAGUAAUAAUUAUUAAGAAGUCUCAACAUGAUAAAGGCUAGAUAUUUAUGCUAACACUUAAUCAGUUCCACAAGCUUUGUUGUCUAUUUGAGCUCCACAGAAUUUAAGAAUCAAGAACACUAGCAGAUGGAGGACAUCCUAAUCGCUGUCAGAAUGCUGCUGACUUUCAAAUACACCUCUGCCACCUGCUAGCUACACCAAGAGAAAUUACGUCAAAAUUCAGCUUGGGGGAGAGCACCCCCAUUUAUCCCGAUAAGUAUUUCUUUCUAUCUAUCUUUAUACUUAUAUUAUUUUAGAAUAUAAAUAACUAUGAAAAAACCAAAUAAAGAUUUUAUGCUUAUAUAUAUGCCUUUUGCUUAGUGUGUUUAAUAAAUAAAUAAAGUGGCUAUGCUAAUCUGUAUCUAAAUAAAACUUAAGCAUGGAUAUGAUAAAUAGUUGCUCUGCCUAAUUUGCAAAUUUUAAGUUCUCUCUCAAGUUUAGAUAUAACUGUUAUAAUUUAAAUCUUGCUCUAGACCUAAACUUGUGGGAUGAAAACUUGAUUUGAAGUCUAAGUUGUUAACGGAUAUGAUAUGGGAAGGUUAAGCUGCUGUUUAUCUGUUCCUAGAGAUGCUAGAAUUCUGGAGAAUUUUAUCUUUGAAAAUCUUUAAAAUGUUGCAUGAUGAGUUCCUGUAUGAUGAGAGCUUAAAUUCCUACCACAGCCAUAUAUGCAUGCUUGCUAGACUUUGAGCCACACAUUUAUUAUUUACUGCUUAUGAGCAUUGAGUGUGGUCAAGCUGUGUAGACCCGUAGGAGCUUGUCAUGUGGUUAAAUCAAGAUUUCACUUGCACGUCCACUCAUAUAUGCUACUUCUACUCCGGAAGUACCAUCCACAUAUAUCCAUCCAUUUCCAUCUCCAGAAUCACCCAAAAAUAUUCUAUUCCUAAUCCGGGAGAGAAUAACCAAAAAUAUUUCUGUUUUUCCCUUGUCAAAUAAAUGCUCAAGUUAUCUUGUUACUACCACUUGCUAUAUUAUCUCAUGAGAUGAGUGCUCUAAAAAAAAGAGAUACGAGGAAAUAAAAAGGAGCAAGUGCUCGGAACCUCGAAAGAAAAAAAAAGUGAGACGAGAGGUAAAAAUGGACAAGUGUCCGACAGUAGAAUUAGGGGUGCAAGAUGCCCACCUGAGAGACAAGAAAAAGAAGAGCAUCUCAUUCUCCUCAUAAAGUUUCAAAAGCAAGGAAGGUAUGUAUCCCCUCAAAAGAGCAAAGUAGAAUUAGACUUCCACCACCAUUGUUUCCACCAUUGUUAUCACCAUUAUCACCAUACACCAUUCAUUUGCCACACAUGCACAUCUUGAUUUGGCUUAUUAAUUUGUUUCUUUGGAUCCAUGGUUUGACUAUGCAAUAAAUGUCUUGUAAGUAUGUAUACUUUAUCUCCCACCUAUGAACUCCAGAUAUUAAAGCCUUAUUAGAGUAGGGUGAGAGAAAAGGCAAUGUCACUAUGCCUCAUACCACAAAUACUACAUAUCUUGAGAGAAGGCAUAUACCACCAAUGCCUUGGUAAGGAUCCAAAAAUACCACAAAAGAGAGACCUGAGAGAAUCAUACAAGGAAUUUCUGAGUUUUAUUUGAAAAUCUGCAAAAACCCCAGAGCUAUAGCUGAUCAAGAAUAAGAGACAUGGCACUUGACUAGACUGUUCUAUCUUUUAACCACUCAAGACAGAAGUGACAGUUACAAGUCCCAUGGUGAAGGUAAAGUAAGUAAGUUUUAAGUCUUGACAGUUUACUCUCACUCAGAGAUGAGAUCUUAUUUAAAAAGCAUGUGUACCGUCAAAUUUUAAAGAUAUUGCAACUACUUCUGGUCCAUAGCUGAGUCUAUCCUUGCUCAGGGACGAGCAAGAGGUAAGCUUGGGGGACUUUGUUGACGGUCCUUAAGUAUCAAAUUUAAUUAUCAAAUAAAUAAAGAAAAGGAUCCAAAUGAAAUCAAGAUCUAGACUUAGGGUUUUAUCUGACAGAAUUCCACGAGUUUUGGUGUUUGUCUAUUUCUGUAGGGGGUUAUCAGGAAAUACGGAAGAAAGGCCCACAUGUAAGGAUUACGUAAAGAUAUUAACGUGCUGCGCAAUUAUCUUACAUCUAGAAGACUCCAGAAGCCACGAGACCGAAGCGGAGGCGAAACGGGGCCAGAGGCAGGGCGCCCGCCCCCUGUUGGAGUCCAAACAGGACUCUGCUUUGCGGGAAGUCUCCACCGACCUAAAGGAUGAAUCUAAACCAUACAAUCUAUGUCGGUUUGAUCCAAGGGCCCAUAUUCACUUGAAGGGACUAUAAAACCAGACCCCCUGGCCCCUGGAGGAGGGAGCCUCUCAACCCUAAUUCAUUGUUCCAUCAAGGGAGAAGAAGCCUCUGAUCAAGAUUAGAGCCACCACAUCAAUUAGACAUCUAGAUUAGCAUAGCUACAUAGGAUUAGAACUAGAAGGAGUCAAUCUUCGAUUGGUUUCCGGAUCUGUCAGGAGGAUUCUUGGUAAUUCUCUAAUUGUGCUUCUAAUUGCUUUCUAAUUAUCUUUGUUCUUCAAUAUUACGAAUAUGACUUUGUUCUACUUCAAUAUAUUGCUUAUGACUUUGCUCAACUUGCUUAUAUUCAAGAUUAUGUUGUUCUUAGUUUAUCAUAGUUAUGUACUUGGCUUAGUUAGAUACGAUCUAUAUACAUGCUUAGGAUCGUAUAGCGUUUAUCCAUCGGAUCCAUGGGUAAUGAUAGAUAUUGUGUAGGCGUGGUGCUUAUACCGUAUUUAUAUGUGAUUGUACCCAAUAUGCCAGAUCGUGGGGUGGUUCGUGAUAGUGACAGCUUCAUUGAUUCUUAUAUAGUCCCCCUCUCGUGUAUUGGGCUGGCCGAGCAACAUUAUUACAGGGGAGUGAUUGCUAUGUUUCUCAUAUUCCUUGCUAAUAUCACUAUGCAUGGGCGUAGUCUUGUCUCGCAAUGAUUGCUAAGUAUGCUUGCACUAACUAUGAUUUUGCUAGACUAUAUAGUUAAGAAUAACUUAGGGAAUAUUCUUGUAGUUCGUUCUAAUACCAUGCUAAUGACUUUCUAGAGUAUCUAAUUGAGGUGCUUAUCAUAUUUAUUAUGUGGCUAGAUCAGAUUAGUUAUCCUUGUCACUAUUAUUAUUUCAUAUAUCUUUUAUGUGACACUUAUCCCUGUAUGAAGAGUUAGAUAUAAUGUUCUCAAUUAUACAUGCAAUGAUAGAUGCUCAAUCUCAUAUUCUAUUCUGUAAUCAUUAGUGAUGAUUUCUAAUCCCUUCCCAGUGGUAAAAAUAUAAAUAACGAUACCUGGAAUACUUCCUGGUUAAAAUGCUGCAUCGGUAUUAAUCUGUGCGCUUGCAGAUCCCAUUCAUUAUUUAUUUAGAAGAGCAAUUGCAUAUUUCAAUACCGCGUCUCUCAUGUCAUGCUGGGGAUGACAACUUGGCUUAAGUGGUGUGAGGGAUAGGUUUGGCAUUUUUGGCACCGUUGCUAGAUUUAGAACUUAGUCUACUUUUAGUAAUGAUGUUAAGAAUACCCAACAUGCCCCACUGGGAGCUGUGGCUCCACUUCUACAGGGGUGAGCUCUUCAACGCCCCCACUAGGACUACAGGCGUGAGGAAACCCGUGCGGGCCGGGUGCCUUAAUCUGGUGCUGAAUACGGGGAAGACGGAGAGGCCACGUGAGUACACCCUGGUGGGGUUGUCAUCGAACCACGCUGGAUGGGACUCCCAGUGGUUCUACUUGAGGAACGACGAUGAUCUCCUUCCUGCCUACACCGGCCGCCUAAUCACGGAGCGCCCGGAGAACUGGACGUACGGCGUCGUCCAAGUCCACCAGUCGCGGCUCGACCCCCUCCUCGACGCCUUGAAGAAGUUACGCAUGGAGGGCCUGUCCGCCGCUCUCGUCCUCUCGGCCGUCCAUCAUCGGAGAGUUCUCCCACCGAUGUCUCGGCCGCUAAGGAUGGAUGAGAUGGGGCCCGGUGCUUCGUCCCAGGACCUCGAGGCGUGCCGAAUGUCCAACGAGGCUCCGGCAGACGAUGAAGUCGCGGCCCAGGUCAGGGCGGCCGUCGCCAGCGACUUCCAACCGGAACACGUUAAUGGCUUCCCCAUGAGGCCUGAUGCAGGCUCAAUCGACCUGGUAAGUUCAUUUCUUGUAUAUGGCUUCAAUUCUGGAUUUCCUUCGAUCCCCUUUUCAAGCCUGUCUUUGUUUACGAAAGGACCGCUCGAUGUCCGGUCCUCGAGGCCUCCAGUAAAGGAGGACGGGGUCGACCGUGACAAGCGGCACCAGUUCGCUGAGAAACAGAAGUCCGCCAAGGACAUAGAGAAGAAAGAGAAGAAGAAGAAGAAUCUCGACCGCCAAUCGUUAGAGGCGCGUCGAGCCAAGUCUAGGCGAAGGGGGGAGCCUCAAGAACAAUCCCCUAGCAAGAAUGAUGGCGGAGACAGCGAUGACGACAGCGACGACUCCGAGGGGAUGGCAUCUCGCCUCGACCGCAUCCUCGAGGGUCCGCCUCGAGGCGAUGUCGACGCCCCGCGGACGGGAGCGCCAAAGGAGGGGCCAGGCGGAUCUCACCGCCCCCGCGCUGACACCCCUCCCAUGCCUGCGCCAAGUCGGUCUGUUUUGCACCACCAACCUCCCCCUGAUCCAAAGGUGGGUGGCCGGGCUAAGCCCCAGGCGAUGGGGCCAUUGACCCGUGGCCGCGCCGCGGCCAUCGAAAAGGGAGACACUGGCCGCAGGAGCGCUAGCCCCGGCGCUCGCCAGGUGGGAGAUGCUAGACCGAGGCCUGCGCCUACCCGUGAGGGGCCUGGAGCCUCGACGUGGGGUUGUUCGAGGCCCACCGGUCGAGGUACCGGCAGGCGAGCCGUUCUCCCUGUGGGGUAAGUUAUUCGACGUCGUGAUUCUCAUCCUCCUGUUUCUUCGCGUUUUCUCGUAUAACGAUCUCUCUUAUGCCCAUUUCUCUUUCCUUAGGUUGAAGCGGACGCUUGAGCAGGCCCAGCCUUCAAUGGCGAAAAGGCUCUAGGUGGGAGCGGCCUCCAAGGAUUCGGGUUAGUAGCUUAUUCCCAUUGUUAUGGGAGUUAUGUCAUUCUGGUGACGACUGGCGGGUGAGUCUGCCCCGUCAUCGCCAAAACGGGCCAAGGCGCCUCAGCCCCAGGAGCAAGAGGGAGCCCCCGAGCCUCCUUGAUCGGGGGUUGAGGCGGAUCCGAUCACUAUAAGUGAUGGGUCUGGCGGCGAUGGGUCUUCGAGGGACACCCGCCCUACGGACGAGGAGGUUGAGGCCUCUCCCACCACGAGACGGACUCCUUAGCCCAUCGGGCUCCACUCUGUCAAAGAGCAGAGGAGGAAAGAGGAAAGAGAGCGUGAGCAGAAGACGCGACAUCAGCCGCAGGAGGAACAGCAGCUGCUGCCGAUGGGAGGAGAGGUGGGGCAGCCGUCGGCAGGUCCCUAGCUCGAGGAGCUGCUAGAGCAGGGCCGUCGCCAGGAGCCGCAGGAGGCCCAGGGGUAGCAGCAGCAGAGGGGCCAGCAGUCGGAGGGACCGCUCGAGCCUCCUCCCCACAGACCGCCCCAACCGGUACUACCGGCGCCGCAAGAGCCCGGGAACCAGGAGGAGGGUCUGCCAGUUUUCAGCCCUCCGACCCCGGCGUGGCUCCAUCUAGGGGCACCCGCCGCGAUCCCAGUAGAGUCGGGGCGGGCGGAUGGCGUGGUGGCGCUUGCCUGCAUGAUGCGCACAGCCGUCGACCCCGAAUCCGAGAUCAGGAGGACGAUCUACGGCAUGGACGGAAUCGCCCCGGGAUUCCUCCGGGAACGUCGGUCGUGGGAGGAACGUAUUCCCGCCGAGGAGGACGAGGGUGGAACGUCGGGCGGUGGUGGAGGCGGCGAAACUGGGACCUGGAAGACGGUGGACGACGAUGGGCGGUUCCCUUCCCUCGUCUACUUGUUCCUGCGCCACGGGGGGUCACUCGAGACUGUCGAGGAGCUCAUCCGCGGCGUCAAGGCGCGGGCUGACCAGGAGAUGGAGAAUUGGUGCCCCGACCGGAUCUGUAUCCGGGCUUCCACCGAUCCGUCUGAGCCCAAUAUCUUUCUGGACGAUCGGAAGGAGGCCGAGAAGUGGGAGCACGUCAAGGAGCUCCGCCUCUGGAUGAAGCACAUGGUGGGGCUCCUGUCGAACGUUGUUAACAACGGGCUCGGACCGGCCUACUUUGUAAGCAUUUCCAAGUCUUUUAAUUUUUAUGGAACGUUUGGUUUUGUGUUUUAACUGCUCGAUCACCGGUUCGCAGGACCUAAAAGAGACCUCCCGCAUUAAGUCAAGCUUCAUCCACGCCACGAGAGACGGCUAGGAGCAGCUCCCCAUCCUCAAGGACCAACUCCUGGAGUCGCAGGAGAAACUCCUCAAGGCUUAUAAAGAGCUCUUAGUGCUCGAGGAGCAGAAGAAGGAGAGGGAGGCUGCUCUAGUCGAGGCUCGAGAGGCCUCAAGGAAGGCGGUGGAAGAGGCUGCGCUACUGAGGGAGCGGGCCAAGACGGUCGAGGAAGCCGCGUCCAAAGCCCGGGAGGAGGCCCUGUCCUACAAGAACGUCGUUGCUGACCUGGACAAGGAGAAAGGCCUCCUCAAGACCGACCUGGACUCCAUCCGAGAAUCCUUUCAAAGGAUGAAGGUGGAGUGUGUGAACAGCGAGAUCGCUAGGAGCGCCGCGGAGGAGGCAAAGAAGAAGGCCCUCGAAGACCUCGAGGCAAAGCAGGCUCGAUCCCGUAGCCUUUCUGAUGACGUCGACCAUCUAAAGAGAGCGCUGCUGGAAAAAGAUGGGGCCAUCUCGCAAGCCGGCAAGGCGAUCGAAGACCUGCGUGUCGCCAACACCGAGCUAGCGCACUCCAACAGGGAGGUCGAGAGGGCCACUACUGUCGAGUUCCUUUUCUGAGGUGUGCUUGGUGUUAUCUAAUUUCUUCAUGUUGGUCCUUGCAGGACUCAAAGAUGAGCUGCUGGCCACCCAAGUCGAGGCCCGUUCCAUCAAGACUCAGCUCGAGGGGGAGGUCGCCUUGAACGGUCGUCUACAGACUGUGAUAGGCGACCUCUCGGUCUCCUAGGAGCUCAAGCUUGUUGACGAGUCGACGGAGGAGGCUCGAGGCGACGCACUCGUCGACCAGCUAUGCUACCUUGGAGCUACGCUGAGGGACCGGGUGCGGGACGCUCUUCCUGUCGGAGUGAAGCGGGCGAUGGCGGUAGUCUGCUCAGGCUUCUCCUACGACAUGGAGGUAGUGUCCCACGGCUUCGUCACCGACAUCUCCAAGACUGAUGCGGAGAACGAGGAGAGGCUCCAUGCCUUGAUCGAUGACGCAGAGGUUCCUGGGGAGAGGUUGGCUAAGUUGUUUGAGCCAGAAGUACUUCCUCCUGAGACUAGCUCAGUCGCGGGUGAGGAUGGUGGGGGCCGAGACGUUGACUGAGGCCUGUGAGCCUACGCUGGGUGCCUAGGCCCCUUGUACAGUACUUAGCCAAUUUGUUCUUAAGUAUUAUAAUGGCUUUAUGUGGUUGUUAGAUUUCUAUGAAUGUUUGUCCAUCUUUCUGCUCGAGGCUCCUUUGUUUCCUUUUGCACCUAUGUUUGCAUUCCUCGUUUGGUCUUUUGUUUAAGGCGAUCUCGAUUGCCUCAAGGGUGAGGAAGCGAGUAGAGUUUCCGUUGCCCGGGGGCGUAGGAGUUCUCAGGCUCAUCGUCCCUCGGCCCUUAAGGGCCUCGAGGUGCCUCUACUACUCGACCGUACGGGAUUACUGAUAGGAACGAAAGGAUUACUUGGGUUUUUUCGACAUUUGGGUGGGGGUCACCCCCUUGCUAGCCCCCGAGGGGGUAUCGACUAUGAUGGGUCAUAGUUGGUACUCCCUGCUAACGUCGAGAUUUCGACUCGUGAAAAAGUAAAUUGCUUUGAGGGAAAGAUCUUAUUCAUUCAUGCAUUCAUUCAUAAGGCCUUGGUACAGAAUGUACAUAGGAACAUAAAGCUUUGAAAUUCUAGGGGUAGAAUCGACGUAGCUGUUCGAUGUUCCACGCAUUGGUGAAGAUCGCCCCCUUUUCAUCUGCGAGCUUGUAUGUCCUCGGCUUCAAGACUUCGGCCACUACGUAUGGGCCCUCCCAAGGUGGAGUCAGCUUGUGGCGUCCUUGAUUGCUUUGCCGCCGUCGUAGGACGAGGUCGCCCACGUUCAAGUCCCUCUUGCGCACGUGCUUGUCGUGGUAGCAUCGAAGUUUCUACUGGUAUCUGGCAGAGUUGAGGAGGGCCAUGUCUCGAGCUUCCUCGAGUUGGUCGACCGCGUUCUCUUGAGUCUCUUUAUUUGAUUGCUCGUUGUAUGCUUUGAGUCAAGGGGAUCCAUACUCGAGGUCCGUAGGAAGCACAGCCUCAGAGCCAUAGACCAUGAAGAAUGGGGUGUAUUUUGUGGCCCUGCUCGGCGUCGUCCUUAAGCUCCAUAGGACCGAGGAAAGCUCCUCAACCCAUUUCUUGCCGAAUUUCUUCAAGCCAUUGUAAAUCCUUGGUUUGAACCCCUGCAAAAUCAUGUCAUUGGCACGGUCGACAUGGCCGUUAGUUCAAGGGUGGGCCACUGCAGACCAGUUCACACGGAUGUGAUGCUGAUCGCAGAAGUCCAAGAACUUUUUGCUGGUGAACUGAGUGACGUUGUCGAUGAUGAUGACGCUGGGAAUCCCAAACCGGUGGAUGAUGUCGGUGAAGUAGUGUGAUUAGUAUUUAACAAAUUGAGCAUGUCUUAAAGGUAGGGACAACCAACAUAGCAACAUGGCAAAGUAUGUUUUUAUGUAAAGUACUCCCCCAAGCUUGAAUUUUGCAGAAUUCAAGUUUGGAUGAAUUUAAUUCAAUGUUGUAUGAUGAUUGGUUGGACAUACCUUGUGCUUGUCAUUCAUCCGAUCUUCUUGCUCCAAUACUGGAAAGGUUAGUGACAAGAAUACCCGAAGGAAUAUUUUUACAAUUAUCCUUAUAUGCUCAAUACACAAGGUAAUGUUGCAAAUAAUUAAAAACUCAUGUUACGAUCUGAUCAGUGCUUAUUUUAGGACACCAAGCUUGUCCUUGGGAAACCAUCAAUUUAUGUCGGCGAAGUGGUUUCCCUUCCAACGCUGACCUAAAUCAAGAUCAACUCAACGAGAUCUGCAAUAUUUAUUAUAGACAUAUGCAUCAACAACCGCCCUUUUAAAGUUUUUAUAAAUAGAAAGGAAGAGGGGGUUGGAGAUCUCAAAUGUGGUGAUGUUGGAGAGACCAAUAGAUUGGUAAGAUGUUGCAUAUGAGAAUGGAGUAAACAAAGUGGCUAUGAAAUAAAUUCCAUGCUCAUUAAUGUUAUCUUCAUCUCCAAUCUGAAUGUUCAGAGUUUUUCUUGGAUUGGUCUCACUUAUGUCCUCUUCUAUAGUUGGAUGAAUCCCAUCUUCAAAGGGAGUCAAGAACUCACCAUUUGAAAUUGAACCAAAGUCAGAAUUCAUUAAGGCUUCUUCCUUAUCCAUCCAUUCUACACAUUCUAGCCAUUUAGAACUUGUGAUCAAGAAAGGGGAGGUGUUAGAAUUUUCAAUAUGGCUUAGCUCUCCUUCACUUGAUAUGUCAUCCUCGACUUCUUCAUAAAAGGAACCAGGACAUUCUCUAAGAGAACCAUUAUUGUGAGGAUUUGAAUUAUCCCUGCUUGAAGGUCUCUUAUGGAACCAGAAGUCUAAACCAUCAGCAUCUGAAAGAUUUAAGGUCGGAAUUCCUUCCUCCCUUGGAGAAUUUUGGGGUAUUGAUGGUUUAGGAUCGAUACCUAAAGGUUGGGAUUGAAGUGUUUGUGAUCUGGCUAUCGAAACUUUUUCUUCUUGUCUAGGAACUGGUUCUGUCUCUUUCUCAGGGAUAUAAAAGCUAGGAGACUUUCCACUUAAUAAAUCAAUCAAAUUUCAAGCUUCACUAGCAGGUAGGUGAUAGAAGGAUCCUCUAGAGGCUGUAUUCAAGGUUUGCUUAUCUUCCCUACUAAGGCCCUCAAAAAAGUGAAUUAGAAGAACUUCUUCUAGAAUAGAAAGCUUUGGGCCAGUGAGAGUAAGGUUAAUAAAGCGGUCUCAUGAUUUGCCAAGAGAUUCUUCUUCUAGUUAUCUAAAAGAAAUAAUCUCACGCCGAAGUUCCGCCACUUUAGAGAUUGGAAAAUAUUUUAAAAGAAAACUAUUAUGUAACUCCUUCCAAUCUCCAUGAACACUCCCUACUUUGAGUUUGUACCAAUGUCUAGCUUUUCCUGUUAAAGAGAACGGAAAGAGCUUCCAUUUGAGAGUCUCAUCGGACAUUCCUUCUAUGCGAAGGAGGUCACAGACUCGAUAAAACUCUCUUAGGUGUUGUUGACGUUCCUUAAUGCUCACAUAUAACCAUCAAUUAAUCAUGGAAAAGGAUCCAAAUGCAACCAACACCCAGACUUAGGGUUUUAUCUGACAGAAUUCCACGAGUUUUGGUGUUUGUCUAUUUCUGCAGGGGGUUAUCAGGAAAUACGGAAGAAAGGCCCACACGUCGGGUUUACAUAGAGAUAUUAACGUGCCGCGCAAUUUUCUACCAUCUAGAAGACUCCAGAAGCCACGGGAGCGAACGGGAGACGUAACGGAGCCGGGCACUGGGCGCCCACCCUCCCUUACUGGGUGCCCGCCCUCCCCCCUGGACCAAUCGGGGUGAAGCUCGGGGAUCAUGCUCCACCGACCUAAUACUUCAAGGAAAACCACACGAUCAAUGUCGGUUUGAUCCGAUGGCCCAGAUUCAUCUGAAAAGACUAUAUAAACAAGGCCCCCUGGCCCCUGGAGAGCAUACCUCUUCUACAGAAUCAAAGUUAGGGUUUCAAUUCUUCAUCCAAGUAGAGAGGAUCCCUCUAGUUCUUCUAGUUCUACCUCUAGUUCAUCUAGAUCUAGUUCUAGUUCAUCUAGUUCUAGUUCUAGUUCCACUAGUUCUGGUUCUAGUUAGUUCUAGUUGUAAUCUAGAAAAUAGGGAGAGAGAAGAGGAGAGCGGAGGAGGAGCCGGAUCUGUCGGAUCUUUCUCAACAUUGUACUUUUGCAGCAACUGGUUCGUCCUUCAUCGUUCUCCAAGUUCUUCAAUUCAUAUUUCCUGAGUUCUUUAAUUACUUUUAUUUACAUUCAAGUUAUUUAUUGGAUUCCCACUUGCAUCAAGUGCUCUAGUCUUUAUAACGCUAGAGUUGUAAUUAAUAGAUUAGACGUGGUGUUUAGUCUUGCGAUUACCUAGAAUUGCACCCAAUCCUACGGAUUGUUGUGGUAGCCCUAGGGUAGUGACAGCCCUAACGGUCGACGUAUUCCACCACGUUCGGUUCGGUGUUUGUAGGACCGUAGUCAGACCUUUCUAGCCCCCAUCUCAUCUCUUUCUGUGGUUAGUGCUCUGAUGUCCCGAUAUAGAUAAUCUUGAAGUAAUUCUUGAUUCUUAGAUCAACUAGAGAACUCUCAGGAAACUUCUUCUCUUCCCACCAAAAAUAAUUAUAUAGUUAUCCUUGGGCGAUCUUGGAUCUUAAUUAGUACACUCACGUUCUCUGUGGAAAAUCGAUACUCUGGAAUACUCCCGGGUGAAAGCUACAUCGGUAUCCGUGCGCUUGCGGAUUUUUCUGUUUGCGUUUAAAAUACCCAACAAGCUUUCUGGCGCCGUUGCCGGGGAACGGUAGCUGUGCUAGUUUCGAACCAAGUCGCCCGUAUAUCCUUUUUCUUUUCCUUUUUUACCACACUCACCUUAUCAUUUUCACCGUACCACAUGGAUUUCACUCUAAGCAUUAAUGAGCAUGGAAUUUAUUUCAUAGCCACUUCAUUUACUCCAUGCUCAUAUGCAACAUCUUCACAAUCCAUUGGUCUCUCCAACAUCACCACAUUCGAGAUCUCCAACCCCCUCUUCCUUUCUAUUCAUAAAAACUUAAAAAGGGCGGUUGUCGAUGCAUAUAUCUAUAAUAAAUUUUGCAGAUCUCGUUGAGUUGAUCUUGAUAUAGGUCAGCGUUGGAGGGGAAACCACUUCACUGACAUAAAUUGAUGGUUUCCCAAGGACAAGCUGAGUGUCCUAAAACAAGCACUGAUCAGAUUGUAACAUGAGCUUUUAAUUAUUUGCAACAUUAACUUGUGUAUUGAGCAUAUAAGGAUAAUUGUAAAAAAAUUCCUUCGGGUAUUCUUGUCACUAACCUUUAUAGGAUUGGAGCAUGAAGAUCGGAUGAAUGACAAGCACAAGGUAUGUACAAUCAAUCAUCAUACAACAUUGAAUUAAAUUCAUCCAAACUUGAAUUUUGCAAAAUUCAAGCUUGGGGGAGUACUUUAUAUAAAAACAUCAUUUGCCAUGUUGCUAUGUUGGUUGUCCCUACCUUUGAGACAUGCUCAAUUUGUUAAAUAGUAAUCACACUACUUCAUCUCCACUUGAGUAGAUCUCUAUAAAAGCCAUCACGCUACCUUUGUUUAUCCUAGUAAGUGUUAGUUUGGAAGUACUGUACAUACUUCUAUUGGUUUUUAAAUUAAGCAUGGUGCUUAGGUUAAACAGCCUUCCUUAAUCUAAUUAGACAUGGAGUCUAGUUUGGUUAUUAAACUAAAAACUGCUUGUGUAGACAUUGGUAUAUUUUGUUGGACUAACCCCUGCAGGAAAACUUUCAAUAUCGACCUGGGAAGUCCUAAGAUAAACUCACAUUGGAGACAAAGAGAGACACAUGAAGUUUGACAAUUUACACAAGGAAGGCAUUGCUCACAAGAGAUGAUCCAUGGAGGGUGCCACAAACACGAUGCACAACCACUAAGAAAGGAAAGCUUCCACAAGGUGAUACUGUACCAUCACUCUUCAAGUAAGGUAACAUCUUAAGGUACUUGACUAUCACUUUUAUAAACUUCUCCUUCGUUUUGGCGUUCACAUGAAUAAAAGAGACAAACAUGUAUGAUUUACAACUCUAGAUUAACUAACCCAAUCGAUUCAACAUGUUUAGUCCUUCCACCUUUGUGAUCCUACACUCCUAAUCAUAUAAGCUAAAAUGUUGCACACUCAAUCUUUGGAAGAUAUAAAAAACUACAUAAAUAUAGAUAGAUUAUCUUUCCAUUAGGUUGAGCGAUUCGAUCUGACAAAUGUUUUAAAUACUACACUCAUGAUCUUAUUAUCCAUCAACUUUGUCUUGCUCACUAUGCUUAAGGUUAGAGAAGAACAAAUACACUUUUGGUUCUGUUGGUGUUUUCCACCAACAGGGCCCAUGCACUUGAUCUCUGCCUUGUCUCUAUGAGUGGGUACACUUCGAGCAAAAUAUGAAGGAGUUUUACAACUCCCAGACUCCACCAAGUGAAGAACCUAGAUAUAUGAGCACAAACACGCUGGAGAUACUGGACACUCAUGCAAACACUGCCCUGAGAUGCUUGAGGAUGUAACUACUAGAGUAACCCCGUUGUGGAAGAAAUUACUGACCUUCUGCCGGUCAAGAGAGACAAUCUAGGACGCCCCGUCAUCCCAAUCUCCAUCGGCAUGGUGGACUUCCUAGAAGUACUCUGCGACUUUGGCUCCAGCAUCAACAUUAUACCUAGGGAAGCCAUUCCUGAACACCUUGGGAGUUGUCAUCUACGCUAGAGCUGCCAAGAUCAGUUUCUACAUCAAGGGGAAGAAUGAGACGUUUUCCUUCAAGAAACAAGACUACACAAAUCCCAGAGCAAUCCCGACAUGAACCAAGGAAGAGGACCAACAGCAGGAACAAGAACAAGCAAAUGUGUACCGAGUCAGCUAAGAUGGUCACUGCAGCUCAAGGAUGUCAAGAUCGUUAACUCAAGUCACCUUUCUUGAUCAAGAAGGACGACCCUGGUGUCCCAAGCAUCCAGUGCUCCAUUAAUAGAUACAACUUCCAAAAGACGCUUUGCGACACCAGGUCAAGCGUCAACAUAAUGGCCGCAGUCACCUAUCAGCUCCUAUUUGGAACCAUGCCCCUAAAAUCGACAUACAUUCAGCUCCAGAUGGCAGAUCAGACAUUCCGAAAGGUUGAAGACGAGUACGAUCCACCCAUCAUCCUUCGAAGACCGUUCCUUAGCACCGUUAAAGCAAUCAUCUAUAUUGGAACCAGAGAAGUCCACAUGCACUUCCCCUCUGACAAGGUAUGUUGCUAUUUUACUGACCUUAACUAUAUAGUUGAAGACUCUAAGCAGGUCAGGAUAAGAAGAAGACGACGCAACCGCAACCAGAGUAGGCAAAUUAUCAAGGACGAAUGGGCGGAUUAUGAAGGAGAAGUGGUAAGGUCUGAAGACAUACAACUUGAACAGAACUGUCCUGAGGAGACCGUAGCACCGUGUCAGGUGUGGAGAGAGAAGAUAGUUAUACAUGAAGACCAGGCGCUGCCGGAACCACCGACUACGCUAUCCAGCGAAUCCCAGGACCACUGAGAAAACGGAGGGUCCCGUUUGGAGGACUUAAAAACACCGAACGCCUUGCCAAGAGGUAAACUUGGUAAUUAUCCAUUCUCUUUCAAUUAUUUAAAAUAGUUUGCUUAGUUAAUCAGGUUCAUAUCAUCUUAAAAAGAAAAUAAAAAUAUUAAAAAUAGUAAGCCCCAUGUGAGUAUGCUCAUGGCAUAAAACCCAUAAGUACAUUCACUGUGGUGGCAUAAAAAUAAAAUAAAUAUAUUCCUGUCCUAUAAAAAUAAAAUUAUAAAAAUAAAAUUAUGAUCCUACUAAUGAGUAACAUUUAUUGAGGAGGCUCAACAUGAUAAAGGCUAGAUAUUUAUGCUAACACUUAACUAGUUCCACAAAGCUUUGUUGUCUAUUUGAGCUCCACAGAAUUCAAGGAUCAAAGAAGACUAGCAGACGAAGGACAUCCUAAUCGCUGUCAGAGUGCUGCCGACAUUCAAAUACACCUCCGCCACCUGCUAGCUACAUCAGAAGAAAUUAUCCAGCUUGGGGGAGAGCACCCCCAUUUAUCCAGCUAAGUGUUCUACUCACGUUUAUACUUUACUCAAAUAAUAAAAAGAUGCAUAAUCAUAAAAACCCAAAUAAAGAUUUUAUGCUUAUAUAUAUCUUUGCUUAGUUUGCUAAAUAAAAAAACAAAUAAUAAAUCAAGAUAAGUAUUAUUUUUCUUUCUUACUAGUAUUCGGAAAUAAAAAAAGGCAUAACCAUGAAACCAAACAUAGUUUUUGUUUUGAGUAAUAUAUAAUAGUUUUAUGUAAUACUAAGUUUUAAAUAAAAUAAAAAGAAAGUUUGAUUCAACUCUAGGUAAUUGACAAACAUGAUAUGAGAAGGUCUGAGCUACUAUUUAACUUGUUCCAAGUUUUGCUAGAGUUCUGGAGAUUUUAUCUUUUGAAAAUCUAAAAAUUCAUAAAAAAUAUAUAUAUAUGAGAUCAUAAUACCUAGAGUCUUAUAAGAAAUAAAUAUUAAAACUGUGGGUACUUUCUUUGUUCAAGCCAUUGUUAAUUCUUGUAGUUUUGGUUGAGAGAAUUAUCAUGCUCCCAAGAUCAAGAUCUUUUUGUUUUAAAAAUAUAAAAGAUUCACUCUUCCGAAGUAUUAUUGCGUUAGAGGCAUGGGACUAUGCAAAAAUUUGAUUCGAAAAAAAAAGAGUGAGAUGAGAGGUAAAAAUGGACAAGUGUCCAAAGUAGAAUUAGGGGUACAAAGAUACCCACCUGAGUGGAAAAAAUGGACAUGUGUCCGACAGUAGAAUUAGGGGUACUUGGUGCCCACUUGAAAAAAAGAGACUAAAAAAAAGAGAAAAAAAAGGAAAAAAAUGAUAGCCCAUGGUCCCUCUAAUAAGCAAUAUGCCAGUAAGAGAUGACAAACUCUUCAAAAAGGUCAAAGGUCUUGAUCUAGGAGUAUGACAUUCCUCUCCCUUGCUCCGAGCAUUGACAUAGCAAAAUGCAAAGUAAGUAUGCUAAAAUAUUUAAAGCUCUACUUAUAUAUCUUUGGAGAAGAAGGCAAAUGCCUCAGAUUUAUUUUGGAAACUUACAAACAACUCCAGAACAAAGGUAAGAUAGAAGAACUUGAGACAUAGUGCUUGACUUGAUCAUUCUCUAAGAGAACCAUUAUUGCGGGGAUUUGAAUUAUCCCUACUUGAAGGUCUCUUAUGGAACCAGAAGUCUAGACCAUCAGCAUCUGAAAGAUUUAAGGUCGGAAUUCCUUCCUCCCUUGGAGAAUUUUGGGGUAUUGAUGGUUUAGGAUCGAUACCUAAAGGUUGGGAUUGAAGUGUUUGUGAUCUGGCUAUCGAAACUUUUUCUUCUUGUCUAGGAACUGGUUCUGUCUCUUUCUCAGGGAUAUAAAAGCUAGGAGACUUUCCACUUAAUAAAUCAAUCAAAUUUCAAGCUUCACUAGUAGGUAGGUGAUAGAAGGAUCCUCUAGAGGCUGUAUUCAAGGUUUGCUUAUCUUCCCUACUAAGGCCCUCAAAAAAGUGAAUUAGAAGAUCUUCUUCUGGAAUAGAAAGCUUUGGGCCAGUGAGAGUAAGGUUAAUAAAGCGGUCUCAUGAUUCGCCAAGAGAUUCUUCUUCUAGUUGUCUAAAAGAAAUAAUCUCACGCCGAAGUUCCGCCACUUUAGAGAUUGGAAAAUAUUUUAAAAGAAAACUAUUAUGUAACUCCUUCCAAUCUCCAUGAACACUUCCUACUUUGAGUUUGUACCAAUGUCUAGCUUUUCCUGUUAAAGAGAACGGAAAGAGCUUCCAUUUGAGUCUCAUCGGACAUUCCUUCUAUGCGAAGGAGGUCACAGACUCGAUAAAACUCUCUUAGGUGUUGUUGACGUUCCUUAAUGCUCACAUUUAACCAUCAAUUAAUCAUGGAAAAGGAUCCAAAUGCAACCAACACCCAGACUUAGGGUUUUAUCUGACAGAAUUCCACGAGUUUUGGUGUUUGUCUAUUUCUGCAGGGGGUUAUCAGGAAAUACCUAAGAAAGGCCCACACGUCGGGUUUACAUAGAGAUAUUAACAUGCCGCGCAAUUUUCUACCAUCUAGAAGACUCCAGAAGCCACGGGAGCGAACGGGAGACGUAACGGAGCCGGGCACUGGACGCCCGCCCUCCCUUACUGGGCGCCCGCCCUCCCCCCUGGACCAAUCAGGGUGAAGCUCGGGGAUCAUGCUCCACCGACCUAAUACUUCAAGGAAAACCACACGAUCAAUGUCGGUUUGAUCCGAUGGCCCAGAUUCAUCUGAAAAGACUAUAUAAGCAAGGCCCCCUGACCCCUGGAGAGCAUACCUCUUCUACAGAAUCAAAGUUCGGGUUUCAAUUCUUCAUCCAAGUAGAGAGGAUCCCUCUAGUUCUUCUAGUUCUACCUCUAGUUCAUCUAGAUCUAGUUCUAGUUCAUCUAGUUCUAGUUCUAGUUCCUCUAGUUCUAGUUCUAGUUAGUUCUAGUUGUAAUCUAGAAAAUAGGGAGAGAGAAGAGGAGAGCGGAGGAGGAGCCGGAUCUGUCGGAUCUUCCUCAACAUUGUACUUUUGCAGCAACUGGUUCGUCCUUCAUCGUUCUCCAGGUUCUUCAAUUCAUAAUUCUUGAGUUCUUUAAUUACUUUUAUUUACAUUCAAGUUAUUUAUUGGAUUCCCGCUUGCAUCAAGUGCUCUAGUCUUUAUAACGCUAGAGUAGUAAUUAAUAGAUUGGACAUGGUGUUUAGUCUUGCGAUUACCUAGAAUUGGACCCAAUCCUACGGAUUAAUGUGGUAGCCCUAGGGUAGUGACAGCCCUAACGGUCGACGUAUUCCACCACGUUCGGAUCGGUGUUUGUAGGACCAUAGUCAGACCUUCCUAGCCCCCUUCUCAUCUCUUUUUGUGGUUAGUGCUCUGAUGUCCCGAUAUAGAUAGUCUUGAAGUAAUUCUUGAUUCUUUGAUCAACUAGAGAACUCUCAGGAAACUUCCUCUCUUUCCACCAAAAAUAAUUAUAUAGUUAUCCUUGGGCGAUCUUGGAUCUUAAUUAGUACACUCACGUUCUCUGUUGAAAAUUGAUACUCUGGAAUACUCCCGGGUGAAAGCUACAUCGGUAUCCGUGCGCUUGCGGAUUUUUCUGUUUGCGUUUAAAAUACCCAACAGGUGUGUGUAUGGGUUUUCCUCACCUUCUCCUGAGAAAGGUUGUUUUUGAACAAAUUCUAUGUAUUCGGGGUCUAUCUCAAAACUAGAUGCAAUGAUAGGCUUUGAAGAUUUUGGUGGUUCAAGAUGUGUGCCUGUAGGUCUAUGAAAUUCAUAGAUAGACAUGUUUGAAUUCAUGAUAGACCAGAGAUCAAGGAUUAGAUAAGAAGAAAGAUUAGCAGAGAUGAGGCAAAGGAUAAAAGGAAUAUAUAUAUAUAAUUUUUUUUUAUUUUUUAGAAAAUGAUUAAGCUAGUUCGUAGUCAACUCAGCAACCAUUUCCCCGGCAACGGCGCCAAAAAUGCUUGUUGACACUUGCUAACACCACUUGAAUACUAGGUUGUCAUCCCCAGCAUGGCACUAGAGUGUACUAUGGUAUUUAUACACACACAGAUAAUCUGCAAGCGCACGGAUACCGUUGAAGCUUUUACCCGGUUAAAGGUUUUAUCGUAUCCACAGGGAAACGAGAGAACCAACUAUGCUCUAACUUAACCAAGAUAGAUAGAUAGGUGUAAAUAGGAAAGAUGGUAGAAUUGAAUAAGAACAAUAUUAAAGGUAAGAUAACAGUGAGUGAUAAAAUGGGAAUAUAGAAUAGAGCAAUUCUAGUAUAUGGGCGAUGGUAGCAGAAUAGAGAGGAUAACUAUGGUUUCUCUACUUCAAAGGGGUAUGUCUAUGUCUGGGACAAACCACGUGAUAAGAGUACACCACAAAGGAUGCUUAUCCUUAAGCCGAUAAACCCUACCCGUCCUGCUAACAAGAGGUGGACUACAUGGGACCAACGUAACUGUCACCUACGCGGCCUACCACACGAUCCAGCUAGACAGGGGAUAUCCACAAGUAAUCUAGGUCUAAGCACCUCGCUUACACCUAUACUACAACUCUCACCUAUAGCGUCCUAUAGAUUAGAAGUACUCAAAAGAGUUGUGAACCAGAACAUACAUAAUUAGUAAUUGCAUAAUGAAUUAGAAGUAGAUUACCAGAGUCAUCCCAUGAGCAAGCUUUAUUAGAGCUUGAUCAUGAUGAAGUACAACCAGAGGAAGAACCGACGGGCCGGCCUCUCCUCUAAUCCUCCUUCGCUCUCCAUCUCGCUACUAUCUAGAUCUACUCUAGUUUAGAGAAGAGAGGAGAGCUCUCAUCUCUAAACCCUAGCUUUUGCUCUAUCUAUGAAUAAUGAAUAAUGAUCAAGGGGUGCCUCCUCCAGGGGCCAGAGGGUCUGGUUAUAUAGUCCCCUCAAGUGAACCUGGGCCGUCGGAUCAAACUGACAUUGAUUGAACGGUUAUUCUUGAUCCUUUAGGUCGGUGGAAAAUAAUCCGCGAGGUUGAACAUGAUUGGCCACUGUAGCUGGGCGAGCAACCUAAGGACUUGGGCAGGCGCCCAGGUCCUGGCUCCGUUCGGCCACCGCUUCCUUCCCAUGGCUUCUGGAGUCUUCUAGAUGUAAAAUAAUUGCGCGGCACGUUGAUAUCUCUAUGUAAUCCUGACGUGUGGGCCUUUCUUCCGUAUUUCCUAAUAACCCCCUGUAGAAAUAGACAAACACCAAAACUCAUAGAAUUCUGUCAGAAAAAACCCUAAGUUUAGAUGUUGGUUGUAUUUGGAUCCUUUUCUUUAUUUAUUUGAUAAUUAAAUUUGAUACUUAAGGACCGUUGACAAUGGCGCGCGGACCUACUCGAGGCCUCCGUACCAGCGUGGUCUCGAGCCGUCCGGUCCUGAUGGCUUGAUGAUGAUUACGCGUGCCCCUGUAUCGUGCUCUAUGCGCCGUCGUGGACUAGUUUAUCUGCUGCACGCCUGUACGUCAUGGCGGCAGAUGCGUCGGAGUGGUUGCAGUGCUGUCUUUCGACGCCCGACCCUUCCUAGGAAGGAAACAUGUCUGGUCGAGAGUCGGACGCCGUGUAGCGCCUUGCUAGCUAGAGCGUUGACCUUGGAUGUCUCGAGGGGGCUUGAUUGGACGUUCCGACCAUGCUUCCUGCAUCCUGACAUGCUCUGGGUCGUUUGGUGGGGAAGGCUGCAAAAAGAAUGACGGGACGGGUGCCUGUUCCCUAUCACGCUUCCCGUGACUGGCGUGUUACGUGAGAACGCGACAGGCGCAUUAAAUGCCCUGGUUCCCAUGCGCGCGUCAGGCGGCGGGCGGCGUCCUUGCGUUCGACGCCUUCCGGUUCGCUCGAGCCUGUUUCCGUAUUCGACGGUCGUUGGUGCUCGAGCCCUGAUCGAUUCGCUCGACGCUCUUUCUGUCUUCGAUGCUGCGGUCGUCGAUGACUGUACGUGUGACUGGUUAGAGCGUCGAGUUGGGGGCCUCAACCUGCGUACGGGCAAUCUCGUUAUGUACAUCAGUUAGGAUACCCCUUAUUGAUACCCUCGACAGAAGUAUUGAUAGAGGCAAGUGAACAUGCAAUAGAUGAUGAUGGGAUGAAGGACCUAAAGACAAAAUUGGACCACCUAAUGUGGAAAAUGAAUGUGGGCUUUGUUUGUGUUGCAGUUGUUCUACUUAGUGUUGUAGUCAAGUACCUAAUCUAAUGAGGUUCGGUAAUGUUUAUGGAUCAACACAGCUUGUAUGUGUUCUAAAGGGAUCUUUUAUUUGUUUAAUUUUCACAGUGUGGUUCAAAAAACACUUGAUUUCGACAUAUAGUAUGUGAAUUCUAUACAUGUUCACACCCAAACAAAAUCAUAUAAGUAAUCAAAUAAAAAAGUCAUUAUCUCAGGAUUCUACCCCACAAACAAUUGGUGCAACAACUCCAUCGUCAAUGUACGUGUCAUCUUCCUCAUCUUCAUCGUCAUCUAAUAAGGCCACAUGGUCUGGUUCAUCAGCUGCUUUGGCCUGCACCUGAGCAAUAACAGAGACAUCCCCGAUUGUGCCUUGCUUGUCCUAUCUAGUCCAACUUGUUGUCAAAUCCUCUUGUCCACCAAGUAAAUCACUAAUGCCUUGGAAACCCACAUCAAUUGAGUCCUCCCGUUCUAAUUCAGGAAUGGCAAACAAGUCCCUUGGUUUCAUCGCAAUAACACUUCUCCAACCAGGUUUGUUUACCACAUCCACGUAGAACACUAGUUCUGCCUGUGUCACAAGAAUAUAGGGUUCAUUCUCAUACCUGUUCCGAGUACUAUCGAUAUCAAUAACCCCAAACUUAUCCUUAUUGUAUCCUCUGCCUCUGCUUGUACUGGCAGCAGGCACAUCAUACCAGUCACACUCGAACAAAAUGACUUCUUUUUGUCUAGGGAAUUCUAGUGAUAUCUUUCUUUUAAUCACCCCAUACCAGCACAUGUUACCAGUACUAGCAGGGUCUCCCUUGACAAGCACACCACUGUUUUGUGUGACGAGGUUUUUCUCAAUGUCAACUGUGCAAAACAGCCAAUUAUUGAUAUGGCAUCUAUGCAGUAAACGAGCUCAGUUGUCCUUCCACUCAGCAAGUGCAAACAUCUCGGCACUUACGUUCCGUUUGGCAUAUUGCUCUCUCACCUUGCCCUCGAACCGUCUUGCAAAUUGUUCCUCGUGUCGCUUUUUAAGAUUUCUUGUACCACCACGCAUCUGCAGUUCUUCCAUAUGCACACUACACAUAGAAAAGUUAUAUUAAUAAUGUUGGUUUGAAAUAUAAUAUUUAAAAAUAAUGUUGUUUAAUUAAUAUGUAACUUACUCGAUGAAUGGUUUAGUGUCAUCAUAAUUAGAAAUUAUGUAGUGCUUAAUCUUCCGCAUCUCAUCUCUGUCAAGGAGCUUGAUAGUCUGUCCUCUCCAGUUGUAAUCCAUUGCAGCAAAUAAGCUCUAACCAGAAGGUGGCUCAUUCACGGCAACACUUCCAUGACGAUCAGCACGAUUCAGUUUUGUGUCCAUGUCCAAGAAUCUAUAGCAAAAUGUAAGGCACUCCUCGAGUAUGUAUCCCUCGGCUAUUGACCCUUCAGGAUGCGCCUUGUUCCUCACGUAUCCUUUUGUAGUAUGUAGGUACCGCUCCACUGGGUACCUCCAUCUAUAACAAACGGGCCCUCCAAGUUUAGUCUCUUCAGCUAGAUGAAUAGGCAAAUGCAUCAUGAUAUCCAAAAAUGAAGGUGGGAAUAACAUCUCUAGUCGGCAUAGAGUGUCAACAAUUGUACUACUAAGUUUGUCCAAGUCUGCUUCCCCCAUCUCCUUGGAACAUAGUGCAUCGAAGAAAUUACUAAGCUGGAUCAAUGCAACGACAACUUGUUGUGGCAAAAUCCUCUGCACCACUAAGGGUAACAGUUUCUAUAGAAUUAGAUGGUAAUCAUGAGAUUUCAAGCCAGACAGCUUAGAUGCGUUUAGGUCAACACAUCUUACUAUAUUGGAGGAGACCCCAUCAGGCAUUUUCAGUCCAUAUAGAAAUUUGCAUAAAUUAUCCUUCUCAUCAUUAUCUAACUUGUACAAGGCUGCUAGCAAGGUAUACUUAUCUUUAUUGAUCACAGGAUGUUGAUCUGGUCUCAUCCCUAGUUGUUGCAUGUCAAGCCAGGCCUUCUCCCCAUCCUUACACUUACCUUCCAAUUCUAGCAGAGUGCCUAAUAUGGUCUCACAUAUAUUUUUCUCAAUGUGCAUGACGUCUAAAUUAUGCCUGAUGAGCAAAGAAGACCAGUAUGGGAGCUUGUUGACGGUCGUUAAGUACCAAAUAUAAUCAUUAAAUAAAUAAAGAAAAGGAUCCAAAUGCAACAACCACCCAGACUUAGGGUUUUAUCUGAUAGAAUUCCACGAGUUUUGGUGUUUGUCUAUUUCUGCAGGGGGUUAUCAGGAAAUAUGGAGGAAAGGCCCACAUGUCGGGUUUACAUAGAGAUAUUAACGUGCCGCGCAAUUUUCUAUCAUCUAGAAGACUCUAGAAGCCACGGGAAUGAACGGGAGGCUGAGCGGGCCCGGGCACAGGGCGCCCGCCCUCCCCCUUUGGGCGCCCGCCCAGGUGUCUCGGCCAAUCAAGCCCCGCCUCAUGAAUUAUGCUCCACCAACCUAAAGGAUCAAGGAAAACCGUGUGAUUAAGGUCGGUUUGAUCCGACGGCCCACGUUCACUUGAGGGGACCAUAUAAGCACGACCCCUGGCCCCUGGAGGAGAGCAAUCCCAUCAUUCAUUAGCAUAUUUUCUAGAGAGGAUUUAGAGAGAGAGGUCCCUCUAGGGUUCCAACCUCAUAGGGCUUAGCAUCCAAUGUGAGAUUAGAAUUAGUUCUUAUAGAUUGAGAGAGAUAGAGUGGAGAUGUAGAUCGGAGGAAGCCGGCCUGUCGGUGUCUACUCUAAGGUUGUACCUGCGGGAUCAAGUCUCCUAACCCGAGGCUUGCUCCUAGGAUUCUUCAGUAUUUUGACUUCUAAAUUAUAGUAAGUUCUUUGUUCUUAUUGUUCUCUGGUUUAUGAGUUUACUUUAAUCUCUUCCGGUAGAGUUUAGAGUAAUCAUUGCUAGCAUAAACAUGGUGUUUGGGCUAGGGUACUCAUAGAUAUCCCCUAUCUAGCCAGACCGUGGAAGUAGCGGGGAACGUGACAUUUCCGUAGCUACCUUUGUGGCCCACAAUCCUGUUAGCAGGAUCGGUAAGGUUUAUAGGUGCGGGUCGAACAUCCUUUGUGGUGUCUAGAUUCCAUAAGCCUCCCUAAUAGAAUAGUAGAUUAUCAUUACCAAGGUUAGAACGAGAGUGUGGUUGUAGCCUUCUCUAUACAUCGCUCACAUCAAAUCACAUUGUUUGUAGCCUAAAGGGUAGUAGCAAUAGAUUUGGUUAGUCACAUGCACGCUUUCUCCCAUUAGUAAAAAUAUAAAUACGACUCUGGAUAACCUCCCGGGUGAAAUGCUCACCAAUAUCCAUGAGCUUGCAGAUCAUUUCCUUAUGGCAUUAACAAAUAUCAACAGAGCUCAAAAAAAUACUCUUCUUCAUCCAGUUGUGCCAUCUUUCAUCAUCAUCGUGCUUCCUUUUUUUGUAGACGUCUUUCCAAAACUCACUUGUUCAAAACUUUCAUACUGCUCAAGUACCUGUGCACCAGUUAGUGGUACUGGUGCCUCCCUGGUUUCGACCAUGUUGUUGAAGCUGACCAUGUUCUGGUGCUAAAUAUGGUCCAAGGGUAAGAAACGUCGACUGGCCAUGUAGCAGUGCUUUCUCCCAUUCUUCAACCACAAAAAAUCAGUAUCUUUGUGGCAAUAUGGGCUUGCAAACUUUCCUUUGGUGCUCCAACCAGACAACAUGGCAUAUGCUAGGAAGUCAUUAAUUGUCCAAAGUAAAAUAGCACAUAAUCUAAAGUUUUUAUUGGUUUGUGCAUCCCAUGUUCUAACACCCUUUUCCCAAAGCACCUUGGGCUCCAAUAUAAGAGGCCUCAAAUAUACAUCAAUAUCCAUUCCAGCAGAAUUUGGACCAGGGAUCAACAUUGACAUCAUCCAGUUUGAUUGUUUCUGACACAACCAAGGAGGCAAAUUGUAAGGUAUUAGGACAACAGGCCAUAUGGAUUAGGUUGUACUUUGCAUCCCAAAGGGGUUGAAGGCAUCAGAAGCAAGACCCAGCCUAACAUUACGAGCUUCUUUUUCAAACCACCUAUAUUUCUUAUCCACGUGCUUCCAUGCCUUCGAGUCAGCAGGGUGACGCAUUUUCCAAUCAUUGACCCUCUCUUUCUUAUGCCAUUGCAUGUCCUCCGAUGUGCUCUUCGACAUAUACAUUCUUUGCAGCCGAGGAAUAAGAGGGAAGUAGCGUAGGAUCUUCACGGGAAACCGUUUCUUAAAAGUAGUACCAUCGGAGGUGUUCUCGACAACUUUCCACCUAGACUCCCCACAUGUGGGGCAUUCCUACAGAUUUUCAUUUUCCUUAAAAAAUAACAAACAAUCAUUCUUGCAGGCGUGUAUCUUGACAUAGUCCAAGCCUAGAUCUCAAACCACUUUUUGAACUUUAUCCAAUGAGUUAGGGAUACAAUGGCCUUUAGGGAGAACCCUUGAGAACAAUUUAAGUAUGGCCUCCAAACAUGCGUUACUAAUACCAUACAUGUACUUUAUCUGAAAAAGUUGCACGAUAAAAGAAACCUUAGAUUGGACGGUUAUCCUUGAUCCUCCAGGGGCCAGGGGGUCUGGUUUUAUAGUCCCUUCAAGUGAAUACGGUCCGUUGGAUCAAACCGACAUAGAUUGAAUGGUUAUCCUUGAUCCUUUAGGUCGGUGGAGAUCUUUCCCGAAAGAGUGUCCUGAUUGGACUCCAACAGGGGGCAGGCGCCCAGGGCAACAGGGCAGGCGCUCAGUGCCUGGCCCCAUUCGGCCUCCGCUCCCUUCCUGUGGCUUCUGGAGUCUUCUAGAUGUAAGAUAAUUGCACGGCACGUUAAUAUCUCUAUGUAAUCUCGACGUGUGGGCCUUUCUUCCGUAUUUCCUAAUAACCCCCUGCAGAAAUAGACAAACACAAAAACUCGUGGAAUUCUGUUAGAUAAAACCCUAAGUCUAGAUGUUGAUUUCAUUUGGAUCCUUUUCUUUGUUUAUUUGAUAAUUAAAUUUGAUACUUAAGGACCGUCAACAAACUCCCCCAAGCUUACCUCUUGCUCGUCCCUGAGCAAGGAUAGGCUUAGCUAUGGAUCAUAAGUUGUUGCAAUAUCUUUAAAAAUUAACGGUACAUAUGCUUUUAAAUAAGAUCUCAUCUCUGAGUUAGAGUAAACUGUCAAGACUUAAAACUUACUUACUUUACCUUUCAGCAUGGGACUUGUAAUCAUCACUUCUGUCUUGAGUGGUUAAAAGAUAGAACAGUCUAGUCAAGUGCCAUGUCUCUUAUUCUUGAUCAGCUAUAGCUCUGGAGUUUUUGCAGAUUUUUAAAUAAAACUCAGAGAUUCCUUGUAUGACUCUAUCAGAUCUCUCAUUUGUGGUAUUUCUGGAUCCUUACCAAGGCAGUGAUUGUAUAUGCCUUCUCUCAAUAUAUAUGGUAUUUGUGGUAUAAGGCAUAGUGACAUUGCCUUCUCUCUCACCCUACUCUAAUAAGGCUUUAAUAUCUGGAGCUCAUAGGUGGGAGAUAAAGUAUACAUACUUACAAGAUAUUUAUUGUAUAGUCAAACCAUAGAUCCAAAGAAAAAAAUCAAUAAGUCAAAUCAAGAUGUGCAUGUGUGGUAAAUGAAUGGUAUAUGGUGAUGAUGGUGAUAACAAUGGUGAAAGUCUAAUUCUACUUUGCUCUUCGAGGGGAUACAUACCUUCCUUGCUUUCUGAAAGUUUUGAAGAGAAUGAGAUGCUCUAUAUUUUCUUUUUCUUUCCUCUCAGGUGAGUAUCUUGUACCCCUAAUUCUACUGUCAGACACUUGUCCAUUUUUACCUCUCGUCUCACUCUUUUUCUUUUCUUUCGAGGUUCUGGGCACUUGCCCCUUUUUAUUUCCUCGUAUUCUUUUUUCUUUCUUCUGUUUUUUUCUUUUUUAGAGCACUCAUCUCUUGAGAUAAUAUAGCAAGUGGUAGUAACAAGAUAACUUGAGCAUUUAUUUCACAAGGGAAAAACAGAAAUGUUUUUGGCUAUUCUCUCCUGGAUUAGGAGUAGAAUAUUUUUGGGUGGUUCUGGAGAUGGAAAUGAGUGGAUAUAUGUGGAUGAUACUUCCAGAGUAGAAGUAGCAUAUGUGAGUGAACGUGCAAGUGAAUCUUGAUUUAACCAUAUGACAAGCUCUUAAGGGUCUACACAGCUUGACCACACUCAAUGCUCAUAAGCAGUAAAUAGUAAAUGUGUGGCUCAAAGUCUAGCAAUCAUGUAUAUAUGGCUGUGGUAGGAAUUUAAACUCUCAUCAUAUAGAAACUCAUUAUGCAAUAUUUUAAAGAUUUUCAAAGAUAAAAUUCUCCAGAAUUCUAGCAUCUCUAGGAACAGAUAAACAGCAGCUCAACCUUCACAUAUCAUAUUCGUUAACAACUUAGACUUCAGAUCAAGUUUACUUCCCACAAGUUUAGGUUUAGGGAAAGCUUUAAAUUAUAACAGUUAUGUCUAAACUUGAGAGAAAACUUAAAAUUCGUAAAUUAGGCAGAGCAACUAUUCAUCAUAUUCAUGCUAGAGUUUUAUUUAGAUAUAGAUUAGCAUAGCCACUUUAUUUAUUUAUUAAACACACUAAGCAAAAGAUAUAUAUAUAUAAGCACAAGAUCUUUAUUUGUUUUUCCAUAAUUAUGUAUAUCUAUAUUUUAAUAUAGUAUAAGUAUAAAGAUAGAUAGAAAUACUUAGCGGGUUGAAUGGGGGUGCUCUCCACCAAGCUAAAUUUUGACGUAAUUUUUUUCUUGAUGUAGCUAGCAGGUGGCAGAGGUGUAUUUGAAAGUCGGCAGCACCCUGACAGCGAUUAGAAUGUCCUCCGUCUGCUAGUCUUCUUUGAUCCUUAAAUUUUGUGGAGCUCAAAUAGACAACAAAGCUUGUGGAACUGAUUAAGUGUUAGCAUAAAUAUCUAGCCUUUAUCAUGUUGAGACUCCUUAGUAAAUAUUACUCCUAUUUUUAUAUUUUCAUUUUUAUAGAGCAGAAAAAUAUUUAUUUUAUUUUUACGCCACCACAGUGAAUGUACUUAUGGGUUUUAUGCCACUAGUCUACUCACAUGGGGCUUACUGUUUUUCAACAUUUUUAUUUUCUUUUUAGGAUAGUAUAAAUAUAACUAAUUAAGUAAACUAUUUUAAAUAAUUGAACGGAAAAAGAUAACUACCAAGUUUACCUCUUGGCAAGGCGUUCGGUGUUUUUAAGUCCUCCGAACGGGACUCUUCUCUUUCUCAAUUGUCCUAGGAUUCGUUGGGUGGCGGAGUCGGUACUUCCGGCAAUGCCUCUUCUUUAUGUAUAGUUAUCUUCUCUUUCCAUACCUAACUCGGUGCUACGGAAUAGUCUGGAUCAUUUUGUUUAAACUAUACGUCUUCUGACCUUACAACUUCUCCUUCAUAGUCUGCCCAUCCAUCCUUGAUGAUUUGCCUCCUCUGGUUGCAGUUGCGUCGUUUUCUUACCUGCAUAGAUUCUUCAAAGAUGUAGUUAGGGUCAGUAAAAUAACGGCGUACCUUCUCUGAGGGGAAGUGCAUAUGGACUUCUCCAGUUCCAAUGUAGAUUUUUGCUUUAACGGUGCUGAGAAACGGUCUUCCAAGGAUGAUGGGUGUCGACGAAAGCUGGUCAGCAGUCUACCUUGGGGUAUACCCACGGUAGUAGUUUAUCGGUAGACGGUGCGCAAACUACGAACUCGAUGGUGACGCAAGACACAGGCGAGCUUUUUAUCCAGGUUCGGCCGCCGAGUUGGCGUAAUACCUACGUCCUGCGUCUGAUUGCAUUGGUUUGGAUUGAGAGAAUAAUGUGUGUAUGACUUGUCCUCUAGGGGAUCCCUGCCCCUCUUUAUAUAUCCUGAAGGGACAGAGUUACAAGCAAAGUAUCCUAUUUGGUACAAAAUCUUGUAGCCUUGCGGUGCACGCCGACCAGUCGUGCGCCGCACGUCUUCAUCUUGUGGGCCGAGCCACCUCUGAUGGUGCGGCCCAUAUAGGCCCAUGAGGGUAUAAGGGUUUAUACCCCCACAGCUAGUCCCCGAGCACCAUGUAUUAUGAUGUAACACGCUGUCUUGAGCUUCUUCGAUCAGUGAGGCUUGACGUCUUCAAUAAGCAGGAAUGUCGCCCAAACGGUUGCAACGGUAUUUUGACCAACUCAAAAGACAGUUGAUCAACAUUGACCUCAAAGAAGCAGGUUGUUCGAAGAAUGCAUGGUGCUCCAAAUUAAAAAAGAUUUCUUUCCUGGUGAAGUGUGCCCACUUUACUUUUUCUGAAAAGUAUAGACCUCAAAAAAGCAAGCAUAUUCACCGCAAGGUGAAGUGUGCCCACUUAGUCCCCGAGCCUGGUAGUAGGUGACGUAGGCACAUGAUGCCAGGGUCAAAAGAAAAGUCCUCAAAGAAAUUCUGAAACUGAGAUGCAUCGCCAGAUGCAUCGUACCGAUGUAGUCCCCGAGCUUGCUGGAAGACGAAGUAUGAGCCUUGUAGCAAGGUCUAAAAAAUUGAAUUUACCAGUCCGUCUGCAAUUGAAUAGACUAAUCGACCAGUCCCCGAGCAUAUAACGCUCGGUGGUCGGUACAGUCCCUGAAUUCUCAAAUUGGUGGGCUGGUCGACCAGUCCUCGAGCGUAUAGUGCUCGGUGGUCGGUACAGUCCCAAAAUUCUCAAAUUGGUGGGCUGGUCGACCAGUCCCCGAGCGUAUAGUGCUUGGUGGUCGGUACAGUCCCAAAACUCUCAAAUUGGUGAGCUGGUCGAACAGUCCCCGAGCGUAUAGUGCUCGGUGGUCGGCACAGUCUUCGAGCACAGCAUAGAGAGUAGUCGACAAGUCCCCGAGCGUGGUUGGGAACGUAAACGUGCUCGGUGGUCGGAGCAGUCCCCGGGCAUAGCAUAGGGAAUAGUCGACGAGUCUCCAAGCGUAGCUUGUCGACUGGGCCAAACUCCUGAAAAAUAAAUAUAAAGAAUUGGUAGUACAUGAUGUAUAAAUAACCUUUAGAUAAAAAAUCAGUACUAAGAUAAGUUUUAGAUUUGUUCUUAUAAAAUUAGCACGAGUAGUUAAUUCAUCCUAGAGCUUUAACCAGCUCUGGUCUAGCCAACAAUCAGCAUGAGGUGCGGAACCUAGGCACGCGUAGGAUUGUCAGCCACGUCAGAGAGCUACUGCCGACCACCCGGAACGCAGAGGGCGGAUCUCGUGCACGUGUAGGGAGGCGUCGGAGACAGUACCGGCUCUGGAAAGCUCGUGUAGGAGAAAAAACUAGUCGGCUAAAAAAGUUGUUUUGAAGAAUAAUAAUCUUAAAAAUAUUAUGCCAAAAAUAAAUAAAAUAUUAGAAUUGUACUUAUCUUUGGACGAAAGUCUGGUUGGGAGAGUUGCUUGACUUGUUGUCGUGAUGGUGGUCGCGGCUGUCGUAGCGCCAUUCUUCACGGCGAUUAUUAUUGCGACUCGUGGUGAGAGCAAGUAGGCCAAACAACUUGGUCGAUAGCCUGAGCAGGUCGGUGUCGUUGAUCUGCCUCCCUUUGUAGCAAAGAAGCGGGUGACGCGUUGUCGGCGUGGUCGGAGACGUUGCUGGAGUAGUUGGAGUCGUAGCCAGCGUGGUUGAAGCCGCCGCCGACGUCGAUGAAGAAGUGGUUGGUGCAGAUCGGAUCCACACCUCCUCUGUGGUCGUGGCGGUGUAGCUGUUGAAGCUGACGGUGAACGUGAAGUCGCCUGCCAUGGCCACGAAGUCAGGGAUGAUGACCAUCUCGUUCGUCGGGAGAGCUGUACGCGUACCCCCUACCUGGCGCGCCACUGUCGACGAAAGCUGGUCGGCAGUAUACCUUGGGGUAUACCCACGGUAGUAGUUUAUCGGUAGACGGUGCGCAAACUACGAACUCGAUGGUGACGCAAGACACAGGCGAGCUUUUUAUCCAGGUUCGGGCGCCGAGUUGGCGUAAUACCUACGUCCUGCGUCUGAUUGUAUUGGUUUGGAUUGAGAGAAUAAUGUGUGUAUGACUUGUCCUCUAGGAGACCCCUGCCCCUCCUUAUAUAUCCUGAAGGGACAGAGUUACAAGCAAAGUAUCCUAUUUGGUACAAAAUCUUGUAGCCUUGCGGUGCACGCCGACCAGCCGUGCGCCGCACGUCUUCAUCUUGUGGGCCAAGCCACCUCUGAUGGUGCGGCCCAUAUAGGCCCAUGAGGGUAUAAGGGUUUAUACCCCCACAAUGGGUGGAUCGUAUUCAUCUUCUCCCUUGUCAAUAACCUGAAAGUCUGUGUAGACAAAAUGAUCGUCUAUUUUGACUCGGACAUUAGUUACUAUUCCUUUAACCUCUCGAAAUGUCUGAUCUGCCAUCUGGAGCUGAAUGUAUGUUGGUUUUAGGGGCAUGGUUCCGAACAAGAGCCGAUAGGUGACUGCGGCCAUUAUGUUGACGCCCGAUCCGUUGUCGCAAAACGUCUUGUAGAAGCUGUAUCCAUUUAUGGAGCAGUAGAUGCUUGGCAUUCCUGGGUCGUCCUUCUUGGUCAAAAACGGCAACUUAAGUUGUUGAUCUUGACCUCCAUGAACUGCAGUGACCAUCUUAACUGACUCGGUCCACACUUGCUUGUUCCUGUUCCUCCUGUUGGUCCUCUUCCUUGAUUCAUGUCUGGAGUUAUCUGGAAUUUGUGUAGUCUUGUUCUUGAAGGAAAAUGUCUCCUUUCUCCCUUUGAUGUAGAAACUGAUCUUGGCAGCACUGGCGUAGAUGACAGCUCCCGAGGUGUUCAAGAAUGGCCUCCCUAAGAUGAUGGGUGCUCUCUCAUCAUUACCGGUCUCUAUCACCACGAAGUCUGCUGGGGCAUACAAGGUACCAACUCGGACACAAAGGUUGUUCAGUAUUCCUUUUGGAAAACUUAUCGUCUGAUCUGCAAACUGCAAACACAUGCCGAUGGAGAUCGGAUGACGGGGCGUCCUGGAUCGCCUCUCUUGACCGGCAGAAGGUCAGUAGAGAAUUCAGUGACUGGGUUACUCCAAUUACCUGCAUCAAACAUGUCUACAAGAUUUGCAGAUUCUAAUCCUUUCGGUUGUGAUGGUAUAUCGGGGUUAGUAAUAGGAACAGCAGCAGCUAUUUGAUUUAACUGAGAUUCAAUCAUUUUAUUAAAGCUAAUUUGAUUCUUCAUGGCAGUAGAGAAAUUAUCCAUUCUAUUAUUUAUAUUUUCUAGCAUUUUAUCAUUAGAUGCCAAUUUCUUAGAUAGGUUAUCCACUAGCUUUCCUUGAUUAGACAAUAACUCUCUCAAAGGUGGAAAAUUAUUAGUAUUGUUAUAGGAAUUAUUACCUUGAUAAUUACCUGAGUAGUUAGGCCUUUGUUGAUUCCAACCUUGAUUUUGUUGAGGACGGUUGUAGUAGUUGUUGUUGUUAUUGUUGAUGUAGUUCACAUCCUCAAGUAUGUCAGGACAGUGAUUGCCUGAGUGUCCAGUGUCUCCACACUCCUCACAAGUCAUGUGAGAGUCGUAGAUGUGCAUAACUUCUUUCUUAUCUCCAGCUCUAUCAUCGAGCUUCUUCAUGAGCAGGUCUAGCUUUGCAGACAACAUGUCUACCUCCUUGAGCUGAUGCAUACCUCCACCUCUCUUGCGUGUCUGGGUUCUCUCUUCAUUCCAACUUUGGUUGGAUGCCAUCUUCUCCAUAAGAGCUAUGGCUUGUGAUAUGGUAAGUGAUAAGAAUGCUCCUCUAGCUGCAGCAUCCAUGGUCUCUCGGGCACUGUUGCCGAGCCCAUGAUAAAACGUCUGCAUCAAUAGCCAACUCUCCAUUCCAUGAUGAGGACAUUCUAGGAUAUAGUCUUGAAAGCGCUCCCAUACUUCUCGAACAGAUUCAUCAUUUUGUUGCUGAAAACUUGUAAUCUUCCCACGGAGAGCAUUGGUCUUGCCCAUGGGAAAGAACUUAGCUAGGAAGUUUGUUGAGCAGAGUGCCCACGUAGUAUUCUCCUCCUUUGUAGCGUAGAACCACUGCUUCGCUCUUCCUAACAGUGAGAAUGGGAAGAGGCGAAGUAGUAUAGCAUCUCUGGGGACUCCUGAUAUGGUGAAUGUGCUGCAUAUCUCCAGGAAGUGUUGGAGAUGAGCACUAGCAUCUUCGUGUGCAUUCCCACAGAACUGGUUGGAUUGCACCAUGUUGAUAAGUCCAGGCUUGAGCUCAAAGUUGACGUCGAUCUCUGCAGCAGGUCCAGUGCGGAUGUUGUCUGUAGUGGGAGCUCAGAACUCGCGGAUUGAUUUGUUCGCCAUGGCUUCGAACUCUGAAGACAAGUUCUGGUGAUCUUCUUGAUUGGAUGAAGCUUCUUGCUAAAGUGUUGAUGAUCUCUUCUUGAGCUUGGCUCUUGUUUUUCUGAAUAAUGCUUCGGGAUUGUCAACAAAAUUUCCUAGAAGAUGUCUUCUAUUCAUACAUUACCCUGCAUAAGAUAAAAUAGAAAAAUAUCAGGGUAAAACUGUAUGAGAGAAUAGAUAAGCUCAAUAAUAUUAGUGAUGCGAAUGAUAACUCAAAAUCUAUAUCCAUUCUUGAUUAGUAAUCAACCUUCCCCGGCAACGGCGCCAAAAAUGCUUGUUGGGUAUUCUUAACAUCAUUACCAAAAGUAGACAGUUUUGUAAUUCUAGUAACGGUGCCAAAAAUGCCAAACCUAUCCCUCAUACCACUUAAGCCAAGUUGUCAUCCCUAGCAUGACAUGAGAGACACGGUAUUGAAAUAUGCAAUUGCUCUUCUAAAUAAAUAAUGAAUGGGAUCUGCAAGCGCACAGAUUAAUACCGAUGUAGCAUUUUAACCGGGAAGUAUUUCAGGUAUCAUUAUUUAUAUUUUUACCACUAGGAAGGGAUUAACAAUCAUCAAUAUUGAUUACAGAAUAGAAUAUGAGAUUGAGUAUCUAUCAUUGCAUGUAUAAUUGAGAACAUUUAUAUAAUUCUUUCAUACAGGGAUAAGUGUCACAUAAAAGAUAUAUGAAGUAAUGAAUAGUGACAAAGAUAAUUAAUUUGAUCAGCAUAACUUAGCCACAUAUAAAUAUGAUAAGCACCUCAAUUAGAUACUCUAGAAAGUCAUUAGCAUGGAAUUAGAACCAACUACAAGAAUAUUUCCUAAGUUAGUCUCAACUAUAUAGUCUAGCAUUAUCAUAGUUAGUGCAAGCAUACUUAGCAAUCAUUGCAAGACAAGACUACGCCCAUGCAUAGUGAUAUUAGCAAGGUAAAUGAGAAACAUAGCAAUCACUCCCCUAUUAUAAUGUUGCUCUGCCAACCCAAUACACGAGAGGGGGACUAUAUAACAAUCAAUAAAGCUGUCACUAUCACGAACUACCCCACGAUUUGGCAUAUUGGGUACAAUCGUAGAUAAAUACGGUAUAAGCACCACGCCUACACAAUAUCUGUCAUUUACCCAUGGAUCCGAUGGAUAAACGCUAUACGAUCCUAAGCAUGUAUAUUGAUCCAAUCUAACUAAGCUAAGUACAUAACUAUGAUAAACCAAGAACAAUGUAAUCUUGAAUAUAAGCAAGUAGAGCAAAGUCAUAAGCAAUAUAUUGAAAUAGAACAAAGUCAUAUUCAUAAUAUUGAAGAACAAAGAUGAUUAGAAGAACAAUUAGAAGCAUAAUUAGAGAAUUACCAAGAAUCCUCCUGACAGAUCCGGAAACCAAUCGAAGAUUGACUCCUUCUAGUUCUAAUCCUAUGUAGCUAUGCUAAUCUAGAUGUCUAAUUGAUGUGGUGGCUCUAAUCUUGAUCAGAGGCUUCUUCUCCCUUGAGGAAUAACGAAUUAGGGUUUAGAGGCUCUCUCCUCUAGGGGCCAGGGGGUCUGGUUUUAUAGUCCCUUCAAGUGAAUAUGGGUCGUUGGAUCAAACCGACAUAGAUUGAACGGUUAUCCUUGAUCCUUUAUGUCGGUGGAGAUCUUUCCCGAAAGGGUAUCCUGAUUGGACUACUACAGGUGGCGGGCGCCCAGGGCAAUUGGGCGGGCGCCCAGUGCCUGGCCCCGUUCGGCCUCUGCUUCCUUCUCGUGGCUUCUGGAGUCUUCUAGAUGUAAGAUAAUUGCGCGGCACGUUAAUAUCUCUAUGUAAUCCCGACGUGUGGGCCUUUCUUCCGUAUUUCCUGAUAACCCCCUACAGAAAUAGACAAACACCAAAACUCGUGGAAUUCUGUCAGAUAAAACCCUAAGUCUAGAUGUUGAUUUCAUUUUGAUCCUUUUCUUUGUUUAUUUGAUAAUUAAAUUUGGUACUUAAGGACCGUCAACACCUACAGACUACUCUACAGACCUACUGCUCGGGCUGAUCACCCGCAUGGCUCGCUUCUCCCGCCGAAGGCGUCAGGGCCACCGGCGCCUGGCUGGUUGAGACUGCAGGCGUCGACCGCCCAUAUCCGGCAAUCGAUGCCCCCGACAAGUCCCUGGCCGACCUGUCUGAUCCCGGCUGAUCGGGGGGAGUUGAUGUCCCGCAGAGAUUUAUAUCGCUGAUCAUUGUCGACGAUAGGUCCAGCAGAUUGACGCGAAGGUCAUCCGCCUCCCUUGGACCAACUCAUUUGGAUAUCCCCGCUCAAGCCGGAACAAAUCAACCAGGGGUAGUGGGCGCGUACCAUGCUGAGGACGUGCGCUCAGGCAAACUCACCAGCAUCCUUAACAAAUUCCUGAAGCCAGCCCCACGCGUGCGGCGCCUUUUCGACUAGGGUUAGCUUCAGCGCGCGGGGCUGGUCCUCGGGGAGCUCGGGACUAAUCAGGUCAAGUACCGGAGCUACUCCUUUCCAGAUCAUGAUGCAGUUGGUCUUCCAGGAGUCCCGUUCCUUGACCAGCUCGUCCAGGUGCUUCUUAGUGUUGACUUUGAGCACUACGAUUGAGUUUUCAAGAAAAACCAAGCAAACAGUCAGUUUAAACAAGAGGAAAAGAAAACCGCGUGGUCGAAAAGGGCGAAACGGUUCUUACCAGCCAGCUCCCGACUCUUGUUCCUCAGCUCCUCGCCAGCCUUCCGCUUGGUAUCCAGCGCACCGGCACGCUCCUUCUCGUGAUCAUUAUCGGCUAGUCGCCGAUUCAGAUCCAGCAGGCGUUCUUCCUGAGCUGCCUUCUCAGCCGCCUCCUUCUCGGCCUCCAACUGAAGGCGGUCCACCUCAUCGGUCAGGGCCUUGUUCUCGGCAACUAUACCCUCAAUUUGGUCGAAGCACCUCUUCCGGUACUUCGCCAUUUUCAUUGCACCCUACAAGAAAUAUACAUGUCAUACAGUGAACAAGCAACAGUACACACAUAUUCUGGCAGAAUACUAGACCACUUACCUUAACUUCGUCAACGAGCCGCUUAGCAGCGCGCUCUACCCUCGCCGCCUCCUCAGUCUCGGCGAGCUCUUCGUGGCCGGCCCUGUGGUCCCCACCCUGGCGCCACACAUAAACGUGUUGGCGACCAUCGCAGGGACGCCCCUGGAUCUCCUCCACUUCAUCAUUAGAGGCCGCUUCGGCCUCGAUGCCCUCCCCGCUACCCCCGGCCAUGGUAACAGGUAUCAUCGGACCAUUACCCCGGUUAUGGGAGCCCUCUGGCGUGCAAGCAUCUGCCGGGACUGGAGUUGGGGCCCUCUCUGCUUCAGUAGGAGGGGGGGUCGGGACCUUGUCUCCCUCCUCCGCAACACUGCUUGGGGGAGGCAUCCUUUCCGUCUCAUCAGCCCUUGUCGGGGUCCUCGCCCCAGCCUUGUCUCAAGCCGGGUCCUCCUCGGUGGUCUCCGUCACGGACACAGCCGCAGGCUGCUCCACGGGCCGCUCACAAGCAGUCUGCCCGGCGGCAUCCUUGUCAGCAACGGCCGGCUCGGUUGUUCUCAAGCCGCCAAUGUUGCUCGGAUCAACGUCCGAGGCCGCACUAACAAGAAAGAGCCGAUGCAAAUUCCCAUAACAACAGUAUACUUUGUAAAAACAAAGAAAGUGCAGAAGACAUGUUUUAGAACUCAAAGGUCGGAGCUCCUGUGCGUCGCCGCGAAGAACCUUCUCCUGGUCCUCCCAGCUGCCGCUGCUGCUUCUGCCCCUCCAAGUCGUAUUGGCUCGGUGUGCAGGCUAGGAGGAUCACUGGUUACCUGACCAGCGUCAAUCGGUGCGACGUCAGGGCGGCUGGGCGGUCUUCGGACCAAAGAUGGCGCAGCCUCGUCCUCUUCAUCCUCGUCAUCGGCGAUCCUGAUGAGCCAACGACACUUCGGGGCUUGGCUGGUCUCCGUCGGCAUUGCCUCCGUGGGGGAUGGCUCCACAGCCAUUGGCCUUUUCCCCGCCACCCUGUCUUCAGUAGUUGGUGCCGGUCGGUUCUGGUCUUCCUCGCUGCUGGUGUGUUGGAGACACCGAGUAGCAUUGUCCGCCGGCGGGUCCACCCCUGCAGGAUGAUCCAUACCGGGUGCCAGCGACACGUACAACGAGCACCGGUCAAUAUCUCCUAUCUGCGAUACAACAGCGACAAGUCAUCAGUCAAAAGUCAUCAGUCAACAGGCAACAGUAUUCACAUAGCAAUACAAAUAAAUAAUGGUAUUCAUUUACCUUAGGAGCUGGUUGGCCCAGCUUGUAGGCAGGCAUCCGGUCAUCACUUCGAACGAAGUUAUCAUCAAUAAGGUUGAAUAACUCGUUCAUCAACCGCUGGACCUCUGCCUUCUCCAAACCGUCCCAGUGCAUCCUGGUCGGGUCUUGGCUUCCUGCGUACUCGUACGCCGAGUGCACCCUCCUCUGGCAGGGCAUUACUCGUCGCACGAGGAAGUUCCCGACCACUCCUAGUCCGUCCAGGCGGGACCAGUCGAUCAGGGUCAUCAUCUCCGACACUUGACCGGUGUACUCAGGCCGAUCUGUCCAGCUGACCAUCUUCUCGGGAAUAUAUCCAACGUUGCAAAAAGUGGCGCUGCCCGGUUCUUCCCUAAUGUAGAAGAACCUCUUGUACCAUUCGAUGAGGGAGGUGUUCGACGGGCAACUGAGGUAACAGUUUUUCAUCCCGUCACGAAGAUUGAGGUAUACUCCAACUGCAAUCUUGGAGCCUCCAACUGCUACCUUCUUCCCCAAGCAGAAUAAAUAACGGAAGAUAUCAAAGUGCGGCUCUAUCCCGACAUAGGCCUCGCACAAAUGUAUAAAAGUGGAAACGAGAAGAAUAGAGUUCGGGUGCAGGUUGCAGAUCCCGAUCUCAUAGUAAAGAAGAAGGCCUUGAAGGAAAGGGUGAACUGGAAUCCCAAAUCCCCUCUUGAAAAAAUCUUUGAAAACUACGAUCUCACCGGCGUGAGGUCGGGGUAGCUUUCCCCUUCCAGUGCUCUCCAGCCACCGAGCUCCUGAUUGUGCAGGAGCCCCAUCCCGACGAGGUCGUUGAGGGAUUUUGUGUUGCUUUGGGACUUCUUCCAUUCCUUGGCCAUCAUCUCGGCCCUCUUCUUGGCGUCGCUCUUCGCCAUUUCCUUCCUGUGGAAAGCUUCGAGCUCAGAUUUGGGGUUUGAAGGGGCUGAGGAAGAUGAAGGCUGGGCAAUAGUAUGUGACUGCUGGGUAAAGAACAAGGGUGCGACCUUGGGCUUUUUAUAACAACAGCCCCACCUCUACCACUUCCCGCAUUCUGGGGAAGUGGGCGGAUCUUGCGGCAGCUGCGGCGUUUCGGUUUUCAAUAGUUAUCACAGUUAUUUUGGUGGCUUUUCUGCAUAAUUGAUGAUUUCCUUUUCUUGGACCGUGCAAAGAGCGGCUACAUAGUUACCAGGCGCAUCUUUUUACGCAACAGCCUGACAAAGUUGCAGGAUACCCCGUCACAUCGCACAUUAAUACGACGAUACGAUUUUUUCAAAAAGAGAAGUAGGACUUUUGGUCAGACAGACAUGAUAUACUUGGUGCCUGUACUGACCACCGAGCAUGACAUGCUCGGGGACUGGUCGAUCGAUCUGCCCAUUCGACAUCUCGGUGACUGUACCGACCACCGAGCAUGACAUGCUCGAGGACUGGUCGAUCGAUCGGCCCAUUCCACUUCUCGGGGACUGUACCGACCACCGAGCAUGACAUGCUCGGGGACUGGUCGAUCGAUCUGCCCAUUCGACAUCUCGGGGACUGUACCGACCACUGAGCAUGACAUGCUCGUGGACUAGUCGGCCAGUCUGCCCAUUCGAUACACUCGGGGACUGUACCGACCACCAAGCAUAAUAUGCUCGGGGACUGGUCGACCAAUCUGUACUCUCGACAACCUGUUGAUUGCACCGACCACCGAGCACGCGAUACUCGGGGGCUGGCUGAUUAGUCUCAUCUUUUGAAAGUCUGGGGAUUGUGCCCAAUCUCGAGCAUGACGCACUUAGGGAUUGGUUAAUCGGUUCUCUCAGACACAAAAAAAAGUGCAACACGAUCUUGGCAUUAAAAAAGCAAAUGCAUAACGGCUGCUCAGAUAAUCCUAAUUUUUUAGACCUUUUUACAAGGCUCAUACUUCGCCUUCCAACAAGCUCGGGACUACAUCGGUACGAUGCAUCUGGUGAUGCAUUUCAGUAUCAGGUUUUCUAUGUGGUUUAUCUUUAGACCCUGGAACCACGUGCCUACGUCACCUAGUACUAGGCUGAGGGACUAAGUGGGCACACUUCACCUUGUGGUGAAUAUGCUCGCUUUUUAAAAGAUUAUACUUUUCAGAAAAGUAAAGUGGGCACACUUCAUCAGGAAAUAAAUCUUUUUUGAUUAAGAGCACCAUGCAUUCUUUGAACAACCUGCUUCUUCGAUGUUAAUGUUGAUCAACUGUCUUUUGAGUUGGUUAAAAUACUAUUGCAACUGUUCGGACGACUUUUCUGCUUAUCGAAGACGUCAAGCCUCACUUGUCGAAGAAGCUCAAGACGGCGUGCUACAUCACAAUACACGGUGCUCGGGGACUAGCUGUGGGGGUAUAAACCCCUAUACCCUUACGGCUAGACUUGGGCCAGGAGGCUUGGCCCAUCACAAGAUAGUUCGAGGCUUGAUCCAAUUGCUCGGAGUUUUGCGCAAGGAAACAAGACGUGGAGAUCAAGUAGGAUUCUAGUCGGUUGGAAUAGGAAUUUAUAUUGUACUAUCUAUGGCAAUUGUAACCGACUAGGAUUAGUUUUCGAAUCUGUAACCCUGCCCUCUGGACUAUAUAAAGAGAGGCAAGGGACCCCCCUAGGACAUAUCAUCUCAACUCAACACAACCCAAUACAAUCAGACGUAGGACAUAGGUAUUACGCCCACACGGCGGUCGAACCUGGAUAAAAACCUUGUCCGUGUCUUGCGUCACCGUCGAGUUCAUAGCUUGCGCACCAUCUACCGAUAAACUACUACCAUGGGUAUACCCCAAGGUAGACUGCCGACUAGCUUUCAUCGACAGAAACCUAGAGCCACUAUAGUUCUUCCACAUAAUUAAAUGAUAGACAUCAAUGAGAUCCAAAUACUGAAAUUAAAGAACCAAAUCGUCACUUGCAUAUAUGAUGAAUAGUAGAAGAACCUACCAUGGGUUCCUCGAGGGAGGGAUGUUGUGCCGCCGCCGGGCCCUGACUCACGUUGUGGUCGUGCAUUCUAGGUGCAGGAGGGAGAUCGGGACGCCUCGGCGCCGCUACCGCCACCGCCGUAUUGACAUUGCAUCGUCGUAUCCCUAGCGUCGUUUGGCUCGGCUUGCGCACGAACCUACCCCUACUUAUCGCGCGGCUGCUGGUUGGAGUGGUGCUUUGAUGGCGGCGAGGCUAGUGCAGCAGGGGAGCGGGAAGGUGCAGCAGGGGAGUGGGGAGGCUAGUGGUUGCUGUGGGUUUUGCAAGCGCUGGCCAUUUCGCCAAUGGAGAGGUUGCGCUCUUUGCGGGCGAGACGAGAGCGAAACGAGGAGGAAGUCGAUGGGAUAGUUUGGGGUCAGUGGACAUGAAUACCUGUUUUCAUGGUAGUAUUUACGUGUGGGCUCGACCAUCAAUAGUCCCUGGUGUUAUUUGAAAGUUGUGCUACACAUCCCUUAUAUGUCUAUGUACAUGUACCUCAUUGCACGCCUAGAACAUGUGGGAGAGAUGAGGCCCUCUACGAGCACGUGCAUGACCACUUUCUGAGAAUUGACUCAAACUUUUUUCUCAACACUAUACAGCUAAAUUAUGUGACCAUGCAAGUUUUAGAUUUUUCUAAGCACCUCAGGCAUUUUUCCAUUUUUUCAUUAGAAAAUCAACAAAUAAUUACAAAAAUAGGUAAAAAUAGUCCAAAAAUUGCCUAGGUGCACACAACAUCAUCCCUCACCUACACAAACAUCCUAAAAAAGUUUCAAGUGGUUUGGUGAAAGUUGUGCUACACAUCCCUUAUAUGCCUAUGUACCUCAUUGCAGAGUGACUAGGACAUGUGGGAGGGAUGAGGGCCUCUGCGAGCACGUGCAUGACCACUUUCUCAGAAUUGACUGAAACUUUUUUCUGAACACUACACAGAUAAAUUAUAUGACCAUGCAAGUUUUUAGAUUUUUCUAGGUACCUCAGACAUUUUUUCCAUUUUUUUCUUUAGAAAAUCAACAGAUAAUUUCAUAAAUAGGUAAUCUUUGUCCAAAAAUUGCCUAGGUGCACACAACAUCAUCCCUCACCUACAUAAACAUCCUCAAAAAGUUUCAAGUGGUUUGGUGAAAGUUGUGCUACACAUCGCUUAUAUGCCUACGUACCACAUUGCAUAGUGACUAGGACAUGUGGGAGAGAUGAGGUCCGCUGCGAGCACGUCCAUGACCACUUUCUCAGAAUUGACUGAAACUUUUUCCUCAACACUACACAGCUAAAUUACGUGACCAUGCAAGUUUUUCGAUUUUUCUAGGCAACUCAGGCAUUUUUUUCAUUUUUUCUUUAGAAAAUCAACAAAUAAUUAUAGAAAUAGGUAAAAUUUGUCCAAAAAUUGCCUAGGUGAACACAACAUCAUCCCUCACCUACAUAAACAUCUUAAAAAAGUUUCAAGUGGUUUGGUGAAAGUUGUGCUACACAUCCCUUAUAUACUUAUGUACCUCAUUGCAUAGUGACUAGGACAUGUGGGAAUGAUGAGGGCCUCUGCGAUCACGUGCAUGACCACUCUCUCAGAAUUGACUGAAACUUUUUCUUCAAAACUACACAGCUAAUUUAUGUGUCCAUGCAAGUUAUUAGAUUUUUCUAGGCACCUGAGGCAUUUUUUCCAUUUUUUCUUUAGAAAAUCAAAAAAUAAUUAUAGAAAUAGGUCCAAAAAUUGCCUAGGUGCACACAACAUCAUCCCUCACUUACAUAAACAUCCUAAAAAAGUUUCAAGCGGUUUGGUGAAAGUCUUGCUACACAUCCCUUAUAUGCCUACGUACCUCAUUGCAUAGUGACUCGGACAUGUGGGAGAGAUGAGGGCCUCUGCAAGCACGUGCAUGACCACUCUCUCAGAAUUGACUGAAACUUUUUCCUCAACGCUACAGAGAUAAAUUAUGUGAUCAUGCAAGUUUAUAGAUUUUUCUAGGCACCUGAGAUAUUUUUUCCGUUUUUUUCUUUAGAAAAUCAACAAAUAAUUACAUAAAUAGAUAAAUUUGUCCAAAAAUUGUCUAGGUGCACACAACAUCAUCCCUCACCUACAUAAACAUCCUCAAAAAGUUUCAAGUGGUUUGGUAAAGGUUGUGCUACGCAUCCCUUAUAUGCCUAUGUACCUCAUUGCAAAGUGACUAGGACAUGUGGCAGAGAUGAGGGCCUCUGCGAGCAUGUGCAUGACCACUCUCUCAGAAUUGACUGAAACUUUUUCCUCAACACUACACAACUUAAUUAUGUGUCCAUACAAGUUUUUAGAGUUUUCUAGGCAGCUCAGGCAUUUUUUCCUUUUUUCUUUAGAAAAUCAACAAAUAAUUACAUAAAUCGGUAAAAUUUGUCCAAAAAUUGCCUAUGUGCACACAACAUCAUCCCUCACCUACAUAAACAUCCUCAAAAAGUUUCAAGUGGUUUGGUGAAAGUUGUGCUACACAUCCCUUAUAUGCCUAUGUACCUCAUUGCAUAGUGACUAGGAGAUGUGGGAGAGAUGAGGGCCUCUGCGAGCACGUGCAUGACCACUCUCUCAGAAUUGACUGACACUUUUUCCUCAACACUACAUAGCUAAAUUAUGUGUCCAUGCAAGUUUUUAGAUUUUUUUAGGCAGCUUAAGCAUUUUUUCCAUUUUUUUCUUUACAAAAUCAACAAAUAAUUACAGAAAUAGGUAAAAUUUGUCCAAAAAUUGCCUAGGUGCACAGAACAUCAUCCCUCACCUACAUAAACAUCCUAAAAAAUUUCAAGUGGUUUGGUGAAAGUUGUGCUACACAUCCCUUAUAUGCAUAUGUACCAUAUUGCAUAGUGACUAGGACAUGUGGGAGAGAUGGGGGCCUCUGCGAGCACGUGCAUGACCACUCUCUCAGAAUUGACUAAACCUUUUUCUUCAACACUACACGGCUAAAUUAUGUGUCCAUGUAAGUUUUUAGAUUUUUCUAGGCACCUCUGGCAUUUUUUCCAUUUUUUUUAUAGAAAAUAAACAAAUAAUUACAGAAAUAGGUAAAAUUUGUCCAAAAAUUGCCUAGGUGCACAAAACAUCAUCCCUCACCUACAUAUACAUCCUAAAAAUUGUUCAAGUGGUUUGGUGAAAGUUGUGCUACACAUCCCUUAUAUGCCUACGUACCUCAUUGCAUAGUGACAAGGAUAUGUGGGAGAGAUGAGGUCCGCUGCGAGCACGUGCAUGACCACUUUCUCAGAACUGACUGAAACUUUUUCCUCAACACUACACAGCUAAAUUACGUGACCAUGCAAGUUUUUCGAUUUUUCUAGGCAACUCAGGCAUUUUUUCUAUUUUUCUUUAGAAAAUCAACAAAUAAUUACAGAAAUAGGUAAAAUUUAUCCAAAAUUUGCCUAGGUGCACACAACAUCAUCCCUCACCUACAUAAACAUCUUAAAAAAGUUUCAAGUGGUUUGGUGAAAGUUGUGCUACACAUCCCUUAUAUACUUAUGUACCUCAUUGCAUAGUGACUAGGACAUGUGCGAAUGAUGAGGGCCUCUGCGAUCACGUGCAUGACCACUCUCUCAGAAUUGACUGAAACUUUUUCUUCAAAACUACACGGCUAAUUUAUGUGUCCAUGCAAGUUAUUAGAUUUUUCUAGGCACCUGAGGCAUUUUUUCCAUUUUUUCUUUAGAAAAUCAACAAAUAAUUAUACAAAUAGGUCCAAAAAUUGCCUAGGUGCACACAACAUCAUCCCUCACUUACAUAAACAUCCUAAAAAAGUUUCAAGCGGUUUGGUGAAAGUCUUGCUACACAUCCCUUAUAUGCCUACGUACCUCAUUGCAUAGUGACUCGGACAUGUGGGAGAGAUGAGGGCCUCUGCAAGCACGUGCAUGACCACUCUCUCAGAAUUGACUGAAACUUUUUCCUCAACGCUACAUAGAUAAAUUAUGUGAUCAUGCAAGUUUAUAGAUUUUUCUAGGCACCUGAGAUAUUUUUUCUGUUUUUUUCUUUAGAAAAUCAACAAAUAAUUACUUAAAUAGUUAAAAUUUGUCCAAAAUUUGUCUAGGUGCACACAACAUCAUCCCUCACCUACAUAAACAUCCUCAAAAAGUUUCAAGUGGUUUGGUAAAGGUUGUGCUACGCAUCCCUUAUAUGCCUAUGUACCUCAUUGCAAAGUGACUAGGACAUGUGGCAGAGAUGAGGGCCUCUGCGAGCAUGUGCAUGACCACUCUCUCAGAAUUGACUGAAACUUUUUCCUCAACACUACACAGCUUAAUUAUGUGUCCAUACAAGUUUUUAGAGUUUUCUAGGCAGCUCAGGCAUUUUUUCCAUUUUUUCUUUAGAAAAUCAACAAAUAAUUACAUAAAUCGGUAAAAUUUGUCCAAAAAUUGCCUAGGUGCACACAACAUCAUCCCUCACCUACAUAAACAUCCUCAAAAAGUUUCAAGUGGUUUGGUGAAAGUUGUGCUACACAUCCCUUAUAUGCCUAUGUACCUCAUUGCAUAGUGACUAGGAGAUGUGGGAGAGAUGAGAGCCUCUGCGAGCACGUGCAUGACUACUCUCUUAGAAUUGACUGACACUUUUUCCUCAACACUACAUAGCUAAAUUAUGUGUCCAUGCAAGUUUUUAGAUUUUUCUAGGCAGCUUAGGCAUUUUUUCCAUUUUUUUCUUUAGAAAAUCAACAAAUAACUACAGAAAUAGGUAAAAUUUGUCCAAAAGUUGCCUAGGCGCACAGAACAUCAUCCCUCACCUACAUAAACAUCCUAAAAAAUUUCAAGUGCUUUGGUGAAAGUUGUGCUACACAUCCCUUAUAUGCAUAUGUACCAUAUUGCACAGUGACUAGGACAUGUGGGAGAGAUGGGGGCCUCUGCGAGCACGUACAUGACCACUCUCUCAGAAUUGACUAAACCUUUUUCUUCAACACUACACAGCUAAAUUAUGUGUCCAUGUAAGUUUUUAGAUUUUUCUAGGCACCUCAGGCAUUUUUUCCAUUUUUUCUACAGAAAAUAAACAAAUAAUUACAGAAAUAGGUAAAAUUUGUCCAAAAAUUGCCUAGGUGCACAAAACAUCAUCCCUCACCUACAUAUACAUCCUAAAAAUUGUUCAAGUGAUUUGGUGAAAGUUGUGCUACACAUCCCUUAUAUGCCUACGUACCUCAUUGCAUAGUGACUAGGAUAUGUGGGAGAGAUGAGGUCCGCUGCGAGCACGUGCAUUACCACUUUCUCAGAACUGACUGAAACUUUUUCCUCAACACUACACAGCUAAAUUACGUGACCAUGCAAGUUUUUCGAUUUUUCUAGGCAACUCAGGCAUUUUUUCUAUUUUUUCUUUAGAAAAUCAACAAAUAAUUAAAGAAAUAGGUAAAAUUUAUCCAAAAAUUGCCUAGGUGCACACAACAUCAUCCCUCACCUACAUAAACAUCUUAAAAAAGUUUCAAGUGGUUUGGUGAAAGUUGUGCUACACAUCCCUUAUAUGCUUAUGUACCUCAUUGCAUAGUGACUAGGACAUGUGGGAAUGAUGAGGGCCUCUGCGAUCACGUGCAUGACCACUCUCUCAGAAUUGACUGAAACUUUUUCUUCAAAACUACACAGCUAAAUUAUGUGCCCAUGCAAGUUAUUAGAUUUUUCUAGGCACCUGAGGCAUUUUUUCCAUUUUUUUCUUUAGAAAAUCAACAAAUAAUUAUAAAAAUAGGUCCAAAAAUUGCCUAGGUGCACACAACAUCAUCCCUCACUUACAUAAACAUCCUAAAAAAGUUUCAAGCGGUUUGGUGAAAGUCUUGCGACACAUCCCUUAUAUGCCUACGUACCUCAUUGCAUAGUGACUAGGACAUGUGGAAGAGAUGAGGGCCUCUGCGAGCACGUGCAUGACCACUUUCUCAUAAUUGACUAAAACUUUUUCCUCAACACUAGACAGCUAAACUAUGUGAGCAUGCAAGUUUUUAGAUUUUUCUAGGCAUCUCAGUCAUUUUUUCCAUUUUUUCUUUAGAAAAUCAACAAAUAAUUACAGAAAUAGGUAAAAUUUGUCCAAAAAUUGCCUAGGUGCACACAACAUCAUCCCUCACCUACAUAAACAUCCUAAAAAAGUUUCAAGUUGUUUAGUGAAAGUUGUGCUACAUAUCCUUUAUAUGCCUAUGUACCUCAUUGCAUAGUGACCAGGACAUAUGGGAGACAUCAGGGCCUCUACGAGCACGUGCAUGACCACUUUCUUAGAAUUGACUGAAACUUUUUCCUCAACACUACACAGAUAAAUUAUAUGACCAUGCAAGUUUUUAGAUUUUUCUAGGCACCUCAGACAUUUUUUUCCAUUUUUUUCUUUAGAAAAUCAACAAAUAAUUACAGAAAUAGGUAAAAUUUGUCCAAAAAUUGCAGAGGGGCACACAACAUCAUCCCUCACCUACAUAGUCAUCCUAAAAAAGUUUCAAGUGGUUUGGUGAAAGUUGUGCUACACAUCUUAUACUCUUAUAAAGCUAAACCCCACUAGAGAUUUCUCUCAACAUGCAAGCUAUUCACAUCAACAAUCCACUAAAAUUUGCAAUUAUAUCCAACUAGCACAUGUAAUUAUGAUAGUCAUCUCUUUAUCUACUAACAUACAUUUAGCUGUUCAUAUUGAUGUGUCAAAUCAUUCAACAAAAUUAAUUUAAGAUAAUUUCAUUCAUAUAAAUAUAAAUAUAAAUAGUCUAAUUUAUUUUUAAAUUAUCUGAAAUUCCUGUAGCAACGCGUGGGGUAUUCUCCAAGUUCCUUAUAUGCUUAUGUACCUCAUUGCCCAAUGACUAGGACAUGUGUGAGAGAUGAGGGCCUCUGCGAGCACGUGCAUGACCACUUUCUCAGAAUUGACUAAAACUUUUUCCUCAACACUACACAGCUAAAUUAUAUGAGGAUGCAAGUUUUUAGAUUUUUCUAGACACCUCAGGCGUUUUUUCCAUUUUUUUAUGUAGAAAAUCAACAAAAAAUUAUAGAAAUAAGUAAAGUUUGUCCAAAAAUUGCCUUGGUGCACACAACAUCAUCCCUCACCUACAUAAACAUCCUAAAAAAGUUUCAAGUGGUUUGGUGAAAGUUGUGCUACACAUCCCUUAUAUGUCUAUGUACCUCAUUGCAUAGUGACUAGAACAUGUGGGAGAGAUGAGGGCCUCUGCGAGCACGUGCAUGACCACUUUCUCAGAAUUGACUAAAACUUUUUCCUCAACAAUACACAGCAAAAUUAAGUGACCAUGCAAGUUUUUAGAUUUUUCUAGGCACCUCAAGCAUUUUUUCCAUUUUUACUUUAGAAAAUCAACAAAUAAUUACAAAAAUAGGUAAAAUUUGUCCAAAAAUUACCUAGGUGCACACAACAUCAUCCCUCAUAUACAUAAACAUCCUAAAAAAGUUUCAAGUGGUUUGGUGAAAGUUGUGCUACACAUCCCUUAUAUGCCUAUGUACCUCAUUGCAUAGUGACUAGGACAUGUGGGAGAGAUGAGGGCCUCUGUGAGCACGUGCAUGACUAGUUUGUCAAAAUUGACUGAAACUUUUUCCUCAACACUACACAGCUAAAUUAUGUGAGCAUGCAAGUUUUUAGAUUUUUCUAGGCACCUCAGGCUUUUUUUCCAUUUUUUCUUUAGAAAAUCAAAAAAUAAUUAUAGAAAUAGGUAAAAUUUGUCCAAAAAUUGCCUUGGUGCACACAACAUCAUCCCUCACCUACAUAAGCACCCUAAAAAAGUUUUAAGUGGUUUGGUGAAAGUUGUCCAACACAUCCCUUAUAUGUCUAUGUACCUCAACUCAUUGCAUAGUGACUUGGGCGUUGGAAAGAUGAGGGCCGCUGCGAGUGUUGACGGUCCUUAAGUACUAAAAUUAAUAAUCAAAUAAACAUGAAAAAGGAUCAAUAUGAAACAAACAUCUAGAAUUAGGGUUUUAUCUGACAGAAUUCCACGAGCUUUGGUGUUUAUCUAUUUUUGCAGGGAGUUAUCAGAAAAUAUGGAAAGAAGGCCCACAUGUCAUGUUUACAACGAGAUAAUUACGUGCCGCGCAAUUUUCCUCAAUCUAGAAGGAUCCAGAAGCCACGGGAACGAACGAGAAGCGAAUCGGGCUCGGGAGCUGGGCGCCCGCCCUGGCCAAGAGGCCAAUCAGGACUCUGCUUCGGGACAAGACUCCACCGACCUAAAGGAUCAAUCUAAACCAUACAAUCUAUGUCGGUUUGAUCCAAUGGCUCACGUUCACUUGAGGGGACUAUAAAACCAGACCCCCUGGCCCCUGGAGGAGAGGAGGAGAAAUCAUUAUUCAGAGGUAGCCAUAAAAAGUUAGGGUUUAGAUCUCUCUCCCACAGAGAAUUAGAAUUAGCUACUCCCUAAUCCUUCAAGUUUAGAGGUUGAUUAGAUAGCAAUUAGAGAAGUAGAGCACUACGCUCUGGAUUCGGAUCUUCGGUAAUAAAGAUUGGUAUUAUUCAUAUCUUUCUCUAAUUCUAUUGUUCUAAUUGCAUUGUGUCUCUAAUUAUUAUGCUCUUAGUUUGCUCUAGUUCUAUAUUUGAUAUAGUUCUAAUUGAUAAUGAGUUUAUGUAUAAGUUUGCAAAGCGCUUAGCUCUUGACGCGAGGGAGUUAGGUGACAGAUCACAUGUGAGCGUGGUGCUUAGAUGUUAUUUAUCUGCAAAUGUAUCCUAUUGGCCGAGUCGUGUGGUAGUUCGCGAUAGUGACAGCUUCGUUGAUUCUUAUAUAGUCCACCCUCCGUUGAUAGGACAGGCAGAACCGGUAUUGUGGAGUAAGUCAUGCGAUGUUCUCAUUUACUUUAUCAAUGUUCCUUAUACAUGAAUGAAGAGUCUUUUAUGCUAUAUAUGAUCUUGUAGAUAACUAGAGUAGAUUAUGACUUAGUAGUUAGUAGAUAACUUAGAAUCCAUUCUCUAGCUAAUCCGACAUCACCUACAUAUAUGAGGAGUAGUCUAUUUUCUAAUCGCUGUGCUAUUUAUCCCAUGAACUUAUACUUUAUUAUCAUUAUCUUUAUGGUUUACCCCCUGCUAAAGUAUGUGACUGUGUGACGAGUUUCUUAUUAGUAAUCAUGUUCUUGCAAGUUUAUCUCUAGUCUAUGCCUUGAUAGAUUUUGUCCCUUGAUUUAAUUCCAUCUCCUUAGAUCCCUAGAGCAAAAUUAUAAAUAACGAUACCUGUAAUACUUAUCCUGGUGAAAUGCUACAAUGAGGUGUUUUAUCUGUGCGCUUGCGGAUAGAAUGGAUUAUUUUCUAAAGAGCCUUUACAUUUAUAAAUACUUUUGUACACUCUGGCGCCAUGCUAGGGAUGACAACCUAGUAUCUAAGUGGUGUUAGCUAGUGUUAACAAGCAUUUCUGGCGCCGUUGCCGGGGAACUUAUAGGAAUUAUACGAAUCUCAGGAAUAAGUCAUAAAAGGGAACAAAAGGGUAAUAUUAAGGAAGCCAGAAAAUCAGUCAAGGUUAUUCAUAUAAAAUAUUAGACUAGACUAUAGAGAAAUAAUUGCAUAAAACAGCUACUAAGUGAGAAAUCAUAACAAGGCACCUCUGCUUUGGCAGGUUCACCCUGUUGUUUUUCUAUGUUUAUAUUUUUAUACAGGGUAUAACAGGAUUGACUUUGGGUACAUUCAACUCUUCAUCAUCAGAACCAAAGCAAUCAAGAGAAGAAGAAGCUAGCUACCAAUUGUUGAAGCUAUGGCACACAAGACCUUGCAAGAAUUCUCUGCUCCAAGUCUUGAGAACAUUCCAACUGGUCCAAGAUUUGCAGUAGAAGAAGGAAUACCCGAGUUUGAGCUCAAGUCAAGCCUCAUCAAUUUGGUACAAGCUACACAAUUCAGUGGAAAUGCACAUGAAGAUGCCAGUGCACACUUGCAGAAUUUCUUAGAAAUUGGAAGCACAAUCCACAUCAACGGAGUUGACAAAGACGUCAUACUACUUCGCCUUUUUCCAUUCUCACUAGAAGGGAAAGCGAGGAAGUGGUUCUACACUCAUCAAGAUAACAUCAACAACUGGACGAAGUUGUCAGAUGCCUUUCUAUCAAAGUUUUUCCCUAUAGGCAAAACAACUGCCUUAAGAGGAAAUAUUGUCAGUUUCCAACAGCAGAAGACAGAAGCCAUUGCAGAAGCAUGGGAGCGUUUUCAAGGAUACAUAUCAGAUUGUCCUCACCAUGGAAUGGCUACAUGGUUACUUAUGCAGACCUUCUAUCAUGGAUUAACCCAUAAGACUCGUGAGUGCCUAGAUGCAUCUGCUAAAGGAUCAUUCUUGGAGCUUACAACUAGAAAAGCAGAGAUACUUUUGGAUAAGAUAGCAGAAAACCAAUGUUGGUUCCAAGAUAAAGCUCAACAAUGUCAUCAAACUGAAGAAAUACCAGAAGAAGUAAAUGCACUAUCAACUAAGAUGGAAAAUUUGCUCCAUUGGAUUGACCAGAGGGCCAAGUUCAAAGAAGAUCAAAGGGCCAUUGAGACAGCAUACAAAUAUCAACCAACUUCGAGUCAACCCAAUAGCAAAGGUAAAGAAUAUAACUACUAGAGGAGGCAAAGCCACCAGAGAUCCACCAUACCCAAAAGAGAAACAAAGAACAUCAGCACCAGUGCAACCAGCAGUGAUAGAAGAAGAAAGCCCAGUUGAAGCAGAAGAUCUGCUACAACUACCAAGAAAUGGAGAAAUGAGGAAAGAUUUUUACGACACCAACUAUUUGCCAUUUCCCAGAAGAAACAGAGGAUUGCAGUCGGAUGAGCAGUUUGGUAAGUUUGUAGAGGUCAUUCAGAAUAUGUCAACAUACCUCUGCUCGAUGCCAUACAGGUACCUACAUAUGCAAAGUACAUCAGAGAUAUUCUUAACAAGAAGAGACCACUGCCCACCACUGGGGUUAUCAAGCUGACAGAAGAAUGUAGUGCGGCCAUCCUCAACAAACCACCAAAGAAGAAGGAAGAUCCAGGAUGCCCCACUAUUGAUUGCUCGAUUGGAAACCAACACUUCAACAAUGCACUUUGUGAUCUCGGAGCAAGUGUCAGUGUGAUGCCAGCAUCAGUCUACAAAAAGCUUGAUCAUGCAACCUUAGAACCAACAUCAAUGUGCCUACAACUAGCGGAUCAAUCGGUUCGACACCCGUUGGGCAUCGCCGAGAACAUUCCAGUCAAGAUCAGAGAUUUCCUGGUGCCAGUAGACUUCGUAGUACUGGACAUGAGUCCUGACUCGAAGGUGUCCAUCAUCCUUGGAAGGCCAUUUCUGAGCACUGCCAAUGCCCACAUUGAUGUCGGGAAGGGAGAAAUCAAGUUCAACAUAAACGGUCAAGAAGAACACUUCACAUUCAAACCCAGACCAGAGAAAGACUCUACACUGAAGGAAGUUCAUGAAGAACCACUGGAGACACCAUCUCCGGAGGAAGGUAACUCACAAGAUUAAAAGAUUUGGAGGUCCAGCUUGGGGGACCUAAAAAUCCCAAACCCUCACCGGGAGGUAAAUCGGUAUUUACCUGCAUUAUUAAGUUUCUCAUAUUUAAAUUCUUGCAUAGUUAAAUCUUGCAUUAGUCAUAUUUAUUCAUAGCAUUAUUAUAAUAAUGAAAAGCCCCAUAUAAAUAAUAUUCAUGGUGUGUAACAACCCAUAUUUAUUAAUUAUUGUGGAGGCACAAAAAUAUUUUCCAUUAUCAUUUUCAAUAAGUUUCAAUUCUCAUAGAUUUUCCUGCAUUAUAUUUAAUUAUAUUGAUCUUCUAGAAGCAUGACCCACACUCCUUGGGUCCCACAUGUCAUACACUUCACCUCACAUACAUCCCAUCACAUAAUUUCAUCCACCAAUAUGUUUCCACUCACUUGACAUCUUUCCACCGUCCAACCACCACCAACACAAUAUUAUUCUGCGUGAGAUCAAAGCAAGGAAGCAAGUGGAGGAGGCACACCCAGGAUGGACACCAGGGGUGGGCGCCCGCCCACCUACCUUGGGCGCCCGCCCUGUCCCCUGCUCAGCCUAUAAAAGGCCACCUCCAGCUCCCCUUCUCUUCACACAAACACUUCAGAAAACCACACAAAUCUCAGUUUCCCGAGAAGGAGCUUUUGUAGAGAGAAAGAGGAGAGUGGAAGGGAAGGUUGGAAUUCUUUUGAGAGAGUGUUUAUCACCUAGCAAGUAGUGAUCCCGUUGUCUAAGCGGAAGUAAAAGUUGUUUAGGGGAGGCUCUACCAAAAUAGAAACUUGUCUUGAACGAUUAACCCCUGGACUACUGAUAUUCCGGACAGCUGACCACUAACAUUUUCUCUCACAUUUUCCACCAGUUGUGUUUUUGCCAACUUUUGUUUGCAGGAUGUUUAAGAAGGUGAAGAAUGCAGGGAAGGCUCUCAAGAACAUUGGUACAAGGAGUUCAUCCCGACACUGCUCACAGCCAUCAGAGAUGAACGUCGAUCCGACACCCACACAAGCUCCAUCAUCUUCAUCAGGUCAGCAAGUUAAGGUCCUUCUCAAGAUAGGAGACCUAGGACUGAAGACCCGAAGAGAGAAGGAGGUCUAUCAGCAAUUGAAGAAUAAAGAUUUCAUUCACACCCCUACUCUCGAUCCAACCCUACUACAAGAAACAGGUAUGGACACUGAAUUUGACUUAAUUUUUUCAGAUGAUGGGUUGGACAAAUUUUUGGAAUAUAACUGAGCUGGGUUCUCGUCUUCUCACCCUCGAAUUUCUUUGCACCUUACAAUACUAUGAGGGGGGAAUUGUUUUUCGGAUGUUUAAACAGGAAAUUAUGUUAUCUUGGAGAGAGCUGAGCGACCAUCUUGGUUUCUCUUCAAGAUGCAUCCUGAACAUUGACUCCGAUUUACCCAACUUUGAGAGACACCAGUUUUGGAGAGAAAUAUCUAGAGAUAAUUUUUAUAGUCAAGCCCGAACCAGUGACAUGGAACACCCCACUCUUAGGAUGUUUCACAAAUGGCUUGGGUACAAUCUUUUCUAUCGUGACGAUAUUAGGAAAGUAAGAGUAGGAGAUUUACAACUUUUAUAUGCUGCUAUUAGUAAAGUACCCACUUCAUCUGUUACACUAUUAGUUUCACAUUGGCUUAGUAUACCUAGUCUGCAGGGACCAGUAGGGUGUACUUCACUUAUCACUCGUCUAGCCUCUAAUCUUCACUUACUAGAAAAUUCAUUGUUAGACUUCAUAGAAGAAUUAAGAAUUUAUCAUGGCUAUGACACAUUUAGACAAGCUCAGAUGUUAAAGAAAGAGGGGAACAUAAUAUAUAUGCUGUAUGAUGAUAAAGGCAAGAUUCGGUUACCUAACCCGAACCUUGGCCUCUACUCUGUGCAAAACUUUUUGAUUGAAAUUGCAGCAACACCAGUGAACCAGAGAACUCCACAGCGAGUGGCAUCUGAAAGGAUAACCACUCACCGAGAACGCACUUGGUAUGGAGCUGACCCUGGACCAGAAGAAGCAGCGCACCUGCAUUAUUGCGAUUACAACCCUCGAGUCUUUCGAGACCCAUGGUCUCGUCAUGCGCAACCACAAGAGCCAACAGAGGAGACAUGGCCGGAGAGACAAGAUCACCAGUGGACAAACCCGCCUUUUCAUACGGGCAGGUACUCCACUGAUCCAUAUGGAGCUUCAGGAUCCAGACCUCCACCCCAAGUUGAUGCAGGACGAUACUCCGAUGCCUCCUUCGCCUUCAUGAAUGACUAUUACCAAGAGGCCGGUGCUUUCUUCACUCGUACCGACAACACCCUCCUCGACAUCCAGAACACGCAAGCAGAACAUGGAAGACUCCUGGAAGAGCAACAAAAAUAGAACCAGGACCAUGCAGCUGCAGUAGAAGAGCCGAGACAAGAUACAACAACAAUGAACGACAACAUCACAACCAUGAUGCGGUUCUGGAACAUCGGGUAAGACCGACGUCAACAUCCAGCUUGGGGGAGUUUCUCCCCAAUUUAUCAAGUAAGUUUCUAUUUGCUCUUCUUAUUUAUUCUAUUCUGUCUUAGUAUUUAAUUUAUCUUAAAAGGAAAAAAACUUAGAAAACCAAAUAAAUAUUUUCUUGCUUUAAUUUACUGCACUUUAUAAACAUGAAAACAAAAUAAAAAGAGUGUGUAGAUAAGUGUGCUUUAUUUACCUGCUAAGUUCAAUCUCUAGAAAAAAAUAAAAAGACCAAAAAUAUGCAUGAUGGAAAUGAUGAACAGUUGCUCUGUUUGCUUACUUUCAAGUACCUAGCUUUUAUAUUAGAAUUCUUCCAGGAAUUACUAAAACUGAAACUUACUAUCUUUGGGAAGCAUAAAACUAAAGUCUAGGUAAGAGAAAGGCAUGAUAUAAAGUUGAGCUACUGUUUAUCUUGUUCCUACUACACUAAGUUCUAGAGAUUUAUUUUGAAAACUUACAAAUCACAUGAUGAGUUCCUAGCAUUGCAAACUACCUACCACAGCCAUACUUGCUAUAACAUCUUUUACUAUAUUCACAUUGAGUUUGAUCGAGCUGUGUUGACCCUUAGGAGCUUUUCAUGUGGUUAAAUUAAGAUAUUCACUUGCACACAUCUACCACAGCAUUCAUCACCAAUCAUUAAAAUUGCUAAAAAUAUAAUCACUCACUGUCCCGAAUAUUGUUAUUCUCUCUCUAAAAAGAUUUAAUGCAGAAGAGGCAUGGGUUAUGCAAAAAUAUACGAGGAAAUAAAAAGGGGCAAGUGCCCGGAACCUCGAAAAAGAAAGAAAAAGAGUGAGACGAGAGGUAAAAAUGGACAAGUGUCCGGAGUAGAAUUAGGGGUACAAAGAUGCCCACUUGAGCGGAAAAAAUGGACAAGUGUCCGACAGUAGAAUUAGGGGUAUCUACUACCCACCUUAAAAAAAAAGAGAGAAGAAGAAAAAGAUAGCCCAUGUUCUCCCAAAGCAAAGAUCAAAGAAGAGGAGAGAUAGCAAUAUAAGGAGCAAUGAGAACUAAAUUUUAUUAUUAUCACUUAUGCAUUUUCACCAUCACUAUCAUUUACUCCAUCACACAUGCACAUCUUGAUUUAAUUAUAUGCUGAGUUCCUUUGGAUCCAUGGCUCGAUUAGACAACAUAUGUAUGAGCUGUUUAUCACUCCUAUGAGCUCCACUUAAAUAUUCCAUUAGCUAUAGGUAAGUGAUAUUAUGGUAAGGAUCCAUAAAUACCACAUAUAGAGAGACUUGAGAGAAUCAUUGCUGGGAACUCUGAGUUUUAUUUUGAAAACUUAUGAAAAACUCUGGAACAAAGGUGAAGUAUAGACAGGAGGGAUAGUGCUUGACUUAACUAUUUUGUCUUUUGAUUACUUAAGAUUUAAGUGCAGGUACUAAACUCCAUAACACUUCACUCUAAUCUGGAAUAAUUUUUAUAUAAAAGCAUGUGUGCCUGUCAGGAAAGAAAACAUUGAAGCAACUCCUGAUCCGUCUGAGUUUAGCUGUUUGCUCAGGGACGAGCAAAGGGUAAGCUUGGGGGAGUUUGUUGACGGUCCUUAAGUACUAAAAUUAAUAAUCAAAUAAACAUGAAAAAGGAUCAAUACGAAACAAACAUCUAGAAUUAGGGUUUUAUCUGACAGAAUUCCACGAGCUUUGGUGUUUAUCUAUUUCUGCAGGGAGUUAUUAGAAAAUAUGGAGAGAAGGACCACAUGUCAUGUUUACAACGAGAUAAUUACGUGCCGCGCAAUUUUCCUCAAUCUAGAAGGAUCCAGAAGCCACGGGAACGAACAGGAAGCGAAUCGGGCUCGGGAGCUGGGCGGCCGCCCACCCCCCUUGGGCGCCCGCCCUGGCCAAGAGGCCAAUCAGGACUCUGCUUCGGGACAAGACUCCACUGACCUAAAGGAUCAAUCUAAACCAUACAAUCUAUGUCGGUUUGAUCCAAUGGCUCACGUUCACUUGAGGGGACUAUAAAACCAGACACCCUGGCCCCUGGAGGAGAGGAGGAGAAAUCAUUAUUCAGAGGUAGCCAUCAAAGUUAGAGUUUAGAUCUCUCUGCCACAGAGAAUUAGAAUUAGCUACUCCCUAAUCCUUCAAGUUUAGAUGUUGAUUAGAUAGCAAUUAGAGAAGUAGAGCACUACGCUCUGGAUUCGGAUCUUCGGUAAUAAAGAUUGGUAUUAUUCAUAUCUUUCUCUAAUUCUAUUGUUCUAAUUGCAUUAUCUCUAAUUAUUAUGCUCUUAGUUUGCUCUAGUUCUAUAUUUGAUAUAGUUCUAAUUGAUAAUGAGUUUAUGUAUAAGUUUGCAAAGCGCUUAGCUCUUGACGCGAGGGAGUUAGGUGAUAGAUCACAUGUGAGCGUGAUGCUUAGAUGUUAUUUAUCUGCAAAUGUAUCCUAUUGGCCGAGUCGUGUGGUAGUUCGCGAUAGUGACAGCUUCGUUGAUUCUUAUAUAGUCCACCCUCCAUUGAUAGGACAGGCAGAACCGGUAUUGUGGAGUAAGUCAUGCGAUGUUCUGAUUUACUUUAUCAAUGUUCCUUAUACAUGAAUGAAGAGUCAUUUAUGCUAUAUAUGAUCUUGUAGAUAACUAGAGUAGAUUAUGACUUAGUAGUUAGUAGAUACCUUAGAAUCCAUUCUCUAGCUAGUCCGACAUCACCUACAUAUAUGAGGAGUAGUCUAUUUUCUAAUCGCUGUGCUCUUUAUCCCAUGAACUUAUACUUUAUUAUCAUUAUCUUUAUGGUUUACCCCUGCUAAAGUAUGUGACUGUGUGACGAGUUUCUUAUUAGUAAUCAUGUUCUUGCAAGUUUAUCUCUAGUCUAUGCCUUGAUAGAUUUUGUCCCUUGAUUUAAUUCCAUCUCCUUAGAUCCCUAGAGCAAAAUUAUAAAUAACGAUACCUGGAAUACUUAUCCUGGUGAAAUGCUACAAUGAGGUGUUUUAUCUGUGCGCUUGCGGAUAGAAUGGAUUAUUUUCUAAAGAGCCUUUACAUUUAUAUACCUUUGUACACUCUGGCGCCAUGCUAGGGAUGACAACCUAGUAUCUAAGUGGUGUUAGCUAGUGUCAACAGCGAGCACGUGCAUGACCACUUUCUCAGAAUUGACUGAAACUUUUUCUUCAACACUACACAACUAAAUUACGUGACCAUGCAAGUUUUUAGAUUUUUUAGGCACCUCAGGCAUUUCUUCCAUUUUUUCUUUAGAAAAUCAACAAAUAAUUACAGAAAUAGGUAAAAUUUGUCCAAAAAUUGCCUAGGUGCACACAACAUCAUCCUCACCUACUUGAACAUCUAAAAAAGUUUCAAGUGGUUUGGUGAAAGUUGUGCUACACAUGUCCUAGUCACGCAGCGAAGAGGUCUCCAUUUAAAAAUGAACUCAACUGUAUUCGUGAGAAAAUGAACUCAACUCAACUUCAUUAAUGUGCAUCGGUGAGGGUUAUUUUCGUAACUAGCCAGCCCAUAUUAAGCACGGGCACCUACUCGGUGCGCGGUUUCACUCUUCUCGGCUUGCUCAUCUCUUCUUCUUCCACAGUCGGUUAGGCGAGGGAUUUUGGCAAGGUGGAUUGCGCGGUGGCGAGGCCUAGAGAUGGAGCGUGGAACCCAUGGCGAUGGCGACACUAGCCGGAGGAGGCUCCCUCAUCACGAGGCAACAGAGGUGGUGAAGAAGCCAAGGUGCAACACCCACUGUUCCUUGGGUGGCGGUCUCAUGGAGUCCAAUACUGAUUCCAUGGAGGCGGCGGCGUCCACCUUCACACGCCCAGCCGUCGGCAAGGAGAAGACCCUCAUCGACGAGGGCGGCAACCAGAAGGGCCACAUAUGCUCCACCGCGAUACCUCGCCCAAUCCCAAGGGGUUACGGUUUAUUAAAGUUUUGCCUUAUAUGUUUACAACACUGAUGCUUUCAUUAAUUUCAUAUUUUAUAUGAUUUAUGCUUAAAUUAAUUAGGUUAAAAUCAAAUUAAUCUAGUUUUGUCGUAAUUAAUGUAUGUUUAUCAUAUGUUUGUUGCAUUCGAUAAGCUUAAAAUUCAACAUAUCAUCAAUGUUAGUUUCGCAUGGUCAUAUUUAAUUGUUUAUCAAUGAUUGUUGCAUAUGAUCGAUUAUAGGAGCCGGCAAAACUAGAAGCUACUUUCUGCUUUUGGGCUGAAACUACAAAGCAUCAGAUGCAAGAAGACAUGGAGGACCUCUUUGAGAAGAUGAAUAAAGAGCUGCAAACCAGGGAAGACAGUGUAACAAUCUGUGAUAAGAUGAAGCAGGAGGUGAAGACCUAGAUUGAUCAUAACAUGGAGCAGAUGUGGAUGAAGCUGCUUUGGGAUUACAAUAUGUAUGGGCACCUUUGGGCUAAUGACUUAGAAUUUGAACUAGUAGGACUGUGGUGGUGCUGUUGGGAAGAAAAACUUUAAUUAACUAUAUAGAUAUUAGUACUUUGUAAAUAUAUAACUAAGUAUUGUGGUACCUUUUAAAUAUGUAAUACCCGAUUUUAAGGACAAAACCAGAUAUGCACCAUAUGUGAGUUUUAGAAGUCAAAUCCCACAUAUAGCUACAAAUAAGGGAUAAUAUCAAAAGACAAUUCACAAAUAUAUAACACACUUAAUAUAAAAGGGAUAACCUUUGAUAGCAAACAACGGAUAGACAACUCCAACUUCAGGUAUUAACUUCUCUCCACAGGAUCCAACUGACUGGUUGAUCACAAGUCCAAAACUUCUCCUGAGGUGUGGGGGAAAUUGCAAGAGUGAGCACAUAUCGUACUCAACAGGUAUAACCAGGGGUUCAUGAGGCUCAAAUAGCUAACACUGGUUUGACUGCAUUUAGCUUUUAUAUGUAGAUAGCAUAUUUAUAUUUAGAUAGCAAAUGUCAAGGUAGCAUAAUUAAAUCCCAUAACCACAUGAUCAAUGUAUACAAGAAUUAAGAAUAACACAUAUAAACAACAUAAUAAACCAUCAUUUAUCAUCAUUAAUCAUGUUUAUCAGUGUCCAUCUAUUCCGUCAGUUUUCCGGGCCGCCCGUAUCCAUGGGCACGGCUAGUAUACUAGAUUUAACACUCUGUAGAGGUUGUACAUCUUUACCCAUGAGUCAUGAUUUACCCUUUCACCCGAGGCCCGUCGACCCCUUAGCUCACUUCCAAGGAAAGCCGGCAGGGUUCACUAUGAAGUCUUUCAAAAGUUCGUCUAACAAGUUAGGGCCGCUUGGUUUCAUUAGUCAGUCCAUGUGAUUCACCCGCAGGAAUCCACGGUCUGCUAUUCCCCAAUUGCGCCACAAUGGGUAACCGCUAAUGAGCUAGAAAAAUUACUCAUACUUUGACUAAAGCCAGAGCCAUAUAGCCCUCAUGGUUGUACGAGUUGUCCUAGCUUUUGCCAACGGAUAAGUCCUUAUGGAGGGUCAAGAUCAAUCUAGCAAAAGCCAAAGUUCUUUCCACCCUUUAUAUUCAAGUUGCUAGAAAGCUUAUUUUAUUGUUUAUUGUAUAUCCAAACAUUCAUGUUACAAGAUCAUCGAUUAUAAUCAAGUACUAGCAAGAACUACCCCAAAUGCAUAUCCAAAUAGGUAUCAAGGAAUUCAAGAUAGCAAUCAUCUAUGAUUUUACUAGGGUUGUCAAGGUGGACACAUGCAUAUGAUAUAUGUAUUAAAGUGUGUAGGUAACAAGGAUGAUCCCAAGUUAUACUUGUCUUGAUCGAAGCUUUCCUGAGCCUGCUACUGGUCUUCAAAAGAUUGACCUUGAUCACCAACGUAUCGCUCACCGUCUAUACCCGAUCAUCAAUCAACAACACGCAUUCCAAUGGACAAUCAUACAUGAAGCAAACAAGCUAUAAUUAGAAUAAUACACCAAACAGUGGUAAAACAAAGAUAAAAGUUUAUGAAAAUAUUCUACGUAGCGCUACGAUCGCACAAAUGUAAAGAUCACGAAAAUCAGAAUUGAAACGGUGAAAUUAUGAAUUUUCUAAGAUUUCCUAUAGAUAAAUAAUUAAUUAAAUAGGGUCACAAAAUUAAAAAGUUUCAAACUGGGAAAACAAAGUUACUAACAUGUAGAUCUUUCGAAAAAAAAUCUAACGCAAUUUGAAUGAGUCAAAACGGAGUUCAAAUGAAUAUUUUAUAGCCAAAACAAACUCAGUGGCAAUUUUGUGAAUACCGGAAAGCGUAUUCUUAAAACGUGCUUUGGGCUGCGGGUUCUAUUAUCAAAAAGGGGAGGGGCUCUUUAGAAAUUAUGCCAGCCGAAAGGGUAUCUUCGUUUGGGAGCCGUUGAUCUCAGAUUGAAUGGCACAGAUUAGAGCUGGGGGAGAGGGGAAGCAGCUGUCGGCCGAAACAGGGGAGACACCCAGCGGAGCCAUGGCCUGGGUCAAGCUUACCUCGCUGGAGUAGAUGGAGAGGGCACUAGAACGCUCGGUUUUCAAUGGGGAAAGUACUGGGAGAAAGACAGGAUCGAGACGAACUCACCUAGGGCCUCUUCGCGAUCAGGGAUGGCUCGGAGAAGGCCAGCGUCGAGAGAUGGCGGGCAAAGGCUUCUACAAGAGUUCGGCAACAUGGACUGAGCAAACAGAAACUAAAAACAACGGGAAAAGAGGUGCAGGGACUUCACAAAUCCGUUAUGAAGCCCGACAUCAAGCUUACGGAAGCACAAACGUGGUGGAAGCGUUGAUCCGUGUUCGGCGUCAAUCUAUGGAGUGGCGGCGGCGCUUGCAAGCUGGGCUAGGGAAAACCGACGCUAAGGGAGGUGAAAAGGAGGUCGAGGAAAGGCGUUGGAGGCUUUAUAGGAGCAUAGGCGUGGGGAACAAGCCGAAACGUGAGAGAAUCGGAUCACCGGGACGGAUUCCUUUCCUGGGGAGAGUCCGGUCUCCAUACUGUUGGGAGGAAGAAGAUGGGCGAUGCCCGGUGGGUCCUACCCAUGAGCGAGGGAAGGAGGGGGAAAGGCGGGUGCGUAGCCAGGCUUGUGCUGGGCCGUGGCUCUGUUGCUGGGCUUCGGCCGGGGAGCUGGGAAAAGUGGGGGCUGGGCCGCGCGAGGGGAGAGGGAAACAGGCCGCGGGGGGGAAGGCCAGGGGGCUGGGCCGAGCUGGGGUUUGUCUUUCUCCCGCUUUUUUUGUUUUUCUUUUCUUUUCCAAAACCUUUUUCCAAUUAGGCUUUUGAGCAAAACAAGUAAAGAUAAAAACAGAAACAAUAGUCACAAAAUUUCUAUACCCCAGCAUGAAUGCAAAAACAUGUUUCUAAAACUUAUGAUAAAUUUUAUUUUUCACCAAAAAUUAUUUAUUCACUAAAUUAAAUGCUCACAAAAUACUUUAAAUAAAUCCAAUUAAACCCUAUUAAUUGAAAUCCAAUUUUUGGGUGUUACAAAAUAUGUGUGUGCUAAUGAUAUUUUGUGGCUUAUGUGUGUCACCAGUUCAUUCUAAGACUGCUGCUAGGAGGGCUGCUGGCCGGCUUCCUGGUGCUGGGGGUGCCUAUGGGUGUGUUUGUUUAUUUCCUACAUAAGCCUGGCUAGCAAAACUAAGCCUGGCUAACUCUAGCCUGUCUAUAGCAAGACAAAACCUGUUUGUUUGGUUGUGUGUGUUGUUGAGUCUGGCUAGGAUAAGUUUGUGUUUGGUUGGUUGGCUUAGUUUGUAUACAGUCACCUCUUCUUUGAGCUGGUAAGUUUACCUUCUCUGAGGCAUUUUGUAGAACAGCUGGUGGGCAUGUUCUUGGGCUCCCUGUAGCCACCACUACAAACGGUCGCAUCAAAGAGCUGGCUCACCCUUCCACUGUCCACUCCGACUGCACGCUCCGCGACACGAUGGCCGUGCUCCGCCUCGCCUCCUUCACCCUCUGCGCCACCACCGCCGCGGCUUCCGCCUCCUCCACCUCCUCCGACAUCGCCAUGGGGACCUCAUCAGGCCCCACAUCGAGGCAGCGAGGGAGAGCUAUGCAUCCGCGCUGUCGGACGCCGCGGCGGAGAGCUACGCAUCCGCGCUGACGACCGGAGAAGCUGCAGAAGAUCUACCACCUCGCGUGCCCCAUGUCGCCCGUGCAAGGAGAAGCUGACGGCCGGAUCUACCACCUUGCGGGCCGCACGUCACCCGUGCAAGGAGAUGAGGAGCUCGCCAGGGCAAAACAAGGAAGGCGGCGUCAGGAGGCGAGGCACUGGGGACAGAGCGAGGAAGGCGGUGUGCGGAGCGGUGACAAGAACUGGCCAGACGGCUGGCCAGGGAAGUAGCUAGACAAUGGUACAGUCAGAAGGUAAGUCAACAACGAGGUGAAUGGGGAGUUUUACGAGCCAACUUUUGUCUAGAUUUUUAUUCCCUCGACCGUAUCGGCGACCUUAGACUCGAAGUCCUAUCUUUUAAACAAAAAGAUAAUGAAACUUUGGGAAAAUCCUGGAAACAUUUUUCUGAUCUUUUAGAAUAUGGUCCAAACCUUAAUCUUGAAAACCCUGUUCUUUUAUUUCACUUUUUCAAGGUCUUCAGAAAGAUCAUAAACAAAUGCUACAUACAAUGUCUAGAGGUUCUUUCUUCCGCAUCCCUACUGAUGAAGCUAGAGUGAUCUUAGAUAGAAUCCUAGAAGCUGAGAUGGAUAAUACCCUUCAUGAUGAAACCUACGAAGCCGAAGUAGACACUCUGCCAAAUUCUUCAUCUACUUUAGCUAUCCCAAGUUCUGAGCCACAAAAGGAAGAAAUUCCACCACCGGACUUCAUGCUGGAUAUAGAAUCUGAUCUUUUUGCUGAUUUUGGAAACAUUUCAAACUACCAUUCUAUUGACAAACCCCAAAACAGCCAGUUUAGCAUUUAUUUGCCAAGUGAAUAUCAAUUAAGAGAGCUUAUCUCAGUCAUGAGUAGCGAGUGGUUGGAGGAAUCAGAGCUUUCCUCUGAUGUAAUCCGUUUUGACACACUCUCUAUAACUAUACACUGUGCUUAUAAUUCUGAUUGAUUUGAUGCUCUCUAUAAUCCUAUUGUGGGGAUCAACAUCAUGUCUGAAUCUUUUGCACUUAAACUAUUUAAAAACUUGUUCUUAACCCCCACAACAAAGGUCUUAAAGGAAUCUUCGGGACGAUUAGUCCCCAGUCUUGGAAUUAUUAAUGUCCUACAUCUUACAGUAGAAGGCUGCAUGUUUCAUUUGAACUUCUAUAUCUUUGAUACAUGGGACUUUGACCUAUUGAUAGGGCAACCUUUUAGAAGACUCCUUUAUGAAGGUCAUACUGGAAAGCUACACAUUUCUUUUGGAAAAGCCUUUAAAUUUCCAAUAACAGUUUCACACACCUUAAACAAUAAGGCCGAGUCAUAUCUUUUGCCUGAUCCUAUGGAGGAGGUAAAGGCUGCAUCUCUAGAACUUUUAGAUGAAUCAGACUUAGAAGACGAAACUCCUUUCUUCACAGAAGAAGAAGCUAAACCUUCUGAACCUGAACCCUUGGAUGAGUUUGUAGAAACACCUAGACCCCCCAUAGAGCUUAAAACUUUAUCACCCGGUCUUACCUAUGCUUUCCUAAACAAUAAUGACCAUUCUUGAGAAACUCACUCAGGAGCAAACUCUGCGAUUAAUGACCAUUCUUGAGAAACAUCACUCAGAUUUUGGCUACUCACUCCAAGAUCUUACAGGAAUCAGUCCUAUGAUUUGUACCCAUCGUAUUCCGACAUAUCCUUUUGUUUCAGCUUCUUGAGAACCCCAACGUAGACUUAACAACACUAUGAGAGAGGUAGUUAAAAAGGAAGUUAUAAAGUUGCUGCAUGUAGGGAUUAUAUAUCCUGUGCCGCAAAGUGAGUGGGUGAGCCCAGUUCAAGUUGUGCCUAAAAAGGAGGCAUGACUGUUAUUAUGAAUGAAAAGAACGAGCUAAUUCUGCAACGCACCGUCAUAGGAUGGCGGAUGUGCAUAGACUAUAGAAAACUAAACAAAGCCAUGAGAAAGGAUCAUUUUCCUUUACCUUUCAUAGAUGAGAUGCUAGAGCGAUUAGCGAACCAUUCGUUCUUCUGUUUCUUAGAUGGAUAUUCAGGGUAUCACCACAUCCCAAUCCAUCCUGAUGAUCAAAGCAAAACCACUUUUACAAGCCCAUAUGGAACUUAUGCUUACCGUAGAAUGUCUUUUGGAUUAUGUAAUGCACCAGCUUCUUUUUAAAGAUGCAUGAUGUCUAUAUUUUCUGAUAUGAUUGAAGAGAUUAUGGAAGUUUUCAUGGAUGAUUUCUCUGUUUAUGGAAAAACUUUUGAUAGUUGUCUUAAAAACUUAGACAAGGUAUUGCAAAGAUGUGCAGAAAAGGACUUAAUCCUUAAUUGGGAAAAAUGUCAAUUCAUGGUUAGGGAAGGAAUAGUGCUAGGACACCUAGUGUCUGAAAGAGGUAUUGAGGUAGACAAAGCUAAAAUUGAAGUAAUUGAACAACUACCUCCACCGGUGAAUAUAAAAAGAAUUCGAAGCUUUCUUGGCCAUGCUGGUUUUUAUCGCAGAUUUAUAAAAGAUUUUUCAUUUAUUGCUAGACCACUUACUCUUUUGCUAGCCAAGGAUGCUCCUUUCGAAUUUGAUGAUGCAUGUCUAACAUAUUUCAAUCGAUUAAAGAAAGCACUCAUCUCUGCACCAAUUAUUCAACCUCCUGAUUGGUCGUUGCCUUUUGAAAUUAUGUGUGAUGCUAGUGAUUAUGCUGUGGGGGCAGUUUUGGGACAAACUAAAGAUAAGAAGCAUCAUGCAAUUGCUUAUGCCAGUAAAACUUUGACAGGAGCUCAACUUAACUAUGCAACCACUGAAAAAGAGCUUCUAGCUGUUGUCUUUGCCAUUGACAAAUUUAGAUCUUAUUUAGUUGGAGCUAAAAUAAUUGUUUACACUGAUCAUGCUGCAUUAAAAUAUUUGCUCACUAUAAAAGAUGCUAAACCUCACCUGAUUAGAUGGAUCUUAUUACUUCAAGAAUUUAACUUAGAAAUAAAAGAUAAAAAGGGAGUAGAAAAUUCUGUUGCUGAUCACUUGUCUAGAAUGUAUUUUAAGAAUCCACAGGAAACCCCCAUCAAUGAUUCACUCCGGGACGACAUGUUCUACCGGAUUAACAGGUCUGACCCCUGGUAUGCAGAUAUUGUUAAUUUUAUGGUUUUAGGGUAUGUACCACCAGGAGCAAACAAGAAGAAGCUUAUUCAAGAAAGUCGUUCACAUAUAUGGGAUGAGCCAUACCUCUUCCAAGUAUGCUCUGAUGGCUUACUCAGGAGAUGUGUGACCACUGAGGAAGGAUGGAAGAUCAUCGACAGAUGUCAUUCAUCACCAUAUGGAGGUCAUUAUGGAGCAUUCCAUACACAUUCAAAGAUCUGGCAGUGUGGAUUCUACUGGCCUACAAUGUAUGAAGACACAAAGCAAUAUAUCAGAAGAUGUGGGCCAUGUCAAAGGCACGGAAACAUAAACACAAGGGAUGCCAUGCCACUCACCAACAACCUUCAGAUUGAGCUCUUUGAUGUAUGGGGAAUAGACUAUAUGGGUCCAUUUCCUCCAUCAAAGAAGUGUGAAUACAUCUUGGUGGCAGUUGACUAUGUCUCCAAGUGGGUAGAGGCACUACCUUGCAAGCAUGCCGACAACAUCAGUUCAAAGAGGAUGUUUGAAGAAAUUAUAUUUCCAAGAUUUGUAGUCCCCAGAGUAGUGAUAAGUGAUGGAGGAGCACACUUCAUCGACAAACGCUUCAAGCAAUAUCUAUCAAAACACGGAAUCCGUCACAACAUCGCUACUCCCUAUCAUCCUCAGACAAGUGGCCAAGCAGAGACUUCCAAUAAGCAAAUCAAGAAUAUUCUUCAGAAGACAGUGAAUGAAAUGGGAACGGUAUGGAAAGACAAGUUACCCGAUGCACGCUGGGCAUACCGGACAGCAUACAAGACCCCAAUUGGAAUGUCUCCAUACCAAUUGGUGUACGGGAAGACUUGCCACCUACCUGUUGAACUAGAGUUCAAAGCACACUGGGCCAUAAAGAGAUGGAACAUGGACCUAGAUGUUGCUGGAGAUCAUAGAAGAAUGCAACUAUCAUAAUUGGAAGAAUGGCAAGAGAAAGCAUAUCACAAUUCGAAGAUCUACAAAGAAAGAGUCAAAAGGUGGCAUGACAAGAGAAUCAAGAAGAAGGAGUUCACACCUAGAGAUAAGUGUUGACAUUUGCUAACACCACUUGAAUACUAGGUUGUCAUCCCCAGCAUGGCACUAGAGUGUACUAUGGUAUUUAUACGCACACAGAUAAUCCGCAAGCGCACGGAUACCGUUGAAGCUUUUACCCGGUUAAAGGUUUUAUCAUAUCCACAGGGAAACGGGAGAACUAAUCUACACUCUAACUUAACCAAGAUAAGUAAAUAAGUGUAAAUAGGAAAGAUGGUAGAAUCGAAUAAGAACAAUAUUAAAGGUAAGAUAACAGUGAGUGAUAAUAUGGGAAUAGAGAAUAGAGCAAUUCUAGUAUAUGGGCGAUGGUAGCAGAAUAGAGAGGGUAACUAUGGUUUCUCUACUUCAAAGGGGUAUGUCUAUGUCUGGGACGAACCACGUGAUAAGAGUACACCACAAAGGAUGCUUAUCCUUAGGCCGAUAAACCCUACCCAUCCUGCUAACGAGAGGUGGACUACAGAGGACCAACGUAACUGUCACCUACGCGGCCUACCACACGAUCCAGCUAGACAGGGGAUAUCCACAAGUAAUCUAGGUCUAAGCACCACGCUUACACCUAUACUACAACUCUCACCUAUAGCGUCCUAUAGAUUAGAAUACUCAAAAGAGUUGUGAACCAGAACAUACAUAAUUAGUAAUUGCAUAAUGAAUUAGAUGUAGAUUACCAGAGUCAUUCCAUGAGCAAGCUUGAUUAGAGCUUGAUCAUGACGAAGUACAACCGGAGGAAGAACCGACAGGCCGGCCUCUCCUCUAAUCCUCCUUCGCUCUCCAUCUUGCUACUAUGUAGAUCUACUCUAGUUUAGAGAAGAGAGGAGAGCUCUCAUCUCUAAACCCUAGCUUUUGCUCUGUCGAUGAAUAAUGAAUAAUGAUCAAGGGGUGCCUCCUCCAGGGGCCAGCGGGUCUGGUUAUAUAGUCCCCUCAAGUAAACCUGGGCCGUCAGAUCAAACUGACAUUGAUCGUGUGGUUUUCCUUGAAGUAUUAGGUCGGUGGAGCAUGAUCCGCGAAGUUGAAGCUGAUUGGUUACUGUAGCUGGGCGGGGACCCAAGGGACUUGGGCGGGCGCCCUGCCCCCAGGCCCGAUCGGCCUCCCGUUCGUUCCCGUGGCUUCUAGAGUCUUCUAGAUGGUAGAAAAUUGCGCGACACGUUAAUAUCUCUAUGUAAACCCGACGUGUAGGCCUUUCUUUCAUAUUUCUUGAUAACCCCCUGCAAAAAUAGACAAACACCAAAACUCGUGGAAUUCUGUCAGAUAAAACCCUAAGUCUAGAUGUUGAUUUCAUUUAGAUCCUUUUCUUUGUUUAUUUGAUAAUUAAAUUUGAUACUUAAGGACCGUCAACAAACUCCCCCAAGCUUACCUCUUGCUCGUCCCUGAGCAAGGAUAGACUCAGCAAUGGAUCAGAAGUUGUUGCAAUAUCUUAAAAAUUUGACGGUACACAUGGUUUUAAAUAAGAUCUCAUCUCUCAGUUAGAGUAAACUGUCAAGAACUAAAACUUACUUACUUUACCUUUCACCAUGGGACUUGUAACCGUCACUUCUGUCUUGAGUAGUUAAAAGAUAGAACAGUCUAGCCAAGUGCCAUGUCUCUUAUUCUUGAUCAGCUAUAGCUCUGGAGUUUUUGCAGAUUUUCAAAUAAAACUCAGAGAUUCCUCAUAUGACUCUCUAAAUCUCUCUUUUGUGCUAUUUCUGGAUCCUUACCAAGGCAGUGAUGGUAUAUGCCUUCUCUCAAGAUAUGUGGUAUUUGUGGUAUAAGGCAUAGUGACAUUGCCUUCUCUCUCACCCUACUCUAAUAAGGCUUUAAUAUCUGGAGCUCAUAGGUGGGAGAUCAAGUAUACAUACUUAUAAGACAUUUAUUGCAUAGUCAAACCAUGGAUCUAGAGAAACAAGUCAAUAAGUCAAAUCAAGAUGUGCAUGUGUGGCGAAUGAAUGGUGUAUGGUGAUGAUGGUGAUAACAAUGGUGAAAGUCUAAUUCUACUUUUGCUCUUUUGAGGGGAUACAAACCUUCCUUGCCUUUUGAAACUUUAUGAGGAGAAUGAGAUGCUCUUCUUUUUCUUUCCUCUCAGGUGGGUAUCUUGUACCCCUAAUUCUACUGUCGGACACUUGUCCAUUUUUACCUCUCGUCUGACACUUUUUCUUUUCUUUCGAGGUUCCGCGCACUUGCCCCUUUUUAUUUCCUCGUUUAUUAUUUUUUUUAGAGCACUCAUCUCUUGAGAUAAUAUAGCAAGUGGUAGUAGCAAGAUAACUUGGGCAUUUAUUUCACAAGGGAAAAUAGAAAUAUUUUUGGCUAUUCUCUCCCGGAUUAGGAGUAGAAUAUUUUUGGGUGGUUCUGGAAAUGGAUGUGGAUGGUACUUCCGGAUUAGAAGUAGCAUAUAUGAGUGAACGUGCAAGUGAAACUUGAUUUAACCACAUGACAAGCUCCUAAGGGUCUACACAGCUUGACCACACUCAAUGCUCAUAAGCCGUAAAUAAUAAAUGUGUGGCUCAAAGUCUAGCAAGCAUGUAUAUAUGGCUGUGGUAAGAAUUUAAACUCUCAUCAUACAGGAACUCAUCAUGCAAUAUUUUAAAGAUUUUUCAAAGAUAAAAUUCUCCAGAAUUCUAGCAUCUCAAGGAACAGAUAAACAGCAGCUCAACCUUCCCAUAUCAUAUCCGUUAACAACUUAGAUUUCAGAUCAAGUUUUCAUCCCACAAGUUUAGAUCUAGAGCAAGCUUUAAAUUAUAAC